rnacentral:lncRNA from 1 species
GGGAGGCUUCAUUUGUAAUGAUUUCAAGGGAAUAAUGAGCUUGCAUGAAGCCUCGUAUUACAGCUUAGAAGGAGAAAGCAUCAUGGAGGAGGCCUGGCAAUUCACCAGUAAACAUCUAAAAGAAGUGAUGAUCAGCAAGAGCAAGCAAGGGGAUGUCUUUGUGGCAGAACAAGCAAAGCGUGCACUGGAGCUCCCUCUGCAUUGGAAAGUUCCAAUGUUAGAGGCAAGGUGGUUCAUAGACGUUUAUGAGAAAAGAGAGGACAAGAACCACCUUUUACUUGAGCUCGCUAAGUUGGAAUUCAACGUUUUGCAGGCAAUUUACUAGGAAGAACCUAAAGAUGUUUCAAGGUAUCCAUGCUUGGUUGCAUAACUCAUAUUUAUGUAUGUAUCAAAGAUUUGAGUUUAUGAAAUACAUAACUUGUACAAAUUAAUCAUAUGCAUAUUAAAUUAUUCUCAGGUGCAGACUACACCUUUUACAGUAGUGUAAAGGUCUGAGUCUGCACUUUAUAAAAUACAGAGGUUUGCACCAGAGAUUGACUCUAAGGAAUCUUGGACUAGAAGAUGACUCUAUAAUAGAUGUAUUGUAAAGCUACGAGUCAUAAUAUUCGUUUUAAUUUCCUCUGAAGGUGGUGGAAGGAUAUAGGUCUUGGAGAGAAACUGAGCUUUGCGAGGGACAGCUUGGUAGCAUCCUUCGUAUGGAGCAUGGGGAUAGUGUUUGAGCCUCAAUUCGCCUACUGUAGGAGAAUACUCACAAUCACAUUUGCUCUAAUUUCAGUGAUUGAUGAUAUUUAUGAUGUUUAUGGAGCUUUGGAUGAACUUGAGCUAUUUGCUGAUGCUGUUGAGAGGUUUGUUGGCAAAUUAAUGUUAUACCUAAUUGAUUAAUUCAACUGCUAGGUAGCUGCUUGCUACUUCUCAAAUUAAUAGACCAGUCAUAUGAAUUUUGUUUUUUUUUUCGUUUUCUACAGGUGGGACAUCAAUUAUGCUUUGAACCACCUUCCGGACUAUAUGAAAAUCUGUUUUCUUGCGCUUUACAACUUGGUUAAUGAAUUUACUUAUUACGUACUCAAACAACAGGAUUUUGAUAUACUUCGAAGUAUAAAAAAUGCGGUACGUAAAAUAUUAGUUGCACCUCUGCCGCCAUUCCUUUCGUUUGAUUUAUCCUAUUUAAAUUACGAUGUUUUUGUCGCAAAAAAAAAAAAAAAAAAAAUAUAUAUAUAUAUAUAUAUAUAUAUAAGUUGUAACUACUACUAUUUUCUGUGUCUUGUGCUUCAGUGGCUUCGCAAUAUACAAGCCUACUUAGUGGAGGCGAAAUGGUACCAUGGUAAGUACACGCCAACUCUGGGAGAAUUCUUGGAAAAUGGAUUGGUAUCAAUAGAAGGCCCUAUGGUUACAAUGACUGCAUACCUUUCUUGGACAAAUCCAAUCAUUGAGAAGGAACUAGAAUUUUUAGAAAGUAAUCGAGAUAUAAUUCACUGGUCAUUCAAGAUUCUUCGUCUUCAAGAUGAUUUGGGAACUUCAUCGGUAUUUUUUCUUUUUUCUUUUUUUAACAAGACAGAAAUUGAAUUAAUCCUCUAUAUAUGAAUUGAUUGUAGAUUUUUUUUACCCAAUAAUUCAUCAGGAUGAGAUACAGAGAGGGGAUGUUCCGAAAUCAAUCCAGUGUUACAUGCGCGAAACUGGUGCCUCGGAGGAAGUUGCUCAUGAACACAUCAAGGAUAUGAUGAGACAGAUGUGGAAGAAGGUGAAUGCAUACAGAGCUGAUAAAGAUUCUCCCUUAUCGCAAACUACCGUCUGUACGGAAACGCAGGUUGAGUAAUUACUAAUACUGCGACUUAGAAAUAUAAAUGUGGUGAUAAAUAAAUGCGAAGAAAAUAUGACACAAUAAUUUAGACAAUGCUCAAACUUGAUCGUCGUCACCACCUUAGUCAACAUAUCUGCGGGAUUCUCUGUAGUCUUGAUUUUCUGAAGAAGAAUCUUCCCCUCAUCAACAAUUUCCCGCACAAAGUGAAAUUGUACAUCGAUGUGCUUCGUACGCGCAUGUUAAACUUGAUUUUUUGUUAAAUGAAUAGCACUCUAACUGUCGCAAUACACAUUAAUGUGCUCCUAUGCAAAUCCCAAGUUUUCAAGCAAGCCUUGUAACCAAAUAGCCUCUUCAACAGCCUCUGUAAUUGCCAUGUACUCGGCCUUUAUGGUCGUCAGUGCAACUGUAGAUUGUAGUGUAGACUUCCAACUGAUUGGCCCUCCAGCAAAAGUAAAUACAUACCUGGUGGUUGGCCGUCGUUUGUCCAAAUUACCAGCAUAAUCAGAAUCAACGUACCCGAUCACACAUUGACCAAGUGUAUCGUCUCUCUCAAAUAGUAAACCAACAUCCACAGUCUUCUAAAUGUACCGUAGAAUCCAUUUCACAGCUUGCCAAUGUCCUUUACCAGGAUUAUGCAUAUACCUGCUCACUAUACCAACUGCAUGUGAAAUGUCAGGCCUUGUACACACCAUUGCAUACAUCAAGCUACCCACUGCAUUUGAAUACAGAACUUGUAACAUGUAUUCUCGUUCUGCAUCUGUUGAAGGAGAUAGUUGUGCAGAAAGCUUGAAAUGAUAAGCCAAUGGGGUACUCACAGGUUUUGUCUGCUCAGUCAUGCCAAACUGUUGUAGUACCUUAUUCAAAUAUUGCUCUGAGACAAGCUUACUUUGCCACGAGCUCUAUCUCUACAUAUCUUUAUGCCAAGAAUCUUCUUAACUUCACCUAGAUCUUUCAUUUCAAAUUCUUGAUUGAGUUGAGUCUUCAACUUCUCAAUCUUAUCUUUGCUCUUUGAUGCUAUUAGCAUAUCAUCGACAUACAAUAGCAAAUAAAUGAAAGAUCCUUCUUGUAGCAUGCGAAAAUACACACAAUGAUCAAAUUUAUUUCUUGUGCACCUUCGCCCUUUUAUAAAUCGAUCAAAUCGCUUGUACCACUGCCUUGGAGAUUGUUUCAAUCCAUAAGCGACUUUGUCAAUUUGCAAACUCAAUUUUCUUUUCCAGCAACCUUGAAUCCAUCUGGCUAAGUCACGUAGAUUUCUUUUUCCAAAUCACCAUGUAAAAAUGCAGUUUUUACAUCAAGUUGAACUAGUUCAAGAUCAAAUUGCGCAACCAUGGCUAGCAAAAUUCGAAUAGAUGUUAUGCAAAUUUUAUUGAACUCGUAAGUGCACGAAUCUAUUGUAGUAUAGAUCAAUGGUGACGAGUGUCGAUCCCAUGAGGAGGUGGAUUUUAAUUGUGUGUAGAAUUAAUUUUUUAAAUGGGUGGUUGGAUUUGUGGUGAAAAUGAUUUAGAUUAUCUUAAAAUUCAAAUUAAAAUGGCAAGAAUAAAUUGAAGUGAAAAUAUAUUAAAAUGACGUACUUGGGUAUCUGGAUCUGCAUCAACAUGCCAAUUAAAUCAUGAGGGGGAAUUCACACCUCAUGAACUACACUCUAAUGAAUAUGGUGCUAAGGGCUUAUCGUGCCAAAUAAUAAUAACCUUGUACUAGAGGGGAAGAGAAAAUAAAUUAGAGGGGAAGAGAAAAUAAAUUUACCAAAUAAAGCCCAUGGCACAUGUUGAGACUUCACCUUCAACCCAAGCUUGAAAGAAAAUUAGCUACUCAUAAUUGAACUAGGGGCAAAAUGGGAAUUUAUUAAAAUACGUAGAAAAUAUAAGAUAGAGAGGGAAUUACAGAAAAUGGAGCCCAAAAAUGGAUUCAGAGAUCUAAAAUUAGGGGGGAGAGGUCCCCUUUUUAUAGAUACAUUGAGUAAAUCAUGGCCAUCAGAUUAAAAACAGUUUGGACGCUCAAGAUUGCGCCAUGUCAUCAAUCAACAGUAUGUGGUUUGGCCACGCGUUUUGAACAGUGACAUGGUUUGACCACGUGGUUUGAACAGUCAACCGGUUUGAACAUUGACGCGGUUUGGUUGAAAAUAAUCCUGUGUAUAUGCAUGUAUCAUACGCGUAAUUUUUGGUCCACUAACAUGCUGCCACGUCACCGAUCAAUAGUGCAUAAGAAUUCUCUCCAAUGGAAUCGUGACACCUCAUCAGUCAAUACCACAUCAUCGGUCAAUGCCACGUCAUCGAUCCGUCUAUGUGAAUAGUGUCAUGAACAGUAACGUAGACAAUACCGUACAUGUGAACAAUGACAUUUUUCCUUUUAUGCUCCUCCUAAGGUUUUCGACUGUCCUGAGUUCAAAAGUGAUGUCCGUUUUGCCAUCUGAUUUCUCGUUCAUUGUGAAAUGACCAUGAUGCCCCUAAAAUACAUAAAAUACUUAAUUAAAAUAAAGCACACAUAAUUAAAUUACAAGAAGCUUAAAUACAUAGAAGUAAGGGUGUUAGUAAAACUUGAAGUGUAAAAUGACGAUUUUCGCCUUUAUAAAUAUACAUUUUCUAACACUCAACACCCCCCCCAACCAGCUUAUUGCUAGUCUCUAGCAAAUAUAAUGAAAACAAAAUUCAAAUCCAAAAUGAUUUUUUUUUUUAACAAUCAUGUUUAUUCAAUCAGACUAAUGAUAGUAAUCAAAUAAAAGUAUAAGCAUUAUAUACAGUCUAAAGAAACAUUACACCCACAUCAACCAUCCACAUGAAUUAACCCAGUAGACUUUGUCACAGUUACUUUCAAGAAUGACAUGUUAAACCCCAAAAUCUCACUGGAAAUAGUGACACUCUCACAAAGAAAUUAAACCCAAUAAAAAUAGUCACUCCAAUGAAUGGUAAUUGAGAGAAAAUAAUUAAGAAAUGAUAUCACAUGCUCUCACCAAGAUGAAAGAAAUAUGCCCUUAGCUUAGAAAUAAUACGAUCUCAAGUCAAACAAAAAUACUAGUCAACCCAAUUUAUUUAUUUAUUUUUAUUAUGCACUACUACAUCUUUUUAGCCCAUAUAACUAGCUUCUGCUUCAGACUAUAGUUCCCUAAAAUCAUUAAGGACUUUUAUUAGGACGUAACGUAGGCUAGGGACAUGGCUAACAAAUGAGAAAAAAUAAGGAAAACAAAGUGUAUGUUUGAGAAAAAUGCAGAGAUUUUUUUUUUUAAAGUUGCAAGGUGGAUUUCACCUAUUAUUGUUAUUUAUUUAUUUUUUUAACAACAAUUUUUUUUUUUGCUUUUGUUUGGCACAACUUCACUGAACAAAAUAAUUAUUUACAUUUUUCUCAAACAUAAAUAGGUGAUGGAACUUGUAAGAUAUCGGGUAAUACUUCAAAUCGGAGUGGGUCAAGAUGAUAAGUUUGACAAAGAAAAAGUUUUUUUUUUAAAAGGCUCAAAAGGGUUAAUUAUGGAUAUUUCACAAAAGGGAUGGCUAGAAAGGCUCAAACGGAUCAAAGAUGGCCUUUCCAUCGUCUUUUAGGGCUCUAAAUAAUCUUCCAUAUCUACAGUUAGAUGGGCAUCCAGAUGUAGCAACACACAUUUUUUUCUUCUUUUUUUUUUAAUUUUACAACUUUUUUUUUAAGGGUUAAUUCAAAAGAAAUCUAGAGAUCGUGUAUAAAAUAAUAAACUGUUAAACUGUAUGAAGAAUGGGCAAAAUGGUUACUCUCCAAGAAAAAUGAUAGGCUCAAAAACUCACUUGUUACUUAUUCCGACAUGUUCAUUCCUUCAAGCAACUCAUAUUUAUCUCCGACAUCAACAUGUAGAGUAGCAAACAUGGCAUAACAUCACUUAAGACCAAAGAUAAUACAAAUACUAAAAUUUAAAAUUCAUCAUGUCAUCCAAUGUUAAAACAAAUCACACAAUUUUUUUUUCAAACAACAUUCUACCCCCCAACCUAUUCUAAACAUGAAAGGAAAAUAUGCAUGCAGAAAUGUGAAAAUGAUGCAGAAAAACUAAUUAGAAAAGUUACACUUAAAAUGAUAGAAAAAGAAAAUAGUUUUUUUUUUUUAACUAAGAAGAUGCGUUUCUAGAGGCACUACACUCCAUAUUCAGCUAUCUUCGACUCAAAAAUUUGAAAAUGUAUAUUUAUAAAGGAGAAAUUAAAAAGAAGAAGUAAAAAAAAAUGAAUAUCAAAGCUUAAUAAAGAAAAAGAAAAUGUCUGGAAUUUUUUUUUUUUUAACGAAGAAGAUGUGUUUCUAGAGUAACUACACUCCAUAUUCAGCCAUCUUCAACACAAAAAGUUAGCAACAAUUAGUUUUUACAACAAAAAAUCAGUAAAAACUUAACCAAGAUUCCACAAUUGUCGACUAUUCCCUACCCCCAACCGGAACGAGACAUUGUCCUCAAUGUUUUAAAGGAAAUAAGUAGAGUUUAGAAGACAUCACCUGGGUGGUGCAACAUAGAAGAAAAAUAUUUACGGGCGGAGAGUUAAAUCUAAUUUGUACUUCUUACUGCGGCUACUAUUACCAUCAUUAUUUGGACGCUCCAACACAAAGGUCUAGGGGUCUGGCUCUGGUCUAUAAGCUUGUAACAGAUCAAGUAGCUUAUUAGCAGUGUGAGCACAAAUAAAAAGAUUUUUCGUUGUGGAAGGAAUGAAAUAGUUUUUUAUUGCAUGGUUAAGAAAUACGAUGAAGCCAUCAUAAAAGUUAUUGACAUUUAACAAACCGAUGGGUUUCUGGUGAAUGUGCAGAUGAGCCCAAGAUACUAGUGUGAUAAGUGCCUCUAGUGUUGCAAGAUCUCCUAGAAGGAAAAUAAAAGCAUCAGCCUGAUUAAGCAUUUCAAUUAUUCUUUCUUGCAUAUCUGAGACGACUAACUCUUCUUCAAUCGGUGAGUUAGACAAACUGCCCAAAGAUUUUAGAGCUCUUGGGAUGAUGCCUAGCACUUGACUUCCUCUGAAAAAAGCAGCUUCUGAGACCAAUUUUGAUAACCCUCGGUUACCUCCUCCAUACACCAAGUGUAAUUUUCUCUCUGCUAUGCUUCGACCAAGAUCUAUGGCUGCCUCAACGAACUCUUUAUGUUUGCCAUAGUUAAAUCCAGAAAGCACACAAAUGUUCUUGAAUUGUCUAUUGGGAGUAGCUGCCAUUGGAAUAUUUCUAAAAAAUAAUUUGUGUGUGCUUAACAAAAAGUCAUAUUUAAGAAUCUUGGUGACAAUGGGUCACAACUGUGUAUGAGGUGGCAUGUCAGUGUCAAAUAACGCGUAAAGCACAUGGCUCGCGAGUCAAAAAGGAAACAGUAAAAAGAGAAAGAAACAAUGAUAAAAUAAAAUUAGUAAAGACAAUAAUGCAAAUGAUAAAACAACAGUGAAAUAAAAUAACAGUGAAGUAAAAGGAUAUUUACAGGUAGUUGUGAUUGUGGCUCAAAUCUUCCUUUGGUUUUACGUCUAAAAACGGCUUGAACGCCCUCUAUAGGUCGAGGAUAGGCUUCCCAUCCAGUUUUCUUGUAAACUGGCAAACAAGGUCGUUUAUAGUCAGAUUCUCGAGACUAUAUCGUGCAUGCUCUUUCUGGAAUAAUGGUCAUAACUGGAGAAUUGCUCCUUGUACAUAUCCACUGGGAUGCGUUUCAAGAGACAAAAUGAUAUCAUCCAAUGACUCCUUAUUCAAGCCAUCCCUAAUGAAUUGAAUCUUAUUUUCCCUGUUAUCAGACACCAUUCCUAAAGAACAUGGAUUUUUAUUGCAUCUCAUUCUGGCACAUUUAUGACAAGCAACCGAAAUUCUUCGAGCUCUUCAUUUUCUUGCAUAAUUUCCUUUACCACAACCAGGCAUGUAUGCAAUAAAUUUUAGAGGUAACUCACCUGCCAAUCGUACUUUAGCCUCGAUUAACCAACGGAUGUCAGCAGGUAUGUUAUUCCUCAUGAGCAAUCGCAUGCGUUCAGACCGAGCUUUAUAGAUUGUAAGGACGGCAUUCUGAGGAAGUGAAGGGAAUCGAUUGUGAAGCUUUACUAGAAUCUCGUUUCUGUCCAUACCUUUGCCUCAGAAUAUCAGUUAUUAUGGGAAACUGAAGUAACCGACUUGAUUGUCACGGAGUACCGUUAUCCGCCACUUCACCGGGGUAACAAACUAAAGCACACAAACAAAGAAAAACAAACUAAAACACAUAAAGAAAAUUACAAUUAUCCUCUUAUUGAAUUUACCUCAAGCUCCAACUGGAUAUUGUAGACACUUCUCUCAAUGUCUCUGAGUUGGCUUUUUAAAUCCUCAACAUAGGAUACUAACUCUGGUGGUUGCAGAGCUCAAAUACGAUGUGUUUUCCUAAAUCGAAUCUGCAUUUUGAGAUGAGAUUUUAGACGUUGAAGUGGUUUAAGAAUGUCCAGGAGGAAUUGUUUAGCUAUGGAACUCAUGAUUAACAAUGAUAAGAGAAAACUUAAUGGUUAAACAAACACACUUAUGCAAAAAUAAUUUCAAUUAGCAAAAGAAUAAUAAAAAGAAAGAAAAAAAAUCAAAUCACCGAAAAGAAAGAAAGAAAAAACUCAAUUCAAAUCUGGUGGGUCACUCAAAUUUAUUUCGGUGUCCUCUCCAUGUGGUUGGUACUCUAGAUAUAGCUUUAAUCUUUGACCAUUAACUUUAAACGUGACACCGUUCUUUGGGUCCUUAAUUUCAAUUGCCCCAUAAGGAAAAACAGUAUGAACAAUAAAGGGGUUAGACCAUCGAGAGCGUAACUUACCUGGGAAUAGGUGCAAGCGAGAAUUGAAUAAAAGCACUUUCUGACUUGGAGUGAAAGAUUUUCUCAUAAUUAGCUUGUCAUGGAAGACUUUCAUUCGUUGCUUGUAAAUUUUGGCAUUUUCGUAUGCAUCAUUGCGAAUUUCUUCAAGUUCUAUCAGUUGUAAUCUUCUUUCUGAGCUAGCUUGCUGCAUAUCAAAGUUGAAUUUCUUGAUGGCCCAAUAUGCACGAUGCUCGAGGUCCACAAGUAGGUGGCAAGCUUUUCCAAACACUAGCCUGUAGGGUGACAUCCCAAUCGGGGUCUUGAAAGCCGUUCUAUAUGCCCAUAAUGCAUCAUCAAGUCUUAAUGACCAAUCUUUCCUGUCUGGCCUCACCGUCUUUUCUAAUAUGUGCUUUAUUUCUCGAUUGAAGAUCUCAACUUGGCCACUGGUUUGCGGAUGAUAUGGGGUCGCCACUUUGUGAGUGAUUGAAUACUUUGUCAAAAGAGCUUUGAAUGCUUUGUUACAAAAGUGGGCACCACCAUCACUGAUUAUCGCUCAAGGGAAUCCAAAGCGUGAAACAAUGUUGCUUUUCAAAAAUCCUAUCACCACCUUGUGAUCAUUGGUUCUACAUGAAAUUGCUUCUACCCAUUUCGAUACGUAGUCAACAACAACCAAUAUGUAUUGAUGGCCAAAAGAAGGGGGAAAGGGUCCCAUGAAGUCGAUACCCCAUAUGUCAAAAAUCUCAACCACUAAAAUUGAAUUUAGUGGCAUCAUGUUCCUUCGUGUAAUGCUUCCCAUUCGUUGACACCUAUCACAUGAAGAAUAGAAAGUGUAAGCGUCUCGAAAUAUAGUUGGCCAAUAGAAACCACAUUGUAAAACUUUAGUAGCUAUUUUUUUAGUACUGAAAUGACCUCCACAAGCUUAUUCAUGGAAAAAUGAAAGAAUAUUCUGAAUUUCAUUUUCUGGGACACAUCGUCUAACAAUUUGAUUUGCACAAUACUUGAUCAAAUACGGGUCAUCCCAAAAGAAAUUCUUUAUUUCUGCAAAAAAAAUGGCCUUGUCUUGCUUGGUCCAAUGCUCUGGAAGUUGACCUGUAACAAGAUAAUUCACGAUGUCACCAUACCAUGGUAAUACUUCCACAUUCAUUAAUUGUUCAUCUGGAAAUGACUCAUUCAAUGUUAAUGGUUCUGUAAUUGUGUCAAAAUGGAGACGAGAGAGAUGGUCAGCCACAACAUUUUCUGUGCCUUUCUUAUCUUUAAAUUCCAAGUCAAAUUCUUGCAAAAGUAACACCCAACGAAUUAGUCUAGCUUUUGCAUCUUUCUUUGUGAGAAGAUAUUUAAGAGCAGCAUGAUCUGUGAAUAUAAUUAUUUUAUAACCAAUGAGAUAAGAUUGAAAUUUCUCUAAUGCAAACACUACUGCUAACAUUUUUUUUUCAGUAGUUGAAUAGUUCAACUGUGUAUCAUUCAAUGUCAAACUAGCAUAGUAAAUAACAUGGGAAUUCGAUCAACUCUUUGUCCUAAUACUGCUCUUACUGCAUAAUCAGAUGUAUCACACAUGAGCUCAAAUGGUAAGUUCCAGUUUGGGGGCUGAAUGAUGGGUGAUGAUGUCAACAACUGCUUUAAUUUUUUAAAUGCCACAAUACAUGAAUCUUCAAAGAUAAAAGGUACAUCCUUAGCAAGUAUAUUGCAUAAGGGUCUAGAAACUUUGCUAAAAUCUUUAAUGAAAUGUCGAUAAAAACCAGCAUGCCCAAGGAAAGUCUUACUUCUCUGACUGUUUUAGGUGGAGGAAGAUUGGAAAUGAGAUCCACAUUGGCUUUGUCAGCCUCAAUACCUUUGCUCGAAAUGAUGUGACCGAGAACAAUACCUUGUUUUACCAUAAAAUGACACUUCUCCCAAUUUAAGAUUAAGUUCUUCUCGAUACAUCUCUGCAGAACUAGUGUUAGAUGAUGUAAACAUUGAUCAAACGAGUCACCAAAAAUAGAAAAGUCAUCCAUAAAGACUUCAAAUAAUCUUUCAACCAUAUCAGAAAAAAUGCUUAACAUGCAUCGUUGAAAUGUAGCAGGUGCAUUACAUAAUCCAAAUGACAUCCUCCUAUAUGCAAAAGUGCCAAAAGGUCAAGUGAAAGUGGUCUUCUCUUGAUCUUUUGGUGCUAUGGGAAUCUAAUUAUAUCCUGAGUAGCCAUCUAGAAAGCAAUAAAAUUCAUGACUUGCUAAUAUAUUCAUCAUUUGAUCGAGAAAUGAUAAAGGAAAAUGGUCUUUACGUGUGACAGAAUUCAACUUUCUAUAAUCAAUGCAUACACGCCAUCCUGUAGUCACUCUAGUGGGUAUCAAUUCAUUAUCAGCAUUGGUAACUACUGUGAUUCCUGACUUUUUGGGGACAACUUGUACAUGAUUGACCCAUGAACUAUCAGAAAUUAGGUAAAUGAUACUUGCAUCUGAUAGCUUAAGGACUUCAGUUCUAACAACUCUUUUCAUAUUAGGAUUUAACCGACGUUGCAUUUCCCUAGUAGGUUUAGCAUUUUCAUCAAGGUGAAUGUAAUGCAUGCAGUCUAUUGGGUUUAUACCUUUUAUGUCCGCUAUGGUCCAUCCUAAUACUCCUUUGUGCUCUUUUAAAACAUCCAACAACUUCCCUUUUUGUUCAUCAUUUAGGGAUGAUGAGAUGAUUACCAGUAUAGUGCUUUCUUCUCCCAAAAAUGUAUAUUCCAAAGUGUUGGGUAAUGGUUAAAGCUCGAGUUUCGGUGGUGAUUCUGAUGAUGGGAUGAGUUUUUUCUCUGAUGGUGCUAGUUGUUCAACUCUUGACUUCCAUUUAUUAGUAUCCAUGGAUGCUGCUGAGUCAAGUAGAGCAUUAACCCCAUCGACUGAUCUGUCAAUAUCAAAAUCCAAACCAAAAUGAGUUUAAAAUGUUUGUAAAGGAUCAUCACUAAGGUUUGAAAGAAAAAUAUUAUCAACUAAUGCUUCUAUUAAAUCCACAUCAACAAUUUCAUCAUCUGCAUUGUGAGGUUGUUUGGCAAUGUUGAAGAUGUUUAGCUCCAUAGUCAUGUUGUCAAAGGACAACUGCAUAUUUCUAGUUCUGCAUUGAAUGUGAGCAUCCGCAGUUGCCAAGAAAUGUCGACCUAGAAUAAUGAGGAUGUGCUUCCUUGAAUCCUGUAUUGGUUGAGUGUCAAUUACAAUGAAAUCAACAUGAAAAUAAAAUUUGUCUACCUGGAUAAGCACGUCCUCCACAAUACCACGAGGUAUUUUCGUGGACCGAUCUGCAAGUUGUAACACCAUUGGAGUUGGGUGUAAUUCUCCCAGUCCAAGUUUCACAAAUACUGAAUAAGGCAACAGAUUUACACUAGCUCCUAAAUCCAACAAAGCAUUCUCAAUUGUGUGGUUCCCUAUACUAUAUGAAAUAAUGGGGGAGCCUGGGUCUUUGCAUUUUAGAGAAAUUUUAUGUUGGAGUAUAGAACUAACGUUUUCUGUUAAAAAUGCCUUCUUUUGAACGUGAAUGUUUUUCUUUUUAGUACAAAGGUCUUUAAGAAACUUGGCAUAAGAUGGAACUUAUUUUAUAGCAUCAAGUAAAGGGAUGUUAACACUUACCUGUUUGAAGAUUUCAAGAAUCUCACCUGUGGAUUUUCCCUUCUUUCCUUUAGCUAACCUAUGAGGAAAUGGAGCUUUGGGAACAUAUUCUCGUGGGUUGGUUUCUUAUUUCUCUUCCGAUAGUGAAUCCUCAACAUUCAUAGGUACAAUUUGAUUUUCUUUUGUCACCGGCAUCUCCACUUUGUUAUCGACUUCUUUUCAUUUUUGCAAGGUCAUGACUGCUUUGACCUCUCCAUGCUGUUGUGGUUAACUGGUACUUACUUCAUGCACUCCUUUAGGAUUAGGCACUGGUUGACUUGGAAAUUUACCUUUCUCAACAGUCAUUGCCAAGGUCUGAACUAAAGAAGCAAGUUGUCCCACCAUCUUCUCGAGGCUUGAAAUUGAUUGGGCUUGUGAGUUGAAGCCUGCUCUCAUCUCAUUUCGUAGUCCAUCAAUGGUGCGGUUCUGUUGUUCAAUCGUAGAGUGAGUAACAUUCUUGAAAUUCUGGAAUGCAUCCUCCCAUGGUCUGGGUUGAGAGUAGUUCUGGUUCUGAUUGUAUGGUCUAAAUGGUGGUUGAGAGGCUUGAGGAAUUUGAGGAAUUGGUUGCAUUGGUGGAGCUGGAGCUGCUGGUCCAUUCUAUUGGAAUCCUUGAGACCAUGAAAAAUUGGGGUGGUCUCUCCAUCCAUGGUUAUAUGUAUUGGAGUAUGGGUUGUAAUUUGAUGGUUUUCUCAUUACACCUAUGGCGUUGACUUGAUCGGAGUAUGAGUCAUGGUCAUGUGGCUCCGUUGAUUUAGCAGUCGAUAACGAUGGAAUUUGUCGAGAGAGACUUUCAAUUAUCGCUUUGACUUCUUUAAUUUCUGAACUUGACUCGCCAAUGUGAACCUCAUUCACUCCCUUAAUUCUUCUAGUAUUCCUGAGUGAUCGACUCCGUUGUUGGGAAUUAUCCGCUUGUCGCUGGAAGAAUUCCUAAAUCUCUGAUGUACUUUUUGACAUUAACUCUCCUCCACUUGUUGCCAUUAGCUAUUCUUGAACGUUCGGCAAUAAUCCCUCCAAAACGUAUUGACAUUGGUGUCAUUUCUCGUACCCAUGAUGUGAACACUUCAAGAGUAGCCCAUUGAAUCGCUCCCGUGUUUCGAAAAACUACUCGUCUUCUCUCUGGGUAAACUCUGAGAUUUCCCUGCGAAUAACAUUAGUUUUAUGCACUAGGAAAUUUUUAUUCAAAAAUUUAGUUACCAUUUGUUCCCAUGAUGUAAUGCUAUUAGCAGGCAAAAUAUUUAACCAUGAACGAGCUCUAUCCUUUAGAGAAAAUGGGAAUAAUCUAAGUUUAACAUCAUCUUCUGAAAAAUUCUCAUAUUUAAAAGUUUGACAAACAGCAUGAAAAUCAUUCAGAUGAUUAUAUGGGUCCUCAUUUUCUAAGCCAUAGAAUGUUGGGAGACAAUUUAGCCAUGGCAAGAAUAAAUUGAAGUGAAAAUCUAUUAAAAUGACGUACUUGGGUAUCUGGAUCUACAUCAACAUGCUUCAUGGGCUAAAUAUUCCUUAUUAAUGCCAAUUAAAUCAUGAGGGGGAAUCCACACCUCAUGAACCACACUCUAAUCAAUAUGGUGCUAAGGGCUUAUCGUGCCAAAUAAUAAUAACCUUGUACUAGGGAGCCGGUGAAAUCAGGGUGGUAUCUAGACAAGAUUAUUAUUAUUCGUUGACGAAAAGUCAAAACGUCCACAAAAAUUAGAGAGGAAGAGAAAAUAAAUUUACCAAAUAAAGCUCAUGGCACAUGUUGAGACUUCACCUUCAACCCAAGCAUGAAAGAAAACUAGCUACUCAUAAUUGAACAAGGGGCAAAAUAGAAAUUUAUUAAGAUACGUAGAAAAUACAAGAUAAAGAGAGAAUUACAGAAAAUGGAGCCCAAAAAUGUAUUUAGAGAUCUAAAAUUAGGGGGGAGAGGUCCCCUUUUUAUAGAUACAUUGAGUAAAUCAUGGCCAUCGGAUUAAAAACAGUUUGGACGCUCAGGAUUGCGCCAUAUCAUCAGUCAACAGUACGCGGUUUGACCACGCGGUUUGAACAGUGAAACGGUUUGACCACGCGGUUUGAACAGUGAUGUUGUUUGGUUGAAAAUAACCUUGUGUAUAUGCAUGUAUCGUACGCGCAAUUUUUGGUCCACUAACAUACUGCCACGUCACCGAUCAACUGUCCAUAAGAAUUCUCUCUAAUGGAAUCGUGAAACCUCAUUAGUUAAUACCACAUCAUUGGUCAAUGCCACGUCAUCGAUUCGUCUAUGUGAACAGUGUCGUGAACAGUAAUAUAGACAAUACCGUACAUGUGAAUAGUACAGUACAUGUGAACAGUGACAUUUUUCCUUUUAUGCUCCUCCUAAGGUUUUCGACUGUCCUGAGUUCAAAAGUGAUGUCCGUUUUGCCGUCUGAUUUCUCGUUCAUUGUGAAAUGACCAUGAUGCCCCUAAAAUACAUAAAAUACUUAAUUAAAAUAAAGCACACAUAAUUAAAUCACAAGAAGCUUAAAUACAUAGAAGUAAAGGUAUUAGUAAAACUUGAAGUGUAAAAUGACGAUUUUCUCCUUUAUAAAUAUACAUUUUCUAACACUCAACAAUAGAUGAGUGUUUCACAACUGGAGAAAAUACCUCAUUGUAGUCUAUCCCUUCCUUUUGAGCGUAACCCUUCGCUACCAAUCUAGCCUUGUAUCGAAUUUCAUUUUUACGAGGAAAUCCUUCCUUUUUUGCAUAUACUCAUUUGCACCCAAUUGCCUUUUUUUCCUUGGGUACUGUAACUAACUCCCAAGUUUUAUUUUUGUGAAGAGAUUGUAUUUCUUCAUUCAUUGCUCUCUUCCACUGUAUACUUUCUGGAUUACUUAUUGAUUCUCUGUAAGUGGAAGGAACAUCAUCAUCUACAAUUAGAAGUGCAUAGGCCACCAUAUCAACAAAGCGAGCAGGUCUGCGAAUCUCUCUGCAUGGCCUUCUAUAUGUGUUGGUGAUUUUUUAAUCAAAUGCUAUUAAUGCCAAUGUGCAAGUGUACACAACAAGUAAUAAAGUGAUGAAUAUUCAAGAUCGUCUCCACAGGGAUUGAUGUUACUAGAAUUGCUACAGCAAUCAUAAUAGUGCAAUCUACCUUUAUUCCGAGAUGAACAAAUGUAAAGUUGGUUACUAUUGAAAUUGAUAAUUGUGAGAGAAUAAAAUGAAACAAAGCAGUGAGAAAUAAAUUAAAUAAAAAUGCGUCGAAGAAUCAAAUGAGAAUAAGGUAGUUGAAUGAUCAAACUCUCUUUAUGGGCUGACUGCUUUUCAUCAAUUUAACACCAGUUGCUACAACAAUUUCUAUAGCACUGGGCAUAAUUAUUUUGCAUCCUCGGCUGUCGCAUAUUGGAAUUCUCAUACCCAUAAGUAUCUUAGCAAUGACCAGUUGCUAUUCUACCUACAGCAUGACACUAUGAACAUCCAUUCUCUCCACCCUACAAGGUGAAUACCUAUGUCUAGUUUAUCACAAUUCUUAACUUCAAGUAUGGCCCUUAUGGGAUUCAAGAUAAACUUAAUCCAGGAAACUUAAAUUAAGAUCAAGUAUUACUCUAAUAAUAUCCACUAAGACAUGCCCUUUUGCGGCUCUAUCUUAACUUGAACCAUUAAAUGGUUGGUCAACCGAAAUAACAGUUAUAAUAAUAACUACUAGAGCAAAAUGCUACAGCAAUUAUAUAACAACUCAUAAGAACAAUCAAGAACCCAUUAGAUUGUUUGUCACUCAACUAGAAGCAAGGUUAGUUCAUAUUCUUAAAGAGAAAAACAAACAGCAACAUAUUGGUCACGAAAUGCAUUGGUUUAAUCAAAGAGUGAAGAAAGAAUAAGUGAAGAAUGAUAGAUAGUGAAUCCAAAUAACUCUGCUGGAUUCUUCAAUGAUGCAGCCUCGAUUCCCUUGAAUUUUGAUCUUCUUAUUCUCUUUCUCUCUAAUUUCCCCAAUGAUAAUUCCUUGCCGCUGUUUUAUGUGAUACGCGCCUCUUUUUAUAACUAAAAACUAGGGUAAACAAAGGCCUCGGGCAUACAUGAGUCAAAUUAGAAAACUGUAUAUCGCAAUUCUACAGCUAACCCGCGCUAAGUUUUCUCCCUCGGUGUUCCAAGAUUGCUACAACAAUGGUCGCUCCAGCAACGACUAUAACACUAUACUGUUCCCGGUUGUGUUUCACUUCUUUUGUGGCCAUAUUCUUUCUUCUUCUUACUAGCCUAAUAUCUCAGCAUCCCUUCAUGGAUUAUAAACUUCUGAAAACCUACAAUUAUGCACAUGUUUUGAGCACAAAUUACUUUAAAUCAAGCAAAACUUAUUAAGACUAAACUAAAAUGGAUGUUUAUGCAAAACAUAACCAAAAUAUAAUAAAAACACAUCUUUUACUCUCUAAGUAGUCUUGAUUUAAGUCUAGAAUUGCCGUAAUAACUCUCAUUUCAUAGAGUUAUCACACCCCCAAACUUAAACCGUUACUUGUCCUUAAGUAAUGACAACAUACUAACACUUUACGCACACAAUUAUGCAACACACAACUUAGCUCUGUUAUCAAAUUUGCAAGGAUUCUUCCACCUUCAGAUCACAAUCUCAAUCAUGCCAAAUGCCCAUAGUACAUUAGUUAUAGACUUAAGCUUCCUUCUGUCCAAAGUGUGUGUGUGCUAUUUUAAUUGAAUUCCAGAAAUGCUACAACAUUACCAAGAGAUUGCCUGUAAUUCAGAGGUAGCACCAUUUUAUUCACAUAUAGGGCAACAUAAAUCUCACAUACUCAAACUGUGCUCUAUUCAAGAAUGAAAGCUUAAGAGUACUCAACCCUCUUCACUGCGACAUUUAUUUUUCAUGUGAAUGUCAAUUAAUUGUAAUGAUGACACCCAAUUACUCAAGCCAUACAAAAAUCAGAGUUGUUGUAGCAAUAUCUGUAACAUAAUCUUAUCUAGAGAUGUCUUUUAACUCAAGGCUAAACAUAGGGUUUAUGAACAGACCUGGCUACUCAAUAUCCUAGACAGAGGACUUCCUCUUUUUAUUGUCUCACUUUUUUUUUUUAACAGUCAAUAUAGCAGAUGCUACAACACUGCUCAUAACUCUUGUUGCCUUUGGAUGCAAAUCUGAAUUUGGGGUACAUACUCAACUCUAGUUACUCAGCAACUUGAGCCAUUGGAGCAGAAUUUAUUUCAUAGCAAGCACAGUCCAGCAAAAUUUUCCCCCAAACUUAAGAUAUUUUCUAUUCUUUUGGCUAUGCUACAACAUUCUCAUAAAACUCCACCAAAGUUUAGGUGUCAGGACAGAAUUUCACUCUCCAUCUAUAACUAUCUCUACUCGGCAUUGUGUACUGUUUGCACAAUUCUUGUGGGUUGAGGUGGGAAUUGAAACCUUUUUUCUUCCAGAAUCUUGAGCGGUUCAAUGAACUCUUCAUAUUUUUCUUCCGCGUGGUAACUUUGGAAGCGUGAAGGAUAUUUGAGUCGGCUGGCUAUUCUUUUAUACCUUGGCAUUGCUAUAACAGUAAGAAUUCGAUGGUAAUAUGCUCUUCUCCAAUAGUUGCUGGCAUGUGGCUUGCCUCUGUAUUCUGUCAACAAUACAACCCCAAUUAUUAGUAUGAAAUCCAUUUGUCACACAUAUUUCCCUCGAGAAAUUUAAAAAUAGAUAAAAUCAAUCCUAAGAAAUUAAAAAUAAAGACAUAAAACGACAACAAAAAUAAAGGUUCAAUAAUCUGAAAUAAUGAAAAUAAAAAUAAAUAACAAUAAGUGAAUAACAAAAUUAAAAUGAAAUAAAAAGGAAGAGCCUUCAACAAAACCAGAGAGGGUCAAGCUCAGUUGAAGUGACUGCCCCCGCAAUGGGUUGCCUCCCAUUGAGUGCUUGAUUUAAGGUCUUUCAGUCUGACCUUCUUUGAUUGCUCAAUAGCUUGGUUCUUUAAGGAGUAAGACCUCCUUUGAACAAUCUGCAGCUGAGUGUAUGUAAUGCUUAACUCUGUGCCCAUUGACUUUAAAUUCUUGGCCUGUCUUUUCAUCUAGGAGAUCAACAGUCCCAUGAGGAUAAAUUCUGAGCAGCUUGAAAGGUCCAGACCAUCGAGAUUUUAGUUUUCCUGGAAAUAGUCUUAGCCUUGUAUUAUGGAGCACCACUAGUUGACUAGGGCUUAAUUUCCUGUGUUGGAUAUGCUUGUCAUGCUAGUGUUUUGUCCUCUCUUUAUAGAUUCUUGCAUUUUCAUAUGAGAACAGUCGUAAUUCAUCAAGCUCACAUAGUUGAAGCUUCCUUUGCUCUGCUGCAGCAUGUAUAUCCCAAUUUAAUUGCUUCAGUGCCCAGUAUGCUUUAUGUUCUAGCUCAAGUGGCAAGUGACAAGCCUUCCCAUAAACAAUUCGGUAGGGAGACAUGUGAAGUGGUGUUUUGUAUGUUGUUCUGUAAACCCAUAGGGAGUCAUGUAAACUCAAGGACCAAUCCUUCCUUGAUGGAUUCACCAUUUUUUCUAAGAUCUUCUUAAUCUCUCUAUUGGACACUUCUGCCUGGCCAUUGGAUUGUGGCUGAUAUGCUGUUGCUACUUUGUGCCUGACUCCAUAUUUUACCAUACCUGCAGUAAAUAUUUUGUUGGAAAAAUGAGUACCAUCAUCACUGAUAAUUGCUCUUGGAGUGCCAAACCUGGAAAAAAUAUUUUUCUAAAGAAAGUCCACCACUACUUUAGCAUCAUUGGUAGGUAAUGCUGCAGCUUCUACCCAUUUAGAGACAUAAUCUACAGCAACCAGGAUAUAUAAUUUCCCAAAGGACGGUGGAAAAUGAUGCAUGAAAUCUAUUCCCCUUACAUUAAAAACUUCAACUUCCAGAAUAUUUGUCAAUGGCAUUUCAUGUCUUUGAGUUAUGUUCCCUGUCCUUUGACACAUGUCACACCAUUUAGCAAAUUCAUAAGCAUAUUUCAAAAUAGAAGGCCAGUAAUAACCUGAUUGCAGAACUUUAGCAGUUGUUCUGUGACCACCAAAAUGUCCUUCAUAUGCUGCAACAUGGCAUAAAUCCAGUAUGUGGGGAAUCUCUUCCUCUAAAGCACAUGUUUUGAGCACAAAUUACUUUAAAUCAAGCAAAACUUAUUAAGACUAAACUAAAAUGGAUGUUUAUACAAAACAUAACCAAAAUAUAAUAAAAACACAUCUUUUACUCUCUAAGUGGUCUUGAUUUAAGUCUAGAAUUACCGUAAUAACUCUUAUUUCAUAGAGUUAUCAAUAUGCAAUUGAAUCUUGUUGUUGUGAAGGUUCCUGGGUCAGAACCUCUUCAUCAUCUUCGGUCGAUGAAGAAUCACUAUUCAUCUCAUUGACACCAGCUAGAUCAGAUUUAACCUUUUCAAACUCCACCUGCUGCAAAGUUCCACUGGUCUUGUCAUCCUCUUGAGAAUCUUUUUGUUUCAACAUGGUUGAUUCAUCAAAAGUUACAUCUCUGUUGAAAAUAAUCAUCUUCAUAACAGGACACCAGAGACGGUAUCCUUUUACUCCACCAAUUAUACCCAUGAAUAAUACUUUUUUUGCUCUUGGGUUUAACUUAGAUUCUUUUACAUGAUAAUAAGUAGUGGAACCAAAAACAUGUAAAGAAUUAUAAUCAGUAGCGGGAUUACCAGUCCACAUCUCUAUGAGUGUUUUGCCCUCAAUUGCAGCUGAUGGCAAACAGUUGAUCUAAGUUAGACCCAAGAGUUGAUCUACCAAAACUUUCUCCAGUUGAUCUACCAAAACUCCUUGCCCAAUCCCGCAUUGGACAACAUACACCGAACUUUCUCCAGUAUAGUCCGGUUCAUGCGUUCUACCACCCCAUUCUGUUGUGGUGUAUCUCGAAUAGUGAAGUGUCGUACAAUGCCCUCAUCUUGGCAUAUUUGAAGAAAUGGAUCAUUCUUGUACUCACCACCAUUAUCUAAGCGAAGUCUUUUGACCUUUCGAGUAGUCUGAGCCUCGACCAUUUUGUUCCAUUUUAAAAAUAUGCCUAAAACUUCAUUUUUAUUCUUCAUUAAAUACACCCACACUUUUCUUGAAUAAUCAUCAACAAAAGUAACAAAAUAGUGCAUACCUCCCAAAGAAGCUGUUUUGGUAGGUCCCUACACAUCACUGUGAACAUAGUCCAGAAUUCCUUUUGUAUCGUGAAUUGCUGAAUUAAACUUUACCCUUGUCUGUUUGCCCAGAACAGAAUGUUCACAAAAUUCUAAUUUGCAAGAAUUUAUACCUUUCAAUAAGCCUUGCUUCACCAAAGUCUGCAAAGCUUUUUCACUAGCAUGUCCCAAACGUAUAUACCACAACUUGGUUGCUUCUGAAUUUACAUUGUUUUCCAGAAACUGUUGAUACUGAUCUAAUAACUGUACUUCCUUGGAAAUAGUACAAAUUAUUUCUUCUUGUGUCUUUCAUCACCGUUAUCUCCCUAGCUACUACCUUCAACAAUCCAUCUCUCAAAGCGAUUGUGAGCCCUUUAGAUUCUAGGACUCCUAAUGAGAUGAGAUUUUUCUUCAAACUUGGUAGAUAGCGAACAUCCGUCAAGACUUGGAUUGAGCCAUCAUGAUUCUUUAAUUGGAUUGUACCUAUUCCCAUGGUUUUACAAGCAUUGUCAUUGCCCAUAGAAACAACUCCACCGUCUAGCUCCCUAAAACUAGAAAACUAGGUCUUGUUAGGACACAUAUAAUAACUGCAACCCGAAUCCAAAAUCCAGUCAUCUGAGUGACGUAUCAAUGUCAUGCCAACCAGACUAAAGUCUGACUCCUCAUCAUGCUCUGCUACACACGCAUCAGAAGUAGCCUUGCCCUUUUGUAACUUAGGACAAUUCUUUUUCCAAUGCUCUUUCUCGCGACAAAAAGCACACUCAUCUUUGGCAGACCUCCCUUUAGACUUGCUUCUUUUUCCAGGUUUGCGACUUUGUGAACGGCCUCUCGCUGUCAAUGCUUCUGUAACUGUAUCUCUGUUAUCCUUUCUGUCUUUUUUUCUGGUCUCAGAGUUGUACAAUGCACUGCAUACAACAUUGAAUGUGACAUUGUCCUUCCUAUAAAGCAAAGUAGUGGUGAGAUGAUCAUGUUCAUUAGGAAGGGAAUUCAACAACAACAGUGCCUUAUCCUGAUCUUCAAAUUUCUCAUCCAAAUUUAGUAAAUUUCCCAAUAUUUUGUUGAAUGAGUUCACAUGGUCAUUUAUUGACAUGCCAGGUGUAUAUGUGAAAUGAUAGAGUUUCUUCUUCAUAUAAAGCCUAUUUUCAAGGCUUUUCUUCAUAUACUUUUCUUUCAGUGUCUCCUACAAUUUCUUUGCCAAUGUCUCCCUCAUGACAAAGUAUUUAUGAUCUUUAGCUAAGCAUAGGCGAAUAGUACUACAUGCCUGUCUGUUGAUCUUUAUCCACUCCUUGUCAUCCAUCAUGUCAGGCUUUUCUUCAAGAGCAACGUCCAACUUUUGCUGACACAAGACAUCCAACACCUCACAUUACCAUAUACCAAAAUUAUUGGUACCAUCGAAUUUCUCCACUUCAAACUUUGCAUUAGUCACAGUAGUCAUCGCUGAUGAAGACGACGACGAUGCCUCUGCCAUCCUUUUUAACUCAAAUGAUCAGUUUCGUCAACAACUAUUUACACUUGAAAAAAAACCUCUAUGAUGUUUAUUUCGGGUGAAUAAAUGCACCAAAAAAGUUCCCAGGAGAAUAGCGGGGUCACAACGGUCCCACUUAAAACCCAGACUCCUUAGGCUCUUAUCGCCUUGUUGUCAGAACUUUCCUAUACAUGCAAAAAUACACACUACUUACAAUAGACUAUCUCCCAAGUAUAAAUGGUCGUCUCCACCGUAUCAAUGAACAGUACCGUAUACAUGAACAGUACCAUAUCUGUGACCAGUUCCGUAUACGCGAACAAUGUCGUAUACAUGAACAGUGUCGUAUGCCCCAAGCACGAACCUUUAGCGCUGAUACCAAUUGUUGCGAAAAUGCGGGUUGAGCAAUUACUAAUACUGCGACUUCUUGAGAAAUAUAAAUGUGGUGACAAGAAAAUAUUACACAAUAAUUUACGUGGUUCGGCGUAAUGCCUACGUCCACAGGCAAAGAUUGGAAGAUAAUUUUACUAAUAAUGAGAAUUUACAAAAGUGGGAAAAAACUUACAAAACCCACAACUCCAAUACACCCAAAUGGAACAUCACUAGAACACUCUAGUGGAAGCUCUCUCAAAUUCUCUCAAAGAACUCACUUGCAAUUGCUCUCUACUUCUCUCAAAUUGGGAUGCUUUACAAAUGCAUUCUAGUACUCCUCUAUUUAUAGGCAAAGCUUACAAUAUGAAUGCAUGAAAAAAAAUUUGGCCAUUUUUUAAUUUUAAUGGCUUUGGUGUGACUUUUGAUGAAGAGAUCAUGCUAGCACAUGCAAUUAGAUCACGCUAGCUCAACAUUGGUGUGCUUGAAAUUUGCAUGCUAAGAAUUUGUCUUCAAAUUUGCCUCUCUAAAGUUGAAUGCAUGCAUGUGUAUUUGAAUUCCAAUUUUGAAUUUUUCAACACAGUCGAGUUCAUAUUGAAUGUUGUGAGAGUGUUCCAUUUUAUGUAUCUACAUGGAGAUGGGCAUAGGGCUCAAAACCAAGAGACAAUAGAUGUACUUUUUACAUUGCUUUUUCAACCAAUUCCCUUGGACGACAAACACAUGGUUGCCACAUCAUCACCUGGCACCAAAGGAUGAUGAAUUAUAGUUCAUGAUGCGUUACGAAUCCCCAGAGUGUAGUUUCAGUUGAUGUUGGCCUCAACUUUUCUUUUCAGUUUCUAUUUCUUUCUGAUGAUGAGAUCUCUUUUCGAUGAUUAUAAUAAAUUCCCUCACUCGUCGAGGUUUAUAAAUGAGACAAAAAUGUUAUAUAUGUUACUUUUAUUGAGAGUAAAAGUCGUCAUGAUGUGAGAACCAUUUUCUAGCAAAAGCAUGAGAAUGGCAGAAUGUGUUAUGUAUGCAGUUAUACUUUAUAUACAAACAUGGUUCAAAGCAUGUUAAGGCACAAUAGAUACUCAGUAUACAUGGUGUUGCGGAAACGUGGGUUGAUCAAUUUCUAAUACUGCAACUUCUGGAGAAAUAUAAAUAUGGUGAUAAACAAAUGCAAAGAAAAUAGGACACAAUAAUUUACGUGGUUCGGCGUAAUGCCUACAUCCACGGACAAAAACUGGAAGAUAAUUUUUCACUAACAAAUGGGAAUUUACAAAAGUGGGAAAAACUCACAAAAUCCACAACCCCAAUACACCCAAAUGGAACCUCACUAGAACACUCAAGUAGAAGCUCUCUCAAAUUCUCUCAAAGAACUCACUUGCAAUUGCUCUCUACUUCUCUCAAAUUGGGAUGCUUACAAUUGCAAAAUGCUUCUCUAUUUAUAGAGUGCAUUUUGCUCCAAGUUGGGUUCAAUUGGUCAAAACGUUGAGCUGGAUCUUGUAUUGCAUGCACAAGCUUUUCAACACCUAACUUUGUCUUUUGAAAUUAGCAAGCCGACCAACUUUGUUUUUUUGAAUUUGACAAAUCCACCAACUUUGCCUUUUGAAAUUGGCAACCAAUGAUUUGACUUUUCAACACAUGGCCCAUUUAAAUCGCAUGUGGCAAAUCAUACCCGUGAAAAAUGACAAUUUGCAGCGAACAGUGACAAACGCAACAACAACUAAGGAUAGAAAUCCGAGCUGUGACAUAAAAAGAAAUCACAAGGAUAAAAUAUUAAUAUAACCAAUUAAAAACACGAGUUCCUAGUUUUUAGGUUAGCUUAAAGACACGAGCACCUAAUUAUUCGGUUAGCCUUUUUUAUCUUUUAAUGUCGUAUUCACUUCUACAAUAAAUCUCUAACAAAGUCAUAUGAAUUUAAAGAAUAUAAGUGUAGUCACUGGGUUCAAUCAUAAACGUUUUGUUUUAUAGAAAGCUACUUGUCAUUUUUAGAAGCCUUUCACUAUCCAAUAUUUGAUUCAAGCAACGAUCAAAUUUAACAGCUUUCUUGUUCCUUCAAUUGAUAUACCUACAAAAAUGUCAUCUUAAAUUGCUUUAUUCACAGUAGUAUAAUGAGCAAAAAACGCAUUAUGUAUUUAUAUUAAAAAAUUACGAAAACAUAAAUUUAAAGAGAACUUUAAGAGAAAAAAUAACAAGUAUUAAAUUGACUUGUCUUUUCGAAAAAGAAAUAUAAUUAACAUAAGCAAAAACGUCACAACAGAGCAUAUAUAAUUAAGUAAUUAAAAGAAAAAAAAAAAUGAACCAAACGUACAUUUUAAAUGUCUCGCUCUUUUCCAUGCCCCACUCUUGAGUUUCUUCAUCACUGAAAUUUUGACAAAAAGUUAAAUUAAUAAAAUAGCAUAAUAAUACAGCAUAAUGUGAAUUAUAACUGGACUUUUUGGUUUCUUCAAUUAUAUAUCUGCCAUUGACGAUUGUAUUUUAGUGGAAAGUAUGCAUGGUGAUUACUUAGAGGAGAGUUGUUUAAACCGAAUGAAAGAUUGAGAGAGUCAAAUCAUAUUAAUUAUGGAGACAAAAUAAGAUGAAGUAGAAGAAAAAUAUUGAAUAAUAUAUUAGGGCCCAUUAAUUUUUAGUUUUGCUAUUAAUAAAAGUUACUUUUGUCAAAAUUUUGUAACCCAAUUUUUAUCAGAGUAGUAUUAAAGACACCAUUUUUUAAAAUCAAAAUAGUAUUAAAGAGAUCAUUAGGUAAUGUUAAAAGAUUAAGAAAGAGAUAGUUGAUCCUAUCUCAUAUGUAUAUUGGUGCACUAUUUGAACAAAUUGGACGUUGGUAUUCUAAGGUGUACCGCAAUUUUAUGAAUACAAUAUUUUUUCACUAUAUAUUAGGUUGUUUUCGGGAGCUUCGAUAAAUUGUGGGAUUCAAUUAGAUUUUGAGACUAACAAAAUAAUUUAAUCUAAGGUAUGUUUGGUUGUCAUGGACUAUUAGAGUAGACUUAAAUUUAGCCUACAACUAAUAGGAUUAUUAAUUCUUAUUUUUAUAGGGGUUUAGGUGAGAUAAGAUUAAAUAAAAACUGUGUCCUCUUUAUCACUUUUUUCUUUUUCAUUUAACCUAGUAUUUUAAUAUAAAUUAAAAAUAGAAGUGAAUUUCACGAAUUUUUAACCAAGUAAUUUUAUAUUGUAUAGAAUAUCAGAUUUUUUUAAAAUAAUUUAUUAAAUUAAAUUAACAUAGUUCAGUACGAUAUUGUAUCAAAUAAAAGAUAGUACUAAUAUAAGCUUUUAGGUUAACCACAAAUUUUGUUUCCCUCACGCAAAUGACUAUGCCCACUAUAUCAUGAUUUCAGCAUUCUGCCGGGGUGGGUGUUUUGAAGAGGCAAAUUGGCUGGGUAUUUUGAAGUCAGGUAUGACAAAUAUGAUUUAAAUUGCAUGCUUUAUGCCUACUGCAGAGCUGGUGAUGUUAUGAGGAAAUUAGACGAAUUAGUCUGGAUUACAAUACCCAUCACAUUCUAAUCAAACAUUUCUCCAAUAAGAAGUUUUAUAUGCUUGCUUAUCGGACUAUGAUGGACAAAGGCCACCAGCCUGAGGAGGUAUGAAAGUGGUCAUAGACAAAUGAACUUUUACUUCGGGAUUGCAGCGCGAAAGACUUAUCACAAGUAUUAGGGGUGUUCGCGGAUCGGACAUCAAUCCAUAUCCAAUCCACGAUUUUGCGGAUUAUGAAUUUUCAAUCCAAUCCAAUCCACGGAUUGGUUAAACUCAAUCCAAAUCCAAUCUAUAUGUUUGCGGAUCGGAUGCAGAUUUGACUCAAUCCAUAUCCAAUUCAUCAUUUUGCGGAUUGAUCUGCGGAUUACAAAUUUUUCAUUCCGUCCAAUCCACAAACUAAUAAAAUGAAAAAAAUAAUAUAAAAAUAAUUUUACUACCAAUCAAAUUCAAAAUUGAAUAAGAUUUAAAUAAAUUAAUUAUUUAAAUAAAACUAAAAUAAUGCAUUAAAGUUUUAAAAUACAAUAUACUGAAAUUAAUUGUUCAAAUGAAGCUAAAAUAAUACAUUUAAAGUUUCAAAAUAUAAUACAUUAAAAUUAAUUGUUCAAUUAAAGUUACAAUAAUACAUUUAAAGUAUCAAAUUAUGACACAUCAAAAAGAAAAAUGUUUGCUGCCAAUUUAUAUUUUGUACUUUAACCUGAACUAAAUAAACAUAAUUGAAAUAAAUAACAAAUAAAAUAAUUUUAUUGAAUAAAAAAUUAACAAAUAAAAUAAUUUUGUUCAAAUGACUGCUUGCACAGAGAUCAAGAAUUUGGAGAAGAUGGCCGAAGGAGAAGUUUAAAGCUAGUAAGAAUCUUUGGGUGCUGGUGGCUCUAUACUUGUGACAGGAAAGGAUAGGAAGUCAAGGGUUUUUUGUGUGCUUGUGACGGGAAAGUUUAAGAAGUCAAGGUUUUUUGUUUUCUUGUGGCUCCUUCGGUGAAGUGGCAUUUAGGAUAAAUGUUUUGUUUGGUUUAUAAUUUUUUAUUUUGUUUAAGAAUUUUUACAACUUAUCUUUGUAUAUUUUAAUUAUUUAAUUAUUUAUGUUAUUUUUGAAUAAUGGAUAAGGUAUCUUAUGGUGUUAAUAUAAGUAUGUAAUUACAUUUUACUUACUUAUUUAUUAGUAAUUUUACUUACUUAUUUAUUAGUAAUGUCAUAUUUAUAAUUUUUUUAAUUAAAAAAAUAUUUUUUUGCGGAUUGGCAGAUUUUUGCGGAUUUACAGAAGUGAAUCCAUAUCCAAUCCACCGGUUGCGGAUUUUUAAAUUUUUAAUCCAAUCCAAUCCAAUCCACCAAUCCACCGAUCGAAUUUUUACGGACCGAAUUUUUAUGGAUCGGACGGAUUGAGCAAAUCGGACCGGAUUCUAAACACUCCUAACAAGUAUGCUGUUUUGCAGGAACUCUGCUCCUUAAUUUUUCAUCUUGGUAAAAUGAGAACGACACUUAGAAGCACUCUCUGUUCACAACAUGUUAAUAGGCAGUAAAAGAUCGAUGUGCAAGGCCCUUCAUGAGAAAAUUCUUCAUAUUUUAAUAUCCAGAAAACUUUCCAUAUCAAACCAUUUUAGAUCGAUUCUUCAACUGUCAUUUUUAUACUUUUUUUAAUUGAAAAUACCCAACGGUGGUGGGGUUGGUGGGACCCCCUUACCUAUAGAUUAUUGAAAUAUAAACAAAAUUACGUAUGGAGGGGGAUGCAAACCAAAAUCUCCAAGUAAAGAAACAAAAAUAACCAACUAAUAAAAAAAGAACAAAAACAAUAAUAGAAUAAAUAAGAAGCUAAAGAUAAUUAAUUAAUGCAAACGCCGAUAAAGCUACUUACAAUACUUAUGACCAUUAACUAAUUUGAAACCUUUCUUAAAACUAUAGGAAUGCAGGCCACCAAUACUGAAGUCGGCGUCAAGAUCACGGCCCGCUAUACCCUCAGGCUUAGACGCAUAAUAAUCAUAACUUACAGGAUUUCCGUCACAGCUAAACUCCUCAUCCGACUGAUUAGGGAUAUCUGUAGAAUGGUAAUUAAAACUCACAACCAUGGAAUGAAUAUCAUCCACUGUAGACCUGAAAAAAGUAAAGCCUGUGGAAGCCCUCAGCGCACUCGGAUUAUCCAAAACAGGAGAAUUAGCAACCUCAGUGCAUCCAUCAGCAUCUCUCAAAGCAACAGUAUGUUGCAAACCAUCAUUAUCCGGAACUCACAGAGCAGAAAUCGAUUAGAUGCCCCGUCUGCAGUAUCCUGAGGAAAAAGAGCAGGCAGCCAGGCAACAUCAUCGAGGGGACCAGGCCCAAAGACUGACCUUGGACGAGAGCAGGCCUCUGUAGUCGAUUAUCCUUAGCAACCACAUACGUAGCACCACCCAUAGUAGGCCGGACAACAGCAUCAGUAAUAAGUAUCUUACUUGUAUCAUGAGCAACUAUAUCCUUCACCUGACCAAUAGGUUGUUGGAGCUUCUGGAGCCCAUGAUUAGUAACAAAACAAGCAUCAGCAAAUUGACAAGAUGCUUACACGAAGCACAAUAUAAUAGAACACGCUCAUAGAUGAUAUCUUGCCAAAACCCAUCAUCACUCUUACCAAUCUAAAGUCUUGGCAACAACAGCCAUGAAACAUCACACUCAAUGAGUACACGAGCCACCGAGGGCCUAUUAACAGCAGCAGUAUCACGGUCCACCCGUAAAGGCUUUUCAAUAGCAUUCACAAUAGAAAAUAAAACAUCUUUGCAAUGAAUGAAAUGCACAGGUAAAUAAGGUAAAUAAGGCAAAGACACCUAGACAAGAACAACUGAAACUCCUAAGAGUAUCAAAUAGAUGUAGACUACUUAAAAGUAUGCAUGGACCUGUCACUAAUAUACCAGGUCUGCCUAACCCAAAUACAAGAGUAAUCCUUUCCAAGCUAAAGCUUUAUCAAUUAUCUACUAAAGAAACCUGUGUACUACCUUUCAAACCCAAGAAAUAAAAAAAUUUACGAAUCACAUCUACAGGGGGGCGGCUAAAUAAAAACUUACUAAUAAGGGAAAGUUUGAAUGGUUCUGCCAUGGACUGGAUUUCUGCAGCUGAAAAGUGGAUAGCAUGAUUACCAUGAAAUAUUGAAACUGGCUUUACCCAAAUUGAAGAUUCUAGGGGGCCAGCAAUAGCAUCAACAAAAGACUUAGCAUUGGGGUUGAGGAUAACUCUAGGAUUAUAAUAGAUGCAUAAGAGGCCUUACAGGGUGGGUUGGAUGUACGACCAAGAGUGAGGGGUGGAAAAGGGUCAUGGGUUUGGGCUAGAUUUUUGGUUUAGUUUUGGGUUUGGAAAGCCGGAUGUUGGUUUGGGUUUCUUUGUUAUGGUUAACGUUUUUUGCAUAUGGCAGCUGGUCUCGGUUUUAAACAGCAGCCACCGUUGAGUUGAAGUAUGACGACGAGCGAGGCCUUGGGUGGGUUUGGGUGGGCAAAAGUGGCUGGUAUGAGGCGGCUAGCAGGUUGAUGGUGCCACUAACGGUGGCCAAAAGAGAGACAACGAGGUGUUGGUGAGAUAUAUGGCAGCUAGGGGGAUUUGUCUUGGUAAACUGAGUCACAGAUGGUAGCCAAUAAGUGGUGCCUGAGUUUUGGUUGUGUUCGUGCAUAUCUCUCUGUUAUGUAUUAAAACUCUAAUAUUUUACUACAUACAGCAGUAAACCAAGAAAGGAGGGAAAAAAAAGGAAAGAAAUACAUGGAAAUGAUAAUUUUACCUUUCAUCUUCAAGCUCCAAAGGCUUCGUAUGUAGGUCUUUCACUUGUAAAAGACGGUUUAUUUCUAUGUGCAAGUUAGCAUUUGGUUCAUUAGAAAAUUUGUCAAUAAAGUGUAAUGAAGCCGUAUUAUAGUUGUUACAAGAAUAUUUUUUGGAAAUCCAUGUAUCAUCUUCUCUUUCUCUCCUUGGAUGAGAGAGUAUCGGCAUUCCCUUAUUUUUCUUUUUUCUAAUUGAGUUUGAAUCCCCUUAUUUUAUUUUAUUUUUUUUUAACCGCCAUAUCAGUAAUUUAUUAACAAUUGCAGAGUUAGUGUGACACUUUAUUUGUAACUGCCAUAUCAUAGUCAGUUACUAACCAUUACAGAGCUAUAACAUCACUCGAAAUAGAAAUAUUGAGAUUCCUAAUAGUAUUUAUUCUAAUUAUUAGUUGUUCCUAAUAUUACUAUCGCUAGCUUGCAAUUAAUUCAGCUUAAGUUGUCAUUUUCUUAUAAACAAACAAGAUGGUCCAUCAUGCUUAGUUGUAAGGAUACAAACUAGGGAUGACAAUGGAUCAGGUUAGGCUCGGGCUUCGCUAAGCCCGAGCCUAAGCUUGUAACUGAAAUAAAGGGUUUGAGCUCAAAAAAGUCCGAUCCUUUGAAUUAAAGCCCGAGCCCAACCAUAAUUUUGUUUUGAUAAGGUGAGAUUCAUGGCAAGAGAGAGUGACUGAAACCCACAGCUAUUUCCUUGAUUAGUAUCACUUGUUGCAGUAGAUAUCUCAACAGAAGAAGAAGAAGCAAAUGGAGUUUGCUUAGCCAAGAAUUGAACCCAGCAAUAGAAGCUACAAUCUUUAAAGGAACAUGCUGAUGCUGAUGAAGAAAAUGAGGAUGGUACAUAAUAUCAUCGUGGUUAUGGGUAAAGCUAGGGUUUAAGGUUUGUGUUUGUGGGUGAUGAUGAUGUUGACUGUAGUGGUGGUGGAUGAUUGAAGAUGGGUGGCUCGUCAGAUCUUGAGCAAUGAUUUCUAAGUCAAAGUCUCCAUUAUUAUCAACAUUGAAGCAGCUGCUUGAUGCAAUAUUGACAUUCCAUUAUGUUGGUUUUGGUCAUUAGCAGGGUCAGUUGAUGUAGAGAUUGAGUAACAACAUGACCCUAAGAAAUCUUCAAGCUUUGGACAUGAUCCUCAUGACUUGCCCCACCAUUGGCAAAAAACCCUAUCAUAAUCUACAUAUCAAAUGCAAUUUACAUGACUUACUCCUAAUUAUAUUUCUACAUCGCCAGGUUCGAACACCUAAAUCGUCCCCAUUUUGCCAUAACCUAAAAAAGCUAAAGAUUGAAGCAUUACCUUAGGCUGUGAUAACUGUGCCGCCUUGUGAAUGGCUGUCACAGUUGUGUGAUGGCUGUCGGUGGUGGCGGUGAUGAUGUCUAGGUAUGGGUGAUGGUGGCUGUGAGUUGUGGAUGGCGAAUGGCAAUUUUAACUGCGGAUUGUGGUGGAUCGUGAAUGGCUGAACCUCGGUCGAUGAAAGAAAAGGGAAAAUAUUUGGCAAACAAAACGUUGUGUUUUUUCCUUUAAUGAAACGAUGCGUUUUGAGUUUUUGGAGUUUGACCCAUGGUUUGACCCGAUGCAAAUAUCAUUUUCAAUGUAUUUAUUAUUAUUUUUAUUUUUCAUGAGACUUAUCAAAUUUUGAUUUAAUGGUUAAUAAUUGUUUCAUAUUGCGUCAAAAAAGAGAGGCUCCCCGACAUGCCCUAUACCAACUAGUCUAGUUUUUCAUAAGCAUGUCGCUCAUGAGCUGCACCACAGUGUAAUGCAGCAAAAUCAAGAAAAAAAAAAGUGAAAUAUGCUAUUUCUCUUUUAAGAAAAAUUCUUGAAUACAUAAGAGGUAACAUAAUUAAUUUUUUUUAUAUAAACACCAGUUAUAUAUUAGUUCUUCAAAAUAAAUGUACUUAUACUAUAAAAUUAUUUGUUUAAUAUAUAAAUGACAUAGUACUUUAAAAGAAUUCUAAAAUUUCUCUUGUGCCUCGCUUGUCAUUUUCAACUAUUAGUCAAUGAGAUGGCAUUUUACAUGCAGAUAUGGUGCCCCGCAGAAACUCUUUUGUUUUGAGAUUGAUGAUCCCAAGGAAAUGGCACAAAUAUCACUUCUAAUGAUAUUUUACAGUAAAGUCCAGCUGUACAGGAAUUCUCUUUCGACAAAAGCUUGUUUAUUCCCAAUAUUUUUAGGUUAAUGUCCUUUUAGCCAUUAUAUUUUAAAAAAUUUCUCAAAACAUCCCUACUGUUAAAUUAUUAACACCACUGUUAGGGUUACUUUUUAUUCUCUUUAGCUUACUUUUAUAUAUUACUCUCUUACAAUAAUGUUUAUUUUUUGGACAUAAAUAAAAAAAAUUAGAUUAUCAAUUUAAUCCCAAAAAAUUAAUGUAGAAGACUCUACUAAGUAAAUAUAUUAAUUUUUUUACUGAUGUCCAAAAAAAUUGGUAACUUAAUUUUUUUACAAUAUUAAUUUUUUUGACAUAUGUAAUCUUCUUGGAAAAUUAAUAUAUAUUAUUUUUGUGGUUAAAUUAAUAAUUUAAUUUUUCCUUUUAAUUAAUGUCCAAAAAAAUCAUUGUAAGAGAGAUAAUAUUAUAAAAGUAAGCUAAAAAAAAAUAAUGACAGAUAUGUCAAUUGUUUAACAACCAGGAGUUUUGAGUUAUUUUUAAAAAUAUAAGAAAUCAAAAUAUAAUAAUUAAACGAGUUUCGACACAUUCUUUUUAGUGCUCUAUGACUCUUAUGGAAGUAUAACUUUGAUUAUUAAACACAUGCUUCUACACGUUUUUGUUCACCGUAGGACUGCCAUAAACAAAUAUCGACAUCAUUGAUUAUUAUAAACACAUGCAUUGGCACGUUAGAAUUCCCUCAUAAAAAAAUAUGACUACUUUUUGCAUUCUGGUUUGGUUCAUAGUUCCUAUUUUUUAUCCUUGGCCGCGAGGCUCAUAUUCUUAUGGAUCCUAUAUCCACACACUCUUUUGUUUCCCGUACUUUUGCUAUGCACAUAGGGGGAGAGCCUGAACUAUUAGAUUGUGGUUUAGUUGUUCGUACACCUACCGGAGAGUCAUUACUUGCUGAGAGUGUGUAUCGAGAUUGUAUGAUUGGAAUGGUUGAACAUGAAUUUGAGGCGAAUUUAAUUUCCUUAGACAUUCAUGACUUUGAUGCUAUUUUGGGCAUGGAUUGGCUUGAAUCUCAUUAUGCUACAGUGGAUUGUUUCAAAAAGGAAGUUGUGUUUAAAAAGCCAGGGAGGACUGAGGUGAAAUUCUGUGGGGAGUGCAAAGUUCUACCUUCAUGUGUUAUAUCUGCCAUUAGUGCAAGACGGUUGCUAAGAAAAGGAUGCUCGGCUUAUUUAGCUCAUGUGAUAGAUACAGAAGCUCGAGAAUUGAGAUUGGAGGAUAUUACAGUAGUCAAAGAAUUUCCAGAUGUAUUUCCAGAUGAACUUCCUAGGAUGCCACCUAACAGGGAAGUUGAGUUUUCUAUUGACUUAGUCUCUGAAACAUCUCCUAUAUCUAUGGCACCAUACAGGAUGGCUCCAGUAGAGUUGAAGGAACUGAAGGUUCAAUUGCAAGAGUUGGUGGAGAAACGGUUUAUUAGACCUAGUGUGUCCCUGUGGGGAGCUCCAGUCUUGUUUGUUAAGAAAAAUGAUGGGACUUUUAGACUCUGCAUUGACUAAAGGCAGUUGAACAAAGUUACGGUACGCAAUAAGUAUCCACUUCCGCGUAUUGAUGACUUGCUUGAUCAACUCCAGGGGGCAAAAGUAUUUUCUAAGAUCGAUUUGCGCUCGGGUUACCAUCAGCUUAGAAUUAAAGAUGUUGACGUUCCUAAAACAGCAUUUAGAACCCGUUAUGGGCACUAUGAGUUCUUAGUGAUGCCAUUUGGGUUGACAAAUGCUCCAGCUGCUUUUAUGGAUCUCAUGAAUAGGGUAUUUCGCUCGUACCUGGAUCGGUUUGUGAUUGUAUUUAUUGAUGAUAUCUUGGUGUAUUCCCGAAGCGAGGAGGUGCAUGCAGAGUAUUUGCGGACUAUUUUACAGACUUUGAGAUAGAAGCAGUUGUAUGCCAAGUUCAGCAAGUGCGAGUUCUGGUUGGACAGAGUAGUAUUUUUUGGCCAUGUGAUAUCAGCUGAAGGCAUUUAUGUCGAUCCUCAAAAGAUUAAAGCAGUUGUGCAAUGGGAACGACCUACAAAUGUCAUAGAGGUUCGGAGUUUCCUUGGAUUAGCUAGUUACUAUCGUAGAUUUGUGGAGGGAUUCUCUAAGAUUGCUACUCCUCUGACACGGUUAACGAGAAAGAAUGCUAAAUUCCAGUGGGAUGAUGAUUGUGAAAAGAGUUUUCAAGAACUUAAGACACGUUUGACCUCAGCACCAGUUCUUACACUUCCCUCUGGUAAUAAAGGAUUUGUGGUUUACAACGAUGCCUAUAGGCAGGGAUUGGGUUGUGUGUUGAUACAACAUGGGAAAGUGGUGGCUUAUGCUUCUAGACAACUUAAGAAGCAUGAGCAAAACUACCCAACACAUGACUUAGAGCUAGCAGCAGUGGUGUUCGCACUCAAGACAUGGCGGCAUUACUUAUAUGGGGCAACGUGUCAAAUUUUCACUGAUCAUAAGAGCCUGAAGUAUUUGUUUACUCAGAAGGAGUUGAAUUUGAGACAGAGGAGGUGGAUCGAGCUGAUUAAGGACUACGAUUGCACUAUUGAUUAUCAUCCGGGCAAAACAAAUAUGGUAGCUGAUGCACUAAGUAGAAAGUCUUCCAGCUCUAUAGCUCACUUGCGAGUGAAAUAUAUGCCUCUAUUGAUUGAGUUGAGAUCUUUGGGAAUCGAGUUGAACACUGACAAUUGUGGAGCUUUGAUAGCUAAGUUUCGAGUUAGGCCGACUUUGAUUGACAAAGUUCACCAGAUGCAAGCUCAGGACCCACAGUUAAUGAAGUUGAAAAAGGAUGUGCAAAAAGGUUUACGAACCAAUUUUACGGUGAGAGGCAAUGGAGUCUUAGUCAUGGGUAAUAGACUUUGUGUACCUGAUAUUAAAGAUCUAAAAGAAGAGAUUAUGGAAGAAGCUCAUUGUUCAGCAUAUGCGAUGCAUCCUGGUAGUACGAAGAUGUACUGCACCCUGAGGGAUCAUUAUUGGUGGCAGGGUAUGAAGAGAGAGAUAGCAGAAUUUGUUUCUCGAUGUUUAGUCUGUCAGCAGAUUAAGGCUAAACACCAGAGGCCUGCAGGGUGUUCUCAGCCGCUUCUUAUUCCUGAGUGGAAGUGGGAGCACAUCACCAUGGAUUUUGUAGCAGGACUUCCACGUACUCAGAAAGGACAUGAUAGUGUUUGGGUGGUUGUUGAUUGACUUACAAAAUCUGCUCACUUCUUACUAUUCAAAAUCACAUAUUCGAUGGACAAAUUAGGGAGUAUUUAUGUGGCUGAGAUAGUUCGACUUCAUAGAGUACCUGUGUCCAUAAUCUCAGAUAGAGAUUUUUGGUUUACUUCUAAGUUCUGGACCAGCUUACAAAAUGCUUUAGGCACCAAGUUGAACUUUAGUACAGCUUUUCAUCCACAGACUGAUAGAUAGUUAGAGCGUAAUAUUCAAACUCUGGAAGAUAUGUUGCGAGCUUGUGUUAUGGAGUUUAAAGGUAAUUGGGACAAUCAUUUACCUCUGAUGGAGUUUUCUUACAACAACAACUAUCAAGCUAGUAUUGAGAUGGCACCAUAUGAGGCUUUGUAUGGUAGAAAAUGUAGGACUCCAGUAUGUUGGGAUGAGGUUGGUGAACGGAGCUUAUUCGGUCCAGAACUAAUCCAGGAUACUAAUGAGAAGAUACAAUUGAUCCGGGAUAGAUUAAAAGUGGCCCAAGAUAGACAGAAGAGCUAUGCAGACAAGCGUAGGCGGGAACUUGAAUUCGAAGUUGGUGAUAGAGUUUUCAUACGGAUAUCUCCUUGGAAAGGGGUGCUUCGAUUUAGGAAACGUGGGAAGCUAAGUCCACGUUACAUUGGGCCAUAUGAGAUCAUUGAGCGCAUCGGUCCAUUAGCUUAUCGAUUAGCUCUACCACCCGAGUUAUCCAGAAUCAACGAUGUGUUUCAUGUCUCAAUGCUUCAGAAGUACAUCUAUGACCCGAGUCAUGUGUUAUCGAAGCAACCAAUUCAGUUGAAAGAAGAUUUGACUUACGAAGAUGAACCAGUGGAAGAUAAACACCAAGUUCUGUGUUCUAAGACCAUUCCUCUAGUAAACGUACGGUAGAGGAAUCAUACAAAGGAAUAGGCUACCUGGGAACGCGAGGACUUAAUGCGAGCUCAGUAUCCCUAUCUUUUCUUAUCAGGUACGUAAAUUUCGAGGACAAAAUUUUUAUAAGGGGGGAGGAUUGUAACAUAUGUGAAUUAAAAAUGAAUAAAAAGAGGCGGUUAAGAAGUUAACAAAAGAAGAAGCUGGAAAAUAGAGCAACAUAGAGCCACACGUGUGUGAGAGAGUGAGAGAGAGAAGCUGUCAACCAGACCCGAAAACCUGACCCGGAACCCGCGAACGUGACCUGACCAUAUCUCCCAUUUCCAGCCACUGUUUCGGCCGAGCUUGGUACCAAUUUGAAGCUUAGAAGCCGGCCAUUGUUCCCCUGCCAUCCUCGUUGCCGAAAAGCAACCAGAACGCCGGCGAUCGAAGCUUGGAAACCCAUGACUGUUUCGCUUUGUUCCGCCGGGAUUUUCACCGGUUUUGGGUGACACCACCAGUUGGAUUUUUGUUCCCCGCGACUCCCUCUUCCAUUUUCGACCAUCCACUGCCGCCGGGGACGUCGUUUUGCCGUUGAUCAGCCGUUGAAAGACUUACGGCUUUGGGAGCUCGAUCCGGAGCCAUCGCCGCGCAUGGGAGGUCACCACCACCACCGUUGCACUCAGUGUGGCCAGAACUUUCAGACUUGAGUUUCCCCGCCAGCGUUGACCAAAUUCCAAUGGCUGUUUAUCGGCAAGGGCAUUUCGGUAAUUUCACACUGCGAGGGCAAUUUUGUAAUUUCUGAGCCUGUGGAUAUUUUAGUAAUUCCUAGAAUUGAGCAUUGGGUGUAAUUACGAUUUCGAUGGUAAUUCGGUGAUUUACAAUUUCAAAGUAUUUUAAUAAUUUACGGACUUGAGGGUAUUUUAGUAACUUUAUCGACGCGGGAGUUGUAAAUUAUGGAUAGAUGUUCGUUUUGAUUUUAUUGCAUAAAUUUAGUCUUAAUUCCAAUUUACGGAAAAUAAUUAUGUCGUUUCCUUGAUUUAGGAGGAUCCGCGAGCGAGAACCGGUCUGCGAACAUGGACGAUAACCGAACGUGAACACCGUCACUGUGAGUGGAAUAUACAAAACCUAUUUUCAUAGUUAAUUAUGAUAGUAAUGCAUGUUUGCGAAAUAAGUAUUUUAAAUGUUCUGAUUUAAUGAUUUCUCGAAAUGGAUUUUAUUCACGCAUUGAUAUUAUAUUAAAAUAUUUGGUUAAUGAUUUUGUGUAUCGACUUUGAAUAAAGCAUGAUAGUAUUUUAAAGAUAAGAAAAGUGGAUUCAAAUGUGGUAUGAUUUAAAGUAUGGUUAAAAGGUAUGUGAAUAUAAGUAUAAUGAUUGUUUUUAAAAUCAUUAAACAGUAUCCUUCCCUUCCAGAUACAGUGAUGCAGAUGAUAUGAAAUGAGAGGCCUUUGGGGCCCGUCUGAACACACAGAGGUUUUGGGCCGUGUGUUUGGGCGCUUUUUCCUUUUGGGGGCAUAUGCAUGCGGUAUGAUGAUUACAGAGAUACAUAUAUGAGAUACAGACAGAUAUUGAGAUACAGGCCUUUGGGGCCCGUCUGAGCACACACAGAGGCUUUGGGCCGUGUGCUUGGACGCUUUUGUCCUUUGGGGACUAGAUUACAUGCACAGAUAUGAUGAGAUAUGAGAUGGUAUUUCCCUGUCUAUCCGUGUAGCUCCGGGGCGUGACGGUACCCAGAUAGUUCGUCAUUGCUCGUCCGUUGAGGUCCGGAUAUGAUGAGAUUAUUUCCCUGGGUCCUUGUUUGGUGAUGAUUUUCAUAUUUGUGUAUCCUAUAUGAUAUUGUGAUAUGAUUUCCAUGGUUAUUAAUCUAAUUUAAAUGUUAAAUGAUUUAUUACUGGUUUCUCGCAUAUGAUUUGAUGAAAUCGUGUUUGGAAAUGAUAUGAUUAUCUCUUUUAAAGUAAGAAUUAAUUUUCAAAAACUACUAUCCACUCACUGAUCUCACUGAGUUUUAAACUCACCCCAUUUUUUAUUAUAUCCCCCCCCCUCACCAGGAGGUUGCAGGUACACCAGACCGACCCAGCGAUUGUAAAUAUAUUUUGAUUCUUGGCCACGUGAUGGUGUUAGAAGAUAUAAAUGUUUUUGUUAGGACAUCUUGGUUAUCUCGUCCUGUUGGGAUUGUAUAAUUUUAUUAUAUUAUUCUUUUGGGAUUAAGAAUAAACUGAGAUAUUAAUAUUAGUUAUAAUAUUAUCUUUUGAGACUCUGGAGAUAUAAAACUCAGCAUUUUGGUUGAGGAUGUUAAUCACUGGAUUUUGUUGUAUAUUGAAUUAUACUGGGAGUGUUAUGUUCAUAUUUGUAGAUUGGGAGUGUUAUAUAUAUAAAGGAGACUCUGCUGAAUUUUCGCCAGAAUCCUUACUAAUUAGAUUAUUAUCAAGUCUGUUUUGAUGUGACUAGAUUGACUCGCCCGGGGGGGAUUCAGGGCGGGUCGUUUCAUACAGUUUCCCCUAUCACGCUAUAAGCUACCAUAUCUCUGAUAUGUGUUAAAACUCUAAUAUUUUACUGCAUAGACAGUUAAUCGAAGAAAAAGAAAAGAAGGGGGGGUGGUGGUGUUGGAAAAGAAAGAAAUCAGACAGAUUAAAAAGAUCUAGCAUUGAAGGUGACAAAAUUCUACUAUAAUUGGAAAUUAUGAAUUUACCCUUCAUCUUCAACCUCCCAAGGCUUCCAACGUAGGUCUUUAACUUCCAAAAGACAGUUUAUUGCUACGCGCAGGUAAGCAUUUGGUUCAUGAGAAAAUUUGUCAAUAAAGUGUAAUAAAGCUGUAUUAGAGUUGUUGCAAGAAUGUUGUUGUCUAGAGACCUACCUACCUAUCAUCUUCUCUUUCUCUCCCCUUGGAUGAGAGAGUGAUUGGAUUCACUUAUUAUUAGUAUUUUUUUUCCUUGAUAAGAGUAGCUUGGAUCCGCUUAUUAAUCAGCCUAAAUCUCGAAUUAUAGUCCCAAUUAUUCGUAAAUGCCAGAUCAGGUAAGUUAUUAAUCAUUACCAAAAAAAAAUGAAAUAUUGAGAUCCCUAGUUUUAUUAUUCUAAUUAUUAGUUCUUCCUAUUAUUACUAUCGCUAGCUGGCAAUAAGCUGUCAAUUUCCUAUAAGCAAACAAGACGGUCGUUGAGCGUACUUGUAAGGAUACUGACGCCUCUGUGGUUUAGUAAAGGAACAUGGAGACUCGUCGUAUUUUCAAAAAAGGUAUACAGACCUCAUUUUAGACAAACAAAAGAAGUUUUUUUUAUUUUUAUUUUUUUAAAGGCAAACUUUGGGGUUCAAUGUGAGACGGUGAUUGUUUUUUAACACAAAAGAUAUUUAAAAAAGUACGUCCCGAAUAAUUGCUAUUUGUGGAGGCUCGUCCUACACGUUUACAAGAAAUUGUUAGAACUUGUAGAAAACGACGAAAUCUCUAGUCAUGGAGAGCAUUGCCGUUUAUGGCUCAAUGUCCAAAAUGAAUUUAGUGAUUCAACUGAGAAUGACACUUUAGACUUUUGUAAUUUCAGCAUUUAUUUUUUGAUUUAUUGCUUUCAUCAAUAAUACUGGGAAUUCCAUGCUUUUGACUUUCAAAUGGAGUCUCAAUCAUGUGGUAGGUCGUAAAAACUUUUAUUCUUUUUCUGUAAUAGAUAAUUUGUCUCUCGUACAAUAAUAAAGAUACCAAAAUGUACAUUAUUAGUCACAUAUAUUUCUAUUAUUGAUCAAUAAAAGAUGCUUUACUUGAAUUAGAAGAAAUUAGUGAAUAUUCUAAAAUAAAUAGUGAAGCUAAGUGUUUAGCAACGUAUGAAUUAAAAGAUUUUGAAUUCAUAUUAGGUGUGAUUAUUUAGUUUGAUAUUAUUUGUUGUUAUUAUUUGCUGUAAGUAAGAUCUUGCAAAAAGAAGAUGUGCGUAUUGAUAUUGCCAUAGACCAGCUUAAAGGUUUUUUUAUUUUUCCCUUUGCAAGCCAUAGAGAAAAUGGAUUCACAUCUAUUAUGAUUUCAGCAAAAGAUAUUGCAAGUGAAAUGGAAAUAGAACCUAGAUUUCAUGAGAAAAGUAUAAUUCGCAGAAAAAAAAAAUAAAUUUGAUGAAAAUGUUAGUGAACAGGGAAUUUUGUCUCUUGAAGAGUCUUCUAGAAUUAAUUAUUUUGUAUAGUAGAUCAAGCUAUUUCAUCAAUAAGAAUAGAUUUGAAUAAUUUCAAAUGUAUGAUAAUAUGUUUGGAUUUUUGUUUAAUUUCAAAAAAUUACAAUUGUUAAGUGGCUAUGUUUUAAAAACUUAUUGUGUUAAUCUCAAAAAUGCUUUAAAACAUGAUACACUAUCUGACAUAGAUGGUUUAGAUUUGUCUUAAGAGUUGAGAAUUUUAAACGAAGUUUUUCUAGGUGAAAAAAUACUACUUAAUUAUUUUAAAAAAUUGAUUCUUUCCGAAAUGCAUCUAUUGCUCAUAGAAUAUUGUUAACAAUAUUAGUAGCAGUUGCUUCUGCAAAAAGAAGUUUUUUAAAUUAAAAUUAAUAAAAACUUAUUUAAGAUUAACAAUGUUGCAAGAAAGGUCAACUAAAUUAGCUAUAUUGUUUAUUAAGAAAAAUAUAUUAGCAAAAUUAGAAUAUAAAAAUUUGGUUAAUAAUUUCGAACCUCAAAAAAUUAAAAAAAUUAGCUUUAAAAAAUUAUAAUUUUGCAAAAUUUUAAUAAAAAUAACUGAAUUUAUUUAUUAAAAAUAUAAUUUGCAAAUUUUUAUUAAAAUAAUUGAAUUUAUUUAUUAAAAAAUAAAUCCAAAAAUUUAAAUAAUUUAGGGGAUUUUUAUUAAAUUCAAAAAUUUUGCAAUUAUUUUUAUAAUUAUAUUUUUAUUAAUAUAAUUUUUAGUAAAAAAUAAACACUUUAAUUUUGGAAUAUAUGUUUUAUUAAAUUUAGGGGUAUUUUAUGAUUAUAAUUUUUUUAUUUUUUAAAAUAAAAUGAUCUUUUAAUUUUUUUAGAGGUAAAAUUGUUAUUUCGUUUAAAUUAUUUAACAGUAUUAAUGCAAAAGUGGCUAAUUGAUACAAAUUUAAAAAGAAAGGUGGUGCAGAGAACAUGUUAAAAUUUUGUAGUGGUUGAAUGAACAUAAGACAAAAUAAAGGUGGUGCAAUGAUAAAUUUCUUUUUAAAAAAAAAAUACAAUCUAUAAUGCAAUUUUCUCCUAUAAAAAUUAUAUUGCAUAAGUGAGGCUAAAAAAAAAUAUUAGAUAAAUCAACUUUGUGAAUGCUACCAGUCAGGUUGCAUAAAUAAUGCAAAUGUUGAUCGGUCAACACCAUAAGCCUCCUCUCCUCUUGGCGCCUACCAGAAAACAAGAGAUUAAAUAUGGUAAUGGAAAUUGGAUCUAAAAUUUAGAACAUAAGAAAUUUAUAGCCUUAUCAUGAUUGUGUCUAUAGAAGUUAAAUCAUUGGAAAAACCUAGAUUAUGCCUACACACUCUGUAAUGAACUUAACUUUGUUGAAGCUAUCAUUUUGGAAAACAUGGUUGAACCUAUUUCAAUGUCAUGUUUCAUAAGUAAGAACUUGAGAAAGAGGAAUAAUUAAGCCAACAACAUAUUUGAAAAAUUUACUCUUUUCCCACUAAUUUAAUUCAGGGUCUUCUUAAUUUUCUAAUUAAAAUCUACAUGUCAAAUGCAAUUUACAUGACUUACGCCUAAUUAUAUUUCUACAUCGCCAGGUGCGAACACCUAAAUCGUCCCCAUUUUGCCAUAAUUUAAAAAAGCUAAAGAUUGAAGCAUUACCUUAGGCUGUGAUAACUGUGCUGCCUUGUGAAUGGUUAUCACUGUUGUGUGAUGUCUGUUGGUGGUGGCGGUGACGAUGGCUGGGUAUGGGUGAUGGUGGCUGUGAGUUGUGGAUGGCGAAUGGCAAUUUUAGAUGCGGAUUGCGGUGGAUCGUGAAUGGCUGGACCUCGGUCAAUGAAGGAAAAGAGAAAAUAUUUGGCAAACAAAACGCUGCGUUUUUGCCUGUGCGUUUUGAUUUUUCGAAGUUUGACCCAAGAUUUGACUCAAUGCAAAUAUCAUUUUCAAUGUAUUUAUUAUUAUUUUUAUUUUUCAUGAGACUUAUCAAAUUGUGAUUUAAUGGUUAAUAAUUGUUUCAUAUUGUGUCAAAAAAGAGAGGCUCCCCGAAUAAGCCUCGCACCAACUAGUCGAAGUUUGUAUGCGCAUGUGCUUAUGUAUUGCACACUGAAUCAUUGUGUCAAAAAGGAGAGGCUCUGACUCCCUAACAUGCCCUGUACCAACUAGUCUAAUUUUUCAUAAGCAUGUAGCUCAUGCGCUGCACCACAGUGUAAUGCAGCAAAAUCAAGAAAAAAAAGGUGAAAUAUGCUAUUUCUCUUUUAAGAGAAAUUCUAGAAUAUAUAAAAGGUAAUAUAAUUAAAUUUUUUAUAUAAGCACCAGUUAUAUGUUGGUUCUUCAAACUAAAUGUACUUAUACUAUAAAAUUAUUUAGUUAUUGUAUAAAUGACAUGGUACAUUAAAAGAAUUCUAAAAUUUCUCUUUCUACCCCCUUGUCAUUUUCAACUAUUAGUCAAUGAGAUGGCAUUUUACAUGCUGAUAUGUUGCCUAGCAGAAACUCUUAUGUUUUGAGAUUGAUGAUCCCAAGAAAAUGGCACAAAUAUCUCUUCUAAUGGUAUUUUACAGGUUGUUGACCAAAAGUUGCAUGUGUUUUGGAAGACCAAUGGUAUUUGCAUUUUGUUUGCAAAUUCUAGUAAAGUCCGGCUGUACAAGAAUUCUCUUUGGACAAAAGCUCGUUUAUUUCUAAUAUUUUUAGGCUAAUGUUCUUUUAGUCACUAUAUUUUAAAAAAUUCCUCAAAACAUCCCUAUUGUUAAAUUAUUGACACCAUUGUUAGGGUUACUUUUUAUUCUCUUAUAAUAAUGUUUAUUUUUUGGACAUUAAUAAAAAAAUUAGAUUAUCAAUUUAAUUCCAAAAAAUUAAUGUGGAAGACUCUAAUAAGUUAAUAUAUUAAAAUUUUUACUGAUGUCCAAAAAAAUUGGUAAUUUAAUUUUUUUACAAUAUUAAUUUUUUGACAUACAUAAUCUUCUUGGAAAAUUAAUAUAUAUUAUUUUUAUUUUUAUUUUAUUUUUGCGGUUAAAUUAAUAAUUUAAAUUUUAUUUUUAAUUAAUGUCCAAAAAAAUUAUUGUACGAGAGAUAAUAUUAUAAAAGCAAGCUAAAAAGAAAACAAUUACGACAGAUAUGUCAAUUGUUUAACGACCAAGAAUUUUGAGUUAUUUUUAAAAAUAUAAGAAAUCUAAAUAUAAGAAUUAAACGAGUUUUGACACAUUCUUUUUAGUGCUCUAUGACUCUUAUGGAAGUAUAACUUUGAUUAUUAAACACAUGCUUCUGCACGUCUCAGUUCACCGUAGGACUGCCAUGAACAAAUAUCGACAUCGUUGAUUAUUAUAAACACAUCCAUUGCACGUUAGAAUUCCCUCAUGAAAAAAUAUGACUACUUUUUGCGUUCUGGUUUGGUUCAUAGUUCCUAUUUUUGAUCCUUAAUUUUUAUGACUUCGACAAUUAAUUUCUGUAGUUGAAGUAAUAUUAAAUUGUACUAUAUAUGUACACACACACACACUUGCUUAUUACUGCGGAGGACUUGGGAUGUUUUAUUUGUAUGGAUUAAUCUUAACAUAAUUCUGAAGUGUUUUUAGUUACUGCAAGAAAUUGAACGAAUUAAAUUAAAAAAUUAAAGAAAUAAAUAUAUAGUUUUUAUUUUGCGACAUAUUAUAAUGAAAAAGAUCAUCUACUUGUGUUGGCUUUGUUUAGUUUUAAAAAACUUAUGUCACUUAAAGUCAUCUAUAUUAUUAAUCAUUUAUACUUUCUAUUGUUUUUAUCUUUACAAUCAACCUCCGAAUGCACAUUACUGUAUUGUCAACAUGCUCCAAGAAAAUAAGGUUUAGACAACAUGACUAUAACAACGUGUUAGAGUGUUCAAUCUAUUCAAUUCAUUUGAUCUGUAAAAAUCCCCUCGAUAAAAAUCCAAUCCAUGAAUUGACAGAUUAGAUGGAUUGAAAAAUUUUAAAAUCCACAAUUGAUGAAAUGGAUUGGCUUCUCCAAAUCCCUGAAAAUCAGCAAAUCCGUGUGUGUAUAUAAUUUAAAGAAUUUAAAAUUUAAAAAUGUUAUACUACUAGUAAAUAGGUUAAAAUCUAGUUAGGGUGGACGUUGACAACAAUUAAUUAUAUAAGCUUUCAAAUUUCAACUUUUGUAUUGAUUUAAUUCUAAAAUUUAAGUUGAUUUUCAUCCACUGAUCUAGAAACAUCAGGAUUUUUUAUUUUGGUGUGCUAAAGUUCGAAACUUUGAAUGGCAUCCUUAAAAAACGAAUGGUCUUUCAGUAGCUGUCGUCGUGUGUCAUCACCUCCAACCUAUCCUACACCGAAGCUGAAACCAAUUACUCCAGUGUUUUCAUAGUUUUAUUUAAGAGUGAUUAGGGAGUAAAGCUGAAAUGGUAUAUGGCUUCCGGAUUAUAUUUGUUUCAAAACGUAUGUUGAUUGAUUUAAUAGAUGUUGGGGUGGCGGCAUAAAGACCCUAUUAACAUAGCAUUCCUAAACCCGUAUUUAAACUAUUGAUUUAUUUAGAUCUUGUUUAAAUUUGAAUUUGAUUGGCAUGCAGUAAAAUUAUUUUUAUAAUUAAAAUUUUUAUUUAAUUAUUUUAUGAAUUGAAUAGAAAGAAAUUUUUUUUAAUCCGUAUUGAAUUCGCAAAAGUGGAAUGAAUAUGGAUUAUAUCAAAUCCACUUCUAAUCUGCAGAAUUAUGAAUUGAAUUUAGAUUAAUUUUACUAAUUCAUGGAUUGAAUGGGAUUAAAAAUUUAUAACGAUUUUACACUAGUUGUCAAUUAUUAGAAUUUUUUCACAACGCGCUUUUGUAGAAUGUUGUGAGAUUGAACAUCUAUUGAAGAGUUUUUAACAACAUUCUUUCGCUUGUUGUCAAAUAUUAAAAUUUUUUUACAACACACAUUCACCAACCGCUGUUAAAUGGAAGUUUUUUGAAAUUAUUACAAAUUAUCACAAUCUACAAUAUAUUAAAAUCCAGGGUCCAGCUACAUUACGUCAAGGGUUUGGUACCCCAGUCAUUUGUCCUUUUGCAAAUGACCAUUUAGAUCGUAAAGAAAGGUAAUCAACGGCUGAGGUUUAACACUUAGAAAAUGGGUAACCGGCUAUAGCUACAGUAUCAGUAAAAGGAAAACAAAAAGGAAGUAUAUAAUCCUUUGCUCCAGAAGACUCUAGACUUCGUCAAUGAGCCAAACGGAGACAACCGUUUGCUCCAGAAACUCCCCCUUUUGUACCUCCACGGCGACGCCGUUAUCGCCUCCGUCACCAUCCUCUCCGACGCAAGACUCCGCUCGAAUCCAAACGAAUACGACCACUUCAACAAAAAAUCACAGCCGUUGAAUCUCUCCUCCGAGUUGAAGUUCUUGCUGUUAAUCACCACCGCCACAUCAUCAACGCACGGCGUGAUUUCAGAACCGUUCGUGGAGGCGGCCCUCUUCGUCAGCAUUUGGAUUUCGGAUAGAGACUCAAGGGACGCAGUCGCGAGUUGUAGCAAUGAGCUGUCGUCGAGACUCGGUCGGAUUCUCGCCACCAUUAUGGGAACAAAUGGAGACUCGGUCAGAAAAAUUCCAGCUCGGCAUAAGGGAAUUGUGAAGAUGAAAAAAUUUCAGUUUGGCAGAAGGGACUUGUUUUUCAAAACAAACAAAUGUGCUUUUGGUAUUUAUUUUUGCUGAUGAAGCUUUUUUUUUUUAACAACAUCUGAUGUAGUAGGAAUUCAUAGGGCUAGGAUUAGAAGUUAAAAAUUUCAAAGUGGGUGACAAAGUUGUAGUUGUGCUUGUGAGUGCUAAUUUAUAUAUAUAUAUAUAUUUUCUUAUCCUUUUAUCUUUAAUUUAUUCGGAAUAAAUUUCUAGUCUUCUUUUACUACUAGGAAGAUUGAAAUUAAGGUCAUGGAGAAAUUUGGAUGACCAGGUAUUGAUGAUAGGCAACAAAAUAUCAUUUCUUCCAGUUAAGAGAACCCCCAUUUUAGUUAAUAUGGUUGUGGUUGCAACUAUGAUAAUUAGUAAAAUGUUGAAAACACAUUUCUGUUUUUUACACGGUUCAGGUUCUUGACCAUGCUAGCAACUCUGCUUUCCCUAUAAAAAUUUCUUUUUGUUACUGCAAUCUGGUGAUAUAGUGAAUUGAAUGAAUUUUUGGUACUUUCUUUGUUUCGUGCUUGGGUCAAUCAAUAAAAAUAAUUAUGUGGCAUUCCAAAGAUUUUAGUGUUGUCAGAUCAGAUUCAAAAAGAUAAGGUGUAAACUGCACGAUGUUGCUUUUGUUGGAUGAGGUUAUAGGCAUGUAUAGAGAUACCACCACUAUAAAUCUUUAUUUCCAAGUCAUAUUUGGUUUUUGGUACAUGUAGUUGGAUAUCUGAGAGCCUUCUGUCCUCAUUCAAAGUUCAUACAUCUUUGGCAUGUGAAGGGUUUAGUCUUUUCAUCUACGUGAGCGGAGAGGUGAUGCUGCUCCAUCAGGAUUCAGUCUAAUUUUGUAUAAGCUGAUUUCAUCUGUUCAUUUUGUUUUAGUUUUAAAUUUCCUUAUUGAUGACAGAGUGGAGGCAGACUAGCUGAGUUUGCUAUGGCCAAGGAGAGCUUGACAGUUGCUAGGCCGCAAGAAGUUUUUAAGUUUUUGCAGCUGAAGUUGCUGGCAUACCUUGUGCUGGUCUCUCUGCUCACCAGGCCCUCGCUCAGCUCCUUGGUGUCAACCUAGAUGGAAGUGGCUAGCAGAAAAACAUUAUGAUCACUGCUGCCUCAGGAGGUGUAGGUCUCUGUGUCGUUCAGUUGGCAAAGCUUGGAAACACAGGCAUGAUCUGCUUCAAAUGAGUGUGUGUGCGUGUUUUAAGAAUCAGUAGAUGAAGUCUGCAUGCUGCCUCAACCACCACUAACCGAGGACUUUCAUUUACGCAUCUCGUAUUUAGAUUACAAUAUAGUGUAAGCCAAGAACGUGGCAGUUUUUCUGUAAUUAGUUUGUUGUAUUGAUUACAGAAAGGCACCCUUUCAUAAGAUGUAUUUGGGUGCCUCUGCAUUUUCGACAUGGAAGGCUACUUGUUGGCAUUAUUAUAUCACAUAUUAUAUAUUUUACGCAUCUUCUUUCCCAUGUUGUUCGUUUUUAUAACUGUAAGAUAUAUUCUUUUGUAGAUGUUCUUGGAUCAGCAGUUGGGUUUGCAGUCUUCACAAUUGUUUUACUCUCAUGGGCAUUGACAUUUGCCAUCGGAGGGGAGCAUCUCUUUGGCUCUGCUUGGGAUAAACUAGUAAUGUAUAAUGUUGCUGAGAGAUUAGGUUUGAUAGGUUGGAGAUAGUCAUGAAUCUUAAAACUCAUUUCAAUUGUCCUGUAAAUAGUCUAGUGUUGAAACUUGAAACAACAUACAUUAUGUUGAAGGUAAUAUUGGAGCCAUUUUUCUCAAUUAGUAAAAGAACCUUUCCUGUGGCAGAUUCAUGCUUUUAUCUGAAAAAUAAUGUAUCAUCGCAUAUUUUUUUUAUUAAAAAAAUUAUAAACAUGAGAACUCCUGAACCUUUCUUUCGUAUGUAUUAACUUUGUUCGAUAAAAAAUUGUCUACCUUGAAUUUUGAAAUUUGAAACGGUUGCUUUAUUCUCAUCUGAUACGCUGCAAAAAUGCCUUGAUAAAGGGCAAUGUUAUGUGACCAAGUCAGUGACUCGCAACAUAUUAUUUGGAAAAAUAUGUUCUCUUUUAUUCAUUCAAUUUGAAAACAAAUAAUUUGUGCAAUAUUUAAUUGUGCACAGUUUUUAGUAUUAACAAUUGUUUAUUUACCAACCAAUAAUACUUUUAUUUUGUGCUUACUUGAUAAUUUAUAUUUGUUUUUAUGUAAUAUAUUAUGAUUUAUUUAUUAUGUCUUAACUAUAUUUAAUUACGUGCUUUUUUUUUGUCUAUGAUAUAAAAUAUUAAUUUCACAUUUUUUAAGUCUCCAAACAGAUAAAUGGAUAUUAAUGUUUUUUUGAACAUGUUUGAAAACCUUAACAUUAAUCAAGACUGCCUUAUAAUUGUGCUUCUGUAAAAAAGAUUUACAUUUUUUGUUGACUGGAACUGAUUUUAUGAUUACAUGAGCUUACAAUAGAUAUGAUUGCUUGGGAUAGAUGACAGUUUUGACUCAAUCUCAACUAUUCAUGAUUUAAUGGUCACGAUUGUCCCAUUUGACAAUGGUUGGUGAAGCAAGUUGUAGUGUUCGAAUCUUUGUAUUCCGGUCAACCCAUUCCACACAUUAACCCCGCAAAUCUCAAUCGUUCUUUGAUCGUAUCAGACGCUUCAAAUUAUGCCACGGGUACUGUUGACUUAAAACAAUACCAGCCGUUCACUCUCCGUCUAAUGGUUGUGAGGAAAACAUGCAUGAAGCUUAUGAUGGACCGUAAAUUACUACAUUAUAAAAUUAUUUUUCUAUCAAUAGAGCCUCAAUUUUUUUUUGGGCGUCUCUCUUCUUCUCAAUUUCUCUCAAACUGCUUGUAAUCUUAAUUUUCAGCUGUGUUUUAAUAUUUUCCAUAAUUUUUUAUAAAUAAAUUUUGUUUAAUUUUAUAUUUUAAUGUCAAUUACCAUACACAGUAGUCCAUUAUACAAUCUUAUCCUUCAUCUCAAUUAAGCCUAUAUUCCUUGGUUGGUGAUUUACUAUUUUUAAUUUUAUUGUUAUUAUUAUUACGCUAAUUAUCAUCAUCAUUAUCAUCGUUAUUUUGUUUUAAUAAUAAUAAUAAUAAUAAUAAUAAUAAUAAUAAUCUUCUUAUUCUUCUUCUUCUUAGCGACUCAGCGGCUUGUAUGUUAUAAUUCAUCUAAGUGCCAGCUGGAUUCCUUGCACAAAACACCCAUCCUGCGAAAAACUGUUGAUUAGAAAAUCUGCGAUAGGGUGUUUGGUUCAUCAAGCUCAAGAUAGUUUUCUCUUAGUUUUCUUCGGGUAAAAACUCAUUUAAUCCCUGUAUUUUAAGAUUAGUAUCCAUCUAGUCCCUAUAUUUUUAAAAAUGUCUUGAAACAUCCAUACCAUUAAAGUAUUGAUACCCCUACCAUUACUUUUACCCCUACCGUUACUUUUAUUUCUUUUGACUUGCUUUUACAAUAUUACCCUUUUAUAAUAAUUUUUUUGGACAUUAAUAAAAAGAAAAUAAUUAAAUUACCAAUUUAACCCUAGAAAAUUAAAAAAAUUAUAUUAAUUUUUUUGUAAGCACCAUUUGCACACUUGGUAGUUUGCAUACAAUUUUUUACAAUUAAAAAUUAAUAUAAUGUUUUUUAAAUUUUUAGGGUUAAAUUGGUAAUUUAAUUAUUUUCUUUUUUAUUAAUGUCCAAACAAAAAAGUUCUUAUAAAAGGGUAAUAUUAUAAAAGUAAGCGAAAAGAAAUAAAAAGUAACGGUAUGGGUAUUAAUACUUUAAUGGUAGGGAUGUUUCGAAGUAUUUUAAAAAAUAUAGGAACUAAAUGGAUACUAAUCUUAAAAUAUAGGGACUAAAUGAGCUUUUACCCAUUUUCUUCUUCUUUUAAUUUAUACUUUACCUCAAUUUAGACCGUCAUUUUUCAUUGAUCAAUAUUCAUUUAUUUAUAAUAAUAAUAAUAUUAUUAUUAUUAUCCGGUACAUAUUUUUUCUUCACAUUUUUUUUCCAAUCUAGUUUUCAUUUAUUUUACUCAUGCACAAAUUUUUCAGAAAAAAAUUAAUUAUAUGGUCACUUUACUGUAAAUUAAUAUCACGCCUCUUUCAUGAUUAAAUUUGAUAUUUCCCCUUCCCCCCCCCCCAGGUACGCAAUGCAAUACCUGACCCUACCUUUAAAUCCACUUCCUAAAAUUUUCGUCCCUAUUUUCAAAAAUUUCAAAUCCAUCUUACCCCAACCCAUACUUGCACGCUUCCAAUGUCUUGUUUUUAACCAUUACUUGCAUGCACCCUUUUUCCUUUAUUUGCAUGCGGUACUUAAUCACUUCCAACCCAUUACAGUCGUUCAUUUUUGGUCAAAAAGCGGAUCCCCUGCAGGUUAUCGGGCCAUUACCUUUUUGUCAGGUUACUAGCUACCGUGCUGUGUCUCUUCUUCAGCCAUUAGAUUAAAUCCAACGGUCACUCUGCUACAAGACAAAUGACUUGGGUACCAAACCCCUGAUGCAAAGUAGCUGCGCCCUAAAAUCCAUUAUCUCCAAUCAACUUUUUGUUGAUAAUCAUUUUAAAAUUUAUUAAUUUGUUUUCCGCAAAAGUACUUUAUAACUGUAACAGAUAGAAUUUCGAUGUUAGUGCUCAACAUUAAGAUAUUGUUUGCAACUUUGUAUGCCUUUUUUUUUCCUUAAAUUUACUUUGUAUAUUCUUAUUUCUACAUAAAACAAGAUUUUAAUGUAAUAAAUAGAACUUUUUUUAGUAGAAUUGAAUUUAUGAAUUUCUUGUCAUUUCUGCGUGCAUUUAUUGUGUAGUUUAUUGAAAGACUCUUUAAAAAAUUUGUAUGCAGGAAAAAAAAAGAUAAAUAAAUAAAGAUUAUACAACAUUCAUCGGAAUGUAUGGAUGAUGUAUGUGUCUUCUGGUACAAUAUUGACCUCGUUCGCACAGUAUGAUGUACUCCUUUUUUUUUCCCCCCAAAUGAAUAAAAUACUUUUGUACUAUUAAGACUUAAAAAUUAAACGCUUUCAAAACUCAAAUGAGUACGAAAAGUAAAUCACAUGAACUUCUCCUCUGCCUAUAUAUAUAUAUAACCUCGUACAUCACCACAAACCAUAGAUUAAUUUGAGAAUCUUUGCCAAGUAUAACUGUAAGCUAGCUUACUCUACAUCUAUAUAUCCAAUGUCUUCUUGCAUUAAUGCCUCAACCUUGGUUACCUCUGUAAAUGGUUUCAAAUGUCUUCCUCUUACAACAAAUAAAGCAGCCAUCAGAAUCAUGGCCAAAAAUAAGCCAGUCCAAUGCCUUGUCAGCGCCAAAUAUGAUAAUUUGACAGUUGAUAGGAGAUCAGCAAACUACCAACCUUCAAUUUGGGACCAUGAUUUUUUGCAGUCACUGAAUAGCAAGUAUACGGUAUUGAUUAUUAUUAUUAUUAUUAUUAAUACGUAUUAAUUUCCUUUGUUCAUUUCAAAUUGGGACCAUGAAUAACUAAAAACUAAAUGCUGUGCAUGUAACCGAGCCUGGAUCAGUUGGAGCUGAUUGAUAACUUGCAAAGACUUGGAUUGGCUUAUCGUUUUGAGACUGAGAUUAGGAACAUAUUGCACAAUAUCUACAACAGUAAUAAAGAUUAUGUUUGGAGAAAAGAAAAUCUGUAUGCAACGUCCCUUGAAUUAAGACUACUUAGACAACAUGGCUAUCCUGUUUCUCAAGGUACAUUUAAUUAAUUCGCUUCCUUCUUCAUGCACAUGCAUGAUCUGAAUACUUGAAUCGAUCUCUUUGUUUUUUUUUUUAUUAUUUAAAUGUAAAGAAAUGGACGAAACCCAAAUCAGUUUUAUAACUCUCUAUCUCCUGAGGGUGCCGCCCGCGCCCGGUCGUACUCAUAACCGCAUCAGGUCUCCAAGGUGAACAGCCUCUGGUCGAUGGAACAAUGUAGGCAAGGGAAGUCGGCAAAAUGGAUCCGUAACUUCGGGAAAAGGAUUGGCUCUGAGGGCUGGGCACGGGGGUCCCAGUCCCGAACCCGUCGGCUGUCGGCGGACUGCUCGAAAAGGGCGCCGCUGGGGAUACUUCAAUCAUUCUCUAAUUAAUAUAUGGAUGCAAAAAUUUUGACGAAUGCAACUUUUCUUGGUUGAAUGCUGCAGAGGUUUUCAAUGGUUUUAAAGACGACCAGGGAGGCUUCAUUUAUGAUGAUUUCAAGGGAAUAUUGAGCUUGCACGAAGCCUCGUAUUACAGCUUAGAAGGAGAAAGCAUCAUGGAGGAGGCCUGGCAAUUUACCAGUAAACAUCUUAAAGAAGUGAUGAUCAGGAAGAGCAUGUAUUUGUCGCAGAACAAGCGAAGCGUGCAGUGGAGCUCCCUCUGCAUUGGAAAGUCCCAAUGUUAGGGGCAAGGUGGUUCAUACACGUUUAUGAGAAAAGAGAGGACAAGAACCACCUUUUACUUGAGCUCGCUAAGUUGGAGUUUAACACUUUGCAGGCAAUUUACCAGGAAGAACUUAAAGACAUUUCAGGGUAUCCAUUUGAUUGCAUAACUCAUAUAUAUAUAGACAGACACACACACACACACAUCAAAGAUUUGAUUUUAUAAUUUACAUAACUUGUACAAUUUAAUCACAUGUAUAUUAAAUUAUUCUUAGGUGCAAACUCCGCCUUUUACAGAAGUUUAAAGGCAUGAGCUGUACUUUAUUUUUUUUUUUAUAUUAAUCACGAGGUAUCCUGGGGAGAGCCCCAACUGUGGGAAGCACCUUCGGAGUAUUAAAAAUUCAGUAUGUAAAAUGUUAAUUUCACCUCUCCCGCCGUUCCGUUCCUUUGAUUUAUCCUUUUUAAAUUACGAUGCUUUUGUCUCAAAAAUAAUAAAUUGUAAUUAGCUUUAUUUUCUAUGUCAUGUGCAUCAGUGACUUGGCUUACUACAAGCCUGCUUAGUGGAGGCAAAAUGGUACCAUAGUAAGUACACGCCAACGCUGGGAGAAUUCUUGGAAAAUGGAUUGGUAUCAAUAGGAGGCCCCAUGGGUACAAUGACUGCAUACCUUUCUGGGACAAAUCCAAUCAUUGAGAAGGAACUAGAAUUUUUAGAAAGUAAUCAAGAUAUAAUUCACUGGUCAUUCAAGAUUCUUCGUCUUCAAGAUGAUUUGGGAACUUCAUCGGUAUUUAUUCUUUUUUCCUUUUUUAACAAGACAGAAAUUGAAUUAAUCCUCUAUAUACGAUUUGAUUGUACUUUUUUUUACCCAAUAAUUCAUCAGGAUGAGAUACAGAGAGGGGAUGUUCCGAAAUCAAUCCAGUGUUACAUGCAUGAAACUGGUGCCUCGGAGGAAGUUGCUCGUGAACACAUCGAGGAUAUGAUGAGACAGAUGUGGAAGAAGGUGAAUGCAUACAGAGCUGAUAAAGAUUCUCCCUUAUCUCAAAAUACAGUUGACUUCAUGUUGAAUCUUGUGAGAAUGUCCCAUUUUAUGUAUCUACGUAGAGAUGGGCACGGUGCUCAAAACCAAGAGACUAUGGAUGUAGCUUCUACAUGGCUUUUUCAGCCCAUUCCCUUGGAGGACAACCACAUGGCUUCCACAGCACCAACGGCUGAUGAAUUCCCAGAGUGCAGUUUCAGUUGAUGUUAGCCAGACUUUUCUCUCUAUUGGGGGAUCGCUUUUCUAUAAUAUAAUAAACUCCCUCAUUCAUCGAGGUCUAUAAAUGAAAAGCAAAUGAUAUAUAUGUUGCUUUUAUUGAGAAUAAAAGUCGUCAGUAUAUGCAUAUACUUAAACACAAGAUGAGGAUGGAUGCAGUUAUACUCGAUUAUUCAAGCAUGGUUCAUAGCAUGUUAAACACAAGGGCUACUUUCAGUAUACAUGCAUCACCCAUUUAAAUCGCAUUUGACAAAUCGUACCCAUUUAAAUUAAAUGAGGAUAGAAAUUAGAUCUGUGGCAUUUAAAGAAAAAAGUUACAAGGAUCAAAAAGUAAAUAUAACAAAAAAAUGAGUUCCUAAUUAUUGGGUUAGCUUAAAGAAGGAGCGACUAAUUAUUGGAUUAGUCCAUUUUAAUUAUCUUCUAUUAGCAUAUUCAUUUCUAGAAACAAAUAUCCAACAAUGUCGAUUGUGUUUAUAAAAUAUGAGUGUAGAGACUUGGGUUCAAUCUUUCUAGUCUUCUCAAAACUUCGCCUCUAGCUACACAUUGCUAAAAUUCAAGAGUAUUGAAAAGGAUUAAAAGUUUUAUUGACUUCCCUUCUUAAGGAACAAGAUCGGGUAUUUAUACACGAGUAGAGGAACUAUAUAUGGAAGAAACAUUUUACAGAAAUUAUGGGAUUAAUUCUAAACUUAGUCGUUGACUAGCCGUUGGCUAAGAUAUGAAGAGAAUAUGGACUUGAAUAAUGGCUGGCCAUCUUUCUUUGGUGAGUUUGCAUGUCACGGGAUUGUGUGAGAUGAUUGUUGCAAGCCUUUGGCAAGAGCAAUACAGAUUGCCAUAUUUGUUUCCAACGGUUUGCAACUUGCCUUGUUAAUGUGGGAUUGAGUUGGUGUGCUGAUUUUUUCCAUGUUGGUGCGUGACCCAUGUGGCUGCAUGUGGUUCAUGUGUUGUGACUGUUCGAAUUCCACAUUUGGUGGGCAAUGUAUCUUAACAGCCCCCCUCAAGGUCGGCCGGGUCAUAGAGUGAACGCCGAGCUUUUGUCGAAAGAGAAAGAAAAGAUCUUUGCCCAAUGGUUUGGUAAGGAUAUAUGCAGCUUGCUGCAAGGAGGGAACAUGCGUGGCUUUAAGGGGGCCUUGAGAUACUUUUUCACGAACAAAAUGGACGUCAAUUUCGAUAUGCUUGCUGCGCGCAUGAAACACGGGGUUGCGAGUCAUAUAGAUGGCGCUCGUGUUAUCGCAAAGAAGGUGAGGAAUGUGUGAUAGUGAGACUCCAAUGUCCUGCAAUAAAGAAAGAAUCCAAGUUAGUUCAGCGGUAGUGGAAGAUAAAGCCCGAUAUUCUGCUUCAGCAGUGGAGCAUGCAACGAUGCUUUGUUUCUUGCUACACCAUGAGAUUAAGUUUGCCCCAAGGUAAACACAAAAGCCAGUCGUGCUACGUCUUGUUUCAAGGCAACCAGCCCAAUCGGAGUCCGAAAAGGCAUACAGUUGAUUGGAGCUUUGUUCAAGGAAUCGAAGUCCAAAGUCGAGAGUGCCUUUAAGAUAACGCAAAAUUCUUGUAAUAGCCUUGAGGUCUUGUUUAGUAGGGCUCUGAAAGUGUUGACAGACUUUAUUGACAGCAUGAGUGAUGUCUGGUCUGGUGAAUGUGAGAUAUUGUAGACUGCCGACAAGGGAACGAUAGUGAGUGGCGUGUAUGGGUUCUUGAUCGUCAUCAUAUGGUUGGGUUUUGACAGCCAUUGGGGUCCGAUUAGGGGUGCAAUCUAGUAAAGCAGCCUUGGUUAAUAAGUCACGAGUGUAUUUGGCUUGUGACAAAAAAAUGCCUCCUGGAAAGCGCCGAAUCUCGAUCCCUAAAAAACAGCUCAAUAAGCCUAAGUCUUUUAAUGCAAACCGAGUGCUGAGAUGACUGAUGAUGGAUUGAAUUAUAUCGGGAUUAUUUCCUGUAAUAAUUACAUCAUCUACAUACACCAACAACAAAAUAAGAAUAUCGUUAGCAUGAAAAAUAAAGAGGGAAGGAUCGGCUUUGCAGCUUGUAAAACCAAGCUCUAGAAGUGCUAAUGAUAAACAUUCAAACCAGGCACGUGGUGCUUGUUUGAGUCCAUAUAAGGACUUGUGGAGUAAGCAAACAUGGUCAGGAAGAUUUUGAUCAGUAAAGCCAGGUGGUUGCUCCAUGUAGGCAAUUUCUUUUAGUUGACCAUGAAGGAAGGCAUUUCGGACAUCCAGCUGUUUGAUAAGCCAUUUAGAACUAGUUGCAAGUGCUAAGACAAGCCUUAUGGUAGUUGGCUUAAUGACGGGGCUGAAAGUCUCGUUGAAGUCAAUGCCAGGAACUUGUGUGUACCCCUUCGCAACUAAACGGGCUUUUAACCGAUCUAUUGUACCAUCUUAUCUAUACUUGGUUUUAUAAACCCACUUCGAACCAAUAACAUUGGCAUCAUGAGGUCGAGGAACUAAGGUCCAUGUCUUAUUUUGAUGGAGGGCAGCAAGUUCUUCGGCCAUUGCUUGUAGCCAUAGAGGAUGCUUAAGAGCAGAUUUUAAUGUUUUUGGUUCGGUCACUAUGGCAUGAUCGGUUUGAAGAGCUAAGGUAGGAUUUUGUUUGAGCUUGUUGCGUGUCAGCAUAGGAUGUGUAUUUAGAGAUUCUGUUGUUUUGACAGGAGAGAUAUUUAGUUCAACGAACAACUUUCCUGAGAGAUCGUUUAAGGCAGAUGGAGCACGAUUGUCACUAUCUAAGGUUUGUUCGGAGGUCGUGUGGAUAUGUGUAUUAUCGGCAGAAGCAGCAGUCUUGUUAUUGGAUGAGGGGCUCUUUUGAGGUGAAUUUGUAGAGGAACUUUCGGGUAAAUAAGUGGGUAGUUCAUGAAGGUCUUCAAUUAUCACAAACUUUGUUUGGAGUGGGAGACAAUGGUUCAUUCGUAUUUGGAGAUGUGGCAGUGUAGUUUGGAUUAGCAACUUCAAUGUGCCCAAGAGAAGUGUUGUUGAAGGACUCUGUCCAAGUUGUUGGGAGCCAUUGUGACACAUUUGGAGUAGUGGGAACGCUACAAGCAUCCUGCAUAGGAGAAGAAUCUUUUAGAUUUUGAUAAGGAAAACAUAAUUCAUCAAAUGUUACAUGACGAGAAAUAUAAAUUCUAUUGUUUUGUGGAAAAAGACAGCGGUAUCCCUUGUGAGUGGGGCUGUAACCAACAAAAAUACAAGGGAGAGUUUUUUUGUCAAACUUCGUUUUAUUGUAAUCCCUCAGAGAGGGAAAACAACGGCAACCAAAAACUUUAAUUUCAUUGUAACUGGGAGUUUCCUUAAAAAGUAACUCAUGAGGUGUGUGCAUCUUAAUAAUUGUUUGUGGCAGUUUAUUAAUGAGAUAUACAGCUGUUAAAACAGUCUCCACCCAAUAUUUUAAUGGUAAUGAAGAUUCAAAUAACAUAGUAAGGGCAGUCUCCAUUAUAUGUCUAUGUUUCCUUUCGGCAACUCCAUUUUGUUGAGGAGUAUAAGGGCAUUAAGUUUGUUUGAUGAUUCCAGACUGUUGAAGAUGUUGUUGGAAAAUGAUAGAGCUAAAUUCUCCUCCGCCAUCACUUUGAAAAAUUUUGAUCUUUCGUUCCAUCUGAUUUUCCACCUGUUUUUGGAAUUUAAGAAAACACUCAAAAAAAUCAGAUUUUGAUUUUAAGGGAAAUAACCAACAAUAACGUGUACAAUCAUCCACAAACAAUACAUAGUAACGAAAACCUUGAUUAGAAGCAAUUGGAGCAGGACCCCAUAAAUCACAGUGAAUUUUAUCAAGAGGGAAAUCAGAAAUUUUAUUUGAUAAACUGAAUGGGAGUUUACAGUUUUUGCCUAAUUGGCAUGAAACACAAAUACUAGUGUUCUUAGUCCAAUCAGUUAUACUGAUAGACCCAUUAGCGCGCAAGACUUGUAAUAUUUUAGGACUUGGAUGGCCAAGUCUCUUAUGCCACAAGUCUUGGUUUUCUGAGUUUCUUCUUAUUGUUUGAAAAGCUAAGUUUCCUCCUUCAUUGAGCACGUACAAGUCCCCCUGCCUAGUUCCCUGAGCCAGUACCUGAUUCUCCUUGCUCUUUACAACAAAACCAAGAGAGUUAAAUUCCACAGAACAAUUUAUAUCAUCCACAAGUUUGCUUACUGACAGGAGGUUCUUUUUAGUUUGGGAACAACCAAAAUAUCUUUCAAGUUUAAUUUCCCAUGUGUGGUAUCACCGAUAUGAGAAAUAUGUAAGCUUUGGCCAUUCCUUACAAAAAUCUUAUCAGAACCUCCAUAGGGUAUAAAUUUCUUUAACUUACUAGUGCUAUUUACCAUGUGGGCAGUAGCACCUGAAUCAGUAUAAAGUUGUGGGUCAUUCUCGUCUUGCAGAUUCAUGGCCGCGACGGCUUGCGGUGCUUCCUCUUCAGGGGUAAAGUAGUCAUACGUGUGCCUACAAACUGCAGCACUGUGGUUAGUUUUACCACAAAUUUGACAGAUUAUACCUGAUUUGGAAUUGUGUUUUCGUUGAUCAACAUGUUCUGUACUGUAGUGUUUUGGUGCAGGUGGCAGAUUUGGGCCAUUAUUGUUGAACCUUGGUUGCGGCAGAGAGUUGUUAGAGGGUGAUUGAUUCAUAUUGAAAGAUUGAUUCAUAUUGCUGUGCCCAUUGUUAGAAGGAUAAUUUCCUCUUCCACGAAAGUUGUUGUUAAAGCCGCGUCCUUGUCCUUGUCCUUGUCCUUGAAAACUUUUCCCACGUCCACGUUGCCCAAAGAAGGCUUGCUGUGGAUCCGCUUCUUUGCCAUCAUUCUUCUGACCGAUCACAGUCUACUCAUGAUUCUGCAAGGCUGACAGGAAUAGUUUCAAACUUGGAUAAGGUGGCUUGGUUAGCAUAGCCAUUUUGAAGUCGGCAUACUUGGGUCCUAGUGCCCGUGCUAAUUGAAAGACUUUGUCAUCGUCCGUCAAGGGCUUUCCAAUGGCAGCGAGACUGUCACACAGUCCUCUAAAUUUGUUCAAGAAGUUAUCAAGCUUCAGGGAGCCUUUCUUUAAGGAGAAGAGAUUGUCUUUAAGCCAAGACUCUCACUCCUUGGUGGCUGGAAGCAUAUUUUCCUCAAUGGAGAGCCAAACUUCUUUCACUGUUUGUCCUCCAACUACCAGUGUAAGGACGUCUUCCACAUAACCAGGUAAGAAGCAACCCAUCAUUGUGUGCCCAAACUGAAAAGUCAGGGUUGGCAAUAGACUUUCCAUUACUGGAAAUUGUUUGGGGUGGUGAGUCAUCAGAGAUGUGAUUGUUGAGUCCUAGGUUACUGAUCAGGGGAAGGACUUGGGACCUCCAUAAGAGAUAGUUGUUGCUGGAGAGUUUAAUAUAUAUUAGAUUGGCACAUUGGUGGAUAGUUUGCAGGGAGAGUUUGGCCUCGGUUUGGAUAUUGGAUGAAGAAGCCAUAAGCUCUGAUACCAUGCUAAAAUUCAAGAGUAUUGAAAAGGAUUAAAAGUUUUUAUUGACUUCCCUUCUUAAGGAACAAGAUCGGGUAUUUAUACACGAGUAGAGGAACUAUAUAUGGAAGAAACAUUUUACAGAAAUUAUGGGAUUAAUUCUAAACUUAGUCGUUGACUAGCCGUUGGCUAAGAUAUGAAGAGAAUAUGGACUUGAAUAAUGGCUGGCCAUCUUUCUUUGGUGAGUUUGCAUGUCACGGGAUUGUGUGAGAUGAUUGUUGCAAGCCUUUGGCAAGAGCAGUACAGAUUGCCAUAUUUGUUUCCAACAGUUUGCAACUUGCCUUGUUAAUGUGGGAUUGAGUUGGUGUGCUGAUUUUUUCAAUGUUGGUGCGUGACUCAUGUGGCUGCAUGUGGUUCAUUUGUUAUGACUGUUCGAAUUCCACAUUUGGUGGGCAAUGUAUCUUAACAAACAUAAGUUAGGACUUAAAUCAAAAUUCAUAUAUUGAAACCUUUAUUUUUAUUUUUAUUUCAUUAUUUGUUUUAUGCCAAUAAGAAAAAUACAAAUAAUUUCUUUUCAUGAGCCUGACGGUACUGGAAAUUUACAAAGCGAUGAAGUUGAUUGUGACUGCUGCCAGUUAACCCAAGUCGAAAAGCCACAUGUAGCACCGACUCAAAACUAUUCUAACUAAAGGCUACAACUACUACGCACCAGUUCCAUUGAUAAACCCUAUAGAAUUAAAUAUAUGGACAAAAAUAAUAACCAUAGGAUUUAAAGCAUCGUACAAUUAACGGUUGAUGUUGAUUGAGGGAACCGGAAGAACUAGGACGUGGUGGUCCGGUUGAUGUUGAAGAGGCAAAUUGGCUGGGUAUUUUGAAGUCAAGUAUGACAAAUAUGAUUUAAAUUGCAUGCUUUAUGCCUACUGCAGAGCUGGUGCUAUGGAGAGCGUAAUGCAUGUUAUGGGGAAAUUGGACGAAUUAGUCCGGAUUACAAUACCCAUCAUACUCUAAUCAAACAUUUCUCCAAUAAGAAGUUUUAUAUGCUUGCUUAUCGGACUAUGAUGGACAUGCAUAGUAAAGGCCACCAGCCGGAGGAGGUAUGAAAGUGGUCAUAGACAAAUGAGCUUUUACUUCGGGAUUGCAACGCUAAAGACUUAUCACAGCUAUGCUGUUUUGCAGGAACUCUGCUCCUCCCUAAUUUUUCAUCUUGAUAAAAUGAGAGCGACACUCAGAAGCACUCUCUGUUCACAACAUGUUAAGAGGCAGCAAAAGAUCGAUGUGCAAGGCCAUUCAUGAGAAAAUUCUUCAUAUUUUAAUAUCCGGAAAACUUCCCAUGUCUUAUCAUUUUAGAUCGAUUCUUCAACUGUCAUUUUUAUGCUUUUUUUUAAUAAACAAUCUGUGAGGUGAUAACUCUAGGAAAUGAGAGUUAUUACAUCAAUUCUAGACUUGAAUCAAGGUCACUUAGAGAACAAAUAAGGUGUUUUUAUUACAUUUUAGUUACCUUUUGCAUAAACAUUCAUUUUAGUUGAGUCUUAAUAAGUUUUCCUUGAAUCAUAGUAAGUUGUGCUAAAAACAGGUUUUAAAUUGUAGGUGUUAAAUUCAUGAGAGGAUGUUGAGGCAUUAGAAGAGCAAGAGGAGGAAGGAAGAUGGCCACAAAAGAAGUAAAACACAAUCGGGAAUAAGGCAGUGUUGUAGCAGCUGUUAGAGCAACCAGUGUUGUAGCAAUCUAGGAGCAAUGCGGGAGAAAACUUAGGCGCGGGUCAGCCAUAAAAUCGCGAUCUGCAUGUUUCUUAAUUUAAACACAUGCACGCUCAUGGGCUUUGGUUUAACCUAAUUUGCAAUAUAAAAAGGAGAGGUGCACCACAUAGAGAGGCGGCAAGGAAAUUAUCAUUAGAAUGAUUAGAAGGAACGAAGAAGAAGAAGAUCAGAAUUGAAGAGUGUUGUUUCGGCAACAUUGGAGAAUCGUGCAAAAUUACUUGGCUUUGAUUUUCACCGUGCUCAACUUAUAUUUAUCUUCUUCCUUUAAUUGAUUUGAUGUAUUCCGAGACCAAUAUGUUUAUGUUUAUUUCUCUCAUUCAGAUUAUGAACUAAAUUUACUUGUAGUUGAGUGACAAAUAAUCCAAUGGGUUCUUGACUGUUCUUAUAUGUUGUAUGGUAUUGCUGUAGCAUUUUACUCUAAUAGCUUUUAUGAAUAUAACUAUUAUUUCGGUUAACCACCUAUUUAAUAGUUUUAGUUAAGAUAGAGCAGCAAAAGGGCAUAUCUUAGCGGACAUUAUUAGAGUAUUACUUAUUCUUAAGUCGAGUUUCCUGGAUUAGGUUAUCCUGAAUUCCAUAAGGGCAAUACUUGAAGUUAAGAUAUGUGACACUCUAGACAUAGGUGUUCACCUUGUAAGGUAGAAAGAUUAAAGGUUAUAAUGCCGUACCAUAAAUAUAUGAGCAACUGGUCAUUAUUAGUAGAUUUAAAGGUAUGAGACUUCCAACAUGCGAUAGCUGAGGAUGCCGAUUUAUUCUGCCCGGUGCUGCAGCACUUAUUCUAACAACUGGUGCUAAUUUGGUAAACAACAGUCACCCCAUUAGGAGAGUUUGAUCAUUCAACUACUAUAUUCUUAAGUGAAUCUUAGACACAGUUAAUCUAGUUUAUUUCAUUACAGUAUUGUCUUAUUUAGUUCUUAUUUCAAUUAUUGAUUACGAUAGAAAUUAUUUGACAAUUGUUUGUUUUGGUUUCAAGUUGAGUUGCGUUAUUGUGAGUGCUAUAGAAUUUUGAAUAACAUCAAUCCAUGUGGAGACGAUCUUGAAUACUUAUCACUUUAUUACUUGUUGUGUAUACUUGCACAUUAGCAUUGAUAGUUAUUGCUUAUAAAAUUCACCAACAAGUUUUUGGCUCCGUUGCCGGGGAUUGAUUGUUUAUUUUUGAAGUGUGAAGUAAAUCGUGAUAGCGCCGAAUUUGACUUGAUUCAUUCUAUUGAUUGGCAGAUCAGUACGUGCAUGCGCAAGGACAGAUCUGUGGUAUUUCAAUUCGAUCCUGAGAUUGAAAGGACUGUCAGGAGAUUGCGAAGAGAACAAAUAAAUUCAAAGACUGUUUCAGGCAUGAAUAAUUUACAGGAUGAGGGAAAUUUGAACCAUCACGGGCCCUUACAACCAGUCAACAUUCAAGAAGAACAUAAUGAACAGGCUAACGGGAGACAGCCAGGCAACAACAAUAUUCUUUACAUGGCUGAUGACAAAGACAGAGCCAUAAGAGAUUAUGCGGUGCUAACUCCUCAAGUUGUACAUCUUGGCAUCAUCAGACCUGAAGUAGACACUGUAAAUUUUGAGUUAAAGCCAGUGAUGUUUUAAAUGUUGCAAACAGUUGGGCAAUUCAACGGAUUGCCAAACGAAGAUCCUCAUCUCCAUCUUAAAUUGUUCUUGGAAGUAAGUGAUGCUUUCAAGAUUGCUAGAGCAACACAAGAUGCCUUAAGGUUGAGGCUUUUUCCUUAUUCCUUAAGAGAUCGAGCAAGAGCAUGGUUAAAUUCAUUACCAUCUAAUUCCAUCACUACAUGGAAUGAAUUGGCUGAUAAAUUCCUAAUGAAAUAUUUUCCACCAACAAAAAAUGCAAAGUUGCGGAAUGAGAUUACUUCAUUCCAUCAUCUGGAAGAUGAAAGUUUGUACGAGGCUUGGGAAAGAUUUAAGGAAUUGCUCAGAAGGUGUCCUCAUCAUGGUAUUCCUUGUUGCAUACAAUUGGAAACUUUCUACAAUGGGUUGAAUCCAAGUACAAGGUUAAUGGUGGAUGCUUCAGUAAAUGGAGCUCUGUUAUCCAAAUCUUACACUGAAGCUUAUGAAAUUUUAGAAAGAAUUGCGAAUAAUAAUUACCAGUGGCCUUCAGCCAGGCAAUUAGCAGCAAGAGGAUCAGUAGGGGUACAUAAUAUAGAUGCAAUCACAGCCUUAUCAGCACAAGUUACUUCAUUGACUAAUAUGGUAAAGGUCAUGACAUCUGCUCCAGCAACAGUAAAGCAAAUUACUGAACUCUCUUGUGUAUACUGUGGUGAGAAACAUGACUUUGAUAGUUGUCCUGGGAAUCCAGCUUCAGUAAACUAUGUGGGUAAUUUCAAUCGACAACCUCAGAACAACUCAUAUUCAAAUACUUACAACCCUGGCUGGAAACAACACCCAAAUUUCUCAUGGAGCAGUUAGAAUCGAAAUGCUCCAGCAUUAAAUGGACAGAAUAGAAACACAUAGCCACCUGGUUUUCAUCAGCAGAGUCAAGGGAAAAAGCAUAUCAGUCAGGAUCCAAUCACUUCAUUGGAAACACUGAUUAAGGAGUAUAUUGUAAAGAAUGAAGCAAUUGUGUAGAGUCAAGCUGUAUCCUUGAGAAACCUGGAGAAUCAAAUGGGACAACUAGCUACAGCAAUGAUCAGCAGAACUCAAGGAAGCCUACCUAGCAACACAAAAGACCCUAGGAGAGAGAGCAAAGAACACUGCAAAGUAAUUAGUUUGAGAUCUGGAAAGAAUGUUGAUAUCCCAGUUGAGAUUACCAAAAAGGGGAUAGAAUGCAAUUCAGCACAAAAAACCAACUCAAAAGGGAAGCCUGUUACAACAAACUCCCCAUCAAGACACUGAUUACAUGGGCCAAGCUACAGCAACUGCAGAAGAAAUUCAACCAGAACAUGCUAAAAAAGAAGUUGCAACACCAGUAGCCACAACCUACACCAACCUAAACAAACAAAGUUUGGUACCUCCUGAAUCUAACCAGCAGUUUAGACAUCCACCACCUUUCCCAAAAAGGUUCCAAAAGCAAAAACAGGACAAGCAGUUCAGCAAAUUCCUGGAAGUGCUGAAGCAAUUACAUAUAAACAUACCUUUUGUGGAAGCUUUAGCGCAAAUGCCAAAUUAUGUGAAAUUUCUAAAGGACAUCUUGGCAAGAAAAAGAAGGCUGGGAGAGUUUGAAACUGUUGCUUUAACACAGGAAAGCAGUCAUAUGCUCCAAAAUAAUAUUCCAGCAAAAGUGAAAGAUCCAGGGAGUUUCACAAUACCAUGCUCUAUAGGAACUAGGUAUGCUGGCAAAGCACUCUGUGACCUGGGAGCUAGCAUUAAUUUGAUGCCAUUAUCUGUAUUUAAGCAGCUUGGAGUAGGGGAAUGCAGACCAACAACAGUCACUCUGCAAUUGGCUGACAGAUCUCAUGUAUACCCUGAAGGAAAAAUAGAGGAUGUACUGGUCAAAGUUGAUAAAUUCAUCUUUCUAGUGGAUUUCAUUGUACUAGAUUUUGAAGCUGAUAAAGAGGUACCCAUUAUACUUGGAAGACCUUUUAUAGCAACUGGAAAAACUCUGAUAGAUGUGCAGAAAUGAGAGCUCACCAUGAGAGUGAAUGAUCAGCAAGUCACAUUUAAUGUACUAGAGGCUAUGAGAAACCCUGAUGAAGUAGAAGACUUCAAUUUCCUGAGUGUAGUGAAUUUUGUUGUAGCAGACAGAAUGGAUAGAUGCUGCAGUAAGGCAUUUGACAAAGUCAAUACCUUUGAUGAUGUAGAAGAGGAAGAUGUUGCAGCAAUUCAGACAGAUAGGAUGGAAGAAAAGCAAUCUGAUAGGCACACCAGGUUUAUUGAACAUCUGAAUCUUUCAGACAGGGAAGUAAAAAAAACUUUACCAUCUAUUGAAUCACCUCCUAGUAUUGAAUUAAAACUGUUACCUUCACAUUUAAAAUAUGCUUAUCUUGGUCAAAAUAACACACUCCCUGUAAUCAUCUCUUCUACUUUGGAUGCAGGUCAAAAACAGAGUUUAGUAGAUUUGCUUGGAAAAUACAAAAGAGCAAUUAGAUGGACCAUGGCAGAUAUAAAGGGGAUAAGCCCAUCAAUUUGCAUGCAUAAAAUCCUGCUAGAAGAUUGCUCCAGCAAUUCAGUUGAGCACCAGAGAAGGUUGAACCUUAUCAUGAAAGAAGUGGUGAAGAAGGAAAUCAUCAAAUGGUUGGAUGCUGGAAUCAUAUACCCAAUAUCAGACAGUUCAUGGGUGAGCCCAGUGCAAUGUAUUCCAAAGAAGGGAGGGAUAACAGUAAUAACUAAUGAGAAGAAUGAACUUAUUCCUACAAGGACAGUAACUGAAUGGAGAGUAUGUAUGGAUUACAAGAAGCUCAACAAAGCCACAAGGAAAUACCAUUUCCUACUUCUAUUUAUAGAUCAGAUGUUAGACAGACUUGCUGGAAAACAGUACUAUUGUUUCUUAGAUGGGUAUUCAGGCUAUAACCAGAUUGCUAUAGCUCCAGAAGAUCAGGAAAAGACAAUAUUUACUUGUCCUUAUGGAACAUUUGCCUUUAGAAGAAUGCCCUUUGGGUUAUGCAAUGCUCCAACAACUUUUCAGAGAUGCAUGAUGUCUAUAUUUUCUGACAUGGUAGAGCAGACUUUAGAAGUUUUCAUGGAUGACUUCUCAGUGUUUGGAGAAACAUACAAUGAUGGUUUGCACAACCUGGAAGAAGUUCUUAAAAGAUGUGAGAUGACCAACUUAGUACUCAAUUGGGAAAAAUGCCAUUUCAUGGUGCAAGAAGGAAUAAUGUUGGGUCACAAGGUAUCCAAGGAUGGCAUUGAGCUAUACAAAACCAAGAUAGAGGUAAUAGAUAAACUGCCACCUCCAACUUCAGUAAAAGGUAUUAGGAGUUUUUUGGGACAUGCUGGAUUUUACAGAAGAUUCAUUAAGGAUUUUUCCAAGGAGGCUAAACCAUUAUGCUCAUUACUGGAACAUGAUAAACCCUUUUACUUUGACAAAGAGUGUCAUCAAGCAUUUAGAGAAUUAAAGAAAGCUAUGAUCACUGCUCCAGUAAUCAUAUCUCCAGACUAGACUUUACCAUUUGAAUUGAUGUGUGAUGCUAGUGACCAUUCUGUGGGAGCAGUAUUAGGGCAAAGAAGGGAUAAGGUUUUUCACUCCAUAUACUAUGCAAGCAAAACUCUUACUCAAACUCAAAUCAAUUACACCACUACAGAGAAAGAAUUGCUAGCAGUAGUAUUUGAUUUUGACAAAUUCAGAGCUUACUUGGUGGGCACUAGAGUGAUUGUAUAUACAGACCAUGCAGCCAUCAAAUACUUAAUUUCAAAGAAACAUGCCAAGCCAAGAUUAAUCAGAUGGAUCUUAUUGCUACAAAAAUUUAAUCUGGAAAUUAAAUAUAGAAAGGGGACUGAGAAUCAAGUAGCAUAUCACCUGUCAAGGUUGGAAGCAGACGCAAGCACAUUGACAAGGAAAGACAUCACUGAAACUUUUCCUGAUGAACAGCUGUUGGUGGUACAACAAGCACAGAUGCUGCAGCGGUCAGAAUCUCUAUGGUAUGCAGAUUUUGCUAACUAUUUAGUAAGUGGAUUGUUACCACCCGAGCUGAAGUUUCAAGAGAAAAAGAAAUUUCUUCAUAAUGUUAGAAGCUACCAAUGGGAUGACCCACAUUUAUAUAAGCUAUGCCUAGACCAAGUAAUACGAAGAUGUGCUGCAGAAGGAGAGAUUCCCCAUAUACUGGAGUCAUGUCAUGCUGCAGCAUAUGGAGGACAUUUUGGUGGUCACAGAACAGCUGUUAAAGUAUUGCAAUCAGGUUAUUACUGGCCAACUAUUUUUAAAAAUGCUUAUGAGUUUGUUAAAUGUUGUGACAGGUGUCAAAGAACAGGGAACAUAACUAGCAGACAUGAAAUGCCAUUGACCAAUAUACUGGAAGUGGAAGUUUUUGAUGUCUGGGGAAUAGAUUUCAUAGGACCUUUUCCCCUAUCCUUUGGGAGCUUAUAUAUCAUUGUUGCUGUGGAUUAUGUCUCCAAGUGGGUAGAAGCUGCAGCAUUACUUGCCAAUGAACAGUGGUGGCUUUUCUUUAUAAAAAUAUUUUUUUCCAGAUUUGGCACUUCUAGAGCAAUUAUUAGUGACGAGGGUACACAUUUUUGCAACAAAGUCUUUGCUGCAGCAAUGGUAAAAUAUGGAGUCAGACACAAGGCAGCUACAACAUAUCACCCUCAAUCUAAUGGUCAGGCUGAAGUGUCCAACAGAGAAAUUCAAAAGAUCUUAGAAAAAGUGGUGAACCCAACAAUGAAGGAUUGGUCUUUACACUUACAUGAUUCUCUAUGGGCCUACAGAACAGCAUACAAAACUCCACUCGGCAUGUCCCCUUACCGAAUUGUUUAUGGAAAGGCUUGUCAUUUGCCACUAGAGCUAGAGCAUAAAGCACAUUGGGCACUGAACAAAUUAAAUUGGGAUAUUCAUGCUGCAGCAGAGCAAAGAAAGCUUCAGCUUUAUGAGCUUGAUGAAUUACGGCUAUUUUCAUAUGAAAAUGCAAGAAUUUAUAAAGAGAGGACAAAACACUGGCACGACAAGCAUAUUCAACACAGGCAACUUAGCCCUGGACAGUUAGUGUUGCUCCACAGUACAAGACUAAGAUUAUUUCCGGGAAAACUCAAGUCACGAUGGUCUGGCCCGUUUAAGCUGCUCAAAGUUUAUCCUCAUGGAGCUGUUGAUCUUUUAGAUGAACAAAUAUGUCAAGAAUUCAAGGUUAAUGGACAUAGGGUUAAGCACUACAUACAUCCAGCGGUAGAUUGUUCAAAGGAGGUGUUACUCCUUAAAGAACCUAGCUAUUGAGCAAUGAAAGAAGGUCAGACUGAAGGACCUUAAAUCAAGUGCUCCAUGGGAGGCAACCCAUUGGGGAGACAGCCACUUCAAACCAAUUAUGAUAUCCUUUGGUUUUGUAGACAACUCUCCCUCUUUACCAUCUUAUUUAAUUUUGUUUUUUCUAUAUUAGCCAUUUACUUCUAUCCUUUUACAUUAUUGCAUUUUUUAUUUUCACUCUAAUUCGAUCUAUUUAUUUCUUUUACUACUUUUAGAAUUAAUUUUAGUUUGAAGUAAGUGUGACAAUUGAAUUCCAUAUUGACAAGUGAGAGUGUAUGAUGGCAGAAUGCAGAGGUGAGCCACGUGUCAGAAGCUUUAGUGUGGAGUAUGUAUCCAUUGUUAGAACAAGCGAAUGGGUGCUGCAGCAACUAAUUUUACCGUUACAGUAAAUUAAAAGCUGGAGCCUUUCACUUACCGUUGGAGAUAAAAUCGUGACAGAUUGAUGCAUGGAUAUGGAUAGAAAAUUGCGGAAACAAAUCUCCGAAAUUAAAGCUUUAAUUUCACUGGCCGAUAAUUUUGGGGAUAUGCACAUUUAAUUCAAAUAUUUUAUUCCCUCAAUUAUCUCUAGUUACUGUAUUUAUCUUCAAAUUUAAGUCCAUUAUAAAAAAGAGUCACUGUGAUUAGUGCUCUACGCCACUAUUCCCCAUCUCCUUCGCAAGUACAACUCUCCUAAUUCUUACCUUCUCCUUCUCAUUUUACUUGCAGGCACAUUAGCUUCAAUUUGUUAAUGCUCAGCAAUGCCGAGGUAUAAGAAAAUAGCCGGCCGCCUCAAAGAUUCGUCAUGCUUCCAGAGCUACCACGCCGAAGAAAAAUAUGAAGAAUUCAUAAAGCCGCGUAAGAUUCUGGAAGAGAAAGGGUUUCAAUUUCCAGAACAACUCACUGGAAUUAUACAAACAAUUCAUAAUGCUGCAGCAAAGCGAGGAUGGUUAGAGUUUUGCAAUCACCCUCGUGAUCCUGUGCUUCAAGUAGUCAAAGCAUUUUACACCAAUUUGGUAAGCCCUAAUCAGCACAACAUUUGGGUAAGAAACACACUUGUUCUAUUAGAAUCCCGAGUUAUAAAUGCUUUUUAUAAUUUACCUACUGAAAUUAAUUGUGAGUAUGCCAAAUUGCGUGAUAAAUUGGCCCCGAAAAAGUGGACGACCAUUUUCACAACUCUUACCAUAGAAGGGGCAUCAUGGGCUAACGAGGAAGGGCGUGUAGUUAAUAGGAUAGAUUUGAAACCUAUUGCUAAGGUGUGGGUGAAAUUUUUUAAAUCUAGGCUUAUGCCCACCACUCACACUACUACGGUUUCGCAAGAGAGAUUGGUUUUGUUAUAUGUCCUUGUUCGAGGGCUUCCCAUAGAUGUGGGUAGCAUCAUUGCAAAAGAAAUCCGAGAUUGUGCAGUCAAGACUCACCGAACUGCUGCCUUACUAUUUCCCUCACUUGUCACUAGCAUUUGUGUAGUUUCAGCUAUUCGUCUUGACGCCAGAGAUGACCAUGUUAAGAAUGAUGGUGCCUUUACGGCACGUACAAUUGAGAGAGUUGCUGGUGAGAGUGCUGGAACAACCAUUGAACCAGCUAUUGUAACAGGAGCAAGACGAGUUAUUGGCUUAGAACAGACCAUCCAGGCACUCAGCACCAAUAUCACUCAAUGGGUGGAAGCUCAGCAGAGGGAAAAUAGUCGGUUUUGGGGUUAUCUACAGCACCUGGAUAACCAACUACACCAAUUUGCUCUGUACAUGAAACACACUCACCGGAACUUCCCUGAGUCAUUGCUCUAGCAGUACAAUUUUGACGCCAACACCACAAGUACUCCAGCAGCAGCCAGUGAAGAAGCCACUGCUAUAGAUGAACCAACAGAAGAAGCUGCCACUAAACCACAAGCAGAAGUCGACUCAGAAGAUGCUGAACCGUCUGACCCACCUGAGGACGAAGGUGACAAGUCUGAGACUGAUAGCUCACCCUCAGAGGCAGAGGACAAUUUAGAGAAAGAAAGUGAGGAACCAACCAUCCCAGCCCAGCCCAGCCUAAAACCAGAAAAAAACACAUUAUUCAAGAAGAGGAAGAGGAAGACCCUGAAGAGGAACCAUCUAUUCCAGUCCUUGCGAGCAAGGGAAAGGACAAGGGCAAAGCAAAAAUGGCAAUACCUCUAGACUCUACAGAUGAAAUGGAGCAAGUUGAUGCCGACCUAGCUGCUGCAGCAGCCAAAGUUACGCCUACACCUGAGCAAGCCAAACAACUACUGGCAAUCAUUGUGGCCAUCACAGCUGAGGGCCAGGCAGCUGAUGCAUCAACUCUAAUUCCUCCCCAGCAAACUCCUAGCCAGCCUGUUCGCACCAGCCCGCGACAGUCCAACAAAAGAAAAUGCAGUACUUCUAAAGGCCCUGCUACAGCAACCCCAUCCACAACUCCUCUCACCAGCCCCGCGACGAAAAAGGUAAAGACAUUGCCAGCUACUUCCCCACAAGCUUCACCAAAGGAUAAGCUGCGCAGUGCAUCCAAGAAGCGUUGAUAACAUCCCUUCAUGUGCUGCAAUCCCCAACACAGGGGAGUAUUCUGUCCUUACUAGUUCAUUUAAAAAAAAAAUUUUUUUUUCUUUCUUUUUUGUUUGUCAAUUUGUGUGGUAUUUUCUAAAGGUCUUCCAUAUCCUUGUCCAGUCGUGUGCAUUUGUUAUGUAUGCUUGUGAGGACACAACAUCUCUCAAGUUUGGGGGGGUUGUUUCUGAAUGCAUGUAUUUAUGUAUGUGUUAUGUGAAGCUCUGUUAUCUGUUAUUUGUGUAUGGAUUUGGAUACCUAAUGAAGAUAAAUUGAGUGUUAUUUAGUAUUUAUGAGAAUGCCAAGUAGAGAUAAGUUAUAGAUGAAAGUGAAAUUAUGUUCUGACACUUAGACUUUGGUUGAAUUGUAUGAGACUGCUAGAGCAAAGCCAAAAGAAUAGAAAAGAUCUUAAGUUUGGGGGGAGAAGCAAGUUUGAUUAACUGUGAUUUCUAUGAAAUACAAUUUGUUCCAAUGGCUCAAGUUGCUAACUAACCAGAUCUUAGUAUGUACCCCAUAUGCAGAAUUGUGUUCAAAGGUAGCAAGAGUUAUGAGCAAUGCUGUAGCUCUGUUCUUAAAAUUUUUUUUUUAAAAAAUCCUCUGUCUAAGGCAUUGAGUAGCCAGGUCUGUUCAUGAGCCCCAUGUUCAGCCUUGAGUAAAAGAUACCUUUAGAUAAGAUUACAUUAUAGUUACUGUUGCAGCAACUCUGAUCUGGGCAUGGUUUGAGUAAUUGGGUGUCAUCAUUACAAUUGAUUGACAUUCACAUGAAAGAUAAAUGUUACAGUGAGGAGGUUGAAUAUUCCCUAGUUUGUCAAAUCCUAAAAUUGUCACAGUUGAGUAUGUGAAAGUUUUGUUACCCCAUUUAUGAAUGAAGUAUUCUCACUACUGAAAUUCAUGCAGUCCCUUGGUGAUGUUAUAGCAUAUCUGGAAUUCAACCGAAAGAGCACACACACACUAUGGAUAGAAAGAAGCUUAAGUUUAGAACUGAUUUACUAUGGGCAUUUUGUAUGAUUGGGAUUGUGAUAUGAAGGUGGAAGAAUCCUUGCAAAUUUGAUAAAAGAGCUAAAGUUGUCUGCAUGUUUGUUUGCGGGAAAUGUUAGUAUGUGUCAUUACUUGAGGGCAAACAAUGGUUUAAGUUUGGGGGUGUGAUAACUCUAGGAAAUGAGAGUUAUUACAUCAAUUCUAGACUUGAAUCAAGGUCACUUAGAGAACAAAUAAGGUGUUUUUAUUACAUUUUGGUUACUUUUUGCAUAAACAUUCAUUUUAGUUGAGUCUUAAAAAGUUUUGCUUGAAUCAUAGUAAGUUGUGCUAAAAAAAGGUUUUAAAUUGUAGGUGUUAAAUUCAUGAGAGGAUGUUGAGGCAUUAAAAGAGCAAGAGGAGGAAUGAAGAUGGCUACAAAAAAAGUAAAGCACAAUCAGGAAUAAGGCAGUGUUGUAGCAGCUGUUAGAGCAACCAGUGUUGUAGCAAUCUGGGAGCAAUGCGGGACAAAACUUAGGCGCGGGUUAGCCAUAAAAUCGCGAUCUUCAUGUUUCCUAAUUUAAACACAUGCACGCUCAUGGGCUUUGGUUUAACUUAAUUUGCAAUAUAAAAAGGAGAGGUGCACCACAUAGAGAGGCGGCAAGGAAAUUAUCAUUAGAAUGAUUAGAAGGAACGAAGAAGAAGAAGAUCAGAAUUGAAGAGUGUUGUUUCGGUAACAUUGGAGAAUCGUGCAGAAUUACUUGGCUUUGAUUUUCACCGCGCUCAACUUAUAUUUAUCUUCUUCCUUUAAUUGAUUUGAUGUAUUCCGAGACCAAUAUGUUUAUGUUUAUUUCUCUCAUCCAGAUUAUGAACUAAAUUUACUUGUAGUUGAGUGACAAAUAAUCCAAUGGGUUCUUGACUGUUCUUAUAUGUUGUAUGGUAUGGCUGUAGCAUUUUACUCUAAUAGCUGUUAUGAAUAUAACUAUUAUUUCGGUUGAUCACCCAUUUAAUAGUUUUAGUUAAGACAGAGCAGCAAAAGGGGAUGUCUUAGCGGACAUUAUUAGAGUAUUACUUGUUCUUAAUUCGAGUGUCAUGGAUUAGGUUAUCCUAAAUCCCAUAAGGGCAAUACUUGAAGUUAAGAUACGUGACACUCUAGACAUAGGUGUUCACCUUGUAGGGUAGAAAGAUUAAAGGUUAUAGUGUCGUACCAUAAAUAUAUGAGCAACAGGUCAUUGUUAGUAGAUUUAAAGGUAUGAGACUUCCAACAUGCGAUAGCUGAAGAUGCCGAUUUAUUCUACCCGGUGUUGCAGAACUUAUUCUAACAACUGGUGCUAAUUUGGUAAACAACAGUCACCCCAUUAGGAGAGUUUGAUCAUUCAACUACUAUAUUCUCAAGUGAAUCUUAGACACAGUUAAUCUAGUUUAUUUCAUUACAGUAUUAUCUUAUUUAGUUCUUAGUUCAAUUAUUGAUUACGAUAGAAAUUAUUUGACAAUUGUUUGUUUUGGUUUCAAGUUGAGUUGCGUUAUUGUGAGUGCUAUAGCAUUUUGAAUAACAUCAAUCCAUGUGGAGACGAUCUUGAAUACUUAUCACUUUAUUACUUGUUGUGUAUACUUGCACAUUGGCAUUGAUAGUUAUUGCUUAUAAAAUUCACCAACAUGAGGCCUGGAGUAGUUAUAUUCUGUUAAGAGUGAAUGACGUGGCGUGCUGAGCUGGCAUUAGUGGGACCAUCUGCUGCUAAAGUCGUUAUUAUGUAUAACAACUCAUGCUUUUACUCUUUAAGAGAUAUAUAAGAGAAAUUGCAGCGUGCAGACUGGGGUCAAGAGAGUGAUGAUAUGAUAGUCUUAGUGAGAGAGAGAAAAAAAAUCUCAAUAGAGAAGAUUUAAUCUCUGUAAUCUCUUUUCAAAAAAAAAAUCUCUGUAAUCUCAAGAAUCUUUUGUAACUCAUAUCUUUCUAAUAAAGUUUCAAAGCAGAGCUGAUUUCAACUGUGGAUGUAGGCAUCUUGUUGCCGAACCACGUUAUAUGAUCUUGUUAUUUUUCUUUCCUUUUCUUUUAAUCUCUUGUUUGCUCGUUGUUCUGGUUUAUAUCAGUGUCUGUUUUCUUAGUUUGAUUCAAUCUUGGAAAGACUUUCUUUUGUUCAGAACUUAACAAACUGGUAUCAAAGCUUGGUAGUUUGCUGAUCUUGGAUCUACAAUGGCUACCACCAGAAUUGAUCUUGAAAAGUUCAAUGGGGAGACAACGAGGUAUUGGUGAGAUAUAUGGCAGCUAGGGGGAUUUGUCUCAGUGAAAGGAGUCACAGAUGGUGGGCAAUAAGUGGUGCCUGAGUUUUGGUUACGCUUGUGCAUACUGGUGCCUGAGGGGUUUGGUGGCAGCUGGAGGGUAAGAGGCUGCUGACAGCUGUUCGGAGUACAUAAGGUUCAGCGGUGGUUUCGUCAGCAAGUAAUCGCCACCAACAGAGGCAUGCAAUGUGGCGACGACGUGGAGCAUAUUUUGAAAGGUUUGUUACAGUCUAAGGUGGCGUUUGUUUUUUUAUCUGAAAUCUGAAUAGACCUGAAUUAAUCUGAAUUCUGAAUAGAUCUGAAUGUCUGAAUCUGAAUAAUAUAUUUAUUUUUUCGUCUGAAUCUUAGAAAAUAAGUAUUAAGUUGUUUGUUUUUUUCAAUUGAAAAAGCUAAAAAUAUGUACUUUUACAUUUGUAUCCUUAUUAAAUUUGAAUGUCAAAUAAAUAAUAUAUUAAAAACCACAAUAUUUUAACAUUUAUAAGUAAAACUAUAUUCAAGUGAAUACAUAAUGAUUUUGGAAUUUUAAUAGAUAAAAUACCAUAAAUUUCAAAUUUUAUCGUAUAUAAUAUAAGAAAGAAAAAACAGGGAUAUUUUCAUGUGGGGUAAAUGUCUAUGGGUGAGUUUUAGGAUAGACAUGAAAAAUAAAUUAUAAAACAUGGAUAUUUUUUACAUUAGUAAGUAAUUGACUUAAUUCAGAUUUCUCCAUUAAGGUGGCGUUUGUUUUUUAACUUAAUGACUUAAAGUGACUUAACUUAAUUAAUUAAGUUAAUUAGAAGUGUUUGUUUUUAUAACUUAAUGAGACUUUUUAGAUUAUUUUGACUUAAUAAAAUAAGCUAAUUUUUUUGGCUUUUUACUUAAUGGAGAAAUCUGAAUUAAGUCAAUUACUUGCUAAUGUAAAAAAUAUCCCUGUUUUAUAACUUAUUUUUCAUGUCUAUCCCAAAACUCACCAAUAGAUAUUUACCCCACAUAAAAAAAUCCAUGUUUUUUCUUUCUUAUAUUAUAUACGAUAAAAUUUAAAAUUUAUGGUAUUUUAUAUAUUAAAAUUCUAAAAUAAUUAUGUAUUCACUUGAAUAUAGUUUUACUUAUAAAUGUUAAAAUAUUGUGGUAUUUAAUAUAUUAUUUAUUUGACAUUUAAAUUUAAUAAGGAUACAAAUGUAAAAGGACAUAUUUUCAGCUUUUUAAGUUGAAAAAAACAAACAACUUAAUAUUUAUUUUCUGAUAUUCAGACGAAAAAACAAAUAUAUUAUUCAGAUUCAGACAUUCAGACCUAUUCAGAAUUCAGAUUAAUUCAGGUCUAUUCAGAUUUCAGACAAAAAAAACGCCACCUAAGUAAAAAACUAAAAAAAUCGGCUUAUUUUAUUAAGUCAAAAUUAUCUAAAAAGUCUCAUUAAAUUAUAAAAACAAACACCUCUAAUUAACUUAAUUAAUUAAGUUAAGUCACUUUAAGUUAUUAAGUUAAAAAACAAACGCCACCUAAGGUUUAUGGUUUGAAGUGUUAAUAGUUGUUGUGAGGGCUGCUGAUCAGUGGGGAUGUCGCUAGAAAUUAGAGGAGGUUCUGGUGGUAGAGAAUCACCGCCAUUGGCGGACGGUGUGGUCAUAGGAAUUAUCGCUUUCUAUAAUACGAUACUUGAUGCUUUUCAACCGUAGUUAUUCUCUUUUCAGGACAAUUUGGAGUCAAUUUCUCAUCGUGCUAUUAAGAAGUUUGCACUUGCAUUUCUGAAGUUGGGCAACAUUAACUUGGUCAAUGAUGUAAUGAAUGCAGUCCAUGCAACUGACUAUAUGAUUGAUCAAGUAAGCAAUCAAGAAUUUAAGCAAACACAAUCUCGCAUGCAUGCAGACACAGACACAUACACAUGAGUACUAGAAAUAAUAAUUUAGAAAUGUCUUUUAAUUCCUUUUCUUCUAUUUUCUCGGGGAAUAUUUCAUAUAGCAAUAUCAUGCUAUAUAGCGAAACCUGAGAAGAAGAGAUUGCUACUCAAAUUGCCAGAAUCGAUGACGGGUCAAGGUUAUGUUGUUGAUUCAUUAAUAGGAAGCCUGAUACUAAAAAGCUCACAGUUAUUCGGAUGGCAACUCAUUGUUGAUGUAUUGUCCUAGCAACAUAAGAUGUAAAAAUCGUUAAGAACUCUGAAAGAACGAGCAAUAUUACUUAUGGUUUACCAUAUCAUGCCAUAAGCUAGCAUAUCUCUCUGUUAUGUAUUAAAACUCUAAUAUUUUACUAUAUAGAGCAGUAAACCAAGAAAGGAGGGAAAAAAAGAAAAAAAGAAAAAAUCAGACACAUUAGAAAAUUUAGAAUUGAAGGUGAUAAAUCCUACUAUACGUGGAAAUGAUAAAUUUACCCUUCAUCUUCAGGCUCCGAAGGCUUCGAAUGUAGGACUUUCACUUGCGAAAGACGUUUUAUUUCUACGUGCAAGUUAGCAUUUGGUUUCGUUAGAAAAUUUGUCAAUAAAAUGUAAUGAAUCUAUAUCAGAGUUGUCGCAAGAAUGUUUUUCUGGAAAUCCACGUAUCAUCUUCUCUUUCUCUCCUUGGAUGAGAGAGUAUCUUUAUUCCCUUAUUUUUCAUUUUUCUAAUAGAGUUUAAAUCCCCUUAUUUUAUUUAUUUUUUUGUAACUGCCAUAUCACAGUAAGUUACUAACCAUUACAGAGCUAUAACUUCGCUCGAAAUGGAAAUAUUGAGAUUCCUAAUAGUAUUUAUUCUAAUUAUUAGUUGUUCCUAAUAUUACUAUCGCUAGCUUGCAAUUAAUUCAGCUUAAGUUGUCAUUUUCCUAUAAGCAAACAGGAUGGUCCAUCAUGCUUAGUUGUAAGGAUACAAAUUAGGAAUGACAAUGGGUCAGGUUAGGCUCGGGCUUUGCCAAGCCCGAGCCUAAUCUUGUAAUUAAAAUAAGGAGUCCGAGCUCAAAAAAGUCUGAUCCUUUGAAUUAAAGCCCGAGCCCAACCAUAAUUUUGUUCUGAUGAGGUGAGAUUCAUGGAAAGAGAGAGUGACUGAAACCCACAACUAUUUCCUUGAUUAUUAUCGCUUGUUGCAGCAUAUAUCUCAACAGAAGAAGAAGAAAAAGAAGAAGAAGAAGCAAAUGGAGUUUGCCUUAGCGAAAAAUUGAACCCAGCAACAAAAGCUGCAGUCUUUAAAGGAACAUGGUGAUGCUGAUGAAGAAAAUGAUGAUGGUAAAUAACAUCGUCGUGGUUAUGGAUAUAGCUAGGGCUUAAGGUUUGUGUUUGUAGGUGAUGAUGAUGUUGAAUGUACUGGUGGUGGAUGAUUGAAGAUGGGUGGCUCGUCAGAUCUUCAUCAAUGAUUUCUAAGUCAAUGUCUCCAUUAUUAUGAACAUUGAAGCAGCAGCUUGAUACUAUAUUGACAAUUUGACAUUGAUUCUAUUAUGUUGUUUUGGUCAUCAGCAAGGUUAGUUGAUAUAGAGAUUGAGUAACAAAUGACCCUAAGAAAUCUUCAAGCUUUGGACAUGAUCCUCAUGACUUGGCCCACCACUACUGUAAUUCUCAUAUCCCCAAUCUAAACUAAAGUGAAUCCAUAAAAAAAAUCAUGGCGAAAAACCCGAUCAUAAUCUUUUGUGAAUGUGUGAUGCGUGUGUAUGACUGCUUUUUUAGAAGGGUUAUGGUCGGGUCGAGUUGGGGGCAGGUAGAACCUGAACUCCGACCCGAAUUUGGUUGGCCCGAAUACUUAAGCCCUAACCCGACCCUUAAUCCUUAAAUUUUGAUCAAAACUUGAAAUUUUCAGGGCAGCUCAAUCGCACCAAAAAUGGAGUAGGAUUUUUUUUCCCAUCCCUAAUACAAACACCUUUAUAGUUUAGUAACAUGGAUAUAGAGACAAACAUAUUCUCAGAAGUAGUAUACAAACCCUUUUUUGGACAUAUAAAAUCUUUUUGUUGUAAGGAUACAAAUGUUAUUAUGUUAGUACUUGAAAUGCAAAAUGCAAUAUUUAAUAAUGUUAAGAAUUUAGAUCUAUUUUAACAAGUGUAGGCAAACUAAAACACUAGAUAAAUUAAUUUCCCUUAAUUUAUCAAUCUUGAAAUUACUGCUCAUAGAUUACUAUUCAAGUGAUACUAUUUUACGACUUACUGUUUACACAAUAAUGAUUAUAGUUACUAUUCAUAUGAUAUUGUGUAUGAGUCACUAUUUAUCUUUACAGUUCAUCUUAAUUGUUUAUCACACUGUUCACAUUGUUGUUCAUUCACCCAAAAUCUAUUAAAUAUGCUAGAAGUAGUAAACUACAGAAAUUAAAGCAUACAAAGCAUUUUUGCAUUGUUUGGAUCACAAUCCUACAUCCAAGUGGCACGUCUGGGCAUCAAGCAAUUUACUAAGUAAUGAAAAUAUUACAACCUAUUGAAUUCUUUCACAAUUUCAGACUCCAUCUUACACGGUCACCUUGUUAAAUGUAACUUAGUCAACCUUGCUUAGCGAACACCACUCGUCUUCAAUUAUGUUUGCUGCUUCCUUGAGAUCUCCUCAUCACAAUAAACAACCCCUUCAUUCUGAAGAGACCAAAGUAAAUAAUAAAGAAUGUCUAAUGAAAGACUUGAUAUGAAGAAAAUUUGAUGUGAGGAAGACUAAAACAUUAUAAAGAUAUGUAACAUCAUAUGCGGCUAGAUAAGGUUUCUUCUUGUUCUCUGUGUUGGCUGCUUCUCUAAUAUAAAAUAUGAUAUGUCUUUCAAUUUUCAAUAUGUGAAGUACUUCCCUUCAUAGAGGUGUAGGAUUUUACCCACACCCUAGUAGAGGAGUGCUAGGAUAUACUUUCUUAAGAGUUUAAUAUUCCAUAAAUACUUGAUAUACUUAUCAAUAUAGUAGUUAUUUUUAUUUGGAACUCUUUAGUAUAAAAUCCUACUUACACGCCAAUUUACUUCUGUACUCUAAAAAUAUUCUUCAGUAGUCCAUAUAAUCUAAUCUAAAUAAUUCCUAAGACUAGACAAAUUCCUAAUAAAAGGAAUAAAUAAAUUGUAAUAUUAUUGACACAAUGAUGCCAAUAAUAAAAUCCCUAACAAUCUCUCCAUUUGGCAUCUCCUUGUAGUCAAAACAUAAACUAGCCAAUUUUCUAGUCUUCAAAUGGCAUGCGUAGAAGCAAGGUAGAUCAUGAGCAAUAACAUACACAUAGAUAGAUCAUAAGUAAUAGAUAGAUCAUAAGUAAUAACCUACAUAUAGAUUAGAAGAACACACAAUGGAUUAACCAAAAAAAAAAUUAUUUGUCACCAAUAUUUCAGGAUAAAAUUCUUCUCUAGUAAAUAAAUGCUCAUGUCUAAGAUUCAAUUGAGAAAAGUAACUCUCCCCCUGCAAUCUCAUAUCAAUGUAUUUAGAAAGCAAUAAUAUAUGUCAAAGAAAACAAAAUAAUUAAUAAAGAUCACAUGCAAAUAAAAAAAGCCCCCCUUAGAGAAAGAAUGAAUAAACUCCCCCUACAAUUGAAAUCAAAUUGAAAUUGAGUUUGAAAAAAAUAAAGAAUUUCUGUCCCAAAAAAAAAAUCACUCUCCCUCUUUUAGGAUGCAAAGGAAGAAAUUCAAACCUACUAUCCCCCUGUUUGACAAAAGGUGCUAAAGAAAGGUAGAGAACAUAAAUGAAAAUUAAAAGAAGUUCUGGAGAUAUAGGCUGCUAUUUAGGUGAGAAAUAAUGACGAAAACGAGUUAAGCAAUAUCCCUUAAAGCAUCACCAAAUGACUUUUCUAAUUUAAUUCUUCAAAUAUUUAUUUACUUACACAUGUGACAAAUAGAAGAAUGAAAAAAUUAACCAUCUCCGAAAAGACUCUUCUAAUAUAUAAUUUCAAUCAAACUUUUUUCUCCACCAAAAUAUAACGUUAUAACACAUUUCUCCAUUCAAGAAUGAAAAUACAUAAAAAGUAAUAUAAUACUAAAUUGAAAGCACAAAAGAGCUCUUUAAGUGAGAUUCUUUAAAUAAGAUUAUUUCUCUCUCUCUUCAAUAUUAUUUUAAUCAAGCUUUUUUCUCUACCAAAAUAAUAACAUUUAUAACAUAUAUGCCCAUUCAACAAUUAAAAGAUAUUAAAGAGAGAGAAGGACAAUCUUAUUAGAUGAAUCUCAUUUAGAGAGCCUUUGGAAUACUUUUUUAUUUAUUAUGUGCCUCUUCAAAUGAUAUGUAAAAUUUUAGUCAAAGAGCCUUUUAGUGAUGAUGUACUUGUAUAGAGAUAUAAACCUAGACCUUAUAGAAGCAGGAAAGUGUAAAUAAUAAAAACUCAAAUAGGUCAUAGAAUCCUUGUAUAACUAUGUUAACUAAAAUAUACCUAAAAUAAAAAUCAUCAAUAUGGAUUAUUUUUUAGAAAAGUCGUAAGAAUGGCAAAAAUAAUGCAAAAUCAUGUCAAAAGGAUUGCAUUAUCAAUCACGUCAGAUUUUGGGAAAGAUCUUAAAUACAGGACAGUUGCGUGAUCAAUAAUAAGUUCACUUACAAGACAAUUACGGAAAUGUCCAUAAAGAUUACAAAAUGUAUGAACAGCCCUAUAUGGAUAAUUUUCAUCAAUUUAACCCCUAAAUCAUGAAAAGCCCUAAAAAUGAAAUGCAUGCAUACAUAUUUCAUGCAAGCAUCCAUGCAAAAAUGACCUGAAUGCCCUUUUGAUGAAUAAUGCACAGAAAAUUCUGUGAUGUAAUAGUUAAAAUUACUGCAUCAAUAUUAUGAAAAACAUAAAUUUUAUAAAUUACAUAUAAGAUUAGUAUAUAAAAAGUAAAACAAGUAAAUAAAUAUAAAAUUGGUAAAUCUAUGUUUUAAAAUUACAAUCAAAACAACCACUUAUAAAAUUAACCUUGUAAAUCAACAUUAAAUUUUAAUUUAAAAAUAGUUUAUUAAUUAAUUUAUUUAAGCCAAAAAAAAUCAUCAAUCGAAAACAAUUGGAAUAAGUUUUAUAAAUUGGUCUAACCAUAAAUUGAAUUUCUAUGCCAAGACAUUUAUUAAUUUUUUUCAUUUUCUAUCAUAAUAUUUGUUUAAUAUACAAGUUAAUUAAGCAAAAUUAUUUUUCUUUUGGAUCAAGUCAAAAUAAAAUAAAAAGACAUUCUUACAUUAUUAGAUAUAUAUGAAACAUCAAUAAAAUUGGAUCCAAUUUUUAGUUUUAAACAUAUUUCAUGUAGUUUCAAACUUUACUUCUUACUUACAUUAAAAGAUCAUUUAGAAUUGUUGUCGAGGAGGUUUAGAAGGAUCAAAAUCACUUAGCUAAAAAUAUGAAUUUUUUUUUCAAAAUUUGAUUUAGAAAAUAAAAUUUAUCCUUAAUAAAAUUUCACAUAUAUCAUCACAUAUAUUACAUAAACCUAAAAUUAUCAUUAUUCAAUUCCGAAAUAAAAACAGUAAACAUGUAAGGUAAUUAUUAUUAUAAUGAGUUUUUAUUUUACAUUUGUAAGUUUAUAUUCUUUUAGUAACCCUUAUAAUAUUUACUUGUUUUCCAUUUUAUUUGUAAGUCUUCUAUUUCAUUUAUAUAAUUUACACUUAAUGUUGAUUUACAAGUUUUAUGUUACAUCUAUAAGUGUGUGAUUUGUUUACUGAUAAUACAUCAUUUUAUCACUCAUAUGUUAAUUUUACUUGUUUUUUUAUUACUUAAUUUAUGUUUUAUUUUACACUUAAUUUUAAUUUACAAGUUUUGUGUUAUAUCUGUAAGUUUAUAUUUUGUUUAUCAACAAUACAUCAUUUUACCACUCUUGUGCUAAUUUACUUGUUUUACAUUCAAUUUAUAGGUCUUAUGCUUUAUUUACUUAAUUUAUCUUUUAUUUUAUAUUUAGUGUUAAUUUAUGAUGCAGGGCGGAAGCCAUACUAGAUUUUGUUCUAGUGUACGUUCUUGAAAACUUAAGAAAGUGAGCUCUCGCAAAGGAGAAAAUAUCUCAAUUGAGAAAUACUAAAUAUUAUUAAUGAAAAAACUUAUGUCAAGAAAUAAGCCUAUUUAUACUAAUUAGGAUUAUCUUAUCCUGAUAAAAUUAUGAUUCCUUGUAAGUAAAAAUAAUAUGACUUUAAUAAGAAAAUAUAAAGUAAUUCCUCAUUAAACUAGAAAACUUAUACUCCCAUUAUACUCUAAUAGGAUAAAUCCUAAUAGAGUAUUAAGUAUUUAAUUGACUCAAAUACUUUAAUUUUUGAUAUAUUCCAUCUUAUAUGCUUCUUACAUCAGUUUCCUCCUCUUCGAAAAACACUUGUCCUCACGUUUUGUUGAAAAUAAAGGACAAUCUGGAGGAUGAAGCUUGUAAUGGAGGAGUAAUUGAUCUUGCAAUGCAAAAAUGUAGCACUUUGCAUAAACUUUUCUUGAAACUCAAAAGUACCAAAACUUCAAUUUCUUCAUGUUUUUUAGUAUGGCUCUUCUAAAAAUUGUAGACUUGUAGGAGAAAACCAUUAAAAGUUCUCUUUUAAUUUGAGUCACAGGUAAGUUGGGUAGGCUAGCUUCGGGAUAUGAUCAAUUUGAUGCUGAAUAAUCCUCAUAGGAGGUAAUUUGUUAGGAAGCUCUUUAGGCACGAUAUCCUAAAAUUAGAGAGUAGCGAUUGGACUUGUUCAAGCAUCGAUUCUACUUCAGCUACCUCUUUUGGUACUAAAAGAUAGGUUCACUUGACUUUUAACUUCAUUGAAGCAAGGAUAAUCUUCAUGUUGUCUUUGUAGAACCUGUAUGUAUUAUCUUUUCAUGAUGUAUUGUAUUCAUAUCAAACUGCCAUGGUCUCCCAAGAAGCAUAUGGUGAGCAUUCAUGUCAACAAGAUCACAAUUACUUCAUCUUUGUAUCUUUCGAUGGAAAAAAAGAAUACAACACUGUUGAGUAACCUUGGUCUCUCCAACAUCUUUUAUCCAUCCAAUGCAAUAAGGAGAAAGAUGUUUGUGAGUUUUAAACUGUAACUUGUCAACUAUAAUCUUUGAAACUAUAUUCUCGCUAUUACCUCUGUCAAUAAUCAUAUCACAUACCCUCUCAUUGACUGUGCACCUUAUUUUGAAGAUACUAUGUCUAUGAGUGUCUUCGUCUUUCUUUGGUGUGUAUAACAAACGUUGUGUUAUUAGUGAUACUCAUGUGUCUUGAUAUGUCCACUCUUCCUCUUCUUCUAUUUCGUCGUUGUCUUUUUAUGGUUCAUCCUUAGGCUCUUCAUUUUCCUCUACAUGAGUUGCCAAAUUGGCUGUUUGUCGUCUUUGUUCUGGAAAUUUGGUUUGAUGUAUGGCCUGGUUAACAAGGAAAACAUUUGUCGCCUCGAGGAACUGCAUAAGGAUUACUACUACUUAAUGAAUCUUUCGCUGGCCAUAUAUUUUGCCUAUUACAAUUUUAUGUUGGCCUUCUAACGUUUUCUACAUGAGUUAUUUCCUUGUUAAUUUUGGACCUCUGCUCUUGUUGCUGGCCAGGAAUGAAUGAGCGUGAGGUGGAUUGAUUACGAGUCUUUUGUUUUUCAAGUUGCACUCCCACCUUUUUAGCUAGUCGAAUGGCGUUCCGCAAUGUAUGUACCGGUUGCAACCCAACUUGAUCUUCUAUUUCAAAACGUAAACCAUCCAAGAAUCGACCAACUAUUUAGGCUUCUGUCUUGUGGAGGUUAGUUCGUUCCACAAGCCUUUGAAAUUUAAGGGCAUAUUCUAUGAUUGUUUUGGCUCCUUGACGACAAUUUAUGUACUCACGAAAUAAAAUUGUUCUCUUAGCAGGUGAUGUACGUGAUGCCUUAUCUUGACCUUUCCUUUUCCUUGUAGCACAUGAGAAGUUUGCAGAUUGUCCCACCAAAUUGUAGUAAUGCCUUUGAGUUUAUACACUAUUGCUCUGACUUUCUUUGGUUCUGAAAAGUCUAUUGUUUCAAAGAAUCAUUCAACAACUGAUAGCCUAUUAAGAAACUGUUCAAUGCAUAAUUGUCCACUGAAUGAUGGGAGGUCAAUUUUGAUGCAGUAGUCAUUCUCAUGUGUUUCUUGUCGUUCAUUUUUUAUCUCCUCCUCAUCUGAAUCAUCUGAACUUGGAAAAGGUGGAGUAGCUUUUGUAUUCCCAUUAGAGCUACCUAUUUCUUUUGUUCCGUUGGUUUUCUUAUGCUCACCAAAAUUAUUUCCUAAAUCAACAAUGUCAAUACUCUUUGCUUCCUGAAUACUUCUUUGGGCAAGGAUAAUCUCUUUUAAUUCUUGUCUCACGCCAAGUAAUGAUUCUUUCAUCGUCGUAACAUGGCUUUGUAUUUACAGUAGGGCUUUCAUUGUUUCGUGCCAUGCUUCUGCUGAAUGGGUUUGUGAUUAUUCGAAUCACUCUAUCCUCCUUGUGAUUCGAUCUUCCAAUUGAACACCGCUUUCUUUAUAAACUAUUGCGUUUUUUUUUUGUUCUUUUGUUCUUUUUGUUUUUUUUGGCUUUUUUUGGGGUUUUUAAAAUGAACAAAAAAUUAUAAGGUAAGAGUGUAAUAAAAGAAAAGUAAUGGGCAAAAGUAUAAAUAAAUAAAAAUUUGUGUUGCCAGCGACGAUGAUCAGAAAAUGGAAUAAGGAUUGUCGAAUCUGGAAGAUUUAAGGUCGGUGAGUGUGAUGGUGGUGGUGGUGGUUUGACUCAAAUUGUUGUGAUUUGAUCGAAAAAUUGAAUUGAAGUGGCGGUUAGAGGCUAGGUUUCAGUUUUCAGUGAAUGGGCCAGUGGUUGGCAGCAAGAGUAGGCUGGAAAGAAAGGGCUGAUAAUGGUGGAUGAAUUGGUGGUAGUGUUGGCUGUUAAAUCACGAUAGAUUUUGGUGAAUCGUGUGGUGGUUUGUGUGGUAGUUGAGCGGUUAUUUGGUGCUGUUUACGGUGGCUAUGUUGGUGGGUUGGUGACGUUAGUACCUUGGAUAUGUUCGGUGGCGUGUGGGCUUUUGGUUGGGAGAGAGGAUCGACCAAAAAGAAGAAAAAUGGUGGCGGCAGUAGCCUUGUGUGGCGAUUGUAAAGGUGGUUCGGGUUUGGAUUUUUUUUUUUUUUCAGAUUUUUUAAAAUUGACGGAAUUAAUGGAUAAUGGAGGAAGAAUUUGUAUAUGGAGGAUGAUUGAUGGGCAGGAAAGCUCUGCUUGACACAAAGAAAGAUUGUGAUACCACUUGACACAGAGCGGAAGCGAUACUAGAUUUCGUUCUAGCAUACUUUUUUGAAAACUCAAGAAAGAUGACUCUCACAAGGGAGAGAAUAUCUCAAUUGAGAAAUACUAAAUAUUAUUAAUGAAAAAGCUUGUGUCAAGAAACAAACAUAACAAGCCUAUUUAUACUAGUUAGCAUUACCUUAUUCUUAAUAAAAUUAUGAUUCCUUAUAAGUAAAAGGAAUAUGACUUUAAUAAGAAAAUAUAAAGUAAUUCUUAAUUAAACUAGAAAACUAAUACUUCUAUUAUAAUUGGAGCAGGAUAAAUCCUAAUAGAAUAUUAAAUAUUAAAUUGACUUACACUAUAAUUUCUGAUAUAUUCUACCUUAUAUGCUUCCUACAUCAAUUUAAAAGUUUUAUACGAUAUUGAUAAGUUUUUAUUGUAUUUCCUAAUGAUAUGUCAAUUUACCACUUCUAUGUUAAUUUUGCUUAUUUUACUUUUCAUUUAUAAGUCUUAUGUUCCAUUUGCAUUAUUUGUAUUUUAUUUUACACUUAAUGUUGAUUUCCAUAUUUUACGUUAUAUCCAUAAGUUGUUUUUUGUUUUAUUUACUGAUAAUACAUUAAUUUACCACGCUUAUAUUGAUUUGCUUGUUUUACCUUACAUUUACAACUCUUAUGUUCCAUUUGCACCAUUUAUGUUUUGUUUUACAUUUAAUAUUGAUUUACAAGUUUUAUAUUUAUAUCUAUUUUUUUUGGUUUACUAGCAAUAAACCAAUUUACUUGUUUUACCUUUCGUUUGCAAGUCUUAUGUCCCAUUUAAAUAGUUCAUAUUUUGUUUUACACUUAAUUUUGAUUUACAAGUUUUGUAUUAAAUUUACAUUUCUUAUUUUUUAUUUACAUAAUUUAUAUUUAAUUACAAUAUUAAUGUUAAGAUUCUAAUCAUUGUAUUAUAGAAUAACCCAUAAGACACAUAUUAAAAACUUCAUGUAAUAAGACGCAAUGAUUUUUUUUUGAAAUUUUAAACAAAACAAACUAAUAUGCAAAUAUUUUAAAAAUUCAUAAAUAUUCAUACAAUACAAAAUCAAGAUAAUCAAACUUUAAUUACUCAAAUCAAUAGAAGAUUAGUGAAAUUUCAAUUUUAAUAUGUGUGUACAAAUCCUUCAGGACUCAAUCUCGAUUUUUCUCAAAAUAAAAAACUUUUGUAACAAAAAAUAGAAUGAACAAGUCAAACUAAUCUUAUCAUCGUGAUCUCCAAAUUGAUCACUUCAAUGUAACAAACAAUAUGAGAAGAGAUUGCAGUAAGAAAAUUCUUCCUUCUAUUACAUAUGUAAACUUUUCAAGAUUUUCUUCUUCAACACUUACAUCUUUUUUUUUCUUUUCCUUUUUAAGUGCUUAUAGUUAGUAGUUUUUACUCUACUUCUUAAGUAACCUUUUUCCCAUGGUAGUUCGUCAUCGGUCAUAUUUGUGAUAUGCAAACUCAGAUUACUCGAGCAUAACUUCACUCUUAGGAGUUAUAGGUAGCUAUUUCUAACUGAGGUGCCGUACAUCUUGAAAUCUAUAGUAGAGAUAAAAGUAAAAAAUAUAUAAUUAAUGUUCAAUCCAUUUAAUCUCAACAUCAAAAGUCUCAAAAUUGAAAAUCAAGUUAGAAUGAAGACUUCAAAAAUAUAUGUGCACAAAGAUAAGUCUAAAUUAAACCAAUCAAAAAUUGUUUCGAGCUUUCAAGUCAUUGAAUCAAGACUUUUAUGUACAUAGUAAUUUGAAUAAAGAGCACAUAUGCAAAAACACAUGCAAACAAUGUCUUAACAAUAUCAUGAGAAGCAAAAUUACAUGACAUAUAGAAGAUGUUGUACAACAUGACUAUAUGGAACCGAUACCUAAAGUUUUUUUGUUUUAAGGAAUCAAAUCUAGAUGCACCCAAAGCUUUCUUAAAGAUAUCUGCAAGCCAAUUUUCUAUUUUAAUAUAGUCUAGUGAUAAAGUUUUUCUAUCAGCUUAGUCAUGAAUAAAAUGAUAUCUAAUAUCAAUAUGCUUAGUUCUAGAAUGCUGAGUAGGAUUGUUAAAAAUAGGACUUGUGUUAUCACCAUUUACUAUAAAAAUAUCUUGAACAAUAUCAUAAUUUUCAAGCAUUUGCUUCAACCAAAUUAAUUGAGUACGACAACUGUUAGUAACAAUGUAUUCAGCCUUAGCAGUAGAUAAAGAAAUUGAGUUUGUUUCUUAAUGUGCUAAGAUACAAGAUUGUUAUCAAGGUAAAAACAAUCUUAAGUGGUACUUUUUUUAUCAUCAGUUUUACCUGCCUAAUCAGCAUCUAUAUCCUAUGAGGCUUGAAUUAGUAUCUUUAGAAUACCAAAUACCAUUAUUAAUAGUACUAUUACAAAAUGAAUGAUAUAUUUAACAGCAGAUAAAUGUGAUUCCAUUUGAUUUGCUAGGUGCCCAGCACAAACAACUAUAUAGAACGAAUAUCAAGUCUCUUGUAAUCAAAUAAAGUAAGCCACCAAUCAUACUUCUAUAAAGACUUAGAGAAUCAACCCCUAUCAUCUUUUGUGCUCAUAAGUGGUGUUCUUAUGUGUUAAGCCGAUUCUAGUCCCAAUUUUUUCACCAAAUUGUUGGCAUACUUAGUACUUACUUUGAGAAAUGAAAAUGCCAUUUCCAAGUUGUUCACUUUUAAUCUUAAAAAAUAGGUUAAUUCGUCGACCAAGCUCAUUUCAUAUUAAUUCUUCAUUUUAUCAACGAGUUCCUAAACAUGCACUAGAGAAAUAGAGCAAAAAAGAAUAUUAUUUAUGUAAAUUUGACCAAUCAAUAUUCCAGGAUUAAGAUUUUCAAUAAAUAAAGUCUUUGAAAUAAUAACUAGGCAACCCAAGAGGGAGGGUGAAUUGGGUUUUUAAAACUUAAACUAAGCAAACUACACAAUAAUUUAAUCUAAUGCUUUAAUGAAAUAAAAAACAAUAAAUUUAACAAUGGUAAAAAAUAAAAAGAGUAAGGGAGGAGAGAGCAAACAAAAAUACUUUUACGUGGUUCGGUAAUCCCCGCCUACGUCCACGCCUCAAAGCAAACAAAGCUUGAGGAUUUCACUAUCCAAGCGUCCCAAGGUUUCAAACGCUUACAAUUGACUUCCAAGGUGUCAAUGGACCUUUACAACAAGAGAUUGUCCCCAAUCUCUUCACCCAAGUGUAUCCCAACACUUUUAACCUCUCAACUUAAUUUUACAAAAAUGAUUACAAAUAAAUUUCCCUCACACAAUGUAUUUGAUUACAAAUGAAAGCUCAAUGUGUGUGAAUAAAUGAAAUGAAUACAAAUUUUAUGCUCAGAUUGCAGAGGAUGGCUCAAUGAUAACAAUAGUUGUAUCUCUUUGAUUGAAUUUGAUUUGAGCUAAUUUAUAGUUGAAGAAGAAAACUAGCAGUUACUGACUUUUUGGUUAUAUCCGGCUUGCCACUUUAUGUUACCGUUAUGUUCAAAGAUUUGAAUUUUUGUACAACCGAUUUGCCGCUUUAACUCCAGAGAGCUUCUGCUUGAUAACCGGUUUGCUGCUUUUGUGAAUUCGGUUAGCUUUUUUAUUCCAGAGAGCUUCUACCCAUAACCAGUUUGCCGCUUUGAUAAAUUCGGCUAGCCGCUUGCUACAGUGAAACUACUAUUUUCCAAAAUUAUAAUUUUACCCUAACACUUUAUAAAAUUAUACUAUGGACCAAAUAUUUAUAAAACUUUACAAAUAUGUCCAUUUUCAGAAUUUUAAAACAAUACUUGUUGAUUUCAAAGUUCUCAAAACUUUUCAAUUUAAACCAUAAACUUGAAAACAACUAAUUUCAUAAAAUCAUUUUCUUGUUAUAAAAACAUAAUAUGUAGUUCUUUAUUUGUUCAAAACAUAUAGUUUGUUAUUAUCAAAAUCACCAUUUUAUAGCCAUAUAGGCUAACAAUCUCCUCCUUUUUAAUGAUGAUAAAACACAUUAUAAAAGUUUUAUUUAGUUAUGAAAAAACUCCCCCUUAAAUAAAUGCAAGAUUAAAAACUGAUUUAAAAAGCUCCCUCUGCAUGAAUGCAUAUUUUUCAUAACAAACAAUUAUAUGUCAUAUCUCUCCCUUCAUCAUCAAAAAGAGUAGAAUGCUCCCCUUGAGUAUAUUAUAAGUUUAAACAAUUUGCCAAUGAACUAAAUUAACAACUUUAAAUACAUGUAUUCUUCUCCUCCUUCAUCAUAAAAAAGAAAACUUAGUGGAAAAGAAAAAGAGUAGCAAAUUUGUUACCCAUGUUGUCCAAAUAGAAAUUUCAACAAAAUCUCCCCCUAUCAACAAGCAUCACCUCAAAUACAAGUUUAGUAAUAUCACUCCCAAAUUAUCAUAAAUCAUGAUACAAACCAACUUCAUACACAAAUCAUCACACAAUCCAUCAACCAUAAAAAGAUCAUGAACCAUCAUUCCAUCAAUUACCAAAUUAGCAACUCAUAAAAUAAAAUCAUCAUAUAAAACAACCAUGUAAUCACAUCAUCAUCAUAUCUCAAAAUCAUCAAAAUCAUCACCAUAAUCAUAUAUCAACCAUCAAAAGAAUGCUCAAAGUGCAUGUUAUUCUCCCUCUUUUGACAUCAUCAAAAUGGUAUAUUACUUUGUCUCCCCCUUUCGAUAUCAUGUAAAGCAAGUAAUGCAUAUUCAACAAUACAUCAAUAAAGUACAAAAAUGCAUCCAUUUACCAAUCAUACAUCGUAUAAGAUCAAACUUCAUCAAAUACAAUGUAAUCAUCAAAGGACAUUUUUUAUCAUCAAAACUUAAGCAAAGCAUAAGUACAUAAUGGCAAUAUAUAGAUCAUCAAAAUCAAACAAAGGCAUCAUGAUAAGUUGCCAUGCUACUAUCAUAUAUAUUUAUCCAUGUAUCAUGAUUACACACAAUAAUAAUUCAAUUAUGUAAAUGUAAGAGCAUGCUUUUUUAAAUUCAAGCUAUUAUCCAUCCAACAUGAUCCAUUCAACAAAAUUAAUAUGGCAAGAAUUGUUACCAAAACAAUUAAAUCAUCUUACCAAUCAUUUUCUCUUAUAUCAUGCUUAAGUGAUUAUUCUCACAAGCUUUCAUUGAGGAACUCUCCACCAUUUCUUGAUUAUAGUACCUACAAAAAAGUAUUCAAGUUGUGCCUUUUGGUACCCAAAUACUCUUGGGUCCUUGAGUGUUAACAAUGGUUCCUUUUGGAACCCAACCACAUUUUACUCCAUAAUAUGUAUUUCUUUUAACUGGACAUCUAUACUUUAUGUGACCAUUUUGAUUACAAUGGUGACAUACAACUUCAUUAUUAAUGGAGGUACGCUUUACAAAAUAAUUCGUAUAAUACUUUUGUUUCAAAUUUGGCUUAUAUCCAAUACCUCAUUUGUCAAACAUACAUUUUUGUGAGUUAAGCAAGUUAUCCAACAUCUUUUGCCCAUUUGUAAAUUUUAAGACAACAUCACUAAGUUCUAUAUUCUUUUUCUUGAGCAUUUCAUUUUCUUUCAUCAAUUCAACAACAUGUGAUUUUUCAUGCUCAUGCGAAAUACGUUGUUUGUCUUUAAAUGAUGCAAUUUUGUCAUGCAAUGUUUGAUUAUCUAACUCAAGUCCUUUAAUCUUUUAAUUUAAUGAAUCGUUACAUUUUUGUAAAGCAUCCUUUUCAUUUGAAAGUUCUACCAUUUUCAUUUUAAGACGUACAUUCUUUUUACCAAUUUUUAUCCAAUUAUCAUGCAAUUCCUUAAAAGCAUCAUAUAACACAUUCUAGGUAGGAUCACUUGCCUCAUCAAGUUUGUCAACCGAUUCAUCUCCAAUUGCCAUAAGUGCCAAAUAUGACACUUUAUGAGAUUCCUCCUCGUUUGUAGUCUCCUCAUACACAACUUCAAGUUUUCUCCAAAUUUCAUAAGCAUUAGAACAAUUUGAAACUCUAUGAAAUUCUUUUUUAUCUAAGGCACAAAAUAAAACAUUCAUAACCUUGGAAUUUAAAGACAUCUUUUCGCUAUCCAACUCACUUAAAACAUUCUUCCUAGGAAUGAAUGAACCAUCACAAACUAUUUCCCAUAUUUCAUAGUCCAAGGCUUAUAAAAAGAUUCUCAUCCUAGUUUUCCAAUAAGGAUAGUCAUUACCAUAAAAAAGUGGAGGCUAGUGGUGGAUUGGCCUUCCAUGAAGGUUCAGCUAAUUUGAGUUGUUAUGGAUCUUUAACUCUAGACGGUUAAGUCUACACAAGAGCACCUCGCUCUGAUACCAAAUGAAAUAAUAACUAGGCAACCCAAAAGGGGGUGAAUUGGGUUUUUAAAACUAAAGCUAAGCAAAGCACACAACAAUUUAAUCUAAUGCCUUAAUGAAAUAAAAAAUAAUAAAUUUAACAAUGCUAAAAAAUAAAAAGAGUAAGGGAGGAGAGAGCAAACACAAAUAUUUUUACAUGAUUCGGCAAUCCCCGCCUACGUCCACGCCUCUAAGCAAACAAAGCUUGAGGAUUUCACUAUCCAAGCCUCCCAAGGCUUCAAACACUUACAAUUGACUUCUAAGGUGUUAAUGGACCUUUACAACAAGAGAUUAUCUCCGAUCUCUUCACUCAAGUGUAUGCCAACACUUACAACCUCUUAAUUUGAUUUUACAAAAAUGAUUACAAAUAAAUUUCCCUCACACAAUGUGUUUGAUUACAAAUGAAAGCUGAAUGUGUGAAUGAAUGAAAUGAAUACAAAUUUUAUGCUCAAAUUGCAGAGGAUGGCUCAAUGAUAACAAUAAUUGUUUCUCUUUGAUUGAAUUUGAUUUGAGCCAAUUUAUAGUUGAAGAAGAAAACUAGCCGUUGCUGACUUUUUAGUUAUAUUCGGCUUGCUGCUUUGUGUUACCAUUAUGUUUAAAGAUUUGAAUUUUUGCACAUCCGGUUUGCCACUAUUCAUUUUUCGGUUAGCCGCUUUUACUGCAAAGAGCUUCUACUUGAUAACUGGUUUGCCGCUUUUGUGAAUUCGGUUAGCUGCUUUUAUUCCAGAGAGCUUCUGCCCAUAACCGGUUUGCCGCUUUGAUAAAUCCGGUUAGCCGCUUGCUAUAGUGAAACAUCAAUUUUCCAAAAUUAUAGUUUUGCCUUAAUACUUUAUAAAAUUAUACUAUGGGCCAAAUAUUUAUAAAACUUUGCAAAUAAGUAUAUUUCUAGAAUUUUACAACAAUACUUGUUGAUUUCAAAGUUCUCAAAACUUUUCAAUUUAACCCAUAAACUUGAAAACAACUAAUUUCAUAAAAUCAUUUUCUUGUUGUAAAAACAUAAUGUGUAGUUCUUUAUUUAUCCAAAACAUGUGGUUUGUUAUUAUCAAAAUCAUCAUUUUAUAGCCAUAUAGGCUAAAAGUCUUUUCAAGUGCUCUAUCUUGCAGCCUUUUGCAACCAAGAAAUUGGUUAAUCUUUCAUACUAUACCCUAAAAACUUGUUUUAAUUCAUAUAAUGCCUUUUUCAAUUUGGAAACAUAAUUAGAAUGGUAUAGAUUUUCAAAGCCUUUGGGUUGUGACACAACUUAAAAGUGUUGAUUACUCUUAAGUAUAAGAGUUUCUAGGUAUAAUAUAACCCGGUGAUUCUGGGGUCGAACUAUAGGGAAUUAAGAAUCUAGUACUCAAUUAUUAAACAAAAAUUGAUUAUAGAAAAUAAAUUAAUAGUCUAAAAAGAGCUAAGAUUAUGGGAUCCAUUCUUGGUAUUCAAAUUAUGGUAAUAUUACUCUCUCAUAUUUAUUUUUUACUUUUAUUUUACUAGAUUAAAUAUUAAAUGGCUGAAUUAUUAAUUAACCACUUAUGGAUAAAUAUUGGGAUAAAGUAUAUAAUGUGCCACAACUGAAUUAGUGUGUCGAAAUUAUGUUUAAAUACCAUAUAGCUCCAAAGUAGAUCUACAAUCAUAGUUUAAAAUGAAAUGAAAAGAAUUUGUUAAGGAUACAAAUAAAAAAAAAAACGUAAGCUCACUUGAGAAGGCAAUUAAUUCUAUGGUUUGAGUCCCUAAGCUUCACCUUUCAUCUAAGUUUAGAAAUUUAGCCAUUCAUGUUUAAAAAUAAAACACUCAUUUUAUUUAAGAAUCUUAUAAUGUACAAUACAAGAAGAUUUAAAAUAAAAGAGAAGAGAAGAGAUUUUUCCUAAAAUUAACUCUUGAUUAACACUUAAAAAGCUCACCCCUAAAAUCCGCCAUACAAUUCUCUCUCCUUUCUUUCUUUCUCCCCAAUUCUUGCACACCCUAAUUUGUGAGAGCUCUUGUCUUUAAAUGGAAAAUUUUGAGUGAUCAAAUGUGGGCAUUUAUAUGAAAUUUUUGAGGAGCUUACAAUCACAACCUUAAGAUGGGAUUUAAUAGUACAAUCCAAGGGUCUGAAAUUGCAACCAUUAUAGAUAAUUGGAUUUAACAUAAUAAAUGGCUACAAUUAAAGUCAAUAUCUAAUCCUCCUUUGAACAUGAGCUCAGACACAUGGCACAAUCUCAUUUGUUAAAAAAUAAUGUUGGUUCAAAGGGAUUGCAAUUCUUCCAAGGGUUUUUAAGUCUCCAAAAUCCAAAUUUCUCCUCUAAAUUUUCAAUCCGAGCAUCAUGAUCUGGGGAUUUCAUACAAAGCAUAUAUAUCAUACUUAAAGACUAACAAAAAUAAUAAAAAAAAUUAUAGAAUAGGUUAUGGAUUUGCAAAUGUGAUGAAUUUGCUAUUGCUAUCAACACUAUAAGUGAAAAAUGAUGAUUUUAACAUUUAUUAAAGGUUCACUUUAUAAGUUAAUCACAUCUCUCAACUAGCUUAUUCUUAGUUCCUAGCAAUUAAAUUACUAACCAUAAUAAGUAAAAUUAAUGUAUAUGCUUGUAAAUGUUCUUCCCUUCUUCAAACAAUUUUAUAGGUAAACUUCCCUUUGAAAAGUAAAAUUAAAAAAUAAUUUGUAGAGUGGAUAUCAAUAACCUUCCUUUGUGUUCAAUUAUAAAUAAAUACAAAACUUAUGGGAUUUCAUCAAAAGAUCACAAUAUUUUAGUUUUACAAGUUCAUUAGGGUUUCUAUCAUUAGUAGUGAAUUAUUUAUAAAUAACUUAACGAACAAUAAAUCUCCAACCCAUGUAGUGAUUUUUGGGCAAGUAACUCUUAGACUAGUUGGCCUUAGGGCACUAGGUAUUGAACACCGCUAUAGGCUUAGUCACUCCGAUUUCAGAUAUAGCCAAAUUCAACACAUUUUUUCUUUUUAUUUUUGCAUUUCUUUUUACACGAGCAAUCAUUUCUAAUUAGGAAGAUCCUCAGUUACUAGGUAAAAUAAUGUUUUAUUGAUUUUUUUAAUUUUUAAACCAUUACCAUUUUACGCGAGCAGUCACUAUUGAUUAGGCAAGAUGCCUUAUUACUAUGUAAAAAUUUGAGUUUUUUUUUUUUAAUAGAACACAAGUUUUCCACUAUCUUAGAUGUCACCUCUAACAAACCAACAUAAUUAAAUAUUAAAUAUUUCAACUUCCAACACAUAAGUAUGUGUCAUGGGGGGUGUGUGUUGUGCUGGAAUGGUUUAGUACAUCCACCAAAUAAUUAAAUGGAACAAAAUGGAUGAGUAAAAGCUAUUAGAAAGAAGAACUCACAAAUUUAAUUAAUUUGAAGAGAAAAAAAUAAAAAUUAGCCAUUAUUAGAAAAUACAAAAUAGUAAAAAUGAUGCUUCUCAGGAGGAAUAAAAAGAACUCUUUAUUCCCUAGUCCGCAAACAAAGAAUGGUUAUUUUUUUUAAAAGAACACACAAAAAGAUAUCGAUAAGUGGAAAUAUUUUUCUUUCUUUUUGAAAAGAAAACACACAAAAAUAAAUAAAUACACAAAACAUAGGAUGUCAACUAUCCUUUUCCCCCAUCAGAUCAAGACAUUGUCCUCAAUAUCUAAAGAAAUAGAUGGUAAACUUAGAAGAAUACACCUGAUAAAUGUGAAGGAAAAUAAAUACCUAUAAACAAAUAAAACUACUAUAUAAGAAAAUUGAAAAAAGUUACACAUGAAGAUUUAGAUCCAGAAAAUAAAUACCUGUAAACAAAUAAAACUAGUAUAUAAGAAAAUUGAAAAAAGUUACAAAUAAAGAUUUAAAUCCAUCAUUUUGCCUUUUGGUCACUAUCAACAUAUGAUCAAUUAGUUGAGAAAUGAGUUGGUUGGUUUCAAGCUACUGUUCUUACAUUCAACCAAUUAAUUCUGUUGCGGUUUUAAAGUAGACAAGGAUUCUUCGUGACGUAGGCAAAAUGAAAUUGUGCUUCACAACACUAUCAAGAAAUAUCAUGAAGAGACCAUAAUAAUAAUUCACAUCCAAUGGCUCGAUAGGAUUGUAGUGGAUGUUUAGUUGUGCUCAUGAUGCAAUUGUAAUAUAAUUCUUCUGAGGUACCAAGUCAGCAUACCAGAAGAAUAAAAACAUCAACAUGUUCAAUCUUUGCAAUGAGACAUUCAUGCAUACCUGUAACAACGAGCUCUUCUCCAUUUGUUCUUCAAAUGAUCCCUCUAACCAAAGCUUUUGGGAUUAUACUCAAAACCUAACUUCCUCCAGUGUUUACAGCUUAUGAGACAUCCCUUAUUAGUCUAGGAUCACAAUUUUCAUAUAUUUAAUGUACAUUUCUAUUAAACAGUAACUUCCUAAGGUCCUUGGCAGCUUUAACAAAAUCUAGGGCAUGUCCAUAAGUUCAUCCAAAAAAUAGACAAUCAUUUUUAAGUUUCCAAUUAGAACCAUUGCCAUUAUGAUUCCUUUUCUUUUAAGGAUUUGGAUCAUGAAAGAAAGAGAUAUAUAUAAAAGGGUAUUUACAAAUCUAGGAGAAGUAAUGCAUCAAUGAUAAUAAUUGCAAAGGUUGAUAAUUGUUAAACAAAAUAUCUGAAACAAUAGAAAGGAUAAAGUAGUCAAAUGUUGUGGAAAUUUUCAAAUGAAAAGAGUUAGAACCAAAUAAUAAAAUAAUAACAAAAAUGUACUAGCAGUUUUGAUUGUGACUCAUAUCUUCCUCUGAUUUUAUGUCUGGUAAUAAAUUGAACAUCUUUUAUGAAUGGGGGAUAGGUUUUAAUCCAAUUUUCUUAAAAAUUGACAAAAAAGAUCUUUUAAAGUCAGAUUGCCAAGAUUAAAUUCUGCAUGUUCGUUUUGAAAUUGUGUCAUUAAUCCUUGGAUCUCGUUUUGUACAUAUCCAUGGGCUUGUGUCUCAAGAGUUGAUAAUAUAUUGUCAUGAAUCAACUUCCAACUGAAGUCAUGCCUAACAAAUUGAAUCUUGUCCACACGAUUAUCAGAUAAAUACCCCAAGGAGUCACAACCGGUGUCAUAAGCCAAGUGGGCAUAUUUAUAAUAGACACCUAACCCUUUAGCUUUGCGCUUUUCUGCAUAGGUGCUCUUCCUCAAGCCAGGCAUGUGAGAGAUAAAUGAUAAAUUAGAGAUUUUGCCAGCUACUUAAACUUAAGCUUCAAUAAGCCAAUGAAUAUCUUUAAAAAUUCCAUACAUCAUUAAUAACUUCAUUCUUUUAAAUUGUGAUUUAUAAAUAUUGAUAAGAGUGUAUAGAGAGAGCGAAGGAGAGAUUGAAUGUAGUUUCUUGAUAAUCUCUCCCAUGCUUUUUAACAAAGGGUUUCAAUGAUUGUGGGUAAACUGAAGAACCAACUAUAAAAGUUAGGAAGUACUGUUAUCUGCUAUCUGAAGGAGUAAAAAAGUUAACCUAAAAAGACACAAAACACAAAAGACAAAACAAAAGCAAAAUCAAACACUUUUAUUGCCCCAUACGGAUAUACAUUUUUCAAUCUUUGUCCAUUCACUUUGAAUUUAUUACCGUUCUUUGGAUUCUCAACUUCUAUUGCCCCAUAUGUAUAUAUACUUUUCACAAUAAAAGAGUCAUUCCAUUUUGACUUUAACUUUCUUGGAAAUAAAUACAGAUAAAAAUUCAGUAGCGACACUUUUUGACCGACCUCAAAUGUUUUACAAAAAUUCUCUUAUCAGGAAAAGCCUUGGUUCUUACCUUAAUAAUUCUAAAAUUCUCAUAUACAUCAUUUUGAGAUCCUCAAGUUCAUUUAACCGUAAGUUACACAUAUUACCAGCAUUAUCAAGAUUUGAAUUAACAAUUUUAAUAGCUCAAAAUUAAAUUCAAUUGAUAAGUGUCAAUGUUUACCAUAACCCAACCGACAGAAUAACAUGUCUAAAGAUGUCUUAAAUGCAGUGAAAUAGGCCCAAAGUGCAUCAAUAAGUCAAUGAGACCCAUCUUUAGGGUUUGGGUUAACCAUCUUUUCCAAAGUUUGCUGUAUCUCUUUAUUUGCUACUUUAACUUGACCACUUAUUUGAGAGUGAUAAAGAGUAAAAACCUUAUAUGUAAUGCCAUAUUUCUUCAUUAAUAUUUAAAUGACUUGUAAUAAAAAUGCUUACCUUUAUUAAUGAUAAUGGCUCGAAGGAUUCCAAGUUUGCUUAAAAGAUUUUCUUUUAAAAAAUGGAUCAAAGUUUUUUAAUUGUUGUGUUAAUAAGGAAUCACUUUAAUCCAUUUUAAAACAUAGCAAUAGCAAAUAAGAUAUAUACAUAUCCAAAUGAUGAUGGAAAAGGGCCCAUAAAAUCUAUUCCCUAAUAGUUAAAUAUUUCAAUGACAAAGAUGAGUUUAAAGGCAUCAUAUUUUUCUUUGAGAUGGACCCAACAUUUGACAAUUCUUACAUGUUUUAUAAAAUGCAUAUGAAUCUUUAAAUAAUAUGUGCUAGUAGAAUUCAUAUUGCCAAUUUUUUACAGCUAUCUUCUUCAGAGAAAAGUAGCCAUCACAUGCUUUUGAAUAGCAAAAUUUAACAACACUGUUUACUUUAUCGUCCGAAAUCUAUCUAUAAAAAAUUUGAUCAGUACAGUACUUGAACAAGAAUUGAUCAUCCUUGUGAAAGCUUUUCACCUCUAUUAAGAAUUUCUUAUUAUCUUGGAAGUUCAAAUUGGAUGACAUUUUACCUGUUGUAAAAUAAUUAACAAUGUUAGCAUACUAAGGCACAUUAUGUAUAGAAAACAAAAACUCAUUAGGAAAAGAAUCAUUGAUAGGUAUUGUGUUAAUUGAAAGCUCAUUUGUAAGUCUUAACAGAUAGCCUGCAAUAACAUUUUCGCCACCCAUUUUAUCUUUGAAUUCAUCAUUUUAAUCUUGGCAUGGCAUCCUGUUUAGACAUUAAAUAUCUAAUAGCAAUAUGAUAAAAAAAGACCAUAAUAGAUGAACUAAUUAAAUUUGUUUGAAAUUUAUUAAGUGUAAAUAUUACAGCAAGUAGUUCUAUUUCAGUUGUAGUAUAAGUCAUUUGGGCACUAUUAAAAAUUCUACUUGCAUAAUAGAUAACAAAUAGCUCACCUUUUUUUUUCUUUGUCCUAAAGCAGCUCCAACAUCAUAAUCGCUAGCAUUACACAUUAGUUCAAAAAGUAAAGGGCAAUAAGGGGAUUGCAUUAUAGGGGAUUAUGCUAAAAGACAUAUUAUCUUUUCAAAGUCUUUUUGACAAUCUUUGGUCCACUCAAAUAGUGUAUCUUUUAUAAAGAGAUUACAAAGUGGUCUAGAUAUGAUACUAAAGUCUCUUAUAAACCUCCUAUAAAAUUCGGCAUGUCCUUAAAAGGAACGAACUUCCUUAAUUGUCUUUGGUGAAGGUAAUUUUGAGGUGAUUUUGAAUGAACUUCCUUAACUGUCUUUGGUGAAGAUAAUUUUGAGGUGAUUUUAACUUUGACUUUAUCAACUUUGAUUUCAUUUAAAGGAAUUACAUGGCCCAAGACAAUUCUAAAAAUGGUCAUGAAACAACAUUUUGCCUAAUUUAAAAUAAAUCCUUUUUCUUUACAUCUUUCUAAAGCUCUUUCUAAAUUAUUAAGAGAUGUAUCAAAAAAAUUUCUUAAUAUAGUUAAAUUGUCCAUAAAAAAUUCUAAACAAUUUUCAACAAUCUCACUAAAAAUGCUUAGCAUGCAUCUCUGAAAUAUUGUGGGAGAAUUAUAGAGUCCAAAAGGCAUUCUUCUAAAUGUAAAUGUUUCAAAUAGGCAUGUGAAUAUUGUCUUUGCUUGGUCUUCUAAGGCUGUAGAAAUUUGCUGAAAGUUUGAGUAGCCAUCAAGAAAGUAGUAGCAGAAGUGUUUUGCUACUCUCGAGGAUUUGAUCUAAAAAUAAAAGAGGAAAAUGCUCCUUUCUAUUGGCAUUAUUUAAUUUUCUGUAGUCAAUGCACAUAUGUUGACUAGAUGGAACCCGUGUUGAGAUUAGUUCACUUUUUUAAUUUUUUACAGCGAUCAUUGCAGAUUUCUUUAGUACUACUUAUGUUGGACUUACCUAUUUACUAUCAGAGAUAAGAUAGAUAAUUCUUACAUCUAGUAGUUUAAAGAUCUAAUUUUUUACCACUUUUUUCAUAUGGGGGUUAAGUCUUCAUUGUGGUUAACGUGAGUUAUUUUGGCAUUUUCAUCUAAAAGUAUUAUGCGAAUACAAAAAAUUUCUUCAUUCUUAAAGAACUCAGUGAUCUCUCUUUAAACAAAAAAUUCUGCAAAAUCUUUAAAGUCAUCAAUAAUAACAUUGGUAGAUUCCAUAAUAGUUUGAGUUCUCAAAUUUUACAAUCGAAAAGCUUUAUUAUUAUUUGAAUAACAAAGAAAAAUGCCCUCAUCACUUUUUUAGUCAUACUUGCACAAGUAUUCACGAUCUUUCAAGAUGUAACAUGUAAUACCAAAGAUGUGAAAAUAAUUUAUAUUAGGUUCCUUACGUUUCCACAGUUCAUAAGAGGUUUUUUUAGUGGUUGGAUACAAAAAUAUUUAGUUCUUUUGCUGAAAGACAUUUAGUCAACUUAUUGGAGUUCAACAUCACACGUGCCAUCUCCUCUAAGGUUUUGUUCUUUCUUUAAAAAUUCCAUUUUGUUCAAGAGUAGUAGGUACUGAAAAUUCAUGUAUUAUACCAUGUUUAUCAAAAUAUUUUGCAAAAUUAGCAUUUUCAAAUUCGUUUUGAUGAUGACUUCUAAUUUUCCCAAUAUUAUGAUCUUCUAAUACAUAAUUUUUUAAACACAGCAAACAUAUCAGAUUUUUCUUUAAUAAAAUCAGCCCAUGUGCAUCUGAAGAAAUCAUCUAUGCAAAUAAAAGCAUACCAUUUUUCAGCAACACUUUUCACUUGCAUUGGACUAAUAAAAUUCAUAUGAAGGAAAUCAAGUACUUUAGAUGUGGUAAUAUGUUAAACAACUUUGUACGAUGUGCGAUGUUUUUUGUUGUUAGCCAAUUUGACAAGAAUUACAAGCUCUAGAUUGUUUCUUUUUGAGCUUAGGUCUUACAAUUUCUGCACUCACGAGUUAGUCAAUAAUUUAUAAUUAAAAUGACCAAGUUUUUGGGGCCUUAUUUCAAUUUGAUCAAUAGUAGUUUUAUGACAAGUAAUAAAUUGGAUCAAUUUAUAAUAAUGAUUCGAUGGUCUAAUUCCCUUAAGUAUAUACUUACCCUUGUUAUUAAACACUUGACAUUUGCUGCUAUUAAAAUUUAUCAUUAAGUUUUGAUAAUAAAUUUGACUAAUACUCAAAAGAUUAGCUCUCAAGUCUUCAACUUGUAAAGCAUUUUCAAGUCUAGGAGCACAUGACUUUUAAUACUGUCAGCAAAGGCCACAUGUUCUCAACUACAUUCUUCAUAAUUUAUUAAAGCACUAUAAUUACCAUUCAUGUGUCUAGAGCAACCACUAUCAAAACACUAUAAGUUAUUAAUAGAAGAUCGCAGAGAUGUAAAUGACACAUAUGCUUUUAAUUCAUAUUUCCUAAUCAAAUUUGGUUCAAUAAAGUUACCUUGAACAUUAAACUUAGGUUUAAGAUUAUAUCUAGGUUUACCAAAUGAAGAAAAAUUAAACGACACAAUUUUCUUUAUGUAAUUCAUGAACUUGAAGCAUCUAGCUCUUAUGUGUCCUUUAAUAUAACAAAGUGACAAGUAAGAACAAAACUUUCAUACUAACCAUGUGAGCUCAAUGUAUAAUGUGUCACAUAUUUACCUUUCAUUUCGUCAGAGAGUUUUGCCAUAGGUGGCGAUACUUUGGUUGUUGGUGAAGAGGCUUUACCAAAAAUAGUAUUUGAGCUUAAAGUAAUUCCUUUAUGAUACCCAAGACAAUAAUGAUCUAAAGUAGCUUUUCCCAUAGUCAAAAUCUUAUCAAAUUGCUUUGUUCUAGAAUUCAUCGUUCUCAAAGAUUUUUUAGUACUUUCUAGCUCAGUCAAAACUUCCUUCAAUUUCUCUUCUUUUCCAAAAACAGUAGUUUGAGGAUUGAUUACUUCACUUUCAAACCUUAACUUUUCAACAAUUUUUUUUUUAUAAUUCAGCAUGAAAUUUUCUUGCAUCUUUGUUUCAUUUUUACCCAUUCAAAAUAGGUGUAAUCAUCACUACUAGAAAAUAGUCUUCACUGAUACUUGUCUUGUGACACUUUAUUUGAAAGUAUUAGUAUGUACAUACAUUUGGACCAUUUUCUGCAUUUAACAGAUAAGUAUCACUAAUUACUAAUACUAAAGUAUCAAUAGCUUUAGCAAUAGCGAUCAAUGAUACUGAGGUAUCAACAAUAAAAAAUUAUCAUUUGAAAAGUGGCUGGUAUGAGGCGGCUAGCAGGUUGAUGGUGCCACUAACGGUGGCCAAAAGAGAGACAACGAGGUGUUGGUGAGAUAUAUGGCAGCUAGGGGGAUUUGUCUUGAUAAAAUGAGUCACAGAUGGUAGCCAAUAAGUGGUGCCUGAGUUUUGGUUGUGCUCGUGCAUAUCUCUCUGUUAUGUAUUAAAACUCUAAUAUUUUACUACAUACAGCAGUAAACCAAGAAAGGAGGGAAAAAAAAAAAGGAAAGAAAUCAGACACAGAUUAGAAAAUUUAGAAUUGAAGGUGAUAAAUCCUGCUAUACAUGGAAAUGAUAAUUUUACCUUUCAUCUUCAAGCUCCGAAGGCUUCGUAUGUAGGUCUUUCACUUGUAAAAGGCGGUUUACUUCUAUGUGCAAGUUAGCAUUUGGUUCAUUAGAAAAUUUGUCAAUAAAGUGUAAUGAAGCCGUAUCAGAGUUGUUACAAGAAUAUUUUUUGGAAAUCCAUGUAUCAUCUUCUCUUUCUCUCCUUGGAUGAGAGAGUAUCUGCAUUCCCUUAUUUUUCUUUUUUCUAAUUGAGUUUGAAUCCCCUUAUUUUAUUUUAUUUUUUUUGUAACCGCCAUACCAGUAAUUUAUUAACAAUUGCAGAGUUAGUGUGACACUUUAUUUGUAACUGCCAUAUCAUAGUCAGUUACUAACCAUUACAGAGCUAUAACAUCACUCGAAAUAGAAAUAUUGAGAUUCCUAAUAGUAUUUAUCCUAAUUAUUAGUUGUUCCUAAUAUUACUAUCGCUAGCUGCAAUUAAUUCAGCUUAAGUUGUCAUUUUCUUAUAAACAAACAAGAUGGUCCAUCAUGUUUAGUUGUAAGGAUACAAACUAGGGAUAACAAUGGGCCAGGUUAGGCUCGGGCUUACCUAAGCUUGUAACUAAAAUAAAGGGUUUGAGCUCAAAAAAGUCCGAUCCUUUGAAUUAAAGCCCGAGCCCAACCAUAAUUUUGUUUUGAUGAGGUGAGAUUCAUGUCAAGAGAGAGUGACUGAAACCCACAGCUAUUUCCUUGAUUAGUAUCACUUGUUGCAGCAGAUAUCUCAACAGAAGAAGAAGAAGCAAAUGGAGUUUGCUUAGCCAAGAAUUGAACCCAGCAAUAGAAGCUACAGUCUUUUAAGGAACAUGCUGAUGCUGAUGAAGAAAAUGAUGAUGGUACAUAAUAUCAUCGUGGUUAUGGGUAUAGCUAGGGUUUAAGGUUUGUGUUUGUGGGUGAUGAUGAUGUUGACUGUAGUGGUGGUGGAUGAUUGAAGAUGGGUGGCUCGUCAGAUCUUGAGCAAUGAUUUCUAAGUCAAAGUCUCCAUUAUUAUCAACAUUGAAGCAGCUGCUUGAUACAAUAUUGACAUUCCAUUAUGUUGGUUUUGGCAUCAGCAGGGUCAGUUGAUGUAUAGAUUGAGUAACAACAUGACCCUAAGAAAUCUUCAAGCUUUGGACAUGAUCCUCAUGACUUGCCCCACCACUACCAUAAUUUUCAUAUCCCCAAUCUAAACUAAAAGGAAACCAUAAAAAAAUUAAAAAAAUCACGGCAAAAAAACCUAUCAUAAUUUACAUGACUUACUCCUAAUUAUAUUUCUACAUCGCCAGGUGCGAACACCUAAAUCGUCCCCAUUUUGCCAUAACCUAAAAAAGCUAAAGAUUGAAGCAUUACCUUAGGCUGUGAUAACUGUGCCGCCUUGUGAAUGGCUGUCACUGUUGUGUGAUGGCUGUCAGUGGUGGCGGUGACGAUGUCUAGGUAUGGGUGAUGGUGGCUGUGAGUUGUGGAUGGCGAAUGGCAAUUUUAACUGCGGAUUGUGGUGGAUCAUGAAUGGCUGAACCUCGGUCGAUGAAAGAAAAGGGAAAAUAUUUGGCAAACAAAACGUUGUGUUUUUGCCUUUAAUGAAACGAUGCGUUUUGAGUUUUCGGAGUUUGACCCAUGGUUUGACCCGAUGCAAAUAUCAUUUUCAAUGUAUUUAUUAUUAUUUUUAUUUUUCAUGUGACUUAUCAAAUUUUGAUUUAAUGGUUAAUAAUUGUUUCAUAUUGCGUCAAAAAAGAGAGGCUCCCCGACAUGCCCUAUACCAACUAGUCUAAUUUUUCAUAAGCAUGUCGCUCAUGCGCUGCACCACAGUGUAAUGCAGCAAAAUCAAGAAAAAAAAAGUGAAAUAUGCUAUUUCUCUUUUAAGAAAAAUUCUCGAAUACAUAAGAGGUAACAUAAUUAAAUUUUUUUAUAUAAACACCAGUUAUAUAUUAGUUCUUCAAAAUAAAUGUACUUAUACUAUAAAAUUAUUUGUUUUUUAUAUAAAUGACAUAGUACUUUAAAAGAAUUCUAAAAUUUCUCUUGUGCCUCGCUUGUCAUUUUCAACUAUUAGUCAAUGAGAUGGCAUUUUACAUGCUGAUAUGGUGCCCCGCAGAAACUCUUUUGUUUUCAGAUUGAUGAUCCCAAGGAAAUGGCACAAAUAUCACUUCUAAUGGUAUUUUACAGUAAAGUCCGGCUGUACAGGAAUUCUCUUUCGACAAAGGCUUGUUUAUUCCCAAUAUUUUUAGGUUAAUGUCCUUUUAGUCAUUAUAUUUUAAAAAAAUUCUCAAAACAUCCCUACUGUUAAAUUAUUAACACCACUGUUAGGGUUACUUUUAAUUCUCUUUGGCUUACUUUUACAUAUUACUCUCUUACAAUAAUGUUUAUUUUUUGGACAUUAAUAAAAAAAAUUAGAUUAUCAAUUUAAUCCCAAAAAAUUAAUGUAGAAGACUCUACUAAGUUAUAUAUUAAAUUUUUUACUGAUGUCCAAAAAAAUUGGUAACUUAAUUUUUUUACAAUAUUAAUUUUUUUGACAUAUGUAAUCUUCUUGGAAAAUUAAUAUAUAUUAUUUUUAUUUUUAUUUUAUUUUUGUGGUUAAAUUAAUAAUUUAAUUUUUCCUUUUAAUUAAUGUCCAAAAAAAUCAUUGUAAGAGAGAUAAUAUUAUAAAAGUAAGCUAAAAAAAAAUAAUGACAGAUAUGUCAAUUGUUUAAUGACCAGGAGUUUUGAGUUAUUUUUAAAAAUAUAAGAACUCAAAAUAUAAGAAUUAAAUGAGUUUCGACACAUUCUUUUUAGUGCUCUAUGACUCUUAUGGAAGUAUAACUUUGAUUAUUAAACACACGCCUCUGCACGUUUUUGUUCACCGUAGGACUGCCAUAAACAAAUAUCGACAUCGUUGAUUAUUAUAAACACAUGCAUUGGCACGUUAGAAUUCCCUCAUGAAAAAAUAUGACUACUUUUUGCGUUCUGGUUUGGUUCAUAGUUCCUAUUUUUUAUCCUUGGCCGCGAGGCUCAUAUUCUUAUUGAUCCUAGAUCCACACACUCUUUUGUUUCCCGUACUUUUGCUAUGCACAUAGGGGGAGAGCCCGAACUAUUAGAUUGUGGUUUAGUUGUUCGUACACCUACCGGAAAGUCAUUACUUGCUGAGAGUGUGUAUCGAGAUUGUAUGAUUGGAAUGGUUGAACAUGAAUUUGAGGCGAAUUUAAUUUCCUUAGACAUUCAUGACUUUGAUGCUAUUUUGGGCAUGGAUUGGCUUGAAUCUCAUUAUGCUACAGUGGAUUGUUUCAAAAAGGAUGUUGUGUUUAAAAAGCCAGGGAAGACUGAGGUGAUAUUCUGUGGGGAGCGCAAAGUUCUACCUUCAUGUGUUAUAUCUGCCAUUAGUUCAAGACGGUUGCUAAGAAAAGGAUGCUCGGCUUAUUUAGCUCAUGUGAUAGAUACAGAAGCUCGAGAAUUGAGAUUGGAGGAUAUUGCAGUAGUCAAAGAAUUUCCAGAUGUAUUUCUAGACGAACUUCCUAGGAUGCCACCUAACAGGGAAGUUGAGUUUUCUAUUGACUUAGUCUCUGAAACAUCUCCUAUAUCUAUGGCACCAUACAGGAUGGCUCCAGUAGAGUUGAAGGAACUGAAGGUUCAAUUGCAAGAGUUGGUGGAGAAACGGUUUAUUAGACCUAGUGUGUCCCUGUGGGGAGCUCCAGUCUUGUUUGUUAAGAAAAAUGAUGGGACUUUUAGACUCUGCAUUGAUUACAGGCAGUUGAACAAAGUUACGGUACGCAAUAAGUAUCCACUUCCGCGUAUUGAUGACUUGCUUGAUCAACUCUAGGGGGUAAAAGUAUUUUCUAAGAUCGAUUUGCGCUUGGGUUACCAUCAGCUUAGAAUUAAAGAUGUUGACGUUCCUAAAACAGCAUUUAGAACUCGUUAUGGGCACUAUGAGUUCUUAGUGAUUCCAUUUGGGUUUACAAAUGCUCCAGCUGCUUUUAUGGAUCUCAUGAAUAGGGUAUUUCGCUCGUACCUGGAUCGGUUUGUGAUUGUAUUUAUUGAUGAUAUCUUGGUGUAUUCUCGAAGUGAGGAGGUGCAUGCAGAGUAUUUGCGGACUAUUUUACAGACUUUGAGACAGAAGCAGUUGUAUGCCAAGUUCAGCAAGUGCGAGUUCUGGUUGGACAGAGUAGUAUUUUUGGGCCAUGUGAUAUCAGCUGAAGGCAUUUAUGUCGAUCCUCAAAAGAUUGAAGCAGUUGUGCAAUGGGAACGACCUACAAAUGUCACAGAGGUUCGGAGUUUCCCUGGAUUAGCUGGUUACUAUCGUAGAUUUGUGGAGGGAUUCUCCAAGAUUGCUACUCCUCUGACACGGAUAACGAGAAAGAAUGCUAAAUUCCAGUGGGAUGAUGAUUGUGAAAAGAGUUUUCAAGAACUUAAGACACGUUUGACCUCAGCACUAGUUCUUACACUUCCAUCUGGUAAUGAAGGAUUUGUGGUUUACAGCGAUGCCUCUAGGCAGGGAUUGGGUUGUGUGUUGAUACAGCAUGGGAAAGUGGUGGCUUAUGCUUCUAGACAACUUAAGAAGCAUGAGCAAAACUACCCAACACAUGACUUAGAGCUAGCAGCAGUGGUGUUUGCACUCAAGACAUGGCGGCAUUACUUAUAUGGGGUAACGUGUCAGAUUUUCACUGAUCAUAAGAGCAUGAAGUAUUUGUUUACUCAGAAGGAGUUGAAUUUGAGACAGAUGAGGUGGAUCGAGCUGAUUAAGGACUACGAUUGCACUAUUGAUUAUCAUCCGGGCAAAACAAAUGUGGUAGCUGAUGCACUAAGUAGAAAGUCUCCCAACUCUAUUGCUCACUUGCGAGUGAAAUAUAUGCCUCUGUUGAUUGAGUUGAGAUCUUUGGGAAUCGAGUUGAACGCUGACAAUUGUGGAGCUUUGAUAGCUAAGUUUCGAGUUAGGCCGACUUUGAUUGACAAAGUUUACCAGAUGCAAGCUCAGGACCCACAGUUAAUGAAGUUGAAAAAGGAUGUGCAAAAAGGUUUACGAACCAAUUUUACGGUGAGAGGCAACGGAGUCUUAGUCAUGGGUAAUAGACCCUGUGUACCUGAUAUUAAAGAUCUAAAAGAAGAGAUUAUGGAAGAAGCUCAUUGUUCAGCAUAUGCGAUGCAUCCUGGUAGUACGAAGAUGUACCGCACCCUAAGGGAUCAUUAUUGGUGGCAGGGCAUGAAGAGAGAGAUAGCAUAAUUUGUUUCUCGAUGUUUAGUCUGUCAGUAGAUUAAGACUAAACACCAGAGGCCUGCAGGGUGUUCUCAGCCGCUUCCUAUUCCUGAGUGGAAGUGGGAGCACAUCACCAUGGAUUUUGUAGUAGGACUUCCACGUACUAAGAAAGGACAUGAUAGUGUUUGGGUGGUUGUUGAUCGACUUACAAAAUCUGCUCACUUCUUACCAUUCAAAAUCACCUAUUCGAUGGACAAGUUAGGGAGUAUUUAUGUGGCUGAGAUAGUUCGACUUCAUAGAGUACCUGUGUCCAUAAUCUCAGAUAGAGAUUUUCGGUUUACUUCUAAGUUCUGGACCAGCUUGCAAAAUGCUUUAGGCACCAAGUUGAACUUUAGUACAGCUUUUCAUCCACAGACUGAUAGACAGUCAGAGCGUACUAUUCAAACUCUGGAAGAUAUGUUGCGAGCUUGUGUUAUGGAGUUUAAAGGUAAUUGGGACAAUCAUUUACCUCUGAUGGAGUUUUCUUACAACAACAGCUAUCAAGCUAGUAUUGAGAUGGCACCAUAUGAGGCUUUGUAUGGUAGAAAAUGUAGGACUCCAGUAUGUUGGGAUGAGGUUGGUGAACGGAGGUUAUUCGGUCCAGAACUAAUCCAGGAUACUAAUGAGAAGAUACAAUUGAUCCGGGAUAGAUUAAAAGUGGCCCAAGAUAGACAGAAGAGCUAUGCAGACAAGCGUAGACGGGAACUUGAAUUCGAAGUUGGUGAUAGAGUUUUCAUACGGAUAUCUCCUUGGAAAGGGGUGCUUCGAUUUAGGAAACGUGGGAAGCUAAGUCCACGUUACAUUGGGCCAUAUGAGAUCAUUGAGCGCAUCGGUCCAUUAGCUUAUCGAUUAGCUCUACCACCCGAGUUAUCCAGAAUCCACGAUGUGUUUCAUGUCUCAAUGCUUCAGAAGUACAUAUAUGACCUGAGUCAUAUGUUAUCGAAGCAGCCAAUUCAGUUGAAAGAAGAUUUGACUUACAAAGAGGAACCAGUGGAGGUACUGGAAGAUAAACACCAAGUUCUGCGUUCUAAGACCAUUCCUCUAGUAAAAGUACGGUGGAGGAAUCAUACAAAGGAAGAGACUACCUGGGAACACGAGGACUUAAUGCGAGCUCAGUAUCCCUAUCUUUUCUUAUUAGGUACGUAAAUUUCGAGGAUGAAAUUUUUAUAAGGGGGGAGGAUUGUAACAUAUGUGAAUUAAAAAUGAAUAAAAAGAGGCGGUUAAGAAGUUAACAAAAGAAGAAGCUGGAAAACAAAGCAAAACAGAGCCACACGUGUGUGAGAGAGUGAGAGAGAGAAGCUGUCAACUAGACCCGAAAACCUGACCCGGAACCUGCGAACGUGACCCGGCCAUAUCUCCCAUUUCCGGCCACUGUUUCGGCCGAGCUUGGUACCAAUUUGAAGCUUAGAAGUCGGCCGUUGUUCCCCUGCCAUCCUCGUCGCCGAAAAGCAACCGGAACACCGGCAAUCGAGGCUUGGAAACCCGCGACUGUUUCGCUUUGUUCCGCUAGGAUUUUCACCGAUUUUGGGUGACACCACCAGUUGGAUUUUUGUUCCCCGCGACUCCCUCUUCCAUUUCCGACCAUCCACUGCCGCCCGGGACAUCGUUUUGCCGUUGAUCGGUCGUUGAAAGACUUACGGCUUUGGGAGCUCGAUCCGGGGCCAUCGCCGCGUGUGGGAGGUCACCACCACCACCGUUGCACUCAGUGUGGCUAGAACUUUCAGACUUGAGUUUUUCGGCCAGCAUUGACCAAAUUCCGGUGAUUGUUUAUCGGCAAGGGCAUUUCGAUAAUUUCACACUCUGAGGGCAAUUUUAUAAUUUCUGAGCCUGUGGAUAUUUUAGUAAUUCCUAGAAUUGAGGAUUGGGUGUAAUUACGAUUUUGAUGGUAAUUCGGUGAUUUACAAUUUUAGAGUAUUUUAAUAAUUUACGAACUCGAGGGUAUUUUAGUAAUUUUAUCGACGCGGGAGUUGUAAAUUAUGGAUAGAUGUUCGUUUCGAGUUUAUUGCAUAAAUUUAGUCUUAAUUCAGAUUUACGAAAAAUAAUUAUGUCAUUUCCUUGAUUUAGGAGGAUCCGCGAGCGAGAACCGGUCCGCGGACGUGGACGAUAACCGAACGUGAACACCGUUACUGUGAGUGGAAUAUACAAAACCUAUUUUCAUAGUUAAUUAUGAUAGUAAUGCAUGUUUGCGAAAUAAGUAUUUUAAAUGUUAUGAUUUAAUGAUUUCUCGAAAUGGAUUUUAUUCACGCAUUGAUGUUAUAUUAAAAUAUUUGGUUAAUGAUUUUUGUAUCGACUUUGAAUAAAGCAUGAUAAUAUUUUAAAGAUAAGAAAAAUGGAUUCAAAUGUGGUAUGAUUUAAAGUAUGGUUAAAAGGUAUGUGAAUAUGAGUAUAAUGAUUGUUUUUAAAAUCAUUAGACAGUACCCUUCCCCUCUAGAUACAAUGAUGCAGAUGAUAUGAAAUGAGAGGCCUUUGGGGCCCGUCUGAACACACAUAGAGGCUUUGGGCCAUGUGUUUGGGCGCUUUUGCCUUUUGGGGGCAUAUGCAUGAGGUAUGAUGAUUACAAAGAUACAGAUAUGAGAUACAGACAGAUAUUGAGAUACAGGCCUUUGGGGCCCGUCUGAGCACACACAGAGGCUUUGGGCCGUGUGCUUGGGCGCUUUUAUCCUUUGGGGACUAGAUUAUGCAUGCACAUAUAUGAUGAGAUAUGAGAUGGUAUUUCCCUGUCUAUCCGUGUAGCUCCAAGGCGUGACGGUACCCAGAUAGUACGUCAUUGCCCGUCCGUUGAGGUCCAGAUAUGAUGAGAUUAUUUCCCUGGGUACUUGUUUGGUGAUGAUUUUCAGAUUUGUGUAUCCUAUAUGAUAUUGUGAUAUGAUUUCCAUGGUUAUUAAUCUGAUUUAAAUGUUAAAUGAUUUAUUACUGGUUUCUCGCAUAUGAUUUGAUGAAAUCGUGUUUGGAAAUGAUAUGAUUAUCUCUUUUAAAGUGCUAUCCACUCACUAAUCUCACUGAGUUUUAAACUCACCCCUUUUUUUAUUAUAUUUCCCCCCCCCUCACCAGGAGGUUGCAGGUACACCAGACCGACCCAGCGAUUGUAAAUAGAUUUUGAGUCUUGGCCACGUGAUGGUGUUAGAAGAUAUAAAUGUUUUUGUUAGGACAUCUUGGUUAUCUCGUCCUGUUGGGAUUGUAUAAUUUUGUUAUAUUAUUCUUUUGGGAUUAAGAAUAAACUGAGAUAUUAAUAUUAGUUAUAAUAUUAUCUUUUGAGACUCUGGAGAUAUAAAACUCAGCAUUUUGGUUGAGGAUGUUGAUCACUGGAGUUUGUUGUAUAUUGAAUUAUAUUGGGAGUGUUAUAUUCAUAUUUGUAGAUUGAGAGUGUUAUAUAUAUAAAGGAGACUCUGCCGAAUUUUCGGUAGAAUCCUUACUAAUUAGAUUAUUAUUAAGUCUGUUUUGAUGUGAUUAGAUUGACUCGCCCGGGGGGAUUCAGGGCGGGUCGUUUCAUACGGUUUCCCCUAUCACGCUAUAAGCUACCAUAUCUCUGAUAUGUGUUAAAACUCUAAUAUUUGACUGCAUAGACAGUUAAUCGAAGAAAAAGAAAAGAAAGGGGAGGGGGGGUGGUGUUGGAAAAGAAAGAAAUCAGACAGAUUAAAAAGAUCUAGCAUUGAAGGUGACAAAAUUCUACUAUACUUGGAAAUUAUGAAUUUACCCUUCAUCUUCAACCUCCCAAGGCUUCCAACGUAGGUCUUUAACUUCCAAAAGACAGUUUAUUGCUACGGGCAGGUAAGCAUUUGGUUCAUGAGAAAAUUUGUCAAUAAAGUGUAAUAAAGCUGUAUUAGAGUUGUUGCAAGAAUGUUGUUGUCUAGAGACCUACCUACCUAUCAUUUCUCUCCCCUUGGAUGAGAGAGUGAUUCGAUUCACUUAUUAUUAGUAUUUUUUUUCCUUGAUAAGAGUAGCUUGGAUCCGCUUAUUAAUCAGCCUAAAUCUCGAAUUAUAGUCCCAAUUAUUCGUAAAUGCCAGAUCAGGUAAGUUAUUAAUCAUUACCAAAAAAAAAAAUGAAAUAUUGAGAUCCCUAGUUUUAUUAUUCUAAUUAUUAGUUGUUCCUAUUAUUACUAUCGCUAGCUGGCAAUAAGCUGUCAAUUUCCUAUAAGCAAACAAGACGGUCGUUGAGCGUACUUGUAAGGAUACUGACGCCUCUGUGGUUUAGUAAAGGAACAUGGAGACUCUCGUCGUAUUUUCAAAAAUGGUAUACAGACCUCAUUUUAGACAAACAAAAGAAGUUUUUUUUUUUUUUUUUUUUUUUUUUUAAAGGCAAACUUUGGGGUUCAAUGUGAGACGGUGAUUGUUUUUUAACACAAAAGAUAUUUAAAAAAGUACGUCCCGAAUAAUUGCUAUUUGUGGAGGCUCGUCCUACACGUUUACAAGAAAUUGUUAGAACUUGUAGAAAAGGACGAAAUCUCUAGUCAUGGAGAGCAUUGCCAUUUAUGGCUCAAUGUCCAAAAUGAAUUUAGUGAUUCAACUGAGAAUGAUACUUUAGACUUUUGUAAUUUCAGCAUUUAUUUUUUGAUUUAUUGAUUUCAUCAAUAAUACUGGGAAUUCCAUGCUUUUGACUUUCAAAUGGAGUCUCAAUCAUGUGGUAGGUCGUAAAAACUUUUAUUCUUUUUCUGUAAUAGAUAAUUUGACUCUCGUACAAUAAUAAAGAUCCCAAAAUGUACAUUAUUAGUCACAUAUAUUUCUAUUAUUGAUCAAUAUGAGGAUCAAUAAAAGAUGCUUUACUUGAAUUAGAAGAAAUUAGUGAAAAUUCUAAAAUAAAUAGUGAAGUUAAGUGUUUAGCAACGUAUGAAUUAAAAGAUUUUGAAUUCAUAUUAGGUGUGAUUAUUUAGUUUGAUAGUAUUUGUUGUUAUUAUUUGCUGUAAGUAAGAUCUUGCAAAAAGAAGAUGUGCGUAUUGAUAUUGCCAUAGACCAGCUUAAAGGUUUUUUUAUUUUUCCCUUUGAAAGCCAUAGAGAAAAUGGAUUCACAUCUAUUAUGAUUUUAGCAAAAGAUAUUGCAAGUGAAAUGGAAAUAGAACCUAGAUUUCAUGAGAAAAGUAUAAUUCACAGAAAAAAAAAUAAAUUUGAUGAAAAUGUUAGUGAACAGGGAAUUUUGUCUCUUGAAGAGUCUUCUAGAAUUAAUUAUUUUGUAUAUAUAGUAGAUCAAGCUAUUUCAUCAAUAAGAAUAGAUUUGAAUAAUUUCAAAUGUAUGAUAAUAUGUUUGGAUUUUUGUUUAAUUUCAAAAAAUUACAAUUGUUAAGUGACUAUGUUUUAAAAACUUAUUGUGUUAAUCUCAAAAAUGCUUUAAAACAUGAUACACUAUCUGACAUAGAUGGUUUAGAUUUGUCUUAAGAGUUGAGAAUUUUAAACGAAGUUUUUCCAGGUGAAAAAAUACUACUUAAUUAUUUAAAAAAAUUGAUUCUGUCCGAAAUGCAUAUAUUGCUCAUAGAAUAUUGUUAACAAUAUUAGUAGCAGUUGCUUCUGCAGAAAGAAGUUUUUUAAAAUUAAAAUUAAUAAAAACUUAUUCAAGAUUAACAAUGUUGCAAGAAAGGUCAGCUGAAUUAGCUAUAUUGUUUAUUAAGAAAAAUAUAUUAGUAAAAUUAGAAUAUAAAAAUUUGGUUAAUAAUUUCGAACCUCAAAAAAUUAAAAAAAUUAGCUUUAAAAAUUAUAAUUUUGCAAAAUUUUAAUAAAAAUAACUGAAUUUAUUUAUUAAAAAUAUAAUUUGCAAAUUUUUAUUAAAAUAAUUGAAUUUAUUUAUUAAAAAAUAAAUCCAAAAAUUUAAAUAAUUUAGGGGAUUUUUAUUAAAUUCAAAAAUUUUGCAAUUAUUUUUAUAAUUAUAUUUUUAUUAAUAUAAUUGUUAGUAAAAAAUAAAAACUUUAAUUUUGGGAUUUAUGUUUUAUUAAAUUUAGGGGUAUUUUAUGAUUAUAAUUUUUUUAUUUCUAAAAAUUUUUUAAAAUAAAAUGAUCUUUUAAUUUUUUAGAGGUAAACUUGUUAUUUCGUUUAAAUUAUGUAACAGUGUUAAUGCAAAAGUAGCUAAUUGAUACAAAUUUAAAAAGAAAGGUGGUGCAGAGAACAUGUUAAAAUUUUGUUGUGAUUGGAUGAACAUAAGACAAAAUAAAGGUGGUGCAAUUUCAAAAACUACUAUCCACUCACUGAUCUCACCGAGUUUUAAACUCACCCCAUUUUUUAUUAUAUUUCCCCCACCCCCCCCCCCCUCACCAGGAGGUUGCAGGUACACCAGACCGACCCAGCAAUUGUAAAUAGAUUUUGAGUCUUGGCCACAUGAUGGUGUUAGAAGAUAUAAAUGUUUUUGUUAGGACAUCUUGGUUAUCUCGUCCUGUUGGGAUUGUAUAAUUUUGUUAUAUUAUUCUUUUGGGAUAAACUGAGAUAUUAAUAUUAGUUAUAAUAUUAUCUUUUGAGACUCUGGAGAUAUAAAACUCAGCAUUUUGGUUGAGGAUAUUGAUCACUGGAGUUUGUUGUAUAUUGAAUUAUAUUGGGAGUGUUAUAUUCAUAUUUGUAGAUUGGGAGUGUUAUAUAUAUAAAGAAGACUCUGCCGAAUUUUCGGCAGAAUCCUUACUAAUUAGAUUAUUAUCAAGUCUGUUUUGAUGUGAUUAGAUUGACUCGCCCGGGGGGAUUUAGGGCGGGUCGUUUCAUACGGUUUCCCCUAUCACGCUAUAACCUACCAUAUCUCUGAUAUGUGUUAAAACUCUAAUAUUUGACUGCAUAGACAGUUAAUCGACGAAAAAGAAAAGAAAGGGGGGGGGGGGGGUGGUGUUGGAAAAGAAAGAAAUCAGACAGAUUAAAAAGAUCUAGCAUUGAAGGUGACAAAAUUCUACUAUACUUGGAAAUUAUGAAUUUACCCUUCAUCUUCAACCUCCCAAGGCUUCCAACGUAGGUCUUUAACUUCCAAAAGACAGUUUAUUGCUACGCGCAGGUAAGCAUUUGGUUCAUGAGAAAAUUUGUCAAUAAAGUGUAAUAAAGCUGUAUUAGAGUUGUUGCAAGAAUGUUGUUGUCUAGAGACCUACCUACCUAUCAUUUCUCUCCCCUUGGAUGAGAGAGUGAUUGGAUUCACUUAUUUUUUUUCCUUGAUAAGAGUAGCUUGGAUCCGCUUAUUAAUCAGCCUAAAUCUCGAAUUAUAGUCCCAAUUAUUCGUAAAUGCCAGAUCAGGUAAGUUAUUAAUCAUUACCAAAAAAAAAAUGAAAUAUUGAGAUCCCUAGUUUUAUUAUUCUAAUUAUUAGUUGUUCCUAUUAUUACUAUCGCUAGCUGGCAAUAAGCUGUCAAUUUCCUAUAAGCAAACAAGACGGUCGUUGAGCGUACUUGUAAGGAUACUGACGCCUCUGUGGUUUAGUAAAGGAACAUGGAGACUCUCGUCGUAUUUUCAAAAAUGGUAUACAGACCUCAUUUUAGACAAACAAAAGAAGUUUUUUUUUUAUUUUUAUUUUUUUAAAGGCAAACUUUGGGGUUCAAUGUGAGACGGUGAUUGUUUUUUAACACAAAAGAUAUUUAAAAAAGUACGUCCCGAAUAAUUGCUAUUUGUGGAGGCUCGUCCUACACGUUUACAAGAAAUUGUUAGAACUUGUAGAAAAGGACGAAAUCUCUAGUCAUGGAGAGCAUUGCCAUUUAUGGCUCAAUGUCCAAAAUGAAUUUAGUGAUUCAACUGAGAAUGAUACUUUAGACUUUUGUAAUUUCAGCAUUUAUUUUUUGAUUUAUUGAUUUCAUCAAUAAUACUGGGAAUUCCAUGCUUUUGACUUUCGAAUGGAGUCUCAAUCAUGUGGUAGGUCGUAAAAACUUUUAUUCUUUUUCUGUAAUAGAUAAUUUGUCUCUCGUACAAUAAUAAAGAUCCCAAAAUGUACAUUAUUAUUCACAUAUAUUUCUAUUAUUGAUCAAUAUGAGGAUCAAUAAAAGAUGCUUUACUUGAAUUAGAAGAAAUUAGUGAAAAUUCUAAAAUAAAUAGUGAAGCUAAGUGUUUAGCAAUGUAUGAAUUAAAAGAUUUUGAAUUCAUAUUAGGUGUGAUUAUUUAGUUUGAUAUUAUUUGUUGUUAUUAUUUGCUGUAAGUAAGAUCUUGCAAAAAGAAGAUGUGCGUAUUGAUAUUGCCAUAGACCAGCUUAAAGGUUUUUUUAUUUUUCCCUUUGAAAGCCAUAGAGAAAAUGGAUUCACAUCUAUUAUGAUUUCAGCAAAAGAUAUUGCAAGUGAAAUGGAAAUAGAACCUAGAUUUCAUGAGAAAAGUAUAAUUCGCAGAAAAAAAAAUAAAUUUGAUGAAAAUGUUAGUGAACAGGGAAUUUUGUCUCUUGAAGAGUCUUCUAGAAUUAAUUAUUUUGUAUAUAUAGUAGAUCAAGCUAUUUCAUCAAUAAGAAUAGAUUUGAAUAAUUUCAAAUGUAUGAUAAUAUGUUUGGAUUUUUGUUUAAUUUCAAAAAAUUACAAUUGUUAAGUGACUAUGUUUUAAAAACUUAUUGUGUUAAUCUCAAAAAUGCUUUAAAACAUGAUACACUAUCUGACAUAGAUGGUUUAGAUUUGUCUUAAGAGUUGAGAAUUUUAAACGAAGUUUUUCCAGGUGAAAAAAUACUACUUAAUUAUUUAAAAAAAUUGUUUCUUUCCGAAAUGCAUAUAUUGCUCAUAGAAUAUUGUUAACAAUAUUAGUAGCAGUUGCUUCUGCAGAAAGAAGUUUUUUAAAAUUAAAAUUAAUAAAAACUUAUUUAAUAUUUACAAUGUUGCAAGAAAGGUCAGCUGAAUUAGCUAUAUUGUUUAUUAAGAAAAAUAUAUUAGUAAAAUUAGAAUAUAAAAAUUUGGUUAAUAAUUUCGAACCUCAAAAAAUUAAAAAAAUUAGCUUUAAAAAUUAUAAUUUUGCAAAAUUUUAAUAAAAAUAACUGAAUUUAUUUAUUAAAAAUAUAAUUUGCAAAUUUUUAUUAAAAUAAUUGAAUUUAUUUAUUAAAAAAUAAAUCCAAAAAUUUAAAUAAUUUAGGGGAUUUUUAUUAAAUUCAAAAAUUUUGCAAUUAUUUUUAUAAUUAUAUUUUUAUUAAUAUAAUUUUUAGUAAAAAAUAAAAACUUUAAUUUUGGGAUUUAUGUUUUAUUAAAUUUAGGGGUAUUUUAUGAUUAUAAUUUUUUAUUUUUUAAAAUUUUUUAAAAUAAAAUGAUCUUUUAAUUUUUUAGAGGUAAACUUGUUAUUUCGUUUAAAUUAUUUAACAGUGUUAAUACAAAAGUGGCUAAUUGAUACAAAUUUAAAAAGAAAUGUGGUGCAGAGAACAUGUUAAAAUUUUGUAGUGGUUGGAUGAACAUAAGACAAAAUAAAGUUGGUGCAAUGAUAAAUUUCUUUUUUAAAAAAAAAAAUACAAUCCAUAAUGCAAUUUUCUCCUAUAAAAAUUAUACUGCAUAAGUGAGGCUAAAAAAAUAAAAUAUUAGAUAAAUGAACUUUGUGAAUGCUACCAGUCAGGUUGCAUAAAUAAUGCAAAUGUUGAUCGGUCAACACCAUAAGCCUCCUCUCCUCUUGGCGCCUACCAGAAAACAAGAGAUUAAAUAUUGUAAUCGAAAUUGGAUCUAAAAUUUAGAACAUAAGAAAUUUAUAGCCUUAUCAUGAUUGUGUCUAUAGAAGUUAAAUCAUUGGAAAAACCUAGAUUAUUCCUACACACUCUGUAAUGAACUUAACUUUGUUGAAGCUAUCAUUUUGGAAAACAUGGUUGAACCUAUUUCAAUGUCAUGUUUCAGAAGUAAGAACUUGAGAAAGAGGAAUAAUUAAGCGAACAACAUAUUCAAAAAAUUUACUCUUUUCCCACUAAUUUAAUUCAGGGUCUUCUUAAUUUUCUAAUUAAAAUCUACAUGUCAAAUGCAAUUUACAUGAAUUACGCCUAAUUAUAUUUCUACAUUGCCAGGUGCGAACACCUAAAUCGUCCCCAUUUUGCCAUAAUCUAAAAAAGCUAAAGAUUGAAGCAUUACCUUAGGCUGUGAUAACUGUGCUGCCUUGUGAAUGGCUAUCACUGUUGUGUGAUGGCUGUUGGUGGUGGCGGCGACGAUGGCUGGGUAUGGGUGAUGGUGGCUGUGAGUUGUGGAUGGCGAAUGGCAAUUUCAGAUGUGAAUUGCGGUGGAUCGUGAAUGGCUGGACCUCGGUCAAUGAAGGAAAAGAGAAAAUAUUUGGCAAACAAAACGCUGCGUUUUGCCUGUGCGUUUUGAUUUUUCGAAGUUUGACCCAGGAUUUGACUCGAUGCAAAUAUCAUUUUCAAUUUAUUUAUUAUUAUUUUUAUUUUUCAUGAGACUUAUCAAAUUGUGAUUUAAUGGUUAAUAGUUGUUUCAUAUUGUGUCAAAAAAGAGAGGCUCCCCGAAUAAGCCUCGCACCAACUAGUCGAAGUUUGUAUGCGCAUGUGCUUAUGUAUUGCACACUGAAUCAUUGUGUCAAAAAGGAGAGGCUCUGACUCCCUAACAUGCCCUGUACCAACUAGUCUAAUUUUUCAUAAGCAUGUAGCUCAUGCGCUGCACCACAGUGUAAUGCAUCAAAAUCAAGAAAAAAAAGGUGAAAUAUGCUAUUUCUCUUUUAAGAGAAAUUCUAAAAUAUAUAAGAGGUAAUAUAAUUAAAUUUUUUAUAUAAGCACCAGUUAUAUGUUGGUUCUUCAAACUAAAUGUACUUAUACUAUAAAAUUAUUUAGUUAUUGUAUAAAUGACAUGGUACAUUAAAAGAAUUCUAAAAUUUCUCUUUCUGCCCCCCUUGUCAUUUUCAACUAUUAGUCAAUGAGAUGGCAUUUUACAUGCUGAUAUGUUGCCUAGCAGAAACUCUUAUGUUUCGAGAUUGAUGAUCCCAAGAAAAUGGCACAAAUAUCUCUUCUAAUGGUAUUUUACAGGUUGUUGACCAAAAGUUGCAUGUGUUUUGGAAGACCAAUGGUAUUUGCAUUUUGUUUGCAAAUUCUAGUAAAGUCCGGCUGUACAAGAAUUCUCUUUGGACAAAAGCUCGUUUAUUUCUAAUAUUUUUAGGUUAAUGUUCUUUUAAUCACUAUAUUUUAAAAAAUUCCUCAAAACAUCCCUAUUGUUAAAUUAUUGACACCAUUGUUAGGGUUACUUUUUGUUCUCAUAUAAUAAUGUUUAUUUUUUGGACAUUAAUAAAAAAAUUAGAUUAUCAAUUUAAUCCCAAAAAUUUAAUGUGGAAGACUCUACUAAGUUAAUAUAUUAAAAUUUUUACUGAUGUCCAAAAAAAUUGGUAAUUUAAUUUUUUUACAAUAUUAAUUUUUUGACAUACAUAAUCUUCUUAGAAAAUUAAUAUAUAUUAUUUGUUUAUUAUUUUUUUGCGGCUAAAUUAAUAAUUUAAAUUUUAUUUUUAAUUAAUGUCCAAAAAAAUUAUUGUAAGAGAGAUAAUAUUAUAAAAGCAAGCUAAAAAGAAAAAAAUAACGACAGAUAUGUCAAUUGUUUAACAACCAAGAAUUUUGAGUUAUUUUUAAAAAUAUAAGAACUCAAAAUAUAAGAAUUAAACGAGUUUUGACACAUUCUUUUUAGUGCUCUAUGACUCUUAUGGAAGUAUAACUUUGAUUAUUAAACACAUGCUUCUGCACGUUUCUGUUCACCGUAGGACUGCCAUGAACAAAUAUCGACAUCGUUGAUUAUUAUAAACACAUGCAUUUGGCACGUUAGAAUUCCCUCAUGAAAAAAUAUGACUACUUUUUGCGUUCUGGUUUGGUUCAUAGUUCCUAUUUUUGAUCCUUAAUUUUUAUGACUUCGACAAUUAAUUUCUGUAGUUGAAGUAAUAUUAAAUUGUACUAUAUAUGUACACACACACACUUGCUUAUUACUGCGGAGGACUUGGGAUGUUUUAUUUGUAUGGAUUAAUCUUAACAUAAUUCUGAAGUGGUUUUAGUUACUGCAAGAAAUUGAACGAAUUAAAUUAAAAAUUUAAAGAAAUAAAUAAUAGUUUUUAUUUUGCGACAUAUUAUAAUGAAAAAGAUCAUCUACUUGUGUUGGCUUUGUUUAGUUUUAAAAAGCUUAUGUCACUUAAAGUCAUCUAUAUUAUUAAUCAUUUAUACUUUCUAUUGUUUUUAUCUUUACAAUCAACCUCCGAAUGCACAUUACUGUAUUGUCAACAUGCUCCAAGAAAAUAAGGUUUAGACAACAUGACUAUAACAACGUGUUAGAGUGUUCAAUCUAUUCAAUUCAUUUGAUCUGUAAAAAUCCCCUCGAUAAAAAUCCAAUCCAUGAAUUGACAGAUUAGAUGGAUUGAAAAAUUUUAAAAUCCACAAUUGAUGAAAUGGAUUUGCUUCUCCAAAUCCCUGAAAAUCAGCAAAUCCGUGUGUGUAUAUAAUUUAAAGAAUUUAAAAUUUAAAAAUGUUAUACUACUAGUAAAUAGGUUAAAAUCUAGUUAGGGUGGACGUUGACAACAAUUAAUUAUAUAAGCUUUCAAAUUUCAACUUUUGUAUUGAUUUAAUUCUAAAACUUAAGUUGAUUUUCUUCCACUGAUCUAGAAACAUCAGGAUUUUUUAUUUUGGUGUGCUAAAGUUCGAAACUUUGAAUGGCAUCCUUAAAAAACGAAUGGUCUUUCAGUAGUUGUCGUCGUGUGUCAUCACCUCCAACCUAUCCUACACCGAAGCUGAAACCAACUACUCCAGUGUUUUCAUAGUUUUUUAUUUAAGAGAGAAUAGGGAGUAAAGCUGAAAUGGUAUAUGGCUUCCGGAUUAUAUUUGUUUCAAAACGUAUGUUGAUUGAUUUAAUAGAUGUUGGGGUGGCGGUAUAAAGACCCUAUUAACAUAGCAUACCUAAACCCGUAUUUAAACUAUUGAUUUAUUUAGAUCUUGUUUAAAUUUGAAUUUGAUUGGCAUGCAGUAAAAUUAUUUUUAUAAUUAAAAUUUUUAUUUAAUUAUUUUAUGAAUUGAAUAGAAAGAAAUUUUUUUUAAUCCGUAUUGAAUUCGCAAAAGUGGAAUGAAUAUGGAUUAUAUCAAAUCCACUUCUAAUCUGAAGAAUUAUGAAUUGAAUUUAGAUUAAUUUUACUAAUUCAUGGAUUGAAUGGGAUUAAAAAUUUAUAACGAUUUUACACUAGUUGUCAAUUAUUAGAAUUUUUUCACAACGCGCUUUUGUAGAAUGUUGUGAGAUUGAACAUCUAUUGAAGAGUUUUUAACAACAUUCUUUCGCUUGUUGUCAAAUAUUAAAAUUAUUUUACAACACACAUUCACCAACCGCUGUUAAAUGGAAGUUUUUUGAAAUUAUUACAAAUUAUCACAAUCUACAAUAUAUUAAAAUCCAUUAUCUCCAAUCAACUUUUUGUUGAUAAUCAUUUUAAAAUUUAUUAAUUUGUUUUCCGCAAAAGUACUUUAUAACUGUAACAGAUAGAAUUUCGAUGUUAGUGCUCAACAUUAAGAUAUUGUUUGCAACUUUGUAUGCCUUUUUUUUUUCCUUAAAUUUACUUUGUAUAUUCUUAUUUCUACAUAAAACAAGAUUUUAAUGUAAUAAAUAGAACUUUUAUUAGUAGAAUUGAAUUUAUGAAUUUCUUGUCAUUUCUGCGUGCAUUUAUUGUGUAGUUUAUUGAAAGACUCUUUAAAAAAUUUGUAUGCAGGAAAAAAAAAGAUAAAUAAAUAAAGAUUAUACAACAUUCAUCGGAAUGUAUGGAUGAUGUAUGUGUCUUCUGGUACAAUAUUGACCUCGUUCGCACAGUAUGAUGUACUCCUUUUUUUUUCCCCCCAAAUGAAUAAAAUAAUUUUGUACUAUUAAGACUUAAAAAUUAAACGCUUUCAAAACUCAAAUGAGUACGAAAAGUAAAUCACAUGAACUUCUCCUCUGCCUAUAUAUAUAUAUAACCUCGUACAUCACCACAAACCAUAGAUUAAUUUGAGAAUCUUUGCCAAGUAUAACUGUAAGCUAGCUUACUCUACAUCUAUAUAUCCAAUGUCUUCUUGCAUUAAUGCCUCAACCUUGGUUACCUCUGUAAAUGGUUUCAAAUGUCUUCCUCUUACAACAAAUAAAGCAGCCAUCAGAAUCAUGGCCAAAAAUAAGCCAGUCCAAUGCCUUGUCAGCGCCAAAUAUGAUAAUUUGACAGUUGAUAGGAGAUCAGCAAACUACCAACCUUCAAUUUGGGACCAUGAUUUUUUGCAGUCACUGAAUAGCAAGUAUACGGUAUUGAUUAUUAUUAUUAUUAUUAUUAUUACGCAUUAAUUUCCUUUGUUCAUUUCAAAUUGGGCCCAUGAAUAACUAAAAACUAAAUGCUGUGCGUGUACAGGAUGAAGCAUACAAAAGACGAGCAGAAGAGCUGAAGGGAAAAGUGAAGAUAGCGAUUAAGGAUGUAAUCGAGCCUCUGGAUCAGUUGGAGCUGAUUGAUAACUUGCAAAGACUUGGAUUGGCUCAUCGUUUUGAGACUGAGAUUAGGAACAUAUUGAAUAAUAUCUACAACAAUAAUAAAGAUUAUAAUUGGAGAAAAGAAAAUCUGUAUGCAACCUCCCUUGAAUUCAGACUACUUAGACAACAUGGCUAUCCUGUUUCUCAAGGUACAUUUCAUUAAUUCGCUUCCUUCUUCAUGCACAUGCAUGAUCUGAAUACUUGAAUCGAUCUCUCCGUUUUUUUUUUCUUUUUUUUUUAAAUGUAAAGAAAUGGACGAAACCCAAAUCAGUUUUUUUUCUCUAUCUGUCUAAUUAAUAGAUGGAUCAAAAAUUUUGACGAAUGUAACGUUUUUUGGUUGAGUGCUGCAGAGGUUUUCAAUGGUUUAAAAGACGGCCAGGGAGGCUUCAUUUGUGAUGAUUUCAAGGGAAUACUGAGCUUGCACGAAGCCUCGUAUUACAGCUUAGAAGGAGAAAGCAUCAUGGAGGAGGCCUGGCAAUUUACCAGUAAACAUCUUAAAGAAGUGGUGAUCAGCAAGAGCAAGGAAGAGCAUGUAUUUGUAGCAGAACAAGCGAAGCGUGCACUAGAGCUCCCUCUGCAUUGGAAAGUGCCAAUGUUAGAGGCAAGGUGGUUCAUACACGUUUAUGAGAAAAGAGAGGACAAGAACCACCUUUUACUUGAGCUCGCUAAGUUGGAGUUUAACACUUUGCAGGCAAUUUACCAGGAAGAACUUAAAGACAUUUCAGGGUAUCCAUUUGAUUGCAUAACUCAUAUAUAUAUAGACAGACACACACACACACACACACAUCAAAGAUUUGAUUUUAUAAUUUACAUAACUUGUACAAUUUAAUCACAUGUAUAUUAAAUUAUUCUUAGGUGCAAACUCCGCCUUUUACAGAAGUUUAAAGGCAUGAGCUGUACUUUAUAUAGUGCAGACAUUGCGCCAGAGUAUGACUCUAUAUAUCGGUGUAUUGUAAAGCCUUUAUACACUUUAUAAAGUGCUAUUGUCUGCAUUACAGAAAGACUCUUCAGAAUUCCAGAUUGAAAGCUGACUCUAUAUAUAUAGAUAUAUAUAACAUGUAUCGUAAUAUUCGUUUCAAUUUCCCUAUGAAGGUGGUGGAAGGAUACAGGUCUUGGAGAGAAAUUGAGCUUUGCGAGGGACAGCUUGGUAGCAUCCUUCUUAUGGAGCAUGGGGAUAGGGUCUGAGCCUCAAUUCGCCUAUUGCAGGAGAAUAGUCACAAUUGCAAUAGCUCUAAUUACAGUGAUUGAUGACAUUUAUGAUGUUUAUGGAACUUUGGACGAACUUGAGCUAUUCACUGCUGCUGUUGAGAGGUUUGUUGGCAAACUAAUGUUAUAUUUAAUCGAUUGAUUCAAUUGCAAGCUAGCUGCCUGCUACUUCUCAAAUUAGUAGACCAUUUAUAAUUUUUUUUUUUUCUCUUUUCUACAGGUGGGACAUCCAUUAUGCUUUGAACCACCUUCCGGACUACAUGAAAUUGUGUUUUUUUUGCGCUUUACAACUUUGUUAAUGAAUUUGCUUAUUACGUACUCAAACAACAGGAUUUUGAUAUGCUUCGGAGUAUUAAAAAUUCAGUAUGUAAAAUGUUAAUUUCACCUCUCCCGCCGUUCCGUUCCUUUGAUUUAUCCUUUUUAAAUUACUAUGCUUUUGUCUCAAAAGUAAUAAAUUGUAACUAGCUUUAUUUUCUAUGUCAUGUGCAUCAGUGGCUGGGCUUACUACAAGCCUGCUUAGUGGAGGCAAAAUGGUACCAUAGUAAGUACACGCCAACGCUGGGAGAAUUCUUGGAAAAUGGAUUGGUAUCAAUAGGAGGCCCUAUGGGUACAAUGACUGCAUACCUUUCUGGGACAAAUCCAAUCAUUGAGAAGGAACUAGAAUUUUUAGAAAGUAAUCAAGAUAUAAUUCACUGGUCGUGCAAGAUUUUUCGUCUUCAGGAUGAUUUGGGAACUUCGUCGGUAUGUUUUCUUUUAUUUUCUUUUGAUUUUUAAGAAGAUAGAAAUUGAAUUAAUCCUCUAUAUACGAAUUGAUUGUGUAUUUUUUUCCCCAAUAAUUCAUCAGGAUGAGAUACAGAGAGGGGAUGUUCCGAAAUCAAUCCAGUGUUACAUGCAUGAAACUGGUGCCUCGGAGGAAGUUGCUCGUGAACACAUCAAGGAUAUGAUGAGACAGAUGUGGAAGAAGGUGAAUGCAUACAGAGCUGAUAAAGAUUCUCCCUUAUCUCAAAAUACAGUUGACUUCAUGUUGAAUCUUGUGAGAAUGUCCCAUUUUAUGUAUCUACGUGGAGAUGGGCACGGUGCUCAAAACCAAGAGACUAUGGAUGUAGCUUCUAUAUGGCUUUUUCAGCCCAUUCCCUUGGAGGACAAACACAUGGCUUUCACAGCACCAAAGGCUGAUGAAUUCCCAGAGUACAGUUUCAGUUGAUGUUGGCCAGACUUUUCUCCCUAUUGGGGGAUCGCUUUUCUAUAAUAUAAUAAACUCCCUCAUUCAUCGAGGUCUAUAAAUGAAAAGCAAAUGAUAUAUAUGUUGCUUUUAUUGAGAAUAAAAGUCGUCAGUAUAUGCAUAUACUUAAGUCAGGCUCAUUCCAAUUCCUACAAGAUGAGGAUGGAUGCAGUUAUACUCGAUUAUUCAAGCAUGGUUCAUAGCAUGUUAAGCACAAGGGCUACUUUCAGUAUACAUGCAUCACCCAUUUAAAUCGCAUUUGACAAAUCGUACCCAUUUAAAUUAAAUGAGGAUAGAAAUUAGAGCUGUGGCAUUUAAAGAAAAAAGUUACAAGGAUCAAAAAGUAAAUAUAACAAAAAAAUGAGUUCCUAAUUAUUGGGUUAGCUUAAAGAAGGAGCGCCUAAUUAUUGGAUUAGUCCAUUUUAAUUAUCUUCUAUUAUCAUAGUCAUUCCUAGAAACAAAUAUCCAACAAUGUCGUUUGUGUUUAUAAAAUAUGAGCGUAGAGACUUGGGUUCAAUCUUUCUAGUCUUCUCCAAACUUCGCCUCUAGCUACACAUAAGUUAGGACUUAAAUCAAAAUUCAAAUAUUAAAUUCUGUAUUUUUAUUUUUAUUUCAUUAUUUAUUUUAUGCCAAUAAGAAAAAUACAAAUAAUUUCCUUUCAUGAGCCUGACUGUUGACUCUGUGGUACUGGAAAUUUACAAAGCGAUGAAGUUGAUUGUGACUGCUGCCAGUUAACCCAAGUCAAAAAGCCACAUGUAGCACCGACUCAAAACUAUUCUAACUAGAAAUAAUUAAAGGCCACCAGCCGGAGGAGGUAUGAAAGUGGUCAUAGACAAAUGAACUUUUACUUCGGGAUUGCAACGCGAAAGACUUAUCACAGCUACGCUGUUUUGCAGGAACUCUGCUCCUCCGUAAUUUUUCAUCUUGGUAAAGUGAGAGCGACACUCAGAAGUACUCUCUGUUCACAACAUUUUAGAUCGAUUCUUCAAUGACCAUUUUUAUGCUUUUUUUAAUUAAAAAUACCCAAAGUUGGUGGGGUUAGGCAGGACCCCUUACCUGUAAAUUAUUGAAUAUAAAUAAAAUUACACAUGGAGGAGGACACAGAUCAAAAUCUACAGGAGGGCGGCUAAACAAAAGCUUACUAACAAGGGAAAGUUUGAAUGGUUAUGCCAUGGACUAGAUUUCUGCAGCUGAAAAGUGGAUAACAGGUUUACCAUGAAAUAUUAAAACCAGCUUUUCCCAAAUUGAAGAUUCCAGGGGGCCAGCAAUAGCAUCAACAAAAGACUUAGCAUUGGGGUUGAGGAUAACUGCAGGAUUAGUAAUAGAUGCAUAAGUAUAAUGGAGCGAAGAUGGAUGGCGUGAUGUAUGGUGUUAGUGAAACUGAUUAAAUGAGAAGAAGCAGAGCAGUCGUAUUCAUGCUGUUAUUAUAUGCUUGACAGUAGCUAAUCAGCUCACUUAAGUUGACGUGGAUUAGUUAGUUAUUUGUGUUAGCUCCCGCGUGUCUAUAACAACUUGUAACAAGCACAGAUAUGCUUGAAUAUAUAAUUGUGUGUAAGCUGCACUGAGUAGAUUAAUUAGAAUAUUCUAUAAGUUUCCAUAAUGAAAAUCUCUUUCACUUUCUUUUAUUUUCUUUAGCUUUCUCGACUGCCAAACACUAUUACUUUAGUUUUCUAUCAUGGUAUCAGAGCCAACAAUGGCAAAUAUUACACAAUCCAAUGCUUCCUUUAGCUUCAUUACACCAGUUAAGCUGGAUCAAAACAAUUUCAUUUUGUGGAGGACUCAAGUCUUGACAUCAAUCAAAGGGAAUAGUCUCGAAAGGUUCGUUAAUGGUGAUCGAAAAUGUCCAGAGCAGUUUCUUUCACUCUUCAACACUGAAGAAGCUUCAGGAUCAGACGUUAGUGAGUCUAGAUCUGUAAAUCCAGAGUUCGUUGCUUGGAUGAAAACAGAUCAACUCCUCUUGAGUUGGAUGAUGUCCUCUAUCCAGCAAAGUCUACUGUCUACGGUAAUUGAUUGUACAACUUCAAAACAACUGUGGGAAUCACUUAGCAGUAUGUUCAUUUCUCAAUCACAAGCUAGAAUUCAAACUCUUAGAAUGCAAAUUCAAACUGUUAAGAAAGGACCUAUGAGUAUGGCUGGUUACUUUGCUAAAAUAAAAUGUAUAGCAGAUACCUUAGCCUUAGCAAGGAAACUAGUUAAGCUUAAUGAUUUUGUUAUGCAUGUGCUGAAUGGUCUUGACUCCUCAGAUUGUGAAUCUUUGAUAACUACUGUUCUAGCAAGGGAAGGAACUAUUACUCUAGAUGAUUUGUAUUCACUGCUUCUAAAUCAUGAAAAUAGAAUUGAACAAAAGAAAUGAAAAAUUGCUAGUGAAGUCAUGCAUCAUAUGUCUGCAAAUGUUGCUCAAAAAGGUCAAUAUUCUGGCAAAAAUAAUAAUGGUUAUCAGAAAAACACUGGAGGUAGUUUUGGAAAUGAUAACAGUGGCUUUCAGAACAACAAUACUCCUCAGUUUCCUGGUGCUAGAAACUCUUCAGAUAUUAUCUGUCAAAUUUGCUUCAUUCCUGGACAUGGAGCAAACAAAUGCAGAAACAAGUUUAAUCCUUCAUUUGUUCCUCAGAAGAAUUUUGGCAAAGGAAAUUUCAGAGGUCAAUAUGGCAGAGGCAGGUCAUUCAAUGAUUUUGGUAGAGGUUUAAUGUUUCUUAGACAAAAUUUUAUGAAUCCUUAUGUGCCAAGAGGAGCAGCAUUUCAAGCCAAUAUGGCUUACUCAGAUCUUGCUUUCAUAACAGGCUACACACCUUUUAAUCCCUAUAACACUUUUACUCUUGGUUUCACUUAUGGUGUUUCUCCAUAUUUUCCUGGAAAUGUCACUAAUGGAAUGUCUAGUACUUCAGCACUACCAGCUCAAGCUCAAGCUACUUGUGUUGCAAAUCCUGAGAUCAUUGAAGAUCCUUCCUGGUAUAUUGACAGUGGAGCAACCAAUCAUAUCACAAAUGAUUUAGGGUCCAACAUAAGCUUUCAUUGGAUACAGCUCAAAUCAUAAGGGUUACCAGUGUCUUUACUCAUCUGGAAGAGUCUACAUUUCUAAUCAUGUGGUCUUUGAUGAGAAGUUUUUUCCUUAUGUCUCUGGUAUUGAUUCCUCUUCAGUCCUAGUGUCUUCUCAAACAGCCUCUGAGUGUCCUUCUUCUGUUAUUCAAAUUUCAGAUCCUUUAGCAACAACUUCAGCAUUUGAUUCUGCAGCUCCAGUAUCAACUACUUCUCAACCUCAGGUAUCAUCUCCAUCUUUUUCUCUGCCCUCAACUUCAAAUAUUUUACCUCAUCCAAAUGCUACACCUCUUUCUCAACAGCAUUCUUCAUCUUCCUUGAAUGAUAAUCCACCACAUAUUCUCCCUGCACCACCUCAUAUUGGUCAUCCUAUGCUAACUAGAUCUAAGCAUGGUAUCUUCAAACCAAAGUCUUAUCUGAACCUUAUUCUGUCACUCAAGCUUUAUCUGAUCCAUUAUGGUUCAAAGCUAUACAAGAAGAGUUCCAAGCUUUGCAAGCUAAUCAUACAUGGGAACUGGUGUUGCCUAUUGCUCCUGUUAAGGUUGUUGGAAAUAAAUGGGUCUUUAGGAUAAAAUAUAAUCCUAAUGGCUCUAUAUUAAAGUACAAAGCAAGGCUGGUGGCUAAAGGUUUUCAUCAGAUUUAUGGUGUUGAUUAUACUGAAACCUUUAGCCCAGUGGUAAAAGCUUCUAUUGUCUGGGUUGUUUUAAGUAUUGCAAUCAUGAAUAAUUGGAUGCUUCGACAAGUAGAUGUGAACAAUGUGUUUUUAAAUGGCAUUCUUGAUGAAGAAGUUUAUAUGGCACAGCCUGAAGGGUUUAUCAAUUCUCAUAAACCAUAGCAUAUUUGCAAGUUAAAGAAAGUACUAUAUGGCUUGAAGCUGGCUCCAAGAGCUUGGUUUGCUAGAUUCAAAACAACCAUGCUUUCUCAGUGGCAAUUUCAGAAUUCUAAGUCAGACAAUUCACUUUUCUACAAGAGAGAAAAUGGUCACUUGCUUUUGGUGUUGGUAUAUGUCGAUGACAUUAUCAUCACAAGUUCUAGCUCAGAUAAAGUUCAGCAAGUUAUUCAAGAUAUGCAGAAGACAUUUGCCUUGAAAGAUCUUGGAGAACUCAGUUAUUUCUUAGGUAUUGAAGUUUCAAACUUGCAGAAUGGACUUCAUUUAUCUCAAGCAAAAUUUAUUGCUGAUGUUUUAGCAAAGCAUGACUUGGUCCAUUGCAGUCCAGUUCCUACACCAAUGUCUACAGGUCAGUAUCUCACUAAAGCCUCAGGGACUGAUAUUCCAAAUGUUUCUCAGUAUAGAAGUCUUAUUAGGGCACUACAAUAUGUCACACUUACUAGACCAGAGAUAGCUUUCACUGUAAACAAACUUAGUCAGUUUUUAUCUAAUCCUAAAACUUCUCACUAGGAUGCUUGCAAAAGACUAUUACGGUAUCUCAAAGGCAUAAUUCAUUUUGGACUCCAAUUUUAUAACUGUAGAGCUAUACAAAUAAACUGUUUUUCAGGCUCAGAUUGGGCUUGUGAUCGAGAUGAUCGGAAAUCAGUGGCUGGUUUUGCUGUGUAUCUUGGUUCCAAUUUGGUUUCAUGGUCUUCCAAGAAACAAUAUACUGUCUCACGGUCUAGUACAGAAGCUGAAUAUAGAGCUCUAGCUCAUGCUACCUCAGAGGUUAUUUGGAUUCAAUCUCUGCUUGCUGAACUUUAAAUCAAGCUGAGCACAACCCCAAUUAUGUGGUGUGACAACCAAGGUGCAAUUGCUUUAGCCUACAAUCCAGUGUAUCAUGCAAAAACAAAGCAUGUAGAGUUGGAUAUUCAUUUUAUCAGAGACAGAGGUGCUUCAAAAGAAAUCACAGUGUGUUAUGUGCCAAGUGAAGAUCAAACAGCAGAUGUAUUGACCAAGGCUCUUACUUUUACUCAAUUUCAUCACUUGCGAAGUAAGUUAAAUGUUCAUCCUAGAUGCUCCAGUUUCAGAGGGGAUGUCAGUGAAAUUGAUGAAAUAAGACAAGAAGAGGAAGAUCAGAGUUGGCAUGGCUGGUCAAAUGAGAAAGAUCAGAGUAGACAUGACAAGAAGAGAAAUCCAGUUCAAGAGGGGAUGUUAGUGAAACUGAUUAAAUGAGAAGAAGCAGAGCAGUCAUAUUCAUGUUGUUAUUAUGUGCUUGACAGUAGUUAAUCAGCUCACUUAAGCUGACGUGGAUUAGUUAGUUAUUUGUGUUAGCUCUCACGUGUCUAUAACAACUUGGCUAACGAAUUGUAAUAAGCACAACUAUGCUUGAAUAUAUAAGUGUGUGUAAGCUGCACUGAGUAGAUUAAUUAAAAUAUUCUAUAAGUUUCCAUAAUGAAAAUCUCUUUCACUUUCUUUUAUUUUCUUUAGCUUUCUCGACUGCCAAACACUAUUACUUUAGUUUUCUAUCAUAUGGGAUACUUUUGGCCAUUUGUGCUUCAAAUAAUCUAUGUGCCAAAGCUCAGAACUAUUUUAACCAGAUGAAAGUUGAAGGCCAUUCGCCUAACGUAUAUCACUACAGCUCUUUGCUUAAUGCUUACUCCUCUGGUGGAGACUACAAGAAGGCUGAUGAAUUAAUUCAGGAUAUGAAAUCUUCAGGGUUAGUACCAAAUAAGGUUUGUUUCAUGUUUAUAUGGCCAUCCUAGUUUCAGGAGUUACUGGUGCAUUACUUAACAGUUGAGUUUUGCUCAUCUUGAAAUAGGAAAAAUGAAAAUUGAUGUAUACAUGUGAAUUUGGUAGAAUAGAGAAUUUGUACCGAAUUUCAAAUGACAAAAGAUCCGUGUUCUUCAAAAUUUAAGUUAUGAUACAUAGUUAUCACGGUGAAUUGAGCCCUACCCAACCUCAUUCUGUCUAUGCUUUCAAAAGCAAGUGUAAUUGUUUUGGUGCAGCAAAAAUGUAAUAGUAUUAUGGUACUUGGAUGCUAUCCUAAUUAGAGGAUGCUAUUUUAAAGUUAAGGACCAUGGGGUUUAUUCCCAAAGAUUAGUUGGUUUGUUUGGCCUUUUUCAGUGGAAGCAAGAAGUUAAGGGAUCAAGUCUAAAGGGAUACUUUAUAUUUGAUGACAAUGCUAUAUUUGCUGCAGGAUUUGAGCAAAAAUAAAAACAGUAUGAUUUGAUUAUGCUGUCAAUAAAAUCCUGCAAGAUUGUAGGAAACAUUUGUUUUUGAAUUUUAUGAUAUCAGAUAUAUGUUAAAGAUAUAUAGGCAGAUUUUUUGGCUUUGUUUUUUUCUUUUCUUGUAUAAAUUCAAAUAUUGCAUCAAUGAAUGUAAUGCAAUCAACAGCCCCAAUUUCUCUGUGUUCUCUUUUCUUUGUUUAAAACAAACAAAGUGGUAUCAGAGCCCUUAUUCUUAAGGGACCUGUAACGUGAUUAGAGAGGCUUCCUACACUUCAAUAUGGCAGGAAAUGGUUUCUUAUCUGCUCCUGCAGUUUUCACAGGUGAAAAUUAUCAAAUAUGGGCUGUGAAAAUGGAAUCUCACCUGGAAGCAUGUGACCUAUGGGACUUGGUGGAAGCAGAUCCGGAGGAUCCACCAUUAGCUCGUAUGAGGAAUAACAGGGAUGAAAGAAAAAGGAGAUAUAAGGCCAAGACAUGCAUUCACUCUGCAGUUUCAGAGACAAAUUUUACAAAGAUCAUGACCUGUGAAACAGCGAAACAUGCAUGGGAUCUUUGGAAGCAAGAAUAUCAGGGGAAUGUCAGGAUAAAAAAAAUGCAGGUCUUGAACCUAAGAAAGGAAUUUGAAAUGUAGAAAAUGAAGGAGACAAACAGUUAAUGACUAUAAAGACAAGUUGAUGAUGAUUGCUAAUAAAAUUAGAAUGCUUGGGGAAGAGUUUUCUGAUAGAAGGAUUGUAGAGAAGAUUUUGGUGACCUUGCCUGAGAGAUUUGAAUCUAAAAUCUCUUCACUUGAAGAGUCUAGAGAUAUGUCAACAAUAACAUUGGUAGAGCUUGUCAAUGCACUACAAGCUCAAGAACAAAGGAGAGCUUACAAAAAUGAGGAGAUGAUUGAAGGAGCAUUUCAAGUGAAAAAGGCUGAUCAAGCCUAGGGAGGCAGCAAAGAAAAGAAACAAUGGAGUAAGAAGAAUUACAAGAAGGGGGAAAGUAGCAUCAAUGAAGGCAACAAGGGCAAGGGCAAGCACUCCCCGUGUCCUCACUGUAAGAAAACCUCUCAUCCACAAAAGAAAUGUUGGUUUAGGCUUGACAUUCAAUGCAGGGCAUGCAAGCAAAUGGGGCAUAUGGAGAGGGUGUGUAAAAAUAAACAACAAGAAAGACACCAAGCUCAAGCAGUAGAACAACAACAAGAUGAGCAACUUUUUGUUGUAUCUUGUUUUUUGAGUAACAGUUCGAGUGAUGAUUGGCUCAUAGACAGCGGAUGCACAAAUCACAUGUCUUUCGAUGAAUCUCUUUUCAAAGAAGUAAACAAGUCAGAAGUGUCAAGAGUUAAAGUUGGCAAUGAGCAGUAUAUUGAAGUGAAAGGUAAAGGGACAGUUGCAAUAAAAAGCUCAGCAUGUAUCAAGUUAAUUUCUGAUGUAUUACUUGUUCAUAAAAUUGAUCGAAAUCUGCUGAGUGUGGGACAAUUGCUUGAGAAAGGUUAUUCUGUUGUUUUUAAGAAUAACAUGUGUGUCAUUACUGACCCAAAUGGUGUAGUGUUGUUCUGUGAAAAUGAACAGCAAAAGCUUCAGCUUAAGUUGGAACAAGGAUGAAUGUAGUGCAUAUCAAUGUACUUUGAACCAGGCUAAGUUAUGGCACAAGAGGAUGGGGCAUUUUCAUUAUUCUGCAUUAGAUUACAUGCAGAAAAAUGAUCUUGUGCAAGGAAUGACUUUCAAUGGAGGAGGAGCAUCAGUGUGUGGAGUCUGUCAGCUGGGACAACAAGCUAGAUUGUCAUUCCCUAUUAAUAAGGCAUGGAGAGCAGUUGAGAAGCUUCAGUUGAUCCACACAGAUGUUUGUGGACUUAUGAGGACUGCAUCCUUAAAUGGUAACAGGUACUUUAUGGUUCUUAUUGAUGAUUUUAGCAGAAUGUGUUGGGUUUACUUUCUCAAACAAAAGUCUGAAGUUGCUAGUGUGUUUUCGAAGUUUAAAACAUGGAUUGAAAAUCAAAGUGGCUGUAAAAUCAAGGUGAUUAGGUCUGAUAAUGGGACUGAAUAUACAACUGAUAAAUUUGCUAAGUUUUGUGAAGCUGCAGGGAUUGAACAUCAGCUUACAACAACCUAUACACCUCAACAAAAUGGAGUCAGUGAGAGGAAAAAACAGGACAAUCAUGGAGAUGGCUAGAUGUCUGUUGUUUGAGAAGGAAAUGCCAAAACCGUUUUGGGCGCUGAGGCUGUUAAUACUGCUGUAUUUCUGCAAAACAGGUUACCAACAAAGGCUUUAAAGGGAAAAACACCUUUUGAAGCCUGGUUUGGUUUUAAACCCCCUAUUCAUAACUUGAGAAUUUUUUGUUGCUUAUGUUUUACUCAUGUUCCAGAUGCAAAAAGAGAGAAGUUGGAUCAAAAGGCAGAAUAUGGAGUUUUUGUAGGAUACAACACUCUCACCAAAGGUUGUAGAGUUUAUCAACCUUUGACGGGAAGAAUCAUAGUGAGUGGAGAUGUUAAAUUUGAUGAAGCCGGAGGAUGGAAUUGGACAACAGCUGAACCAAAACAAGUUUAUGCAGAAGAAAAAGCACCAGAAUUGCAAGAUGAUGAUAUAAUUAAUGAUGAGCCAAUAAGAGGUACCAGACCACUUACAAAAAUUUAUCAAAAGUGCAAUAUGGUUGUGCUUGAACCUGCAGGGUAUGAUGAGGCUGCUAAAGAUCCAAAGUGGCUUGAAGCAAUGGAAGAUGAGAUCAAGAUGAUUCACAAGAAUCAAACUUGGGAGUUGGUGGACAGACCACUACACAAGAAGACUAUUGGUGUGAAAUGGGUUUAUAGAACCAAACUCAAUGUUGAUGGUUCUGUAAACAAAUUCAAAGCAAGGCUGGUUGUAAAAGGGAAUGCUCAACUAUUUGGUGUUGACUUUUUUGAAACUUUUGCACCUGUAGCACAGCUGGACACCAUCAGAUUGCUUCUAGCACUUGCAGCACAAAAGCAGUGGAAAAUCUACCAGUUUGAUUUCAAAGUCAAGAUUUGAGUUGUUGAAGAAAAGAAUUGGUGUCUGCAGCAAAAAUAGCAAGGAGGAGUGAUGACAAUGCUAUAUUUGCUGCAGGAUUUGAGCAAAAAUAAAAACAGCAAGAUUUGAUUAUGCUGUCAAUAAAAUCCUGCAAGAUUGUAGGAAAAAUUUGUUUUUGAAUUUUAUGAUAUCAGAUAUAUGUUAAAGAUAUGUAGGCAGAUUUUUUGGCUUUGUUUGUUUGUUUCUUGUAUAAAUUCAAAUACUGCAGCAAUGAAUGUAAUGCAAUUAACAGCCCCAAUUUCUCUGUGUUCUCUUUUCUUUGUUUAAAACCAACAAUAUUUGGGUUGAAACGAAACUAUAAAAGAAUAAAAAAGCACCAUGGGGGUUUGGAUUUCAUGCUAUAAGAGAUUAUUGUAAAGGAAUGAAUUGGUGCUUUUCAAUAUAUGCCAAAUCUAUUUUCAUGGGUAUCUAGGUCAAAAUAGCGCAUAAAGUAGUGAGUUUCUUGUUAUCUCUUUUCUUUUUGUUCUGUGCAUUUUCAAUAAUUUGCUUUGUUUCUAUUUGCUGUAAACACGUGUUGGCAAUUGUGUGCUUUUCUUAUGUUUUCUUUUUUAGGGUAAAUCAUUCUUUUUGCAAGUAAUACUGACAACAUUGCUGAAGGUAGUCGUCAGAGGAGGUUUGUUUGAAAAAUCAAGGCUGAACUGGACACUUUAGGCUAUGCUGAAAAUGAGGUACAUUGAUGAAUUUUUACCUUUCAUAUGUAUGUUCAAAUAUCAAUCUUGUUGAAGAUAUGAUAUUUAGUUUUAAUAUUUUGUUUCGGAGUAGAAUAUGUUAUUUAUUACCUUCAGGAUCAUAGCAGAUCCUGAUAAGGAAGUUGGGAAUUCAGACAGAAAUGAGCAUAACAAAUUGGGCUGAAGUUCAACAUGUUCAAAAUUUUUUGUUUCUUUGCUAAACUUUAUUUUUUUAAUUCAUAGGUUGGUAUUACGAUUUAUAAUAACGCAUGAUUCGGCUAGGUCUGCUUAUUCUUCUUUUAAUUUAUUUUUAUUUAAAUUCUAAAUUUUAAUUUUUUAAUAGAAAACUGAAAUGAUUUAAGGUGAAAACGAAAUACGAAACUGAACCAGACUGGUGGGUAAUUUAUUAUAACAGUCAUAAAUUUCCUUAAGAACACUGCUCCUUUUUGAGGUUUUCGGGUGAAAAACAGACUUCCAAACAUCCACAUUGUUGAUUCAUUGUUGUGUGGUGCAAAUUGCAACUUGAUUUGUUUAUAAUGAUUUUGCUUGCCCCAAUGUUGGCACAAGUUCUUCUUUAUGUAACGUAUGGCUUUGUUCACAUGUGUCUAUAUUCUCAUCUACAAUUUUUUUUUUUGAAAGAAUUCUUUGGAAUAACUCUUCUGCAGCUUAAGGUACACAUGCCAUUUUGCAGAUGCUCUAUUGUUUACUUAUGGAUGGUCUUUCUAAGGCUGGUCGUUUAGAUGAAGCAAGAGUAGUUUUUAACGAAAUGCAGGAAAAAUGCGUUAAAUCUGGUAUGUUUCCCAUUUGAUAAGGGACCUUCUAGCAAGCUGUUAGUUUCAAAUAUUUAUUAUUAUUAUUUUUUCUCUUUACCUUAGAAACAAGAACAUUCUCAAAAAUUAAAUCAUUCAUUUGACCAUUGUUGACAAAUGCAGUGUUGUACAUGUCAAUUCAAUGCCAUGCCAAAAGAAUGGGGAUUACUUUGGAAAUUAAGUUAAAUUUCUUUUUCCUUAAUCUAAAAGAAAAAUAAACUAUCUGAUUAUAGUUAUAAAGCUUUAUUUUCACCUUAAACUCACAUCCGUUUUAGUUCUGCCUUUAAUUAUUUCUAAUGCCCCCGAGAAAAUCUAACUUCUAUGUUUGUUGGACAUGCUAUGAACUCCCUAGUUGCAUUUUCCUAGAUUUGAAGGCUAGGGAGAAACAUUGUUAUUCCUAUAUGAGAGGUGAGUAGCCUGUAUAAUUUGAUUAGUUCACGUCUGUUUUACUUGAAUCAAGAAUAGAGCGGCCUAAUCUGAUCUCUGUCUUUGUUGGCAUUAUUUAUGCGUUGAAGAAUGCUGUAUUGAGGUAUAUUCAUUGUAUUUCGCUAAAUAAAUUUUGUUAAACUUGACUUGGAAGUCUGAAAAAUACUUGCGAUGUUUUCUUACCUAAUAGCUUAAGCAUAUGGAUCAAGGGAUUUUACUAACUUGUGUUGCUCUAUCUCAAUUGAUUUUGAAAAAGAUAUCUCUUUCAAAUCAAGGUCCUUACCUUACCGCUUAAGCUUUUAGGUUAAGCACAAGUUUUGUUUCCCUCACGGAGAUGGCUAUGCCCAUAGUAUCAUGAUUUCAGCAUUCUGCCGAGGUGGGUGUUUUGAAGAGGCAAAGCAGCUGGCUGGGGAUUUUGAAGCCAAGUAUGACAAAUAUGAUGUUGUUCUGUUAAUGGUGGACAUGCAUAGGAAAGGCCACCAACCUGAGGAGGUACGUCACAUAAAUUUAUUACUUCUUGUCAAGGAUUUACUCUAGUCCCUUGCAAUUCUAGAGGCCUUCGUUACUACUGUGAUUUUAGAUAAUGAAAGUGGUCAUAGACAAAUGAACUUUCACUUCGGGACUGCAACGCGAAAGACUUAUCACAUAUAUGCUGUUUUGCAGGAACUCUGCUCCUCCCUAAUUUUUCAUCUUGGUAAAAUGAGAGCACACUCAGAAGCUCUCUCUGUUUACAACAUGUUAAGAUAUAGCAAAAGAUCGAUUUGCAAGGCCCUUCAUGAGAAAAUUCUUCAUAUUUUAAUAUCCGGAAAGCUUCUCAAAGGUGCUUAUGUAGUGGUUAAGGUCUGCUAUAUUGUCUUACCAUUUUAGAUUGAUUUUUCAACUGUCCUUUAUAUGCUUAUCAAUCUAAAUAUUGAUUUUUCAACUGUCCUUUAUAUGCUUAUCAAUCUAAACUACUCUCUUUUCAGGACAAUUCGGACUCAAUUUCUCAUCCUGAUAUUAAGAAGUUUGCAUCUGCAUUUGUGAGGUUAGGAAAUAUUAACUUGGUUAAUGAUGUAAUGAAGGCAAUCCAUGCAACUGGCUACAGGAUUGAUCAAGUAAGCAAUCAAGGAUUUGUAAAACAAACACAAGCUCGCAUGCGCACGCGCGCACACACACAAGAGUGGAAGUAAUAAUUUAGAAAUGCCCUGUAAUUCCUUUUCUUCUAUUAUCUCAGGGAAUAUUUCAUAUAGCAAUAGCACGAUAUAUAGCAGAACGUGAGAAGAAGGAAUUGCUGCUCAAGUUGCUAGAAUGGAUGACGGGUCAAGGUUAUGUUGUUGAUUCAUCAACAAGAAACCUGAUACUCAAAAACUCACACUUAUUCGGACGGCAACUCAUUGCUGAUAUACUGUCCAAGCAACAUAUGAAGUCAAAAUCGUCAAGAACUCUGAAAGAAUGAGCAAUUUGAUAUUAAUUAAUGCUCGAGUUCUAGAUAAAGAAAUGAAUAUGGCUUACCGUUUACCCUAUCAUGCUAUAAGCUAGCAUGUCUCAGUUAUGUGUUAAAAGUUAAAACUCUAAUAUUUUACUACAUAGAGCAGUUAAUCAAAAAAUAAAAGAAAAAAGAAGGGGGGAGGGGGGGAGUAGUUGUUGGGAAAGAAAGAAAUCAGACAGAGAUUAAAAAGAUAUAGCAUUGAAGGUGAUGAAAUCCUACUAUACUUGGAAAUUAUGAAUUUACUCUUCAUCUUCAAGCUCCUAAGGCCUGCAACGUAGGUCUUUAACUUGCAAAAGACAGUUUAUUGCUACGCGCAAGUUAGCAUUUGGUUCAUGAGAAAAUUUGUCAAUAAAGUGCAAUGAAGCUGUAACAGAGUUGUAGCAAGAAUGUUUCUCUAGAGACCUACCUAUCACUACAAGAAAAAUGACCUAUAAUGACAGUUACUCAUGUGACAGUUUUUGGCUAAAAGGCUUUAUAUCUUAUAAGUACGACAUACAUGUGACAUAAAUUUUUUCUAUAAAAAAUUUAUGAUAAAUAUAUGAUAGAAUUUACUGUUGUCAAAUACUUAUGACCAACUAAUGAUUUAUAUUUUCUCUAUCAAGAAAUUAUGAUAGAAUUUUAUUUUUACUUUAGAUUUGACCGAAAUUUAAAAAAUUCUAAGUAAUAAAAAAAUAUAACAAAGAAAGAAGUGAAACAACGUUGUUUCAUACCUUUAUUAGUAUUUCAACCUCUUUUUUACCCCAAGUGUUAAGGCCACACUCAUUACUCUAAAACUUCUCUCUCGAAUGUAGCUCGCUUCUCACUGACAAUGACAACCCUUACUGUCGUUGGCUCGCCGCUGACCCGCCACAGUCUUUCUUUGCCCCAGUGGAAUCAAAUUCAGUCCUAAAUCGAAACCAAAACUUUACCUGUCGACAACAGCCGAAACCCUAACCAUCAAGAAUCCCUGAAAGCCACACUCAUUCGCAAGCAAGCUUUACCUAUUUCUCAGCGAUUUCUAGCAAGUGAUAGUGAGCUUCGCCGUUAUCUCAACUAUCUUCGACGCGAGCUUCAAAGUUCUCAUCUCUUUUAAACCCUAAGUAUGAUUUUUUUUUGUGGGUUUCAAUUUUUAGUUUUUUUUGCAUUAUUGUUUUGUGAUUAUAAAUUUAUAUAUAGUAUAGGAUGUUGUUCCGACUCUUGCAUUAAUGAUAUAUUUUUUACAUAUGGGUUUUGCAUUCCAUGUGUUUGUUGAAGGUUCUAUUACAUUUCUGGGUAAUCUUGUGUUUAAGUAUUACAAAAAUUCAUUAUAGAAUUUUCUCAUUUAUUAAAUUUUAGAAACAUUUCUUGAGCUGCUUUAUUAAUCGGCUAAAUUGAUUUAGACGGGGAUGAGUAGAACAGUGAGGCCGGAACUGAUAGCUUUAUACAAAUGAACUUCUCCAUUUUAGGAUUCAAGAAAUUUAUAAAUCUAGUUAAUAAUGUUCGUUUGGGCUUUUAAUGAUAGGAUUACAUUUUAUUCUACAAUUCAGCCUUCUUUUGGAUUGAAAAGUCUUGUACAACUUGUGACAAUUGAUUAAGUUGCUACUCAAGUAAUGCCCUGUGUUUGCAUUUUGGCUCAUAAUGCUUGAUCCUUCAAUGGGAAUUAAAAGAAUAUUGAAAAAUUGCUGCAAAAUCUAAUUAAUAUUAUCUGCAAAAGUUUCUUGAAUAAUUUGCGGAGUGAAUCUCUUAAUCGUCAUUAGUAAUUUAGUUAACUGCAGACUUUGAAGUUUCCAAUUAUUUAUUCAUUGAAUAUAAUUUUUUCACUAGUGCAACAUCAGGUGGAAUUCUUAAUAAAGCUAUUGAAGCAGAGGAAAAGACGCAUGGAGACUUCUUAAGGCUGGUGAUGUUUCUUUCUUUUUCCUUUGAUGCUCUUGUUGGUGUUUAUUCACAAUCCUGUUAGUCUUAAAAUAUAUUUCAAAAAUUCUGAUAAAUCUUCCUCAUUUGUUUGUUGGGACUAUACAUACCAUAACAUAUAAACGGAUACUUGGAAUUGUCAGCCAAGACAAAAACUUAUUUUUGCUACAGAUUUUUCCAAGGGGGGUGCAGAAUUUUGUAGGUGAGGGGGCUCGAGAGAAGUGAGGGAAUCCCUAUCCCGUGGCAUCAAAGUUGAUGAUGAUGUUCAUGUAAAUUUGGGUAAGGAAACUUUGUUAUGUUUAUUUUUAUUCUGAAAUGUGAUAUCAAGCUUUUCAAGUUAGGAAUUGCUUAUAUUAGUUGUUCUUUGAUUCUUGUUUUUCUUUUUAGUCUCUUUUUUGGGUAUGCAAACAUUGAUUGAUAAGUUUGCUGAGGCUGAGCAUGCAAUGCAUUAAUCUUAAAGAGUUAUAAUUCUAGCAUUCACUCAAAUUCUUGGUAUAUUCUAAUUCAAAACAGUAUUAAACAUUAAUUAAGGCAUGAGAUGAUUACCAGUAGGAAGGCAUGCUAAAGAGAACAAAACUUAAAGAAUCAUGAACUUAAGUACAUAUAAAUUUGAUUUGGCCUAAGAAUUACAUAGCUAUUGAUUUUAAUUUUAUUUAUAUAUCAUUACUUAUUGACAGGAAACUGCAUAACGCAAAGAUUACUGUGGAUGCUUUGUCUAUGUGGUAGGUGUUAUACACAACUAAUAGUACUAUAUAAUUUAUAUUUUUAUUUAUUUUGUUGCAUAAAUUUCUUCAAUCCUUUUUAAUGCCUUACUUUAGAGAAGGGAAAAAAUGGGUCUGGCCUUGUUCUUCAUUGAAUAUUUUCAUAUUCAAUUAAUUUCAUGUGUAAAUACUUAUUUUUCUGGAUAUUUUCGAUUGAUGAAAUGGGGUACAUUUUACUUGGCUUAGGGGCUGCUGGAUUUUGCUGCUAGAAAAAGACCACAUUUGCGAUACAUUUUCUAUUGCUGAAUGUUGCCGAAUGCCAAGUGCUUCACUCAAUUCUUCUUAAUGCAGCCUUAUAUACUUACACUUUUGUUUAGACCUUAUGGAAUUCUUAUAAUUGAUAUGACAACCUCUACUAUGCAUUACUUGGAUUCAAUAGUUAGUGUAGCACACAUGCAUGCAAUUAGAGCGGCUAGCUGCAUGUUACCAAAAAGCUGUGCAUAUCAUAAAAGAAGCUCCAUCGCAUCACAUCAGUGAGCUUUCAAAAAAGUCUGUGGUAAUUGCAAGGGAGAUGUUUUAAGAUCAUUUUACCCACCAUGUUUUGAUGAUGUUAUAUUUACUUGUGCAGUUACCUAGCUUGUUACACUUGCUAUGUGGGAAUUUGAUGAAGAUGGUGGGUAUUGCUGGAGUUGGCCAUCUUUUUUCUUUGAUGCAAAAAUAGGUCAUGAGUAUUGGUGCAUCUUUGCACGUUUUUAGCUUCUUCUUAGAUUGGUAUUUGCUGUAUGCUUCACUAAAACUGCUAGAAUGAAUUUUUUUUUUCCGGUCUGAUCAGUGUUGUUGGCUUUGUUGUGUUGCUGGAAACGAACUGAUCAUGGUUCAUUAGUCUCAAAACUGCUAGUUUUCUACAUGUUGCUGAAAUUUGGUUUUUACUUCUAUUUAUGUUGGACUUGUCACUUGUAUUUGGUUAAAUUAUGUUUGUUGACAAUUAUCAAUAAUUAUUCAGUGUUAUUCAUUUCAUUUUCUUUGUUAGUGAAUUUUUAAUUGCAAUAUUCAUUUUAACAAUCUAAUUAAUUAACUAAAUUAUGAAAUUUUAAUUUCUAAAUCAAUUGCAAGAUUUUUAUUAAAAUGAUAAGCAUUUCAUGGUAGUAACAAAAUAGUAAUUUUUAUUAAUUAUAAAUUUAAUUUCAGAAUUAAUUGUAAAAAAAAUUCAAUUAGUUAUAAUUUUCAUUUUCGCGCCAAAUUUAAGAUUUCUUGCUAAAUAUUCAAAAUAUAGCAUGCGAAAUAAAAAAAAAAGGUCAAAUUCAAAAUUAUUAUAUUUCCCUCUAAAUAAACUUAUGAUAGUUGUGUGACUGGUUAUAUCCAUCACAAGCUAUGACGGGUAUUGUUCUGUCAUCAAUUCUUGACGCUGGCUACAAUGAUGGUAUGAACAACUGUCAUGCACCCCCUACUAUGACAGUUUUACCUGUCAUAGUAGAUCCUUUUUCUUGUAGUGUAUCGUCUUCUCUUUCUCUCCUUGGAUGGGAGAGUGUUUGGAUUCACUUAUUUUUUUAAUUUUUUUUUAUCUUUCUGGUAGAGUCGCUUGGAUCCCCUUAUUAAUCAUCCUAAAUCUGGAUUUAUGGUCCCAAUUAGUUUGACACUUUUAUUUGUAACUGCCAUAUCAAGUAAGUUAUAAAUCAUUACAGAGAAAAUUGAAGCACUGAGAUCCCUAGUUUUAAUAUUCUAAUUAUAGUUGUUGCUAAUAUUACUAUCGCUAGCUUGCAAUUAAUUCCGCUUAAGUUGUCAAUUUCCUAUAAGCAAAAAAGAUGGUCAUUGAGCGUACUUGUAUGGAUACCUCUGUAAAGGAACUUGGAGACCCUCAUAUUUUCUAAAAAAGGAUGCAGACCUCUUUUUGGACAUACAAAAAAGUUUUUUUAGACAAACUUUGGGGUUCAAUGUGGGACGAUGAUUGUAUUUGAACACAAAAGAUAUUUAAGAAAGUAUGUUCCGAAUAAUUGCUAUUUGUGGAGGCUCGUCCUAGAAGUUUACAAGAAAUUGUUAGAAGUUUUAGGAAAGGACGAAAUCUCUAGUCAUAAGAGAGCAUUGCCACUUAUGGAUCAAUGUCCAAAUGAAUUUAGAGGUUCAACUCAGAAUGACACUUUAGGCUUUUAUAAUUUCAAUAUUUAUUUUAUAAUUUAUUGAUUUCAUCAAUCAUUCUAGGAAUUCUAGGUUUUGAGUCGCAAAUGGAAUCUCAAUCAUGUGACAGUGUCAUGAAAACUUUUAUUCUUUUUCUAUAAUUGGGAGGAGAUAAUUUUUCUCUCCUACAAGACUCGUGAUAAUAAAGAUACCAAAAUGUACAUUAUUAGUCAAAUAUAUUUCUAUUAUUGAUCAAUAUGAGGAUCAACAAGAGAUGUUUUACUUGAAUUAGAAGAAAUUAGUGAAGAUUCUAAAAUAAAGAGUGAAGCUAAGUGAUUAGCAACAUAUGAAUUAAAAGAUUUUGAACUCAUAUUAGAUGUGAUCAUUUAGUAUGAUAUUAUUUGUUGUUAACUCUAUAAGAUCGAUCUUGCAAAAAGAAGAUAUGCAUAUUAAUAUUGCCAUAGAUCAGCUUAAAGGUAUUUUUUUCUUUCUUUGAAAGAAAAUAGAGAAAAUGGAUCCAUGUCUACUAUAAUUUGAGCUAAAGAAAUUGCAAGUUAAAUGGAAAUAGAACCUAAAAUGUAUAAUAGAUCAAGCCAUCUCUUCAAUAAUAAUAGAUUUGAAUCAUUUAAAAUGUAUGAUAAUUUAUUUGGGUUUUUGUAUAAUUUCAAAAAAUUACAACUGUCAAGUGACUAUGUUUUAAAAACUUAUUGUGUUAAUCUUGAAAAUACUUUAAAACAUGAUACGCUUUUUGAUAUAGAUAGUUUAGAUUUGUUUUGAGAGUUGAGAAUUUUAGUUUUGAGAGUUGAGAAUUUUAAACAAGUUUUUCAAGGUGAAAAAAUACUGUUUAUUUAUUUGAAAAAAAAUUGAUUAUUUUCCAAAUGCAUAUAUUACUUAUAGAAUAUUAUUAACAAUACUAGUAACAGUUGCUUCUCUAGAUAGAAGUUUUUCAAAACUUAUUUAAGAUUAACAAUGAUGCAAGAAGAUUAAAUGGACUAACUAUAUUGUUUAUUGAGAAAAAUAUAUUAAUAAAAUUAGAAUAUAAAAAAUUGAUCAAUAAUUUUGCAUCUAUAAAAACUAAAAAAAUUGAUUUUAAAUAAAUAAGUUUUAGUAAAAUUAAUACAUAUAUUUAACCUUAAAUUUUUUAAAAAUCUAAUUGAAACAAUUCCCCUAAAAACCCAUAAUUGAUUGAGCCGUUACUGUCUACAAGACUCGUAAAAACAAAGACACCAAAGUGUACAUUGUUAGUCACAUGUAUUUUUGUUAUUUUUAUUUUUCAUGAGACUUCUCAAGUUGUGAUUUGAUGGUUAAUAAUUUGCUUCAUCUUGUGUCAAAAAAGAGAGGCUCCCCGAACAAGCUCACACCAACUAGUCUAAUUUUGUAUGCGCAUGUGCUUAUGUAGUAUGUACUGCACACUGAUGAAGUACGUUAUCAUUGUGUCAAAAAGGAGAGGCUCUGACUCCUUGACACGCCCAAUACCGACUAGACUAAUUUUUCAUACGCACGUGGCUCAUGCACUGCACUACAGUGUAAUGUGGCAAAAUUAAGAAGAAAAAAAUAAAUAUUGAGAAAUUUUAAAAUACAUAAAAAAUUAUAUAAUUACUAUAUAUAUAUAUAUAUAUAUAUAUUAUAACUACUAAUUAUAUAUCAGUUCUUUCAAAUAAAUAUACUUAUAUUAUAAAUUUAUUUAUUUAUUGUAUGAAUGGCAUAAUAUCUUAAAGGUAUUUUUAAAAUUUCUUUAUGUCCUUGUCAUUUUCGACUACUAGCCAAUGCGGUGGCAUUUUACAAGCUGAUAUGGUGCCUCACAGAAACUCUUUUGUUUUGAGUUUGAUGAUCCCUAGGAAAUGGCACAAAUAUCUCUUCUAAUGGUAUUUUACAUGCUGUUGAUGAAAAGUAGCAUAUGUUUUGGGAGACUAAUGGUAUUUGCAUUUUGUUUGCAAAUUCUAGUAAAGUCGGGCAAUACAAGAUUUUUGAAUAAAAGCUUGUUUAAUCUCUAUAUUUUGAGGUUAAUAUCUUUUUAGUUAAGAAAUAUAUCAAAAUAUUUCUAAUAUUAAAUUAUUGAUACCCUGACUUUAUUAGUUGUUCCCUUUUCGCUUGCUUUUACAUACUAUCAUAUUACAAUAAUGUUUAUUUUUUGGAUAUUAAUAAAAAGAAAAAAAAAUUAAAAUACCCAUUUAAUCCCAAAAAAUUAAUGUUGAAUACUCUACCGAGGAGUUACUAUAUUAAUUUUUUUAUUAAUGUCCAAAAAAAUUGGUAAUUUAUUUUUUUUUACAUUAUUAAUUUUUUUGACAUACAUGAGCUUCCAGAAAAAUUAAUUUAUGUUUUUUAUUUUUAUUUUACUUUUAGGGUUAAAUUGAUAAUUUAAUUUUUCAUUUUUAUUAAUGUUCAAAAAGAAUUAUUGUAAGAGAGUAAUAUUAUAAAAGUAAGAUAAAAGACACAAAAGGUAACGGCAGAGAUGUCAAUAUUUUAACGACAGGAAACUUUGAGGUAUUUUUAAAAAUAUAGAUAUUAAAACAGAUACAAAACUCAAAAUACAGAGAUUAAACAACCUUUUUAUGCAUUCUUUUUGGUGCUCCAUAACUCUUAUGGAAAUAGUUUCGUUGAUUAUUAAACACAUGCUUCUACACGUUUCUGUUCACUGUAGGACUAUUAUAAAGAAAUACCGACAUCGUUGAUUAUUAUAAACCCAUGCAUCGGCAAGUUAGAAUUCCCUCAUGAAAAAAUAUGAUUAUUUUUUGCCUUCUGGUUGGGGUUCAUAGUUCCUUCUUUUCAUUCUUAAUUUUUAUGACUUCCACAAUUAAUUUUUGUAGUUGAAGUAAUAUUAAAUUGUACUAUGUGUAUGCAUGUGUGUAUAUGUUGCUUAUUACUUCGGAGGACUUAGGAUGUUUUCUUUGUGUGGAUUAAUCCUUAUAUAAUUAUGAAGUGUUUUUUAGUUACUGUAAGAAAUAGAACGAAUUAAAUUAAAAAAAGAAAUAAAUAUAUAGUUUUUAUGUUGCGACAUAUUAUAAUGAAAUUCCUUUAAUAAAAACUAUCACCUAUAAUCCAGAAACAUUCAUGUUGUAUCACUAAAUAUUUAUGCAAAAGCGUACUUGAAUCUAUAAUGAUUAAUUGUCCUCUGGAGUUGCGUCGUUGGCUAUGCAGAUCUACACGUUCUCCUAAAAAAUACUUUAAAUUUCUCAUUACUCUCUCUGAUGAUGGGAUGUCAGAAAGAAUAGAAAGAUAUAUGUGACCUGUGGACCAUAACCACUUAUAUAGACAAUUUUUUUUCCUGUUGUCAUUAGGUUAUAUGCCCACACCUUAUUAGAUACAUUAAAACUUAUAAUACCGAAAACCUUAAUGGAUUACUUUUAAUUGGGCUUAACCUUAUAUGACAGUUUGCGACACAUAAUUAUUAACACAUUAGCCCAAUGUUGGAUUAACGAUCUGACAAUGCUAGAUUAAAAAAUCCACCAAUCUCCCAUUUGGGCUAUAUGUGUAACCUUAUAAUUAUGCUUUGCAAAAAUAACUGUACGAGCUCAACCUUACUGUCAUUAUCAAAAUGUAUCUAUAACUAAUUCGAUUAAUUAAUCAUACCAAUAUAGGUUCAAAGCAGCCUUUGUUACAACUAUCGUAAUUUGACCCAUCAAUGGUCACUAUGCCAAUACAAUUGAAUGACAUGGAUCAUAAUGUGGAUGUGUAGCAUAGAAAUUUCAUGCAAUGUGAUAUUGACAUGCCUAUUUCCAACUGGUCCAUCUUAAACCUUAGUGAAAUCAAGCUAUACCAAAAAUCAGAUUGUGAAUAAACUAAAACUUUAUUUCUGCAAAAAAUGACCCUAAAUAUCCAUAAACUAAAAUAAUUGAAAAAUAUCUAUAUUAUAAGAGCAUCCAAAAUCACAAACUCCCACUAAAUCUGAAAAGUAUAUUCAUUUUGCUUAAAAGAAUAUUCUCAAAAUAUUUAAAUUUUAUGACUAGUAUCAAUAUAUACUAGGGAUAAAAUAGAAAAAUGAUAUUUAAAGCUAACAUCAUCAUAACUACCAGGGGGUUUGGACCUAUUUGAGGCUCCGUUUGGUAUAACUUUUAAAGUGGAGUUUAAUUGAGUAGAGCUUUUAUUAGUAUAACUUUUUAUAAGUAGAGAUUUUACCCAAAAAAAAUUAGUUGUUUGGUUGACAAUGAGAAUUUUUAUUAAAAAUUAUAAAAUUACUUUGAUAGAUAAGUUUUUAAAGUUAUGUUAUUAAAAAAAUAAAAUAUGAUUGUUAAAUAAGCAAAAGGUAUUUUGGAUAUUUUAACAUUUAAAAAAAACUUUUCAACCUCUAUUCCCAAAGGCCAAAAUUCAAGUUUUUACUAAUAGAGGUAAAAUAGCUUAUAUAAUUUUUAAAAACUUCAUGAAAAAAAAAAAAACAACAACAAAUAUUUUGAUAAGAACUUAUAAAAUUAAAUAAGCACUUAUGACCAUUAGAUAAGUCAUACUAAGAGCUUGUUUGGUAUGGCUUAUCUAAUGGUCAUAAGUGCUUAUUUAAUCCCAUAAGCUCUUAUCAUAAUUUUUAUUGUUGUUUGGUUGUUUUUUUAGUAGAGCCUUUAGAGCUUAAAUAAGUUAUUUUGCCUCUAUUAGGAAAAGCUCAAAUUUUGGGCUUUUGGGAGUAGAGGUUGAAUUUUUUUUUUAAAUGUUAACAUAUCUUCUACUUAUUUGACAAUCUUAAUUUAUUUUUUUAUAACAUAACUUUAAAAAAUUGUCUAUUAAAGUAAUUUCAUAAAUUUUUAAUAAAAGCUUUUAUUGACAGCCAAACAACUAAAAUUUUUAGGUAAAAGCUCUAUUUGUAAAAACUCUACUAUCAAAAGCUCUAUUUAAAUAAGCUCUACUUGAGUUUUGCUUAAUUUGUCUAAGGCAAAAGGACACCUACACCCCCAAGGUUUGCGGAAAUGUCACCAAUAUCCCCAAGUUUUCAAAAAAAGAUACCAAAACCCUCUCUUGACCAUUAUACGCUUUACCUCUAUUAUCUCAAACAAAUUGACAUAAAAUUUUUAAUAAUUGCAAAUACUAUAUAAAUAAUGUAAUCUAUGUAGAUGACUAAUGAUAUGAAAAUAUUUUAAUAAAUUUAAAUAUGUAAAUUAUUAUAUUUAUUUAAUAAUAAAUUGUAGAUAUUUUAAAUAAAUAUUUGCAUUAAAUACAUUCUACAAUUAAAAAAAAUCUCACAUAGCAAUAAUGUUAAAAUUAUCAUUUUACAUAAUAUUCAAAAUAAUUCAAGUUUAAUACUUUUAUUUUAAUAUUAUGAUUCUAUUUAUUAUAAAAUUUACUUUAACAUAAUAAAAUAUAUCUAAUAGAUUGUAAAGUAUUAAAAUAUUUUUUGAAUUUUGAAAUUAUUUUAGAAUGUAUAUAUUAUUACAGUUAUUUUAAUGUUAUAUUCUGUUCAUUAUCAAAUAUUAGAGACAAUAUUUUUUGGAAUAAUGAAGGUAAAGGGUAUUAUGGUCAAAAGAAGGUCUUGGUAUCCCAUUUUUGAAAACCUAAAAGUGUUGGUGACAAUUUCUUCAAACUUUAGGGGUGUGAAUAUCGUUUUCCUUUUAUCUGAAUAACAAGGUAAUCCUUAUUUUCCCUUAUUAUAAUCUACAUAUAUAUUAAAAUUUGAUAUCUAUUAAGAUACGCACAUUUGUAGUACAAUCAGAUGCCUUUUAAGCACUAACUCAGAAAUCUACUUUCACUAUUAUUAGGGUCACAUGUGUAUCCUAUCCAAUCUACCUUUUGUUGAUUAUAUUUUGAAAUAAAUAAAAUUCGUUUUUCAUAAAGUACUUUAUAAUUGUAACAAACGAAAAUUUAAUUAAAUUAAUUUCAAACAAUUUUUUAUCUUCUUUACAAUUUUGAUUAUUUUGAGUAUUAAUGCUCAACAUUACGAUAUUGACAUAUUGUUUGUAACUUUCCAUAUUCGUAUUUCUAUGUAAGUAUGUAAAACAAGUUUUUAAUGAAAUAAAUAAAGCUUUUACUAGUAGAAUUAAAUUUAAGAUUUUUUUAAUCAUGAGUGCGUGUAUUUAUUGUGUAGUGUAUAGAAAGAUUCUGUAAAAAUUUUGUACGGAAAAAAAUCAAUAAAUAAAGAUUAUACAACAUGCAUCCGAAUGUAUGCUUGAUGUAUGUCUGCACGUAAGAUUUCUCACAAGACGAAAAACUUCUAGAAUACAUUGAAGGUAUAAUGCCAACCAUAUAAUAAACAAAUGAUGAUAUGACAUAUAUUUAUUUAUUUCAAAGAACCACCAUGCAAGUGAUAGUUAUAUUAAAUUCAAUUAUAUAUGUCAUACAUACGUUAAUUAGUUUGAUUACAUUUGAUGUAUUAUAAGGAUGUACUCUUUUUCUUUUCUGAAUAUAAUAUCUUUGUCGUAUUAAGACUUACAAAUUAAACGCAAAUGAAUAAGAAAAAUAAAUGAUAUGCACUGCUCCUCUGCCUAUAUAUAUACAUAUAUAUAACGUUGUAGAUCACCACAAACCAAAGAUUAAUUUGAGAAUAUCUCCUAAGUGUGAGCUUGCACUGCAUCUGUAAAUCCAAUGUCUUCUUGCACUACUCCCUCAACCUUGUUUAUCCCUUCAAAUGGUUUCAAAUGUCCUCCACUUGCAACAAAUAGAUCAGCCAUCAGAAUCAAUACUAAAAAUAAGCUAGUCUGUUGCCUUGCCAGCGCCAAGUAUGAUCACUUGACUGUUGACAGGAGAUCAGCAAACUACCAACCUUCAAUUUGGGACCGUGAUUUUUUGCUGUCAUUGAAUAGCGACUAUACGGUAUUGAUUAUUAUUACUAUUACAUAUUAAUUUCCUUUGUUCGUUUCAAAUUGGGACCACGAAUUCUCUGCAGUCAUGUACAACUAAAAGCUAAACGCUGUGCAUUUACAGGAUGAAAUAUACAAAAGACGAGCAUGUAAAGAAUCGUGGAAGUGCUCAAAAUUGUAUAUUAUUUGUUGCUGUGUACAAGAUCCUUAUAUACAAAAAAUACUAGAAUCAUCUAAGGCAAGUACUAAACGGUCAAAUAAUAGAAAAGGAAAGAAUAUAAAGGAGAAUGAAUAUUACAAUGAAGUAAAUAUGCUAAGUUAGUGGCUAAGAUCAAGGACCGAUUGAUUUUUGUUCUAAUACUCCCCCUCAAGUUGGGAAGUGAAGAUCCGUAACUCCCAACUUGCCAAGAAGAUAUUGAAACUGAUCUUUACCAAGAGCUUUGGUAAAAAUGUCAGCCAAUUGUUGUCGUGAAGGCACAUAAGUUAAGGAAAUGAUUUUGGCAUGAAGCUUUUCACGAACAAGAUGGCAGUCUAUUUCUAUGUGCUUGGUGCGCUCAUGGAAGAUGGGAUUAGUAGCAAUAUGAAGCGCAGCUUGAUUGUCACAAUGUAAAGUUAUAGGCAUUGGUUGGGUCACAUGGAGAUCACGAAGUAGAGUUUUCAACCAAACCAAUUCACAUGUUGUUGUCGCCAUGGCUCAAUAUUCGGCUUUAGCUGAAGAGCGUGAUACAACUGGUUGCUUCUUGGUUUUCUAAGAAAUAGGACUGUUGCCGAGCAUGAUAAAAUAUCCUGUGGUGGAUCGACGAGUCAUAGGGCAACUUGCCCAAUCUGAACCUGAGAAGGCUGAGAGUUCCAAAGAGCUAGUGGAGGACAAGAGGAUAUCAACGCCUGGAGAAGAUUUGAUAUAACGUAAGACACGCAGGGCAGCAUCAUAAUGUGGUCGUCUUGGAGUGUGCAUAAAUUGACUAAGUGUGUUCAUAGCAUAUGUAAUUUCUGACCGGGUGAUUGUCAAAUAUAAGAGACGUCCUACGAGUCGUCGGUUUUGGCCAGGAUUUUGACAAAGCGUUCCUUGUUCGUUGGAGAGCUUCAAGUUUUGUUCCAUUGGAAAAGAAGAUGGCCGUGUGCCUAAUUGUCCACUGUCUUGAAGUAUAUCUAAAGCAUAUUUCCGUUGAUUUAAGAAAAUCCCUUGCUUUGAACAAGCCACUUCAAUUCCUAAAAAAUAUUUCAAGGUUCCCAAGUCUUUAAUAUGAAAUUGAGCCUGCAAAAACAUCUUCAAUGCAGUUAUAGUGUCAAGAUGGUUACCAGCGAUUAUUAUAUCAUCAACAUACACAAGCACCAAUGUAAAAUGAGAAUCGUGCACAUUAGUAAAUAAACAAGAAUCAUCAUAAGAUUGAAUGUGACCAAUUUUUUAAAGAGCGGAUGAGAAUUUUUCAAACCAAUUUCGAGAAGCUUGCUUGAGACCAUAAAGGGACUUGUUUAACUGACAAAAUUGAGAAGACUCCCCCUGUUUACGAACUCCUGGAGGUAAGGUCAUAUAAAUUUCCUCAUGCAAGUCUCCAUGAAGAAAUGCAUUAUGAACAUCCAAUUGAAAUAAUAACCACCCUCAAAUAGCUGCCACUGCCAAUACACAUCUAACAGUCACAAGUUUUGCAACAGGUGCAAAUGUCUCGUGGUAAUCCAAACCUUCAGUUUGUGUGUAUCCUUUAGCAACAAGGCGUGCUUUGUAUCUCUCAAUAGAACUAUCAGCUUUUAUUUUAAUUUUGUACACCCAUUUACAACCAAUUGGUUUCUUUCCGGGAGGUAGAUCUUGUAUUGUCCAAGUGUUAUUUUGCUCCAAAGCAUUAAUCUCUAUAUCCAUAGCAUUGCGCCAAUGAGCAUGUUGAACGGCUUGAGAAUAUGUAGUUGGUUCAACAUCGGGAGAUAUGGCUGAAAGAAAGGCUACAUGAUCACUAGAAAACUUGUCAUAUGAUAAAUACUUAGAUAAUGGAUAUAAAGAAUUUACCGAGGGUGGAUGAUUAGUAAAAGUAUUAGAGUUGCCAAAUGUACCAUGAAGUGCAGUAGAGAAAAUAUAAUUCUGAAGAUAAUGUGGAUGGCAAGACUGUCGUUGGGACCGUCGAAGAGGUGGAGAAGGGAUAACUAUUGAAUCAGAUGUACCUUGGUGGAGUGACUUCUCAUUGGAAGAAGUUGGAAGGAGUGGUGCAUUUUCAUUGGUAGGAAGUAUGAUAGAAAGAGGUAAAGCAUUGGUAUUUUCUUGUUGAUUUGUGAUAGUUUUGAAUGGGAAUUCAGUUUCCACAAAAGUAACAUCACGAGAAAUGAAAGUCUUUCUAUUAAUGAUAUCAUAAACUUUGUAUCCGGGAUACCCAAAUGGGUAACCAACAAAUAUACACUUGGUGGCACGAGGAGCAAAUUUAUGACCAUUAGCACUGUUGGUAUGAGCAUAACAAAGACAGCCAAAGACACGAAGACGAUCAUAGUGAGGUUUAGUCUUAAAAAGCAUUUCAUAAGAAGAUUGACCACCAAGAUUAGGAGUGGGUAUACGAUUAAUCAAAUGGGUUGCAGUUAAAAUACAAUCUCCCCAGAAAGACAAAGGUAAAUGUGCUUGAAAACAUAAUACACGUGCAACUUCUAAAAUAUGUCGGUGUUUGCGUUCCGCUACCCCAUUUUGUUGAGGUGUUUCAACACAAGUGCGUUCAUGCAAGAUGCCAUGCUCAUGAAAAAAAGAUUGCAUCUGAUUUGAUAAAAAUUCACUUCCUUGAUCAGUACGAAUUUUUUUAAUUUGUGUGUGAAAUUGUGUCUUGAUCAAGAAGUAAAAGUUUUUUAAUAACUGAAAAGCUUCAAACUUGUGCCGCAUGAGGUAAACCCAAGUACGUCGGGUAUGGUCAUCAACAACAGUAAGAAAAUAAUGUGCUCUCAUAUAUGUAGAUGUGCAAUGAGGCCCCCAAAUAUCACAAAAAAUUAAUUGAAAUGGCAUAUCUGAACGUUUUUUAUUCAACUGAAAUGAACUUCUAGUGUUUUUUGAAAGUUGACAAAUUUCACAACAAGAAUUAAAUGAUGCAAUAUCAAAAAUAAAAGACAAACGCUGCAUUCGGUCUUUAGAAGGGUGACCGAGUCGCAAAUGCCAAAGAUUGGAAUUGGGUUCCUUUGCAACAUUCAUUACUGAAGGAAGGGAAGAAUGACCAUUGAUAUGCUCAUAAUAAUAUAGUCCAUCCCGAACUUCACCCUUUCCAAUCAGUUUCUUCGUUGAAAGGUCCUGAAAAACACAAAAUGAAGGGAAAAAUAUAGCAGCAUAGUUCAAAUCCUUGGUUAGCUUGCUUACAGAUAAUAGAUUAAAAUUAAAAUGAGGAACUAAUAAGGCAUUAUUUAAAGUCAAAGAGGAUGAUAAUUUAAUGGAUCCAUAUUUUGUUGUAGGAAUAGUCGUGCCAUUUGGUAGUCUCAUGGGUUUGACAUGAGACAUGGGCACAAAAUUUUUAAAGGAAGAAAUAUUAGGGGUCAUGUGAUCAGAUGCCCCACUAUCAAUUAUCCAAGAAUCAUUAUGCGAGUUAAUAGCAGAAUUGCAAGAAGGAAGGAUUUUACCAGCUAAGUUUGCAGUAGAUGGUUGCUCAUUUGUUGAAAGUAUAGAUAAUAACUGUUGAUAUUGUUCAACUGUGAGACCGAGAAUUUGGAUAGUAGGCUGAGAUGAUGAAUUCUUGUCUGUUGGAAGGGAAUGAUCGUUUAGUUGUUGUGGCUUUGUGGUUGCAGGGGCAGCUACAUGCGAUCGAUUUGAAUGUUUCCAGUUUGGUGGGUAGCCAACAAUUUUGUAACAUUUGGCUUUUACAUGCCCAUAUUUUUCACAAUGAUCGCAAAAAGGUCUACCCCGUCCUUGUGUCUCUUGUACUCCAUGCAAAUGGCUAGGAUGUGAAUGAUUUUGACGAUUGGUCAUUUGAGUCUUAUUAUUGGCUGUCAAAGCUGUUGAUUCAAUGGAUGGUUGACUGGAAACAUGGAGAAGUCGUUGAUGUUCUUCCUGAUGAAUAAUUGAAUAUGCUUUUCCAACAUUUGGAAGCGGCUCCAUGGCUAAGAUUUGACUUUGUACAGAAGAAUAUGAGUCAUUGAGACCCAUUAGGAAUUGAAACACCUUUUCAGUCUCUAGUAAUCCUUGCAAUUCAUUUGAAGAAAUAGUGGUUAAUGUGGACAAUUCAUCCCAAUAAAAUUUGAAAGUAUUAAAAUAAAUCACUAAUGGGUUUUGCUCUUGCUGGUGAUUGCAUAUGGCUCUCUUAAAUUCAUAAAUCUGUAGAUUAUUACUUUGUGAAAAACGUUCUUCCAACCCAAGCCCAAGAGAGCGUGGAGUAUCACAAUAAAUGAGGCUGCUGGCAAGAUUUUUCUCUAUUCCAUUGAGCAUCCAUGAAAGGACCAUGUCAUUGCAUCGCUCCCACGUUUUUAAAUCUUGUGAGGUCGAUGAAGGUUUUAGUAUGCUUCCAUCAAUAAAACCCAAUUUGUUUUUAGCAUUCAAUGCCAUCUUCAUGGAUCUUUUCCAUGUUUAAUAAUUAUCACCUGUUAGCACAUUAGAUACAAGAAUGGCUCCAGGAUGAUCAGAUGAAUAAAGAAAGUAUGGUGAAGAAACAUCGGUAAUGAGGGAAUUUGAUGUUUCGGAUAUUGGAUUUAAACUACUAGACAUGAUUGUCAAAGAUAAAAACAGAAAUGAGCAAAACCUUGCUGUGAUACCAUGUAAAGAAUUGUGGAAGUGCUCAAAAUUGUAUAUUAUUUGUUGCUGUGUACAAGAUCCUUAUAUACAAAAAAUACUAGAAUCAUCUAAGGCAAGUACUAAAUGGUCAAAUAAUAGAAAAGGAAAGAAUAUAAAGGAGAAUGAAUAUUACAAUGAAGUAAAUAUGCUAAGUUAGUGGCUAAGAUCAAGGACCAAUUGAUUCUUGUUCUAAUAGAGCAGAAGAGCUGAAGGGAAAAGUAAAGACAACGAUUAAGUAUGUAACCGAGCCACUGGAUCAGUUGGAGCAGAUUGACAACUUGCAAAGACUUGGAUUGGCUUAUCAUUUUCAGACUGAAAUUAGGAACAUAUUGCAUGGUAUCUACAACAAUAAUAAGGAUGAUAAUUGGAGAAACAAGAAUGUGUAUGCAGCCUCCGUUGAAUUUAGACUACUUCGACAACAUGGCUAUAAUGUCUCUCAAGGUACAUUUCAUCAAUUCACUUGCUUUGUCGUGCACAUGCAUGAUCUGGAUACUUGAAUCUCUGUUGUUGUUUUCUUCUUUUUUUCCUCCUAAAAAAUAUAGAAGAAUAGACAAAGCCCAAAUCAAUUUUUUGACUUGCUAUCUCCCGAGAAUUUGAACUUGACCAGGCCACUAGGACCACUCAAAUUAUUUUCUAAUUAACAUACACAUAGAGUACUUCUUUAGUAAAGGCAUUCACACUUUGUUAAAGUGAGGAUGCACACUAAAAUAUAAAAAAAACCUAGAUUUUAAUGCAAUGUGUUUUUUUUUAUGUUAUUGUAUUAAAAUUUGUGUUUUUUUGUCUAUUAGUAGUAUCCUCAUUUUGUUAAAAUGAGGAUGUCCUCACUAGAGAAUUAUUACACACACACACACACACACACACGCAUAUAUAUAGACGAAGCUACAGUGCACGGGUGCAUGGUACCCCUAAUUUUAAUAAAUUACUUUGUGGUCCCUCUUAUUUGUUGAAAAGUGAAAAAAUUAGAAGUUUUAAAAUUUUAAGAGAUGAGUCCAAUAUAUUUCUAUUAUUUACACUUAGAGUAUAUUCCUAUUAGUGUAAGUGUAAAUAAUAGAAAUAUAUUGUUAUUUGUUCAUAUUAUUAUUAAUAAUUUAAUUUUUAUAAUAUAUUUAAAUUAUUUAUAAUUGAUUAAAUAUAUUUUAUGUUGUUUCCAAAAAAUAGAUUAAUAUUAUUGAUAAAUUAAUAUACUUUUAUUGUAUAUUUAAAUUAUUUAUUAUAGAUUAAAUCAAUAUUAUGUAGUUUUAUAAAAAAAUAUUUUAUGUUCUAAAAAGUUUUACAAGUUAUUGUCCUUAUAUUAUCAUUAAUUCUAAGAGUCAAAUUGGGUCAAUGGAUCAAAAUAUAAAAAUUUAAUAUAAUUUAAAAUUAGGUGUCAAUUUUUUUUUUACUCUUUUGCUUUUUAAAAAAACAUCAGGGACAUCAAUGUUAAAAAUCAGAAAAUAUAUCCAUAUUAUUGAAGCAAGUUCUAUGUUUGAUCUAAUGGACAACUCAUAUAUAGACAAAAUGAUGGGUACCAUGCACCAAAUGCACGGUAGCUGGACCCUAUAUAUAGUGGAUUUCCAAUAAGCGAUUCCUGACCGUAUUAAAAUUAGGGAUGAGAUAAAAAAUAAAAAAAAAUUACAAAUUUCAAUAUACUACUAGACAAGUUACAUUGUAUUGGAGUCUAUGUUUUUUUGUUUGUUAGUUUAUUCCUGAAUUUAAUACGGUUAGGGAUCCCUGAUUGGAACAUUUAUAUAUAUAAAUACCUAAAAAUUUUGAUGAAUCUAAUUUGAUUUGGCUGAAUACUGCAGAGGUUUUCAAUGGUUUUAAAGACGACAAAGGAGGCUUCAUUUGUGAUGAUUUCAAGGGAAUAUUGAGCUUGCAUGAGGCCUCGUAUUACAGCUUAGAAGGAGAAAGGAUCAUGGAGGAGGCCUGGCAAUUUACCAGUAAACAUCUUAAAGAAGUGAUGAUCAGCAAGAGAAAGGAAGAGCAUGUAUUUGUAGCAAAACAAGCGAAGCGUGCACUGGAGCUCCCUCUGCAUUGGAAAGUGCCAAUGUUAGAGGCAAGGUGGUUCAUACACGUUUAUGAGAAAAGAGAGGACAAGAACCACCUUUUACUUGAGCUCGCUAAGUUGGAGUUUAACACUUUGCAGGCAAUUUACCAGGAAGAACUCAAAGACAUUUCGGGGUAUCCAUGCCUUGACUGCGUAACUCAUAUUUAUACAUAUAUCAAAGAUUUCAUUUUAUCAAAUGCAUAACUUGUACAAUUUAAUCAUGUGUAUUAAAAUAUUCUCAAGUGUAGACUCCACAACUUUUACAGUAAUGUAAAGGCAUGAGUCUGCACGUUAUAAAGUGCAGAUGUUUGCAGUAGAGAAUGACACUAAGGAAUCUUGGACUAGAAGAUGACUCUAUAUAUAAAUUAUUGGAAAGCCACGAGUCAUGCGCUUUAUAAAAUGGGAAUGUUUGCAUCAGAGAAAGAGUCUUCAGAAUUCCAGAUUGAAAGCUAACUCUCUAUAUAUAGAUAUAUGUAACGUGUGUCCUAAAUCGUAAUAUUCGUUUUAAUUUUCCCAUGAAGGUGGUGGAAGGAUACGGGUAUUGGAGAAAAAUUGAGCUCUGCGAGGAACUGGUUCGUAGCAUCCUUCUUAUGGAGCAUGGGGAUAGGAUCUGAGCCUCGAUUGGCCUACUGCAGGAGAAUACUCACAAUCUUGAUUUCUAUAAUUACAGUGAUUGAUGACAUUUAUGAUGUUUAUGGAACUCUGGAUGAACUUGAGCGAUUCACCGAUGCUGUUGAGAGGUUUGCUGGCAAAUUAAUGUUAUAUCUAAUUGAUUAAUUCAACUGCAAGUUAGCUGCAUGCUGCUUCUCAGAUUAAUAGACCAUUUAUAUGAUUUUUUUGUGUCCCCCUUUUCUACAGGUGGGACAUCAAUUAUGCUUUCAACCACCUUCCGGACUAUAUGAAAUUGAGUUAUUUUGCUCUUUACAGCUUUGUUAAUGAAUUUGCUUAUUACGUGCUCAAGCAACAGGAUUUUGAUAUGCUUCGGAGUAUAAAAAAAGCAGUACGCAAAAUGUUAAUUUCACCUCUCCUGCCGUUCCUUUCCUUUGAUUUAUCCUUUUUAAAUUAUAAUGUUUUUGUCUCGAAAAUUAUAAAUUGUGACUAGUUUUAUUUUCUGUGUCAUGUGCAUCAGUGGCUUGGCUUAAUACAAGCCUACUUAGUGGAGGCGAAAUGGUACCAUAGUAAGUACACACCAACACUGGGAGAAUUCUUGGAAAAUGGACUGGUAUCAAUAGCAGGCCCAAUAGUCACAAUAAGUGCAUACCUUUCUGGUACAAAUCCGAUCAUUGAGAAGGAGCUAGAAUUUCUAGAAAGUAAUCCAGAUUUAGUUCACUGGUCAUGCAAGAUUUUUCGUCUUCAAGAUGAUUUGGGAACUGCAUCGGUAUGAUUUUUUUUUUUUAAAGAAGACAAAAGUUGAAUUAAUCCUCUAUAUAUGAAUUGAUCGUACUUUUUUCCCCCACAAUAAUUCAUCAGCACGAGAUACAUAGAGGGGAUGUUCCGAAAUCAAUCCAGUGUUACAUGCAUGAAACUGGUGCCUCGGAGGAAGUUGCUCGUGAACACAUCAAGGAUGUGAUGAGACAGAUGUGGAAGAAGGUGAAUGCAUACAGAGCUGAUAAAGAUUCUCCCUUAUCUCAAACUACAGUUGACUUCAUCUUGAAUCUUGUGAGAAUGUCCCAUUUUAUGUAUCUAGAUGGAGAUAGGCAUGGAAUUCGAAACCAAGAGAAUAUGGAUGUAGGUUUUACAUGGCUUUUUCAGCCUGUUCCCUUGGAGGACAAACACAUGGCUUUCACAGCAUCUCCUGGCACCAAAGGCUGACGCAUGAUGCGUUUCCAGAGUAUAAUUUCAGUUGACGUUGGCCUCAGAUUUUCUUCUGAGUUUCUUUUCUUUCUGAUGAGGAGGUCUCAUUUUGAUGGUUUUAAUAAAUUCCCUCGUUCGUCGAGGUCUACAAAUGAAAUAAAAAUGUUACUUUUAUUGAGAGUAGAAGUCGUCAGGAUAUGAGAACUAUUUUCUAGCCAACGCAUGAGAAUGUCAGAAUUUGUUAUGUAUGCUAUUAUACUUUAUAUUCAAGCAUGGUUCAUAGCAUGUUAAGGCACAACAGAUACUCAGUAUACAUGAACCAUUUAAAUCGCAUACGACAAAUCAUACCCACGAAAAAUGAUAAUAAGCAGCGAACAGUGACAAACGCAACAACAAUUAAGGAUGGAAAUCAGAGCUGUGCAAUAAAAAAGAAAAUCACAAGGGUAAAAAAUUUAAUAUAACCAAUUAAAAACAGGAGUUCCUAAUUUUUGGAUUAGCAUAAAGACAGGAGCACCUAAUUAUUCGAUUACCCCAUUUUAUCUUUUAAUGUCGUAUGAGUUUAGAGAAUAUGAGUGUAGAGAGUUGGGUUCAAUCUUUCUCACUACUCAAAAGGAAAGGACUCUAGUGGAACCGACUUGGUACACACUGCUAACUGCCGAGAAAAUCAAAUCAUGAAAAGCUCAAGUUACAAACAGUGCUCAAAAGAAAGCACCAAACUGGUUUCAUAAAUUAUUAUGUGACCUUGAAGUACUGAGGUUAGUAAAAUUAUGAUUAAAUUAAAAAAUAAUAUUUGGGGUAUGAUAAGAUAAAAGGAGAGGUCUAAAAUUUAAAUGACUUUGCUCUUUAUUGAAAUAGGGUUCGGACAUUCAGUGGGCUGUCUUAGUCAAUGGGCUGUUUAAUCAUCGAUUGGUCGUUUGCUGUUGGUGGAGGCUCAUCCAACACGUUUAAAAGCUUGUCGAACAUAACGAAUCUCUCUAGUCAAGUAAAAAUUUUUGUAUAGCCCUCUAAAAGCUCUAAAAGCUUCCACUGCACAUGAAUUUAAAUUAAUUUAAUAUUAUUUUUCUUUUAUUAUUUCUUUUUUGUUAAUGAGAAAAAACAAAUAUUUUCUUUUCAUGAUAGCCUGACUUGAAUGACUGGCUUUAAACCUUAUUGGAAAUUUACAAUGCGGGAUGAAGCUGACUGUGAGGGUUGCUCACGCUGCUAAUUAAUCAAGUCAAACAGCCAGGUCGUGCUAUAUUACAUCAUGUGGAAUAUACAACAACUCUUGAACUAUCAUCCAAAAUAAAAAAAACCACGACAUAUGAAAUAAUGAAAUAAUUAAAUUGUCAUAGAUAACAACUCGUGGGUUUGCUAAUAUAAAACAUAGUCUAAGCCCAAAAAACCACAUAUAGCACUGACUGAAAAUUAUUUGUUCUAAUAACAGUGAUCGAAUUUAACAGCUACUUGUCAUUAUUUGUUGAAAGAAGCCUUUCUUGUUGAACAUGCGCGUGCAUGUGUCAACUUUUGACUUUUGGCAUAAUUUGUUGAGUAAGUGGAAGACAUGAGUAAGUGAGAGGGUAGCACACAAAUUUGACUUCCGCAUCAAAAUGGAGAGUUAAAUGAAAAUAUAUAUUAUUUUAAAGCCCACUAUUUUGAUUUUUGGGCAUUGCUUGGCCUAUGAAUAGAGGCUUCACUUUCAUUUACCCUCUUCAUUCAUCCCAUUUUCUUCAAUUCUCAAUCUAAUUGAGAAGUAAGAGAGCCAUGAGUUAGAGAUUGAGAAUGCCCUGACAGCUUUAAGUUGUUGUUUUAGUGAUUUGAGAGUUUGGGUAUAGUGGGGUUUUAGGUUGUGAGACAAAAUACUACAAUACUUGUAACACAUUUUCACUAGUAAAAUAUUCUCUUUUAUGUUUGCCCGUAGACGUAGGCUAAAAGCCGGACCAGUUAAAUUCUAGUAUCCCUAUGUGAUCAUUGUUUCUUAAUUUCACUUUAGUUGUGUGUCUACUUCACCCGUUAAUUUCCUAAUAGUGAUAUCAGAGCCAUUGGUUGUUUUUUUUUUUUUUUUUGGAGUCGGGAUAGUGAUAAUAUAUAUGAUACUAUUCACGUGAAACGGCGAGAGCGAUCCAAGAAUUAUGUGGUUCAAAGCAGGGAAUAGUGGUAUGAGUGGAAGUAAUUGCGUGGUCUUGUACAUGCCUAGAAAAGUUCUAUCACAAAGGCAAUAAGAGCUUAAGGAGCCUGAGUUUUAAAUUGGACCGUCGUGACCCAUAUAGUCUUUCCUGAGAACUUGCCUGAUGUGUAUUUUCACACGUGCGAUCACUUAUAACUAUACAAGGUGGUACACUAACUUGUGCACGGUAUUUAUCAACAAAAUAACAGUAAAGUUUGAAAUUAAGAAGUUCAAUAGAAGUAAUUUCUUGUUGUGGAAAAUGAAAAUGCAAUCAAUCUUAAGGAAAAAUAAUUGUUUAGAAGCAAUUGGAGAAAGAACUGCUGAAAUAACUGAUGACAAGUGGAAUGAGAUGGACGGUAACGCAAUAGUUGAUCUUCACUUGACACUUGCGGAUGGGGUGUUAUCCAGUGUGGUGGAAGAAAAGACAGCAAAGGAUAUAUGGAAUACUCUCACAAAACUGUACGAGGCCAAGUUGCUACACAAUAAGUUCUUCUUAAAGAGGAGACUCUACACUCUUCGAAUGGCAGAAACCACAUCGGUGACCAACCAUAUUAAGACUCUAAAAACUAUGUUUUCAUAACUUACAAUGUUGGGUUAUAAAAUAGAAGAAACUGAACAUGCGGAGCUUCUACUACAAAGUCUACUUGACUCGUAUGAUCAACUCAUCAUCAAUUUGACGAUCAAUAUCCUUACAGAAUACCUAGUCUUCGAUGAUGUUGCAGUCUCUCUUUUAAAGGAAGAGGGUACGCAUAAGAACAAAGAAGACAAGCAAGUAAGUUUGUAGCAAGUGGAAGCACUAAUGAUGGUGAGAGAGAGAUCAGUGGAACAUGGUCCCAGUGGGUGUUAUAAUCAUGGCAUAUCAAAGUCAAGAACUAAGAAGAAAAUCAAGUGCUACAAAUGUGGCAAAAUAGAGCAUCUCAAGAAAGAGUGUUGGAGUAACUAAAAGAGAAGAGAGGGUAAAGAUCCUGAGUCAUUAAAUACCUCAGAUGAUGGUGAUGUUUUAUACAGCUAGGCAACAAUGGUUGCAGAAGGAAGAAAAUAACUAUUUGAUGUUUGGCUUACAGACUUAAGAGCCACCUGCCACAUGACCUCUUAGAGAGAAGGGUUCCAUAAAUAUGUACUUAUCUUAGGGGGAUUUAUAUACAUGGGUGAUGAUCAUGCCUUGGAGAUCGCUAAUAUUGCUACUGUCAAAAUAAAAAUGUUUGAUGGUAUAAUAUGCACUAUUCAUGAGGUACGACAUGUCAAAGACUUGAAAAAAAUCUAUUGUCUUUUAGACAAAUAAAUAGUCUUGCCUGUAAAACUCAUGUGGAAAAUGAGAUCAUAAAAAUUGUCAGUCGUGUGCUUGUGUUAAUGAAGGCGGAAAAGAUUAGUGCCAAUUUAUUCAUGCUUAAGGGGGAAAUACUGCAGGAAGCUAAUGUGUGGUCGUGUCAAAUGGAGAAGAGUAGGCAACGAUGUGACAUCUUAAACUCAACCACAUGUUCGAACAAGGUUUGAAGAUUCUCUUUGAGUGAAAGUUGCUUCCGGGACUUAAAUCAAUGAACUUACUGUUUUGCGAGUACUGUGUUAUGUUGUGCAAAUUUUAUUGAACUCGCAAGUGCACGAAUCUAUUGUAGAAUAGAUCAAUGGUGACGAGUGUCGAUCCCACGAGGAGGUGGAUUUUAAUUGUGUGUAGAAUUAAUUUUCUAAAUGGGUGGUUGGAUUUGUGGUGAAAAUGAUUUGGAUUAUCCUAAAAUUCGAAUUAAAAUGGCAAGAAUAAAUUGAAGUGAAAAUUAUAAUAAUUGAAGUGCUUGGGUAUCUGGAUCCGCAUCAACAUGCACCAUGGGCUAAAUAUUCCUUAUUAGUGCCAAUUAAAUCAUGAGGGGGGAAUCCACACCUCAUGAACCACACUCUAAUCAAUAUGGUGCUAAGGGCUUAUCGUGCCAAAUAAUAAUAACCAUGUACUAGAGAGCCGGUGAAACCAAGGCGGUAUCUAGACAAGAUUAUUAUUAUUUGUCGACGAGAAGUCAAAGCAUCCACAAAAACUAGAGGGGAAUAGAAAAUAAAUUUACCAAAAUAAAGCCCAUGACACAUGUUGAGACUUCACCUUCAACCCAAGCUUGAAAGAAAAUUAGCUACUCAUAAUUGAACUAGGGGCAAAAAGAGAAUUUAUUAAAAUACGUAGAAAAUACAAGAUGGAGAAGGAAUUACAAAAAAUGGAGUCCAAAAAUGGAUUCAGAGAUAUCAAAUUAUGGGGGGAGAGCCCCCUUUUUAUAGAUACAUUGAGUAAAUCAUGGCCAUCAGAUCAAAAAUAUUUCGGACGCUCAGGAUUGCGCCACGUCAUCUGUCAACAGUACGCGGUUUGAACAGUAACACGGUUUGACCCGGGUUGAACAGUGACGCGGUUUGGUUGAAAAUAAUCCUAUGUAAUGCAUGUACCGUACGCAAGAUUUCUGGUCCACUGAUAUGCUGCCACGUCAUUGAUCAGCAGUGCAUAAGAAUUUUAUUCCAACAGGAUUGUGACACCUCAUCAGUCAAUGCCACAUCAUCGGUCAAUGCCACGUCAUCGAUCCGUCUAUGUGAACAGUGUCGUGAACAGUAACGUAGACAGUAUCGUACAUGUGAAUAGUAUCGUACAUGCGAACAAUGCCAUUUUUCCUUUUAUGCUCCUCCUAAGGUUUUCGACCAUCCUGAGUUCAAAAGUGAUGUCCGUUUUUCCGUCUGAUCUCUCGUUCACUGUGAAAUGACUGUGAUGCCCCCUAAAAUACAUAAAAUACUUAAUUAUAAUACAACACACAUAAUUAAAUGACAAAAAGUUUAAAUACAUAAAAGUAAGGGUGUUAGUAAAACUUGAAGUGUAAAAUGACGAUUUUCUCCUUUAUAAAUAUACAUUUUCUAACACUCAACACACCCCCCAACCAGCUUAUUGCUAGUUCUUAGCAAAUAAAGUGAAAACAAAAUUCAAAUCCAAAAUGAUUUAUUUUAAUUUUUUAACAAUCAUGUUUAUUCAAUCAGACUAAUGAUAGUAAUCAAAUAAAAGUAUAAGCAUUAUCUCCAGUCUAAAGAAACAUCACACCUACAUCAACCAUCCACAUGAAUUAGCCCAAUGGACUUUGUCAUAGCUACUUUCAAGAAUGACAUGUCAAACCCCAAAAUCUCACUGGAAUUAGUGACACUCUCACAAAUAAAUUAAACCCAAUAAAAAUAGUUACUCCAAUGAAUGGUAAUUGAGAGAAAAUAAUAAAGAAAUGAUGUCACAUGCUCUCACCAAGAUGAAAGAAAUAUGCCCUCAACUUAGAAAUAAUACGAUCUCAAGUCAAACAAAAAUGCUAGUCAACCCACUUUAUUUAUCUUUUUUUUUUCUUUUUUUUUAUUUUGCAUCACUACAUCUUUUUAGCCCAUAUAACUAGCUUCUACUUCAGACUAUAGUUCCCUAAAAUCAAGAAGGACUUUUAUUAGGACGUAACGUAGGCUAGGGACAUGGCUAACAAAGGAGGGAAAAUAAGGAAAACAAAGUGUAUGUUUGAGAAAAAUGUAGAAUUUUUUUUUUUUUAGGAGUUGCAAGGUAGAUUUCACCUAUUAUUGUUUUUUUUUAAACAACAAUUUUUUUCUUUUUUUUUUUUGGCACAACUUCACUGAACAAAAUAAUUAUUUACUCAAACAUAAAUAUGUGAUGAAACAUGUAAGAUAUUGGGUAAUACUACAAAUCGGAGUGGGUCAAGAUGAUAAGUUUGACAAAGAAAAAAAAAAAAUAUAUAUAUAUAUAUUUUAAAGGCUCAAAAGGGUUAACUAUGGAUAUUUCAUAAGAGGGAUGGCUAGAAAGGCUCAAACGGAUCAAAGAUGAUCUUUCCAUCAUCUUUUAGGGCUAUAAAUAAUCUUCCAUAUAGACUAGUUAGAUGGGCCUCCAAAUGUAGCAACACACAUUUUUUUCUCUUUUUUUUUAUUUUACAAUUUUUUUUUAAGGGUUAACUCAAAAGAAAUCUAGAGAUCGUGUAUAAAAUAAUAAACUGCUAAAAAAUUGGCCUUGUCUUGCUUGGUCCAAUGCUCUGGAAGUUGACCUGUAACAAGAUAAUUAACGAUAUCAGCAUACCAUGGUAAUACUUCCACACUCAUCAAUUGUUCAUCUGGGAAUGACUCAUUCAAUGGUAAUGUUUCCAUAAUUGUGUCAAAAUGGAGACGAGAGAGAUGGUCUGCCACAAUAUUUUUUGUGCCUUUCUUAUCUUUAAAUUCCAAGUCGAAUUCCUGCAAAAGUAACACCCAACGAAUUAGUCUAGCUUUUGCAUCUUUCUUUGUGAGAAGAUAUUUAAGAGCAACAUGAUCCGUAAAUACAAUUAUUUUACAACCAAUGAGAUAAGAUCGAAAUUUUUCUAAUGUAAACACUACUGCUAGCAUUUCUUUUUCAGUAGUUGAAUAGUUCAACUGUGCAUAAUUCAAUGUCAUACUAGCAUAGUAAAUAACAUGGGGAAUUCGUUCAACUCUUUGUCAUAACACUGCUCCUACUGCAUAAUCAGAUGCAUCACACAUGAGUUCAAAUGGUAAGCUCCAGUUUGGGGGCUGAAUGAUGGGUGAUGAUGUCAACAACCGCUUUAAUUUUUCAAAUGCCACAAGACAUGAAUCAUUAAAGACAAAAGGUACAUCCUUAGCAAGUAGAUUGCAUAAGGGUCUAGAAACUUGGCUAAAAUCUUUAAUGAAACGUCUAUAAAAACCAGCAUGCCCAAGGAAAGAUCUUACUUCUCUGACUGUUUUGGGUGGAGGAAGAUUAGAAAUGAGAUCCACCUUGGCUUUGUCAACCCCAAUACCUUUGCUUGAAAUGAUGUGACCGAGAACAAUACAUUGUUUUACCAUAAAAUGACAUUUUCCCCAAUUUAAGACCAAGUUCUUCUUGAUACAUCUCUGUAGAAUUAGUGUUAGAUGAUGUAAACAUUGAUCAAAUGAAUCACCAAAGAUAGAAAAGUCAUCCAUAAAGACUUCAAGAAAUCGUUCAACCAUAUCAGAAAAAAUAUUUAACAUGCAUCGUUGAAAUGUAGCAGGUGCAUUACAUAAUCCAAAUGACAUUCUCCUAUAUGCAAAAGUGCUAAAAGGGCAAGUGAAAGUGGUUUUCUCUUGAUCUUUUGGUGCUAUGGGAAUCUGAUUAUAUCCUGAGUAACCAUCUAGAAAGCAAUAAAAUUCAUGGCCUGUUAAUCUAUUAAGCAUUUGAUAGAUAAAUGGUAAAGGGAAAUGGUCUUUACGUGUGACAGAAUUCAACUUUCUAUAAUCAAUGCAAACACGCCAUCCUGUAGUUACUCUAGUGGGUAUCAAUUCAUUAUCGGCAUUCAUAACUACUGUGACUCCUGACUUUUUAGGGACAACUUGUACAGGACUGACCCAUGAACUAUCAGAAAUGGGGUAAAUGAUACCUGCAUCUAAUAGCUUAAGGACUUCAGUUCUAACAACUUCUUUCAUGUUAGGAUUUAAUCGACGUUGCAUUUCCCUAGUAGGUUUAACAUUUUCAUCAAAGUGAAUGUAAUGCAUGCAGUCUACUGGGUUUAUACCUUUUAUGUCUGCUAUGGUCCAUCAUAAUGCUCCUUUAUGCUCUUUUAAAACAUCCAACAACUUACUUUUUUGUUCGUCAUUUAGGGAUGAUGAGAUGAUUACCGGCAUAGUACUUUCUUCUCCCAAAAAUGCGUAUUCCAAUGUGUUGGGUAAUGGUUUGAGCUCGAGUUUCGGUGGUGAUUCUGAUGAUGGGAUGAGUUUCUUCUCUGAUGGUGCUAGUUGUUCAACUCUUGACUUCCAUUUAUUAGUGUCCAUGGAUGAUGCUGAGUCAAGUAGGGCGUUGACCUCAUCGAUCGAUCUGUCAAUAUCAAAAUCCAAACCAAAGUGAGUUAAACAUGUUUGUAAAGGAUCAUCACUAAGGUUUGAAAGAAAAGUAUUAUCAACUAUUGUUUCUAUUAAAUCCACAUCAACAAUUCCAUCAUCUGCAUUGUGAGGUUGUUUGGCAAUGUUGAAGAUGUUUAGCUCCAUAGUCAUGUUGCCGAAGGACAACUGCAUAUUUCCAGUCCUGCAUUGAAUGUGAGCAUCCGCAGUUGCCAAGAAAGGUCGGCUUAGAAUAAUGGGGAUGUGCUUCCUUGAAUCCUGUAUUGGUUGAGUGUCAAUUACAAUAAAAUCAACAGGAAAAUAAAACUUGUCUACCUGGAUAAGAACGUCCUCCACAAUACCACGAGGUAUUUUCAUGGACCGAUCUGCAAGUUGUAACAGCACUGGAGUUGGGUGUAAUUCUCCCAGUCCAAGUUUCACGAAAACUGAGUAAGGUAACAGAUUUACACUAGCUCCUAAAUCCAACAAAGUAUUCUUAAUUGUGUGGUUCCCUAUACUACAUGAGAUAGUGGGGGAGCCUGGGUCUUUGCAUUUUAGAGGAAUUUAAUAUUGGAGUAUAGAACUAACGUUUUCUGUUAAAAAUACCUUCUUUUGAACAUGAAUAUUUCUCUUUUUAGUACAAAGGUCUUUAAGAAACUUGGCAUAAGAUGAAACUUGUUUUAUAGCAUCAAGCAAAGGGAUGUUAACACUUACCUGUUUGAAGAUUUCAAGAAUCUCACCUGUGGAUUUUCCCUUCUUUCCUUUAGCUAACCUCUGAGGAAAUGGAGCUUUGGGAACAUAUUCUUGUGAGUUGGUUUCUUCUCUCUCCUCCGGUGAUGAGUCCUCAACAUUCACAUGUACAAUUUGAUUUUCUUUUGUCACUGGCAUCUCCACUUUGUUGUCGACUUCUUUUCCUUUUCGCAAGGUCAUGAUUGCUUUGACCUCUCCAUGCUGCUGUGGUGAACUGGUACUUGCUUCAUGUACUCCUUUAGGAUUACACACUAGUUGAAUUGGAAAUUUACCUUUUUCAACAGUCAUUGCCAAGGUCUGAACAGAAGAAGCAAGUUGUCCCACCAUCUUGUCCAGGCUUGAAACUGAUUGGGCUUGUGAGUUGAAACAUGCUCUCAACUCAUUUCGUAGUCCAUUAAUGGUGCGAUUCUGUUGCUCAAUCGUAGAGUGAGUAACAUUCUUGAAAUUAUGGAAUGCAUCCUCCCAUGGUCUGGGUUGAGAGUAGUUUUGGUUUUGAUUGUAUGGUCUAAAUGGUGGCUGAGAGGCUUGAGGAAUUUGAGGAAUUGGUUGCAUUGGUAGAGCUGGAGCUGCUGGUCCAUUCUGUUGGAAUCCUUGAGACCAUGAAAAAUUGGGGUGGUCUCUCCAUCCAGGGUUAUAUAUGUUGGAGUAUGGGUUGUAAUUUGAUGGUUUUCUCAUUACACCUAUGGCAUUGGCUUGAUCUGAGUAUGAGUCAUGGUCAUGUGGUUCUGUUGAUUUAGCAGUCGAUAACGAUGCUAUUUGUCGAGCGAGACCUUCAACCAUCUCUUUAACUUCUUUGAUUCCCGAAGUUGACUCGCUAAUGUGAACCUCAUUCACUCCUUUAAUUCUUUUAGUAUUCCUGAGUGACCGACUACGUUGUUGGGAAUUAUCCGCUUGUCGCUGGAAGAAUUCCCAAAUCUCUGAUGCACUUUUUGACAUUAGCUCUCCUCCACUUGUUGCCAUUAGCCAUUCUUGCACAUUCGGCAAUAAUCCCUCCAAAAAGUAUUGGCAUUGGUGCCAUUUCUCGUACCCAUGAUGUGGACACUUCAAGAGUAGCCCAUUGAAUCGCUCCCAUGUUUCGAAAUACUGCUCGUCUUCUCUCUGGGCAAACUCUAAAAUUUCCCUGCGAAUAGCAUUGGUUUUAUACACUAGAAAAUAUUUAUUAAAAAAUUUUGUUACCAUUUAUUCCCAUGAUGUGAUGCUAUUAGCAGGCAAUGUAUUGAGCCAUGAACGAGCUCUAUCCUUUAAAGAAAAUGGGAAUUGUCUAAGUUUAACAUCAUCAUCUGAAAAAUUCUCAUAUCUAAAUGUUUGACAAACAGCAUGAAAAUCAUUCAAAUGAUUAUAUGGGUCCUCAUUUUCUAAGCCAUAGAAUGCGGGGAGACAAUUUAGCACACUAGGUUUUAGUUCAAAACUCCUAGCAGCUACAUUUGGGUAUCUUAUACAUGAUGUGCUCAAAUUAGCUAAGGGACUAAAAUUGUCCUUAAAUGGCCUCUCCUGUGGUGCUUGUAAAUCCAUUCCAAAUUUAUUUUUAACGUGCUUGUGUGUGCGAAAUAUUUUUUCUAGUUCAAGGUCUAUAGGUUCAUGAUUAUGUAAUAAUGACCUACGACCAUACAUGUAAGAAACACAAAAAUAAAUGGGAACAAAACAAAUAAAAAUAAAGAAGAAGGAGAAAUUACGUUACUAACCUUAUCACGCUGUUAAAACCUUUCUAUAAAAAUACACAAAAAUAAAUACGUGAAAUAAAUUAACUAAAAAAAAAAUUAGUAAGAUAAACAAAAAUUACAAAGAAGAAAAAAAAUAACUUGAAAUUAAAUUACAGAAUUUUAAAGAAGAGAAAAAGAAAAGAAAUACUAACCUCUAGAUGCAGAUUCACUUUUUUUUUCUUUUUUUUAAUAAGAAAAAAAUACAAGAAAACAAUUAAAAGAAAUUAUUCACAAAAAUUAAUUCUACAAAUUAAAAUUACUUACCUCCCCGGCAACGGCGCCAAAAACUUGUUGUGCAAAUUUUAUUGAACUCGCAAGUGCACGAAUCUAUUGUAGAAUAGAUCAAUGGUGACGAGUGUCGAUCCCACGAGGAGGUGGAUUUUAAUUGUGUGUAGAAUUAAUUUUCUAAAUUGGUGGUUGGAUUUGUGGUGAAAAUGAUUUGGAUUAUCCUAAAAUUCGAAUUAAAAUGGCAAGAAUAACUUGAAGUGAAAAUUAUAAUAAUUGAAGCGCUUGGGUAUCUGGAUCCGCAUCAACAUGCAUCAUGGGCUAAAUAUUCCUUAUUAGUGCCAAUUAAAUCAUGAGGGGGGAAUCCACACCUCAUGAACCACACUCUAAUCAAUAUGGUGCGAAUGGCUUAUCGUGCCAAAUAAUAAUAACCUUGUACUAGAGAGCCGGUGAAACCAAGGCGGUAUCUAGACAAGAUUAUUAUUAUUUGUCGACGAGAAGUCAAAACAUCCACAAAAACUAGAGGGGAAGAGAAAAUAAAUUUACCAAAAUAAAGCCCAUGACACAUGUUGAGACUUCACCUUCAACCCAAGCUUGAAAGAAAAUUAGCUACUCAUAAUUGAACUAGGGGAAAAAAGGAAAUUUAUUAAAAUACGUAGAAAAUACAAGAUGGAGAAUGAAUUACAGAAAAUGGAGUCCAAAAAUGGAUUCAGAGAUAUCAAAUUAGGGGGGAGAGCCCCCUUUUUAUAGAUACAUUGAGUAAAUCAUGGCCAUCGGAUCAAAAACAUUUCGGACACUCAGGAUUGUGCCACGUCAUCAGUCAACAGUACGCGGUUUGACCACGCGGUUUGAACAGUAACACGGUUUGACCCGGGUUGAACAGUGACGCGGUUUGGUUGAAAAUAAUCCUAUGUAAUGCAUGUACCGUAUGCGAGAUUUUUGGUCCACUGAUAUGCUGCCACGUCAUCGAUCAACAGUGCAUAAGACUUUUAGUCCAACAGGAUCGUGACACCUCAUCAGUCAAUGCCACAUCAUCGGCCAAUGCCACAUCAUCGAUCCGUCUAUGUGAACAGUGUCGUGAACAGUAACGUAGACAAUACCAUACAUGUGAAUAGUAUCGUACAUGUGAACAGUGUCAUUUUUCUUUUUAUGCUCCUCCUAAGGUUUUCGACCAUCCUGAGUUUAAAAGUGAUGUCCGUUUUACCGUCUGAUCUCUCGUUCAUUGUGAAAUGAAUGUGAUGCCCUAAAAUAUAUAAAAUAUUUAAUUAUAAUACAGCACACAUAAUUAAAUGACAAAAAGUUUAAAUACAUAAAAGUAAGGGUGUUAGUAAAACUUGAAGUGUAAAAUGACGAUUUUCUCCUUUAUAAAUAUACAUUUUCUAACACUUAACAUGUUACAAGCAAGCAUAAUAGAUUGAAGUUUAGCAGAUCUGAUGCCAAAAGUAAAUGCAUUCUAAUCCUGGUUUAUUCUGAUGUUUGGGAAUCACUGGAUAUGUCUCUGGGAGGUACAAAGUACAUGGUGACUUUCAUUGAUGAUUAUUUCAAGAGAUGUUAGGUGUUUCUAAUCAAGAAACAGUCAGAUGCAUUUUUAGUGUUCAAAGAAUAGAAAACGCAAGUGGAACUUGAAUUCGGGAUAAAGUUGAAGUGUUUGAGGACAAAUAAUAGUGGAGAGUAUACAGAUGAUGAGUUCCUUGCAUACUGUAAGUAAGAAGGUAUUUAGAGAUAGUUCAUGGUGGCACUCCUUAACAGAGUGGAGUAGCGGAGCUAACAAAUGAGACUUCUAUAGAAAGAAUAAGAGCUAUGUUGAGGACUGCUAGUCUACCAAACUCAUUUUGGGCAGAAGCAGCCAAAAUCGCUUGUUAUAUGGUUAAUUAGUCUCCAUUAACAACAAUUGAGUUGAAGACACCAAUGGAGAUGUGGACUGGGAAGUUAGCUAAUUACUCUCAUUUGAAUGCAUUUAGAUGUCCUGUAUAUGUUAAGUACAAUACCCACGAAAGAAUAAAGUUUGAUCCAAAAUCUAAGAGAUGUAUCUUCUUGGGAUAUGUUGAUACAGUGAAGGGAUAUUGUUGGAUAAUUUCUAUUGCUAUGGGUGUCAAUGUGCAAGUGUACACAACAAGUAAUGUACUAAUGAGUAUUUAGAUCGUCUCUAUAGGGAUUGAUGUUAUCAGAUUUGCUACAGCAAUCUUAACAGUGCAAUUUUGUUCUAAAUUAAAAUAAGACAAUUUAUGAAACUAAUAAACUAAUUAAACUAAAAAUGUAAUAAAUAAAAUGCAAUUAAGAAAAUCUCACGUCAAACACAAGGAUGCAACCAAUAAGAAUAGAGUAGUUGAGUGAAUAAACUCACUUAAUGACUUUGACUAUUUUUCAAUUAUAGUAUUGUUGCUAUAGCAUUUACUACAGCACAGGGCAAAAUCCCUCAUGCAUUCUCAGUUGUCGCCUGUUGGAUAUCUUAUAUCUAAUGCAACCUAACAGUGACCAAUUGUUAUGCUAACAUUAGAUAUAACAUUUAAUGUUCUAAGUUCUAAUUACCCUACAAGAUGAAUCUGUAUAUUAUCUAGUUCUUCACUAAUUUUUGAUUAAGUAUGACCCUAUUCAAAUUGAGAUUCACUCAACUUGGGAAACCCAAUCUAAAACCAAGUAUUGUCUUAAUUUGAUCCACUGAGUUAGACUUUUUUUAGGCUCUUCCACUAGGUCAGACCUUUUUUAGACUCUUUCUUAGCUUGUAUCCACAAAUGAUUGGUCAGCCGAAAUAGAGAAUUGAAAUAAAUACAAUUAAGACAAAAUGCUAUAGCAAACACAGAGCAACACACGUAUAUCAGUCAAACAUCUAUUAAGAUCGUUUAUCACUUAACUACACUAAAAUUUAGUUCAUAAUUUGUGAUAGAACAACAAAUACAAUUGUUAUAGCCAUCCAAUACAUUCCCAUAAGUAAAUAGAAAACCAAAAAAUAAGAAUAAGAACUGAAGUCUGCUUGGUCUUUGUGAUUUCACCUCUGUUUCCUUCUUGAAUCUAUUGUUACAGCCCUCAAAACUAUCUUUUAAUUUCUACUUUCUUAUUAUUUAUGUUCGGUGAUCUCCUUGGGUGACAACUCUCUCUUUUUCUUUUCAUGCGUGUUUCUUUUAUAACACAGAAUUAGGGCAACUAAAAGUGUGUGGCACGUAUCCUCCAUUUUAGAAACUUUAGAUUGCAAUCUUUUAGUUGUUGCGUGCGAAAUCCAGUCUGUCAUUGCUUCAAGAUUGCUACAACAACGGCAACAGCAUCUACACUGUUCCAGACUUGUUUUAAUUCCUCUGUACCUAAGUUUUUUCAUUGUCUCUGUAAGUCUGUUGCGGCAUGCAUUUCUUCCUUAAAACUUGAGCUUUUAGGCAGCUAUAAUUAUUUAUAUAAUCUAAAUACAAAUUAUUCUAAAACAACUCAAUUUAUUAAAAAUAAACUAAAAUGGAUGCUCAUGCAAAUUGUAACUAAAAUGAAAUAAAAGCACAUAAUUUAUUCUCUAAGUAUUAUUAAGUUAAGUCUAAAAGUGUCAUGAUAACUCUCAUUUCAUAGAGUUAUCAGGUAUCGUAUGUGGGAUCCUACUGCCCACAAGAUAGUCAUCAGCAGAAUUAUUAUCUUUGUAGAAGAUUGAGUACAAAGAAAAGAUGAGAAUGAUAGCACUGUAAAGAAAACGUCAGAGAUUGUACUGGUAUAUAUGGAAAAUAAUUUAUAAAGAAAAGAUUCAGGUUUUUCUAAAGCAACCCUAGAGCAUAAGGAACAAGAAUCAGUCGAAUCCGAGGCUCUAGAACUUUGUCGGUCAACUUAUGAGAGACGAUCACUAGUGUGGCACUCGAAGUAUGUUAUAAAGAUCAAUAUUGCGUACUGUCUUCUAACAAAGGAUAGAUAGCCAUCUGAUAACUCUAUGAAAUGAGAGUUAUCAUGGCACUUUUAGACUUAAAUUAAUAAUACUUUGAGAGUAAAUGACAUGUUUUUAUUGCAUUUUAGUUUAUUUUGUAUGAAUAACUAUUUUAGUUUAUUUUUAAUAAAUUACAUUAUUUUAGAAUAAUUUGCGUGGAUAAAUCAUAUGCAUAAUUGUAGGUGUUCGGAAGCUCAAAUUUCAAGGAAGGAAUACUGAUGCAAUAGGCUUGCAAAAAUAAGGAAAGAACAUAGCUACAAAAGAAUUGAAACAAAUCUGGAAUAGUGCAGUUGCUGUAGCCGUUGCUGUAGCAGCCGUUGCUGUAGCAACCAUUGUUGUAGCAAUCCUGGAACAACGACAGAGAAAAUUCUGUGUGGGAUACUUGCAGAAUUGUGAUCUGCAGUUUCCUAAUCUGACUUAUGCGCACCCUACGCUUCCCUUUACCCUAAUUUUUAGCUAUAAAAGAAGCACACAUAAUAAGGAAUAGGGAGAGCCGUCACCCAAGGAGAAAGACAGAAAGAAACAAAAGAACAACAAGAUUCAAGAGAGAGAUUAAGGGCUGCACAAGAGCAAAAAUUGUAGAAAUCAAUUGAGAGCUCAAUCCUUCUUAUCAUUCUCUUGUUUUCGUGUUUUCUAUUUAUUCAUGGGGAUGUGUUUCAUGGCCGAAACUUUGUUCUUUAUUUUUCUUUUGCAAACCAUGAACUAAAUUUAUUUGUAGUUGAGUGAUAAACAAUCUUGAUGGUUUAUUUACUGAAAAUAUGAGUUGCUGCAUGUUUGUUGUAUCAUUUUGUUUUGAUAGCAUUUAUUUUUAUUCAUUAUUUCGAUUGAUCACUCAUUUAAUAAUACAAGUUAGGGGAGAGCCACAAAAGGGCCUAUCUUAGUGGAACAUAUCAGAGCAAUACUUGGUCUUAGAUUAGGUUUCCUGGAUUGAGUUUUACUUGAGUCCAAAAGGGCCAUGCUUGAUCUAAGAUUAGUGAUGAAUUAGACAUAGGGAUUCACCUUGUAUGGUAAAUAGAACCUAAGCGUACUGUAAUGCUACAUCUUAUGUUGGCAUAACAACUGAUAACUGUUAGGUUGCAUAUAGAUAUAAGAUAUCCAAUAUCCGACGGUUGAAGAUACAUAAGGAUUCUGCCCAGUGCUGUAGCAACCAAGCCAAACAUUAGAAAAAUAGUCAAAACCAUUAAGAGAGUUUAUUCACUCAACUACUAUAUAUUCCCAUUGAUUUUAUCCUUGAGCUUGACGUGAUAAUUUACUUUGUUGCAUUUUAUUUAUUGUGUUUUUUAUUUUAAUUAGUAUAUUAAUUUCGUUAAUUAUUUUUUCUUAAUUUAGAACAAAAUUUGCACUGUUAAGAUUGUUGUAGCAAGUCUGAUAACAUCAAUCCCUGUGGAUUGAUGUUGCCGGGGAUUGAUUGCACAUUGACACUAAUAGCAUUUGAAUUUAUACCCAACAAGUUUUUAGCACAGUUGCCGGAGAUUGAUUGUUCAUUGUGAUUUGUGAAAUUAGUUUUAACGGUGCUAAUUUUUAAUUUUAUUUUGAUUUGUUUAUUUUGUUGACAUAGGUGAUCUAGCAACCCUUGCAUGGGCAAAUAUAAAUAUGUUAAAUUCCAAUUUGAUCCAGAAAUUGAAAGAACCGCAAGGAGAUUAAGAAGAGAGUGUCGGGAAUUACAAACUGCUGUAGUAAUGGAUGAUUUGCAAGAUAUAAGGAAUUUGAACCCCUGAGGAGAAAUACAACCAGUAAUUGCUCAAGGAGGUCAAGAAGGUCAGAAUGGGUAGAAUAUUCAUGGGAAACCAGGCCAUAACAAUAUUAUUUACAUGACAGACGAUAUAGAUAGAGCCAUUCGAGACUAUGAAGUGUUGACUCCUCAAGCCAUGCAUCUUGGAAUAGUUAGACCCGACGUUCAAGCUGACAAUUUUGAGCUUAAGCCAGUGAUGUUUCAGAUGCUGCAAACAGUGGGGCAAUUUAAUGGACUGGCAUAAGAAGAUCAUCAUCUACAUCUUAAGCUAUUUUUGGAAGUGAGUGAUGCUUUCAAGAUUGCUAGAGCAUCGCAGGAAGCAUUGAGACUCAGACUUUUUCCAUUUUCUUUUAGAGAUCGAGCAAGAGUAUGGUUGAAUUCUCUACCACCAGAUUCUAUCACUGCAUGGAAUGAUUUGGCUGACAAAUUUUUGAUGAAAUACUUCUUGCCAACCAAGAAUUCAAUGUUGAGGAAUGAGAUCACAUCUUUCCAUCAACUUGAAGAUGAGAGCUUGUGUGAUGCAUGUGAGAGAUUUAAGGAGUUAUUCAGAAGAUGUCCUCAUCAUGGCAUUCCUUGCUGCGUACAGUUGGAAACUUUCUAUAAUGGUCCCAACCCAAGCACUAGAUUGAUGGUGGAUGCUUCAGCAAAUAGGGCCUUGUUAUCUAAGUCUUACAAUGAGGCUUUUGAAAUUUUGGAGAGGAUAGCCAACAAUAAUUAUCAGUGGCCAUCAACCAGACAAGCUACAGCAAUAAGAGUAGCAGGAGUCCAUAACGUAGAUGCCUUGACAGCAUUGUCAGCCCAAGUAACUUCUUUAACAAAUAUGGUAAAGACUAUGACUACUGCUCCAGCAAUUGUUAACCAAAUUUCUCAUGUGUCUUGCGUUUAUUAUGGAGAAGGGCAUUUAUUUGACAAUUGUCCUAGUAAUCCAGCUUCGGUUAACUAUAUGGGCAGCUUCAACAGACAGAACUAGAGUAAUCCAUAUUCAAACACUUACAACCCUGGAUGGAGACAACAUCUGUACUUUUCAUGGAGUUAUCAAAACCAGACAGUACCCAGUGGAUUUAUCAGAAAAAUCAAGAGCAAAGAAGCAUCAACAAUGAUAAACUCAACUCUCUUGAAGAUUUGAUUAAGGAUUAUACUGUGAAGAAUAAAGCAGUUGUCUAAAGUAAUAUUGUAUCUUUGAGAAACUUGAAAAAUCAAAUUGGACAGCUUGCUACAGUAUUGAGCAACAGACCUCAAAGUAGUUUACCCAGUAAUACAGAGGACUUAAGAAGAGAAGGGAAAGAGCACUGUAAAUUGAUUAACUUGAGAUUUGGAAAGGAUGUUCAUAGUCCCUGUUGGUGUACCAAAAAGAAGAGCUGAGUCCAUUUCAAUCCAGAAAGAAACUCACAUUGAAAAAGAGCCACAAUCCUUCAUUUCACAGCACACUGGUGAGACCAGUCAAGCUACAACAUUUGUCGAAAAUGAUGAUCCAACACUUGUGGAUAACGAGGUUGUAGCACCAACCCAGAACAUGGCAAAAGAGAAGCAGUCUGCACAACCUAUUGCAGCACAGCAGUUUAGGCACCCACCACCUUUCCCUCAAAGAUUUCAGAAGCAGCAACAAGACAAGCAGUUCAGCAAAAUCUUGGGAGUGCUGAAACAACUACAUAUCAAUAUCCCUUUUGUGGAAGCUCUAGAGCAAAUGCCAAACUAUGCGAAAUUUUUGAAGGAUAUCUUGACAAAGAAAAGAAGAUUUGGAGAAUCUGAGACAAUUGCUCUAAUACAAGAGUACGCCCAAAUGCUUCGGAGUAAGAUACCGCAGAAGAUGAAAGAUCCUAGAAGCUUUACAAUCCCUUGCUCCAUAGGCACUAAAUACAGUGGUAAAGCACUUUGUGAUCUGGGGGCUAGCAUCAAUCUCAUGCCUUUAUCAAUGUUUAAGCAAUUGGGAGUUGGUGAAUGUAGACCAACAACAGUGACUUUACAACUUGCUGACAGAUUUCAUGCAUAUCCAGAAGGGAAGAUUGAAGAUGUGUUGGUGAAGGUGGAUAAAUUUAUUUUUCCGGUAGAUUUUUUUGCGUUAGACUUUGAGGCAGACAAAGAAGUGCUAAUCAUUCUAUGGAGACCUUUCUUAGCCACGGGAAAGACUUUAAUUGAUGUUCAAAAAGGAGAAUUAAACAUAAGGGUGAGUGACCAGCAAGUUACAUUCAAUGUGCUGGAUGCCAUGAAGAGUCCCAAUGAGAUUGAAGAUUGUAAUUUUAUCAGUGUUGUGGACUUUGUUGUAGCAGAGAGAUUACACAGUUGCUGCAGUAAGGAAGAAAUCAAUGUUGUAACAUUUGAAGAACUUGAUGAUGAAGAUCGUGGAGCAGUUAACAUAACAUGGUCAGGGGAGAAGCAACCCUUCAGAAUUUAUGAGCAAAUCCAACAAAGGGAACUCACUCCAAACCAACAAGAAUUCAAGGUUAAUGGGCUGAGAGUGAAGCGCUCUAUGGGAGCUGAUGUGAACAGCCUAAAGAAGGAUCGGUUCUUGAAGGAUUCAGGUUGAGCGAACAAGAAAGGUCAAGCUGAAAGACCUAAAAUCAAGCCCUAAUUGGGAGGCAACCCAAUAAGGGAAGUUGUUUCAAGUUUUUAAGGCAUUGAAUUUAGCUUUUAAAUUAUUUAAUUUGUCUUUUCGAUAUUUUAAGUGUGCAUCUAAUUUUUUAUGUCUUUGUGUUAAAUUGCAGCACGUAAAAAAAAUGUGGGCAAAAAGAGCAAGAGGGAAUUGCUGCAGCAUCACUUACAGCAUGACAUAUAACAGAAGAUUCUUAAACAACAAAGGCAUUUCUUGCUUUUGCAACAGCAAAUGGAUUGAUAAGAUUUUAUGAUAAGGAGCGUUUGAGAAGUGGAUCAAAGAAGAAGUGACCCUUUACAGACUGUGCUGCAGCAGUGCUUCCAGCAACAGGGCAGUACCCCCUACCAGCUAGUUUAUCUUACUUUUUUCUGCAAAACUUUUCUUUCAUUUAGUUUUAAUUUUUUGAUUCAUUCUGCAUGUCCUUUUAUUUAGUGUAUGCAUUUCUGGUUUAUAUGGUUUUGUUUUGUGUGCUUGUGAGGACACAACACCACUCAAGUUUGGCGGGGUUGUGUUUAUGAGUGCAUGUGUUUAUGCUUGUGUUGUGUGUUGUGUGUUGUGUGAGGCUCUGUUAUCUAGUAUGUAACACCCUAGUUUGAAUUCCAAGGGCAAAUAUGUUCACAACUCACAUAUGAAUUUAAAUAACUCUAUACAAACGAUAGAAUUUGAGCCUCAAAUACAAAAACCAGCGGAAUAAUUUAAAAAUUUAGCCAAACCAUCUACCAUCUUCAACUUCUCACUCAUCACAAAUCAAUCUUGACUUCUGAAAACUGAAUCACAAUAAACUAUAAUGAGUAUAAAACUCAGUAAGCAAACUAGUUUUUUUCUUAUACGAAAGUACAUACAUACUUAUACAUAAUGCAGAUGAAUGAUAUGUCAUGAUCUUUUGGAAAUAUUGUAAAACAAAUUCAGCAAAAUCUCUUUCUCUCGCUUUCAAACUUUCAUAUUUUCUUUCAAUAAAAUACGUAUCCUGCAAUGUGGCACUUUGUGCUGCGCGUGGCACUUUAGGGCGCUUUGGCCCUCAAGAGGUGGCCCCCACAGUCUCAAGAGGUGGCCCCCACACAACUUCAAGAGGUGGCCCCCAAUGCAAAAUCUCAUAAAACAAAAAUCCCAUUUGCUAAAAUCCACUUUUUCAUUCAUAGAAAAUUCAAUGCAUUUUCGUGCUCAUGCCAAUGAACCAUCACACAUACAUAUGCCCAUGUACAUAAUCACGCCCAAUAUAUAACAACACAUCACAUAAACACAUGAGACACAUAAAUCCAUAUUUGUACAUAUCAAAAUAGGCUUUUCACACAAGUCAAACAUAUAUAUUGUUUAUUGUGAUUCAUUUAAAAGUCUAGUUUACUUACCUCUUAGCAUCCUCAUGUAACAAAUUCGUAUUGAUAUCAUCAACCUAAAAUCAUCAAUAAAUUUCUCAUAAGAUAUAAUCGAGUCUCAAUCAUAAACUCUAAUGUCCUGAAAUAUCUCAAUUUAAACAUCUCCUAAACUCAACCUCAAAUCUCCUCAAUAAUCAACCCUCAAAACAGAACAGUCCAUAAUCUCUGAUUUUUUAAUAAAUUAUUCCCUCAUUGGAAAACUCUCAAAUUUUACACACCAUAUGCUGACAUAUUGAAAGUUCAUUUAAAAAAAUUUCAUAACUUGAUUCCUUUCAAAACUAUUGAAAAUAAUUGACGUUUUAGACAUCAUCAAUGUUGUCAAAUAAUUUUCUGUUUUGCACACACUUGCUUUAAAAAUACAAAACAAUUUAUUGAUUUAUCAUAAAAUCAUGAAAAUUUACAUAAUCAUACAGACAUAUAUAAAAAUCACUGAUCAAAAUUUCAUAAUUUUUGAAGAAGUCUAGUUAUGGUAAAAAUAAUUUCGUAAUUCACGUUGUGCACUGAAAUCAGAAAUUUUCAGGCUUUCAGACUUGAAUUUGAAAAAUCGUAACUACUUGAAAUCUUAUCUAAUUAACUUGAAACAAGUUUCAAAACAUUCUAGACGAUGUCUACUUUAACAUAUCCAAAAAUCAGAAUCAAAAUCAAUUUGUACAAAUUACUAAGAUUUUCGUAAUAAUUCACUGUCAGCAUAUUUAUGCAAAAUCUUAAGUUUCUACUUCUAUUGCAAUCAUGCUUCUCCAUAACGAAUUAAUAAAAACCAAGAAUUAAAACUUACCUCCAAAUCCAAAUCUUCUCUCAACAAUACCUAAUUCAAAUUAUGCAAUUUGAUCUCAUGUGUUGUCAUGGCAGAACAAAGAAGAAGAAGAAGACUUUCUUCUUCUCUUUUUCUUUUCUUUUCUCUCUUUUCUCUCCAUCUCUCUCUCUUUUGGGCUUUUUUUUUUGUUUUAGCCGAUUUCUCCUUCUUCCUCUCUCAUAAUGGAAAAGACAUUUUGUUCUAUUUAUACUAGGGUAUAAGGGAUCACUAAAAACUAAAAAGACUUAAAUACCCUUAGGAGAUUUGGAGUAUUACAUAGUAUUUGUGUAUGGAUUUGAAAACCUAAUGAAGAUAAAUUGAGUGUUAUUCAGUAUUUAUGAGAAUGCCUAAUAGGGAUAAUUAUAGUUGGAGGUUGAAAUUUUGUCUCGACACUUAGACUUUGGUUGAGUUUUAUGAGAAUGUUGUAGCAGAGUCAAGAAAACAAAAAAGAAUAGAAAAUAUCUCAAGUUUGGAGGAAAAUUUUUGUUGAACUGUGCUUGUUAUGAAAUAAAUUUUGCUCCAAUGGCUUAAGUUACCGAGUAACCAGGGCUGAGUAUGUACCCCAUAUGCAGACUUGAGUCCAAAGGCAACAAGAGUUAUGAGCAUUGCUGUAGCAUCUAUAGCUGAAAAAAAACACAAAAAAGGUCCUCUGUAUGAGAUAUUGAGUAGCCAGGUCUGUUUAUGAGCCCCAUGUUCAUCCUUGCGUUAAAAAUAUUUUUAGAUAAGACUAUGUUAUGAGUAUUGCUACAGCAACUCUGAUAUGUGCAUUGGUUGAGUAAUUGAGUAUCUCGACAUUCACGUGAAAAAUCAAUGUUACAUUGAAGAGGGUUGAAGUAAAACAAAAAAAAAAAAAUUAUUAUUGUUGUAGCACAGUUUGAGUAUAUUUGUGAUUUUUGCUCCCCAAUAUGUGAAUAUAUUUGUGUUCUACCUCUGAAUUAUAUGCAAUGUUUGUGUAAUAUUGUAGCACCUAUGGAAUCUGAUCAAAGUGGCACACACACACUUUGGACAGAAUGAUGCCUAAGUUUAGAAUUGGACUGUUAUGGCUAUUUUGCAUGAUUAAGAGUGUGAUCUGAGGGUGGAAGAAUCCUUGCAAAUUUGAUGACAUAACUAAGUCCUUUGUUGCAUGAUUGUGUAGUGUUGUUGUCAUUACUUGAGGACAAGUAAUUGUUUAAGUUUGGGGGUGUGAUAACUCUAUGAAAUGAGAGUUAUCAUGGCACUUUUAGACUAAAAUCAAUAAUACUUUGAGAGUAAAUGACAUAUUUUUAUUGCAUUUUAGUUUUAUUUUGUAUGAAUAAAUAUUUUAGUUUAUUUUUAAUAAAUUGAAUUGUUUUAGAACAAUUUGCGUGCUUAAAUUAUAUGCAUAAUUGUCGGUGUCCGGAAGCUCAAAUUUCAAGGAAGGAAAGCUGAUGCAAUAGGCUUGCAAAAAUAAGGAAAGAAUAUGGCUACAAAAGAAUUGAAACAAAUCUGGAACAGUAUAGUUGCUGUAGCAGUCGUUGAUGUAGCAGUUGUUGCUGUAGCAACCAUUGCUGUAGCAAUCCUGGAACAACGACAGGAAAAAUUCCGCGUGGGAUACUUGUAGAAUUGCGAUCUGCAGUUUCCUAAUCUGACUUAUGCGUGCCCUAGGCUUCCAUUUACCCUAAUUUUCAGCUAUAAAAGAAGCACACAUCAUAAGGAAUAAGGGGAGCCGUCACCCAAGGAGAAAAACACAAAGAAACAAAAGAAAAACAAGAUUCAAGAGAAAGAUUAAGGGCUGCACAAGAGGAAAAAUUGUAGAGAUCAAUUGGGAACUCAAUCCUUCUUAUCAUUCUCUUGUUUUCGUGUUUUCUAUUUAUUCAUGGGGAUGUGUUUUAUGGCUGAAACCUUGUUCUUUACUUUUCUUUUGCAAACAAUUAACUAAAUUUAUUUGUAGUUGAGUGAUAAACAAUCUUGAUGGUUUAUUUACUGAAAAUAUGAGUUGUUGCAUGUUUGUUGUAGCAUUUUAUUUUGAUAGCAUUUAUUUUUAUUAUUAUUUCGGUUGAUCACCCAUUUAAUGAUACAAGUUAGGAGAGAGCCACAAAAGGGCCUAUCUUAGUGGAACAUAUCAGAGCAAUACUUAGUCUUAGAUUGGGUUUCCUGGAUUGAGUUUUACUUGAGUCCAAAAGGGCCAUGCUUGAUCUAAGAUUAGUGAUGAACUAGACAUAAGGAUUCACCUUGUAUGGUAAAUAGAACCUAAGCGUGUAAUGCUACAUCUUAUGUUGGCAUAACAACUGAUCACUGUUAGGUUGCAUAUAGAUAUAAGAUAUCCAACAUGCGACGGCUGAUGAUACAUAAGGAUUCUUCUCAGUGCUGUAGCAGAUGCUGUAGCAACCGAGCCAAACAUAGAAAAAUAGUCAAAACCAUUAAGAGAGUUUAUUCACUUAACUACUGUAUAUUCCCAUUGGUUUUAUCCUUGAGCUUGACGUGAUAAUUUACUUUGUUGCAUUUUAUUUAUUGCGUUUUUUAUUUUAAUUAGUAUAUUAAUUUCGUUAAUUGUUUUAUCUUAAUUUAGAACAAAAUCUGCACUGUUAAGAUUGUUGUAGCAAGUCUGAUAACAUCAAUCCCUGUGUAGACGAUCUUGAAUACUCAUCACUUUAUUACUUGUUGUGUACACUUGCACAUUGACACUAAUAAUAUUUGAAUUUAUACCCAACACCAUCAACUUUCCAUGAUGCUUUAAACAACUCAUAUGUUACUUUGUGGAUGAUAGCAAUGUAGGAAGAAAUUGAAGCUCUACAUAAGAAUAAGACAUGGGAACUUAUACCACUACCACGUGGAAGAAAAGUCAUUGGAAAUAAAUGGAUCUACCAGAUCAACUGUGAUGGCAAUGAUCAAGUGGAGCGAUAUCGUGCAAGAUUGGUGGUGAAGGUAUAUGCUUAGAAAGAAAGUAUUAACUUCAACAAGAUAUUUUCUCCGAUAGUUCGACUCACGACAGUUAAGGCCUAGCAACGUUUGCUAUAUUCUACCUACACUUAGAGCAAUUGGCUAUGAAAACUACAUUUCUUCAUAGAGAACUUAAAGAAGAAAUUUAUAUGUUCCAACCAGAAGGUUUUGCUGAAACAGGUAAGGAGAACUUAGUUUUCAGGUUAAACAAAUCUUUAUGCGGUCUUAAACAGGUGCCAAGGUGUUGGUAUAAAAGAUUUAAUUCCUUCAUCAUGACCUUUAGAUACAAUAGUAUAUGUUUAGACCAUUAUGCAUACUACAAGAGGUUUGACGAUAAUGAUUUUAUCAUUCUGCUGUUGUGUUUGGAUGACAUGUUGGUAGUAGGGCACAACAAAUAUCGAGUCCAAGAAUUAAAGGAAUAAUUGAAUAAGGAAUUUGAAAUGAAGGACUUGGGACCAACAAACAAGAUUCUAGGGAUACAAAUUUACAGAGAUAGUAAUAAUAGGAACAUUUGGCUUUCUCUGGAGAAAUACUUGAAAAACAUUUUGCAGUACUUUAACAUGCAAGAUUGUAAGCCAAUUUCUACCCCACUUCCUGUUAAUUUCAAGUUAUCCUUAAAAAUGUGUCCUUGCAAUGAAGCAGAGAUGAAAUAGAUGUCUCGAGUACUGUUUACUUCAAUAACAAGAAGUUUGAUGUUCGUUAUGAUAUGUACUAGACCAGCUAUUGUACAAGCAGUGGGAACAGUCAGUAGAUAUAUGGUGAAUCCUAGUGGAGAGCGUUAGAAAAUUGUAAAGAGGGUUCUUAGAUACAUUAGAGGAACCUUAGAUGUUGUAUUAUGUUAUGGAGGAUGAAAAUUUAUUGUGAGGGGCUAUGUGAAUUUAGAUUUUAUAGGAGACCUUGAUAAAAGAAAAUCCACUACUGACUAUAUAUGUUUACACUUACAGGAGGAGCUAUAAGCUGGGUUUUAAAACUGCAAACUAUUGUGGCUUUAUCUACAACAGAAGCAGAAUACAUAGUAGCUACACAGUCUUGCAAAGAAGUUAUUUGGAUACAAAGGUUAUUGAAGGAGCUCGAGCACAAACAAGAGAAUAUUUCUAUGUUUUGUGACAAUUAUAGUGACUUGCAUAUUACAAGGAAUCCUGUCUUUUAUUCUAGGACAAAGCACAUAAGUGAUUAGUAUUAAAAAUUGUAUGAUUAUCAAGCGAUAAAAAUAUUAUUUUGUCCUUAUAUUAUAAAUUAUAUUUGUGUUUAUGCAAUAUAUUAAGAAUUAUUAAUUAUGUCUUAACUAUAUUUAAUUUUGUGUAUUUUUGUGUGUUUAUUAAGUAAAAUAUUAAAUUCGUUUAACUCGAGGCUCCAAACAGAUAAACGGAUGGCAAAUUCAGAUUCCGAAGGUCCGAAAACCUUAAGAUGAGUCAAAACCGACUUAAAAUUAAGGUUGUGUAAAAUAGUUGACUUUUCCUACUGAUCGAGCACUGAUUGGAUGAUAAAAUGAGCUUACAAUAGAUGUGAGUGCAUUGAAUAGCUAGUAAUUUUGACUAAAUCUCAAUCGUUCAUAAUUCAAUGGCCAUAAUUGUGCCACAUGGCAAUGGUUGGUGAAGAGUGUUGUAGGAUCUGAAUCUUUGUAUUCGAGUCAACCCGAUCCACCCAUUAGCCCACCAAAUCUCAACCAUUUUUUGACCAAAUCGGACGCGUCAAAUGAUGUCACGUGUAAUGUUAACUUUUGAAGUUUGACUAGUCGUUGGAUCGUGAUCUAAUGGCUGUGAGGAGGGCAUGCAUAAAGCUUAUGAUGGGCCGCAAAACACUGUCUUAACUAAAGCUUAUGAUCGUGUAAUGUUUAUUUUUCUAUAAACAAAGCCUCAUUUUUAUGUUUUUGAUCAUCUGUCUACAUCUCUCUUCUUCUGAAUUUCUCUUAAUUUCCCUAUAAUCUUGUUUUUCAAGUGUGUUUUUAAUAUUUUGUAUAAUUAUUUUUAUAAAUAAAUUUAGUUUUAUUUUCAAUUUUAGUUGUUUUUAUUAUUUUUAAUUAUGAGUAAUUUAAUUUUAAUAAUUAUUUUUAUUUCAAUUAUGCUUAACUAAACAAUAAUAGUUAGGGUAAGGUCAAACUCUUAGGAAAUAAAUAUGAUUUAAUGAAAUUCUAUUUUUAUUUAUAUAAAUUAAAUUAUUUUCUAUUUAAUUUUAUACAUAUUUUAUAUUUUGAAAGUUUGAUGUAUUAUACACAAAUAAGGGAGUUUGGCACAAUAAAUUCUCAAUAUCUUAAUAUAAGGUAUGGUAAAAUGAUAUUUUGACUUAUUGUAGACAAAUUAAAUUUUGGUACAAUAAAUACUUUGUCCGUAAUAAAAUUAAUGGAAAAAUAAUAAUAAUUUAUAUAAUUAAUCUUUUGAGCAAUAAAUCUAAAAAAAUGACAAAAAGAAUUUAUUAAAUUUUAUUUACUACUAAGUGUGGAUCCAUAACUCUAGUGGAUCUAUAACCCUUACUAAUUCAAUUUCAUAGUUUCAUUUAAAUUAAGUUGUAUAAGUUUUAUUUUCAUUUUUAGAUAAAGUAAAUAAACAAAGUAAAUGUUUUCUCUGUGGAUCGAUCUCGGACUCACUGAGCUAUAAUAUAAUAAGACACUCUUAUACUUGAGAGUUAGAAAUCACUUUUAAAAGUUGCCAAAUUUUUUGCGCCGUUGCCGGGAAAAGUUUUUAUUUUGUUUUUUUUUUUGUAAAUUUUCAUUGACACCCUUUUCCUCUUCUUAAAUUGUGUUUUGUCCAUAAAAUCUUUCAGAAUCUUUAGUUUCACCCCAUAUGGCUUUGUUCUAAGCCUUUAAAAAUUGUUGUGUGACCAUAAAAUUAUAAAGAAUUUGUAAAAAGAUCCCUAGACGAAAUUUCUUAUAUAAUUAGACUUAGACUUACAGCUUGGAAUUAUUUGGACUAAGCAAAUUGAAUAUUGACUCUUAAUUUUUUUUAGUUAUUUAAUUUUCAUUUUUAUUUUAUUUUCUUUUAUUUUAUUAUAUUAUAUGGUUGGUUUGACAGCCUAAAUUGUUAUUUAAUUUUCAUUUUUUUAUUAUUUUGCAUUUAUUUUAUGCUUUAUUUUAUAUUGUUAAUUUAUAUGGUGGGUUCAACCACCUAAAUUGUUAUUUAAUUUUAAUUGUAUUCUUUGUACACUUAUAUUAUUUGCAUAUUAAUUUUCAUUUUCUUUUGUGCAAUUUUCAUUUAGUUCUAUUGUUACUAAUUUGUUUGAAUAUUACCUUUGUGACAUAAUCAUUGCAUGAGAUGUUGGUCCUGAACUUCAAGUGGCAGGUUAAUUCAUAGAUUUCAAUCACCACCAUCAAUUAUAGAUGAGAUCCAAGAUGAAAACUUUUUGGGCGAACCUAAUCUUCAGAUUGACCAGGGAGAUAACCAUUCUCAACAUAAUGCACGUGAUCAAAAUCAACCAAGAACUCUGAAAGACUACAUGAAUCCAACUAGAACUAGAGCACCGCCGUGUAUAGUAUUUCCUCCAGAAGCAUCUCCAUUCAACUUCAAACCAGGUAUUAUCCAACUUUUACCAAUAUUUAAUGGUUUAGAAUAUGAGAAUCCAUACUUACACAUAAGUGAUUUUGAGGAAGUUUGUAAUACAUAUACAUACCAAAAUUGUAGCACGAACCUAAUUAGAUUAAAGGUUUUUCCUUUUUUGUUAAAAAAUAAAGCUAAAACUUGGUUACAAAACCUUACAUCUAGAUCAAUAAGAACUUGGAAUAACAUACAAGAACAAUUUUUGAAAAAAAAUUGUUUCCACCUCAUAGAACAAAUUCUUUUAAAAGACAAAUUACUUCUUUCACUAAACAAAAUAGAGAGACAUUAUACCAAUGUUGGGAUAGGUUUAAAGAAUUGCUUAACAUAUGUCCACACCAUGGUUUUGAAACUUUGCGAUUGGUCACUUAUUUCUACGAGGGCUUAAUACCCAAAGUAGACAGGUUGUUAAAAUGAUGUGUAAUGGUGAAUUUAGGGAUAAAAAUCCUGAAGAUGCACUAGAUUACCUUGAACAAUUAGCUGAAAAUGCACAACAUUAGGAUAUUGUUGGAACUUUUGAAUUGACAAAUAAACCACAAUCAUCUCCAUCUAGUGGAGGAAUCCAUAACCUUAGGAAAGACCAUGAUUUACAAGCAAAAUUUGCAUCCCUAGUUAGAAAAUUGAAGCUUUGGAGCAUAAAAAGAGUGAUCAAGUAAAAUCUAUUCAAGAAAUUGUAUGUAAUACUUGUAGUUCGAAUGAUCAUUUCACUCAAGAUUGUCUCGCUCUGCCUGUACUUAAAGAAUGUCUACAUGAUCAAGCUAAUGCCAUUAACACUUUUAAUAAGUCAAACCCAUAUUCACAGACUUAUAAUCCUGGUUGGAGAAAUCAUCUAAAUUUCAGUUGGAGGAAUAAUGAUAAUGCACAAUCUUCACAAGCACCACCUCUACAAAAUUUCAAAAUGCUAAGCCUUAUGCACUAUAUGUUCCACUACCAUGGAAAAAUCUUGAAGACACAGUGCAUUCAUUCACCAGAAAGCAAGAUGUUAUUAACAAUCAAAAUGCACAAACAUUUUCUGAUUUGAAAGAUGAUCUUGCUAAAAUUGCUUCUGCACUCACAAUUAAAAAAAAGGAAAAUAUCCAGCUCAACCACAACCAAAUCCUAAGAUUCAACAAAAUCCACCCAUGGACCAAGUCAAGUCAGUUAUAACUCUUCAUGGUGGUAAGGUUAUUGAUAGAUCUAUUCCUGAACCUUCGUGGUGGUAAGGUUAUUGAUAGAUCUAUUCCUGAACCUUGUGAAGAUGAUGAAAAUUCAAAGAGUAAGGAAGGAUUAAAUGAACUUACACCUAGUGAAUAAAUAACUAGUGUUCCACAUGAACCACCAUUUCCGCAUGCAUUGAAUAAAUCAAACCACUCUUCUAAAAUUUAUGAAAUUUUUAAGCAAGUGAAAGUUAACAUUCCUCUAUUAGAUGCAAUUAAGCAGGUACCUUCAUAUGCCAAAUUUUUGAAAGACUUGUGCACUGUCAAGAGGAAAUUAAAAGUAAGAAAGAAAGCUUUCAUGGCUGAACAGGUAAGUACAAUUUUGUCUGCUUUACUAAAUCUUGGUGCUAGUGUUAAUUUGCUUCCAUAUUCAGUUUAUCUUCAACUUAAUCUUGGUGAGUUAAAAUCAACUUCAACUACACUUUUGCUUGUCGAUAGAUCAGUUAAAGUACCAAAAGGAAUAGUGGAAGAUGUUUUAGUACAAGUUGAUAAAUUUAUAUACCCUGUGGAUUUUAUUGUCUUAGAAAUUAAACCUAUUAUGAAUGAUUAUAAACCAAUUCCUGUAAUUUUAGGUCGACCAUUUUUAGCAACUGCUAAUACUUUGAUUAAUUGUAGGAAUGGUUUAAUGAAUUUAUCCUUUGGAAAUAUGACUUUAGAAUUGAAUGUUUUCAACAUGUGCAGGCAACCUAAUGAAGAAAGUGAGAAUGAAGAUGAUAUUGAUGAACAAAAGGAAUUGCUUGAAUCUUGUAUAGAGAAAAAUAUUCAAAAAAAAGGAUUUUUUUAAACUCUGAUGUUUGUUUAAUUAAUUCAAUUGAGUCAAAUAAGCAAUUUGAACUUGAUUUUUUGCAUAAUUAUGAUGAAGAGCCAAAAUUUGAGGAGCUUGCAAGUAUUGAAAAGAUAGAACAACAAGAAGCACUUAAACUGGAAUUGAAACCUUUGCCUAAAGGAUUGAAGUAUGCUUUUCUUGGAGAAGAACAAACUUAUCAUGUUGUGAUUUUUUCUACUUUAACAAGCGACUAAGAAGGUAAGUUAUUAACUGUUCUUAAAAAGCAUAAAAAUGCAAUUGGAUGGACUUUAAAUGAUAUUAAAGGCAUUAAUCCCUUAAUUUGCACACAUAGAAUUAAUUUGGAAGAAAAUGCUAAAACAUGUCAACAAUCUCAAAGAAGAUUAAACCCACUCAUGAAAACGGUAGUUAAAAUAGAAGUCCUUAAAUUGCUUGAUGUGGGAAUUAUCUACCAUAUUUCUAAUAGUAAAUGGGUAAGUUCUACACAAGUAAUGCCCAAAAAAUCUGGAAUCACUGUUGUUAAAAAUGAAAAAGGUGAAUUAAUUCCAACACGAAUUACAUCUAGGUGGCACAUGUGCAUUGAUUAUAGAAAGUUAAAUGAAGCCACUAGAAAAUAUCAUUUUCCAUUACUAUUUCUUGACCAAAUCUUAGAAAGAGUAGUUGGACAUCCUUACUACUGCUUUUUAGAUGGAUAUUCAGGUUAUUAUCAAAUUCCUAUAGCACUUGAGGACCAAGAAAGACCUCAUUUACAUGUCCUUUUAGAACAUUUACAUUUAAAAGAAUGUCAUUUGGGCUUUGUAAUGCUCAUGCAACAUUUCAAAGAUGUAUGCUAAGUAUUUUCUGUGAUAUGGUGGAACAUUGUUUGGAGGUCUUUAUGGAUGAUUUGACUGUGUUUAAGAAUUCUUUGAAUGAUUUCCUUGAUAAUUUGGAGAAAGUUUUAAAAAGAUGUGUUGAAAAAGACCUUUUGUUGAAUUGGGAAAAAUGUCACUACAUGGUUACUUCUGGAAUUAUUUUGGGUCAUAUUGUAUCUGUUAAAGGAAUUGAAGUUGACAAAGUAAAAAUAGAAGUCAUAUCUAAAUUGCCACAACAAAAAACAGUUAGAGAUGUGCGAUCCUUUUUAGGACAUGUAGGAUUUUAUUGGAGGUUUAUAAAAAUUUUUAGUACCAUAUCUAAACCACUUUGUAACCUCUUAUUAAAAAAUGCACCAUUUGAAUGAACUAAUGAUUGCCAAAAAUCUUUUGAGGAAAUAAUUUUUCUUUUAACAUCUGCACCUAUUAUGAAAUCUCCUUAUUGGUUUUUACCUUUUGAAUUGAUGUGUGAUGCAUGUGAUUUUGCUGUUGGUGUUGUUUUAGGACAAAAAAUGGAUGGUAAGCCCUUUAUGAUUUAUUAUGCGAGUAAGACUUUGAAUAAUGCCCAAAUGAAUUAUUCUUCAAUUGAAAAGGAAUUACUUACUAUGGUAUUUGCAUUAAACAAAUUUCGUUCAUAUUUGCUUGGCUCCAAAUCUGUUGUUUUUACUUACCACGCAGCUGUGAGAUAUUUGAUGAGUAAACAACAUGCCAAACCGAGAUUAAUUCGUUGGAUUUUGUUGCUUUAAGAAUUUGACCUUACUAUCAAAGAUAAAAAGGGUGUCGAAAAUGUCGUUGAUAAUUUAUCAAGACUCACAUCCAAAUUCUGCACUGAUAUAACACCCAUUAAUGAUUUUUUCCCUGAUGAAUUUUUAUUUUCUAUUACUUUAAUGCCAUGGUAUGCUAACAUUGUUAAUUUCCUUGUUACAAGUAAAAUGCCUUUGCAAUUGAAUGCUCAAGAGAAGAAGAAAUGUUUUGUUGAAGUAAAGAAAUUUUAUUCGGAUGAUCCUUAUUUGUUCAAAUAUUGCCCAUAUAAAAAUUUUCUGCGACGUAUUCCUAAUAAUGAGGUCAGGAGUGUCGUUAAUGUUUUUCAUUAUGAAGCAUGUGGUGAACACUUUUCAUCAAGAAAAAUUACAGCUAAAAUUUUGUAAUGUGGAUUUUAUUGGCCUACUAUAUUCAAAGACACAUAUAAAUUUUGUAAAACUUGUGAAAAAUGUCAAAAAUUGGGAUCAAUUACUAAAAGAAACAUGAUGCCCUUAAAUCCUAUACUUGAGAUUGAAAUAUUUGAUUGUUGAGGAAUUGAUUUCAUGGGUUUGUUUCCAUCAUCUUUUGGAUUUGUGUAUAUAUUAGUUGCAGUUGAUUAUGUCUCAAAAUUGAUUGAAGCAAUUUCUUGUCGAAAUAAUGAUAGUAAAAAUGUAGUUAAAUUUUUAAGAGAAAACAUUUUAAAUCGAUUUAGAAUCCCUCGAGCCAUUAUUAGUGAUAGAGGUAAGCAUUUUUGUAAUAAGUCAUUUGAGUCUUUAAGGGAGAAAUACAAAAUUACACAUAAAGUUGCUACCCCUUAUCAUCCUCAAACAAAUGGUCAAGUUGAAUUAACAAAUAGGGAGAUAAAACAAAUUUUGGAAAAAAAGGUUAACCUAAACAGAAAAGAUUGGUCUCUUAGACUUAAUGAUGCAUUUUGCGCCUACCAUACUGCAUUUAAGACGUCAUUAGGAAUGUCACCCUAUCGGCUAGUUUAUGGUAAACCUUGUCACUUACCUGUUGAACUUGAACAUAAAUCAUUUUGGGCUAUUAAAGUUUUUAAUUCAAAUUUGGAUGAUGUUGGUAAUGUGCGAAAAUUGUAAUUGAAUGAACUUAAGGAAUUAAAGAAUAAUGAAUAUGAAAAUUCAAGAAUUAUUAAAGUAAGAACAAAAGCUUUUCAUGAUAAAAGAAUUUUUCAAAAAAUAUUUGAGAUUGGUCAAAAAGUGUUGCUUUAUAAUUCUCGUCUUCAUUUGUUUCCAAGGAAGUUAAAGUCAAAGUGGAGUGGUCCAUUUGUUGUAAAAAAUGUACAUUCAUAUGGGGCCAUAGAAAUUGAGAAUCCAAAGAACGGUGUCAUAUUUAAAGUUAAUGGUCAAAGAUUAAAACCAUAUUUGGAACAUCAACCACGUGAAGAAGACACCGAAAUCAAUUUGGGUGACCCACCAAAUCUUGAUUAAGUCUUUAAUUUUAAUGAGUGAUUCAAUUUUUUUUGUUUUACUGUUAUUUUGUUGUUUUAUUGUUUGAUUUUUUUCUCGAUUGAUGUGCACCAUACAUUUUUUUAGCAUUAUAUUUCUUGUAUAAGCGUGUUUGUUUGACAAUUGUAUUUCUCUUAUCAAUUUUGAUUAGAUGUCAUGAGUACCUUAAUAAGAAAGUUCUUGCUCACACAUCUUUAAAAUAUUUUGCGUGUGAAAUCUCACUUGAGAGGCCUGAUACAAAGCUGUAAAUCACAUCCACUUUGGGAUCUGCAACCACUAACAUUAGUGUCCUACGUUAAAGACCUAGAAAGACAACUCAGAGCAAUAGAGAGUGGUAUAUAUGAAUUUCAAUUGGAGCUUGAGGUUAACUCAUAAAAAGGACAAAUGUAAGUUCCUUUUUCUUUUUUCUUUAUGUGAUUUCGUUUUUUGUUUUGUUCACUUUUCAUGUUUGAUUUGAUUUUGCAGUUUUGAUUCUCUUUAUUUUAGUGUGUUUUGAUUUAUUUUCCCGUAUAAAUGGCGGAUAACGGUACCCCAUGACUGCUUAAGUCGGUAUCUUCAGUUUCCCACAAUAAUUGAUCCCCAAAAUCAAACAUGGAAGAAAUAUAACAUAAAAUGCAUAAGCAUUUUCCCUCUCUCCCUCAGAAUGCCCUCAGGAAAAUUUACAAAGCUCGUUGUGAACAACUGCGUUUGUUAAUGAUCAAUGGCAUUCCUUCUGACGUUCGUUGGUUAAUUGAAGCAAAGGUCUGAUUAGCAGGUGAGUUUUCUGCUCCAUUUGUUUGUUACAUGUCUGGUUUUGAUAAAAACAUAUUUGCUAAAAAAGGAAGAGCUAAAAGACUUGUCUCAGAAUGUCAUAACUGUGUACGACUUAGUUGCUGACGAGAAAUUUGUAAAUCUUUAGGAAUGGUUUCUGAUUGUGAAGAUAAAAUUAAAUUUGUUAAAGAUGGAUGAGUAAAGAAUCGUUGGAUGAUAUCUUACAAUCUCUUGAGACACAUCGAAGCGGAUAUGUGCAACGUGAGAUUCAUAAUUUGUGGAUACUAUUCCAAAAAAAAAGUGCACAGUUUAGUUUUAGGAAUCUGACUCAAAAAGAUAUUGUUUACAAAUUUAUAAGAAAACUAGAUGGGAAGCCUAUCCUCGACCUAUAAAGGGAGUUCAAGUCAUUACUGGAUGUAAAAUUAGUGGAAGAUGUUAGCCACAACCACAACUACCAGUAAAUAUCCUUUUAUUUUACUGUUCUUUUAUCAUUUGCUUUAAUGGUGUGAUUUUGUAUUUAAUAAUUAUUUAUUUUAUGUUUGCUUUUUCGAAUCACCAUUUUCUUAUUCUAUUUACUGUUUACUUUUGAAUUAUUGAGCCACGACCUUUACACGUCAUUUGACAAAUAUGCCAACCCAUUUAUAGUUGUUUCUCAUUAUUUUUGUCACCAAGAUCUUUAAAUAUGAGCUUCUUUUUCAAACACUCACAACUUGUUUUUCAAGAUUAUUCUAAUGGCAGCAUCUUCUAGUAAACAAUUCAAAAAUAUUUGUGUGCUUUCUGGGUUUCACUGUGGAAAGUACAAGGAGUUCGUUCAGGCAGUUGUAGAUCUUGGUCAUGUCAUAGCAGAGAGGAAACUACACCUUGUAUAUGGAGGAGGUGAACGAGGGUUAUCAAGGCUUGUCUCAAAAGCUGUUUUUACUCGAGGAAGCCAAGUACUAGGCAUUAUUCCAAAAGCCAUUAAACCUCUAGGAUGCCUAUUUGGCCCACCAAUUAAAGAAGAAUUAGUGGUAUCAAGUAUGCAAGAGAGAAUAUCAAAAAUGUUAAAUCAUGCUGAUGCUUUUAUUUUCUUGCCAGGAGAUCUUGCAACUCUUGAGGCACUGAUUACAUUUAUAUCUUAGGCCAAUUUGGACAUUCAUAAAAAACCCAUCAAUUUGUUAAAUGUUAAUAAUUGUUAUGAUGGCUUGCUAACUUUUAUUAACAAUGCCAUUAAAAAUCCUUUUGUUCCACACUCUGUAAAAAAAAAACUCUUUAUUUGUGCUUUCACUGCUAAUGAGUUACUUGAUCUUUUGCAAGCUUAUGCAUCAGAGCUAGAUCCCAAGACUUAUGCACUGGAUUGGUCGACUGAUGAUGGUAGCAGUAGCAGUGAUAAGAAGUGUUGUUGGGUAUAAAUACUAAUGCUAUUGGUGUCAAUGUGCAAGUGUACACAACAAGUAAUAAAGUGAUGAGUAUUCAAGAUCGUCUCCACAGGGAUUGAUGUUAUUAGACUUGCUACAGCAAUCUUAACAGUGCAGAUUUUGUGUAUAAAUUAAGAUAAACAAUUUAUGAAACUAAUUUACUAAUUAAAAAAAAAAACACAAUAAAUAAAAUGCAACAAAGUAGAUUAUUACGUCAAACUCAAGGAUAAAAACAAUGAGAAUAUAGAGUAGUUGAGUGAAUAAACUCUCUUAAUGGUCUUGACUAUUUUUCUAAUGUUUGGCUCGGUUGCUACAGCAUUAGGCAGAAUCCUUAUGUAUCCUCAGCCGUCGCAUGUUGGAUAUCUUAUAUCUAUAUGCAACCUAACAGUGAUCCGUUGCUAUGCCAACAUAAGAUAUAGCAUUACACGUUUAGGUUCUAUUUACCCUACAAGGUGAAUCCUUAUGUCUAGUUCAUCACUAAUCUUAAAUCAAGCAUGGCCCUUUUGGGACUCAAGUAAAACUCAAUCCGAGAAACUCAAUUUAAGAUCAAGUAUUGUUCUGAUAUGCUCCACUAAGAUAGGCCCUUUUGCGGCUCUUCAUUAGCUAGUAUCAUUAAAUGGGUGAUCAACCGAAAUAACGAAUAAAAUAAAUACUAUCAAAACAAACUGCUAAAGCAAACAUGCAGCAACACAUAUUUCCAGUCAAUAAACCAUCAAGAUUGUUUAUCACUAAACUACAAAUAAAUUUAGUUCAUGAUUUGCAAAAGAAAAAUAAAGAACAAAGUUUCAGCCAUGAAACACAUCUCUAUAAAUAAAUAGAAAACGAGAAAACAAGAGAAGAAUAAGAAGGAUUGAGCUCCCAAUUGACCUCUGCAAUUUUUCCUCUUGUGCAACCCUUAAUCUCCCUCUUGAAUCUUGUUUUUUUAUUUUAUUUCUUUGUGUUUUUCUCCUUGGGUGACGACCCUCUCAUUCCUUAUGAUGUGUGCUUAUUUUAUAGUUGAAAAUUAGGGUAAACGAAAGCCUAAGGCGUGUAUAAGUCAGAUUAGGAAACUGCAGAUCGCAAUUCUACAAGUAUCCCACGCGGAAUUUUCUCUGUCGUUGUUCCAGGAUUGCUACAGCAACGGUUACAGCAAUUGUUGCUACAGCAAUUGCACUGUUCCAGAUUUGUUUCAAUUCUUUUGUAGCUAAGUUCUUCCUCAUUUUUGCAAGCCUAUUGCAGCAGCAUUCCUUCCAUGAAUUAUAAGCUUCUGGAAACCUACAAUUAUGCACACAAUUUAACCACGAAUUACUUUAAAUUAAGUAAAACUCAUUAAGACUAAACUAAAAUGAAUAUUUAUGCAAAAUGUAACAAAAAUGCAAUAGAAACACAUCAUUUACUCUCUAAGUAUUAUUGAUUUAAGUCUAAAAGUGUCAUGAUAACUCUCAUUUUAUAGAGUUAUCAAGUGCAAAUUAGAUUUAACUCUCUGUUUGUAAAUAUUUUUCGUUGUAGUGUUCAUGUGAUGUCUUCUAAACUCUUUCUCUUUCUUUUUAAAACAUUUAGGAUAAUGUCUCGUUCAGGUUGGGGGGAGGGAAUAGGGAUGGCAACCAAACCCGGACCCGGAUUGAACUCGAAAAAUUCGGUCUUGGUUCAACCCGCACCGGAACAAUUUUUAUGCGGAAUUCGGAUUAGUUUUUCAGAACCUGUAUAUUUCCGGUCCGAAUCUGGGUUCAGGUGAACCCGCAAAUUUGGAACCCGGAUCCAGAUAAUAUUUAUAUUUAAUAAAAAAUAUUAAUUUUUUAGAAAUUAUUAAAUAUAAAUAGAAAAUUUAAAAAAAAAAAAACCCUAGCCCUCUCAAUCUCUCAUCUGUUCCUUUCUCAAUCUCUUAGACUCUCACUCAUUCCUCUCUCUCACUCUCACUCUCUUCAACUCUAUUGUAAUUUCUCUUCUCUCAUUCUCUCAUUUGUACUUCUCUCAAUCUCUCUCACUCGUUCCUCACUCAAUCUCUCUCACUCUCUCUUCAACUCUCCUGUAAUUUAUCUUCUUCAGAUCAGAUCCUUCGCGGCGUGGCUGUUAUCACCGUCACAGUGCGGCUGUGUUCGUUUCAUCACUCAUCAGCAUCAGCAUCACUCGUCUCAUCUCUCACUCUGUCGCAGCCAGCAAAAGGGGGUGGAUUUCGCGACUAUGUCCUGUGUUCAUCAGCAUAUACUUAAGCUGCCGCUGUGAAUAUUUGUGAGUCUCGCCUCUUCUCUUUACAAUUGAUGCUCUAUUACGCGUUGAUUAUUCCCUCUUUACAAUUUAAUUAUAUUGUCUUGACAAUUUACGUGCUGUUAUGCUCUAAUUAUACUCUCUUUGGAAUUUAAUUAUAUUGUCUUUGUAAUUUAUGUGUUAUUAUGCUCUGAUUAUACUAUCUUCACAAUUUAAUUAGAUUGUGUUUGCAAUUUUAAUAUCUAUACUUUGUAACUUUAAUAGCUAAACUCUGUGAUUUUUAAUAUCUAUACUCUAUUAUGCUUCAAUUUUAUUAUUUAUAGUUUAUUUAUUUUUUAAUUAUUUUUUAUUGUUGCUGUUAAUAGAAUAGAAAUGGUGUCUCUAAAAUAUUUAUAGCUUUUACGGUUAGACAUAGCAUAUAAAUUGGAAGAAGUUACUGGAAUUUAUGAUGUCUUGACAUAAUUUUUGUACAGUGAAAAAUUGAUAUGGAAAAUGAACAAAGAAUCAACUUGGAUGCCUCUGAAAAAAGUGAUGAAAGUGUUUGUGUGAGAGUUAGGACAGAAUCAGAAAAUAAUAAUGAUACAGUUGUUGAAUUAGAACCAAAUUCAACAGCAGCAGUUCAGGGGAGUAGUCGUGGCCGUAGAGAUAAUAGUAAUCCUGUCACUUCACAAAAAUGAGGUGGUGGUGGUAGAGUAGUCUCUGAUGCUUGGAAUCAUUUCAAAAAAGUUAAGUUGGGUGAGGAAGUUCAGGCGAUUUGCAAUUACUGUGGGUUAGUUAUGCAAGGACAUUAUUCGAGGGGUACUAAUCACUUAAUAAAGCAUGUUAAACGUUGUCCUAUAAGGUCAUUCAAGAAUGUAAGCAAAUGCACCUAUCUUUUUCUUCUAAAGAUGAUGGAACCACUUCACUUAGUAAUUAUAGCUCUGAAUCAAAAUGGAAUAUGGCUAUAGUAAAACUUUUUGUGGCUAGAAUGAUUGUACUACAUGAGCUCCCCUUGGCAUUUGUUGAGUACGUUGGGUUUUAUGACUUGUUGAAGCUACUCCAACCUUCUAUUGAGACUAUUAGUAGAAACACCACCAGAGCUGAAAUUUUGAAGCUUUAUGAUGUUGAAAAGAAAACGACAAUGGGUAUUUUCGAAGUUUGUGAGAGUAGAAUCGCAAUUACUACAGAUAUGUGGACUGCUAGUAACAAAAAAAAAAAAGGAUACAUGGUUAUUACGGCACAUUACAUUGAUAGCUCAUGGGUGUUGCGAAGUCAUAUUAUGAGGUAAUAUUCUUGAAACUUUUUUUUUUUUUUUGGUUUAAGCAUAAAUUAAUGUCCUGUCUAAUAUUUUAAGGGAAAAUGACAAACACACCCCCAACGUUUAGGCAAAGGGACAAAAAACCCCAUAACGUUUCAAAAUAGACAUUUACACCCCAAUUUAUUAUAAUUUUACCAUUAUACCCUUCUAGCAUAUAAAAUAAAAUUACUAGAUUAUACAAUUUGUCUAUCUAUUGUUAAUAAAAUUAUAAAUAUACCCUUAUUGCCUCAUUCUUCUAUUUAAAUUUUUAUCAAUAACCAAUUUUCAAAAAAGACAUCUACACACUUUAAAAAAAUUGUAAAUAAAUUAUAAUUUUAAAAAUAAAAUUGGUUAUUAAUACCAUAAUAAAUAACAUAGAAAAUUAGUUAUAAAUAUACAAGUUUAAAUGAUUGACAUGUGGAGAAUUGUUAAAUAUAAAAGUUUAAAGUUUAAAUAAAAUUGGUUAUUAAUAACCAAUUUUAUUUUUAAAAUUAUAAUUUAUUUACAAUUUUUUUAGGUGUAUAGAUUUUUUUUUUUGAAAAUUGAUUAUUGAUAAAAAUUAAAAUAGAGGAAUUGGGCAAUGAGGGUAUAUUUAUAAUUUUUUUUAUAAUAUCCAACUUGUCUAUUUAUAAUUUUUAUUAACAAUAUAUAGACAAAUUAGAUAAUCUAAUAUUUUUUUUUAUAUGCUAGAAGGGUAUAAUGGUAAAAUUAUAAUAAAUUGGGGUGUAAAUGUCUUUUUUGAAACGUUAGGGGGGUUUUUGUCCCUUUACCUAAACGUUGGGGGUGUGCUUGUCCUUUUCCCAUAUUUUAAUUAUUUUUCACAUUGUUAGGUUUAUAUAUGUGCUAGCUCCACAUAGUGCUGAGGUAAUGUGUAAUGAGUUAUAUGAUUGUUUGAUGGAUUGGAAUAUAGAUAGAAAGUUGUGCACUGUAACUGCUGAUAAUUGUGCUGCAAAUGAUUCUAUGAUUGCCUUGUUGUUGGGCAAAUUUUCUACUAGUUCAAUGAUUAUGGGUGGCAAAUUCUUUCAUAUGCGUUGUUGUGCUCAUAUAUUGAACUUGAUAGUUAGAGAUGGUUUAUCUGUGAUACAAAAGGGAGUUGAGAAAAUUAGAAAUAGUGUUCAUUAUUGGACAACAACACCUACUAGAGUUGAAAAAUUUGAGAAUGCAAAAAAACAAUUAAGUAUUAAGGAAACCAAAAACUUGGUACUUGAUUGUAAAACUAAAUGGAACUCCACUUACUUGAUGCUUAGGACUGCAUUGUUGUUUAAAGAUGUAUUUGAUCGUUUAAAGGAAUAUGAGAGAAAUUAUACAUCUUUACCUAGUGAGUCAGAGUGAAAUUUGUCAAAACUUAUGUGUGAGUAUCUAAAAAGCUUUUAUAAGUUAACAGAACGUUUUUCGGGGACACGAUAUCCGACAUCUAAUUUAUUUUUUGCCAAGAUUUGUGAAAUUAGAUUGUCAAUUAAUGCAUGGUUGCAAUCACCAAUUGAGGGGAUAAAAAUAUGGCCACUAGGAUGAUUGCGAAGUAUGAAAAAUAUUGGGAUGAUAUUCAUGGAGUUCUUGCAGUGGGGACUAUGUUAGAUCCUAAGCGUAAAAUGUUACUGAUUAACUUUUUAUUUCCUAAAAUAUAUGGGGAAAAAGCUGAAUUUGAAAUUGAAAGAGUGCGUAAGUUAUUUGUUGAUUUAGUGCAUGAGUAUAAAGUUACUGAUUAACUUUUUAUUUCCUAAAAUAUAUGGGGAAAAAGCUGAAUUCGAAAUUGAAAGAGUGCGUAAGUUAUUUGUUGAUUUAGUGCAUGAGUAUAAAGUUACUGAUUAACUUUUUAUUUCCUAAAAUAUAUGGGGAAAAAGCUGAAUUCGAAAUUGAAAGAGUGCGUAAGUUAUUUGUUGAUUUAGUGCAUGAGUAUAAAGUAAAGCAUCUAUCAAAUUCAAGUGAGGGAGUUAAUGGUGCCAAUUCUCAAGCUGCUACAUGAGGGGAUUCUAUUAUGUUGGACUUGGAUUUGGAUGAAAUGACUGAUGAGUGGGCAUUAUUUAGAAAUGAAAACACAUAGAAUACUCAUUCCAAAUUAGAAUUAGAGCUUUAUCUUGAGGAGAGUACUUUGCCUUCAACUAGUCAAUUUGACAUUUUGUCAUGGUGGAAGAAUAAUCAAGGCAAAUAUCAUAUACUUGCAAAGAUCGCAAGGGACUUUUUGGCCAUUCAUGUAUCAACAGUUGCUUUGGAGUCCGCUUUUAGCACUGGAGGUAGACAUUUGAGCCCUCAUCCCUAGUAGACUUCACCCAUCCACAGUGGAGGCAUUAGUGUGCACUCAAAAUUGGUUUUGGCUUGAACAAAACCUAAAAGGUAUGAAAGUUUUAUUUAUUAGAAUCAAAUUAUUUUUUAUAUUGUUCUUAUUAUCAAAUUAUCACUAAUUGGUUGUCUUGUUCAUUAUGUUUAUGAUUUACACAUUUUUUAUAGAUGGAAUUUUAGAGGAACCAAUACUUUCUGUUGAGCAUUUGAUUGAUGAAGUUGGAUGAGUGAGCAACAGUCAAAUGAAGUGGAUGAUUGAAAGUUUAGUCUUUAGCACUAGUGGUUUGAAAUUUGAACUUUAAAUUGUAGAAUUAUGUAAUGGAUUUGUAUUUGUGGAUGUUUAUUACUUUAAAACUUUGAAUUUUAGAUUUUAUAUUGUGUUGUAAUUGUUUUAGAACCUGGAUAAGUUAUAUGUUUUGUAUUUGAAAUUUUGUUGAACUAAAGUAAAGCAAUCCGGAAGCAAUCUGGUUCUGGUUUGUGUUCUUUUUGUUUUCCUUUUUCCAGCAAGUUAACAACUUAAGUAAAGCAAUCUGGGUUGAAAACCCAGAAUCUGGAAACCCGGAUGUUUCUAGGUUGAACCCGGACUGGACCCGGAUUGACAAAAAAUGGGUUCAAUGCGGGCCCGGUAAUGAGAAAUUUGUGUCCAGGUCCAGAUUCAGAACGGCCAAACCCGAACCCGGACCCAGAAAUUGCCAUCCCUAGGAGGGAAUAGUUGAUAAUUGUGGAAUGUCUUAGUCCUAGUGUUGUUUUUACAAAGUUUUGCUGUAAAGACUAACUUUGGACUAAAUUUGAGUCGAAGAUGGUUGGAUAUGGAGAGUCCAGUACCUCUAAAAACGUAUCUUCUUAAUCUUAGAGUUUUAUUAAAAAACAAAGUAACAUAUGUGUGUUCUUUGUCAUCUUCUUUUAAGCUUCUGCAUCGAGUUCAAGUGAGAUCUCCCCCUCUUCUUCUUUUAUUAUAUAUAUAUUUUUUGCAUGCAUAUCUGUAAUAUUAUAAAAUGUUGAGAUAAUGUUUAGAUUAAGUUGGAGGGUGGGGAUAGUUGACAUGUGUUUUUAAAUAUGUGUGUUUGUUUUUCUCUUUUCUUUUUAUUUUAGAAAAACAAAUUUGUCUAGGAUGGUUGUCUAUGUUGUAUUAUAUUUUGAUUUUGAAAUUCAUAGUAAGUUGUUUUUGUUUCUUUUUCUUUAAAUUACUCAAAUUUGUGAACUCUUCAAUUAGCUAUUAAGUCAUUUAAUUGUUUACUCAUUUAACAGGUAUUAUUGAAUCAUUCUUAACACACACACUAUGACACAUACUAGUGGGUUGUAAGUUAAAAUUUUUGCAACAUUUAGUUCUUUUGAUUUGUUAGGGAUAAUAUCAAAGGUAGUAAAAAGUGCAUAUUUUAAAACAAAAAAAAAGAAAAAAAUUUGAAUAUGUUUAAUUUUGUUAUAUCUAGAACCCGAGUAAUUAAGUCUGUAGGGGUAUUUCAACACCUAGUGUCCUAAGGCCAACUGGUCUGGGAGUUACUGGCCCAAAACUCGCUACAUGAGUUAUAAAUAUAUAGUUUGCUUAUUAGAAACCUGAGUAAUUAAGUAUGUAGGGGUGUUUCAACACCUAGUGCCCUAAGGCCAACAGGUCUCAAAGUCACUGGCCUCAAGCUUGCUACAUGGGUUAAAAAUGUAAUAUUUUUAAUUUAUAUGUGUGAAUAAUCUACUGCCUAAAGAUAUAAUUUCUAAUAAAUUUUUGAACAAAAAUGUUGUUUUUCUUUUAAUGAAGCCCCAUAAGUAUUGUGUUAAUUACUUGAGCACAAAAUAAGGUUUGAUGAUAUUCUGGAUAAUGAGUGAACGACAAAGAGGUAAGGAAAUAUGGGAGAGUUUAUUUAUUUGAUAGUUUAGAGGAUAAAUGAACAACUAUUAACUUGCAUGUGAAUUUUAUAAAUCUUAAUUUAAUAUAACUCUUUAAUUGCUAGGGGCUAGCAAUAAGGUGGUUGGGGGGUAUGAUUGGUAUUAAAAAUUGUUUGAUUAUCAGGCGAUAAACAAAUUAUUUUGCGCUUCUAUUAUAAUUUAUAUUUGUGUUUAUGCAAUAUAUUAAGAAUUAUUAAUUAUGUCUUAACUAUAUUUAAUUUUGUGUAAUUUUGUGUGUUUAUAAGGCAAAAUAUUAAAUUCGUGUAAUUCGAGGCUCUAAACAGAUAAAUGGAUGACGAAUUUGGAUUCCGAAGGUUCGAAAACCUUCGAUGAGUUAAAACUGUCUUAAAAUUAAGGUUGUGCAAAAGAGUUGACUUUUUCUGUUGACCGAGUACUUAUUGGAUGAUAAAAUGAGCUUACAAUAGAUAUGAGUGCGUUAGAUAGCUGGUAAUUUUGAUUAAAUCUCAACCGUUAUAAUUCAAUGGCCACGAUUGUGCCACAUGGCAAUGAUUGGUGAAGCAAGUUGUAGGAUCCGAAUAUUUGUAUUCGGGUUGACCCAAUCCACCCAUUAACUCGCCAAAUCUCAACCAUUCUUUGAUCGAAUCGGAUGCAUCAAAUGAUGCCACGUGUAAUGUUGACUUUUGAAGUUUGACCAGCCGUUGGAUUGUGAUCUAAUGGCUGUGAGGAGCGCAUGCAUAAAGCUCAUAAUGGGCCGCGAAACACUGGAUUAUGAAUUUAUUUUUCUAUAAAUAGAGCCCCAUUUUUAUGCUUUUGAUCAUCUCUCUUCUUCUCAAUUUCUCUCAAUUUCCCUUUAAUCUUGUUUUUCAAGUGUGUUUUUAAUAUUUUGUAUAAAUUGUUAUACAUAAAUUUAGUUUUAUUUUCAAUUUUAGUUGUUUCUAUUACUUUUAAUUAUGAGUAAUUUAAUUUUAAUAAUUAUUUUUAUUUCAAUUAUGCUUAACUAAAUAAUAAUAGUUAGGGUAAGGUGAAACUCUUAGGAAAUAAAUAUGAUUUAAUGAAAUUCUAUUUUAUUUAUAUAAAUUAUUUUCUAUUUAAUUUUAUACAUAUUUUAUAUUUUGAAAGUUUGAUUUAUUAUACACAAAUAAGGGAGUUUGGCACAAUAAAUUCUUAAUAUCUUAAUAUAAGGUAUGGUAAAAUGAUAUUUUGACUUAUUGUAGACAAAUUAAAUUUUGGCACAAUAAAUACUUAAUCCAUAAUAAAAUUAAUAGAAAAAUAAUAAUAAUUUAUAUAAUUAAUGUUUUGAGCAAUAAAUAUAAAAAAAAAUGACAAAAAGAAUUUAUUAAAUUUUAUUUACUACUAAAAGUGAAUCCAUAACCCUAACUAAUUCAAUUUCAUAGUUUCAUUUAAGUUAAGUUGUAUAAGUUUUAUUUUCAUUUUUAGAUAAAGUAAAAUAAAAAAGUAAAUAUUUUCUCUAUGGAUCGACUUCGAACUCACCGAACUAUAAUAUAACUAGACACUCUUAUACUUGGGAGUUAGAAAUCAUUUUUAAGUUGUGUCAAUUAGGGUACAAUAUCAAUUCGUUCGAGAGGUAGUGGAAGACGGAAAUGUGGAUUUACAGAAAAUUCAUACCAAGGAGAACCUAGCAGAUGUUUUGACAAGCCAAUCAAUGCUGACAAGUUUGUAUGGAGUAGAUCCUCUUAUGACUUUGUAGAGACGUAAGCAACAUGAUAAUGACGAAAAAGAAUGAAUGGCGUAGAGUCAUGAUUGGUUCUUAAUCAAGUCUCCAAAUGGGAGAUUUGUUGAACAUGUGCAUGCAUGUGGCAAACAAUUGCUCGUGGAAACUUUUGACUUUUGACACAAUUUGUUGAGUAAGUGGGAGGCUAGCACAAAACUUUUGACUUUGGCACCAAAGUAGAAUGUUAAAUGAAAAUAUAUAUCAUUUUAAAGCCCACAAUUAUUCUUUUUUUGGUCAUUGCUUGACUUAUAAAUAAAGGCUUCAUUUGCCCUUUUCAUUCAUCAAAUUUGUUUUUUUCAAUCCUCAAUCUAAUUAAGAAGUAAAAGAGCCAAGAGUUGGAGAUUGAGAGUGUCCUGAGAGCUUUAAACUCUUGUUUUAGUGAAAUGAGAGUUUGGGUGUAUUAGAUUUUGAGUUGUGAAACAAAAUACUACAAUAUUUGUUACUCAUUUUCACUAGCAAAAUAUUUCCUUCUAUCUUUGCCCAUGAAUGUAGGCUAAAAGUCAAACCACGUAAAUUCUGUUGCUCCUAUGUGAUCACUGUUUCUCAAUUUCACUUUAAUUGUGUGUCUUCUUCACCCAUCAAUUUCCCAACAUUUCUCUAUCCAAUAAUUGAUUCCAACAACGAUCGAAUUUAACCGCUUUCUUGUUCCUUCAAUUGAUAUACCCACAAAAAUGUCAUCUUAAAUUGCCUUAUUCGCAGCAGUAUAAUGAGUAGAAAAUGCAUCAUAUAUUUAUAUUACAAAAUUACGAAAACAAAAAUUUAAAGAGAAAAAAUAACAAAUAUUAAUUUGGCUUGUCUUUUCAAAAAAAGUUAUGAUUAAUUAUAAGCAAAAACGUUACAACAGAGCAUAUAAUAAUAAAAAGAAAGAAAAUAAAUGAAUCAAACGUGCAUUUUAAGUGUCUUGCUAUUGUGCAACUCCACUGUUGUAUUUCUUCAUUCUUUGAAGUCUUGACAAACAAAUAAUUAAUAAUACAACAUAAUUUGAAUUAUAAUCUGAUUUUUUGUUUUGUUCUUUCUUUUUAUAUUUAAGUAUCUGCCAUUGACGAUUGCAUUUCAGUGGAAAAUAUGUAUGGUGAUACUUAGAGGAGAGUUAUUUAAAGCAAAUGAAAGAUUGAAAGAAUCAAAUCAUAUUAAUUAUGGAGAGAAAAUAGGAGGAAAUAGAAGAAAAAUAUUUGAUAAUAUGCUAGGGCCUAUUAAUUUUUACUUAUGAUAUUAUUGAAAAAUUGCCUUUUGUCAAAAUUUUGUAAUCUUUUUUUUUUUCCUUAAGAGAGGUCAGGGGUUCAAGCCCCGCUCUCGUAUGGAGUCACCGCUUUGACCAGCACUUUACCCCUUACGGGGUGACCCGGUGCGAGCGGGAAUUAGUUUGGGUUGUGGUACGAGCUUAAAGGUGCCUCUCACAGUUGGGGCCCACUCAGGACCACCUCGUGGUUCAGACAAAAAAAAAGACACCAUUGUUUUUUAAUCAAUUUAGUAUUAAAGACACCAUUGGUUAAUGCUAAAAUGUUAAGGUUUUGUGUACAUUAUCAAAAAGGAUUGCUAAUUCUAUCUCAUAUAUAUAUUGGUGCACUAUUUGAACAGCCUAGCGCAUUGGAAUACAAUAUUUUUGUAAUUACUAGGCUAUGUUUGGGAGGUUGGAUAAAUUGUGAGAUUGGAUUAGAUUUUGGGACUAACAAAAAUAAUUUAAUUUAAGGUAUGUUUGGUUGUCAUGAACUAGUAAGGCCAAAACAAAUAGGAUUGUUAAUCCUUAUUUGUUUUAUGGGUUUAGGUGGGAAGGAUUAAAUAAAAAGUCUGUAUCAUCUUUAUCACUCUUUUUUUUUAACCAAGUAAGUUAUUAACCAUUAUAGAGUUACAACAUUAGUUGAAAUUGAAAUAUCGAGAUCCGUAACAGUAUUAUUCUAAUUAUUAGUUGUUCUUAAUAUUACUGUCGCUAGCUUGCAAUUAAGUCAAUUUCUUAUAAGCAAACAAGAUGGUCGAUUCAGAGUAGUUGUAAGGACACAUACACCUCCGUAGUUUGAUAAAAUAAACGUAAAGACUCCUAUAUUUUCAGAAAUAGCAUACAAAUCCCUUUUUAGAAAUACAAAAUCUUUUCUUUUUUGUUUUUCAAUAUAAAUCUUGGGUUGUGAUUGAUUUUGAACACAAAGCAUGUUUUGAAUAAUUGCUAUUUGUGGAGGCUCGUCCUACACGUUUUCAAGAAAUUGUUAGCUUGUAGAAAAGGACGAAAACUCUAGACAUGGAGAGCAUUGCCAUUUGUUGAUCAAUAAACGUGGUCCAAGAUUGAUUUAUUGAUUCAACUGAAAUUGACACUUCGGACAUUUACAAUUUCAGUAUAUCUAUUUUAAUGCAUUGAUUUCAUCAAUAGUGCCAGUCUUAAAUGGAGACUCAAUCAUGUGGCAAGUCUCAUAGACUUUUAUUCUUCUUCCGUUAUUGGGUAGGAUGUACCACCCCAAUUUGACAUACGUUGAACAAAUGCCAAAGCAGAAUAUUGCUGAGCUCAACAUUAACUUGUAUUGUAAUUUCUAAAUGUACUUAAUUAAUAUCCAGAAAACUUAGAAAAUAAUCUCUCAUUAUUACAAUUAUUUUCUAAGCUAAUUAUUGAACCAUAAGUUUUUUUUAUUCCUUAUACAUCUACAUCGAAGCUCCUGUCUCCCAAUAGCCUAGCAUUGAGAAGCCUUGAUUAUUCGAAUUCCAUAAAACCUCAAUCUCAAUCUAAAAAAUAUUAAUGAUGAGGGGUGAGCCGCCAACUCAGUAAAUAAACUCAUUUAUAGUGUUAAAAACAUUAAAAAGAAUUUAUUUUACCCUCUUCACAAAUAAAAAAUUUAUAACUUAAUUUUCUGUAUGAUAAAAUUUCAUAAUUAAGUAUAAUAAUACUAAUAAUAAAGAAAAACAAAACUUUAACACUUGUGAUCAUGCCACGUAGUAUCAACUGCAAUGGGGUGACCCGAUCAAACAAUAAUAUAUUCCCCGAAAAAUCCAGUCAUAGCGAUUCCUCAAUAACAUUGAUCAUAACAAUAAUAGUAAAUAUGUGCACAAACAAUAAUCCAGCAUGAGCUGUUAGUAACUGUAAUAAUAGUAACAAGACAAUGAGCUAAAAUAAUUUCAUAUUUAAUAUAACUUAUUGACCAAUAGCUUUUGUAACUCUUGAAUCAUAGAGAACUAUUUACUUUUGGAAUAAAUGUAGUUAAUUUUAAAAUUUUAAUUAAUUUACUCAAACAAAAAUUGCCUGGAAGACUUCUUAGUUUGACAGAUUAUAAAACAAUUUUCCUUUAAACUUAGUCGAUUAUAUUAUCUUAAUUAAAACUUAAUGAAAACAAACACUUUGCUGUUAAAUGCACCCAUAUUAUGAACGAAUUUACUUACAUGGGAAAACAAAAACAAUCCUUAAAUCUCUAUGGACUCAGAAGAUAACUGCCUCCUAAGCUGAUGAAGACUUUCAGCACCAGAACCUCUCUCCUUGUCUCUUUGCCUUCUUAUCUCUCCGUCCUCUUUUCUUAUGUGCAAAUAAAAUUAAUUACGUCUAACUUAGGAUUUUAGAAGAACGAAUACAAUGAAUUCCAAAAUGAAACUAAGCAUUAACCGCCAUCUUAAUAAACUUCAAUUUAAUGGCAGAUAACUAAACGAAACAUUAAGCUAUUUUCUAUUCUAAAUCUCCUUAAUUAAUCUCUCGAUUUACUUCAAUUAAUUAGAUGGUUAACUAAAAGAAGAUAAUUUCACUUUUUAAAUAAACAAUCAAUAACGCAAUUCUUAACUCACGUUUGUUAAUGAUAUCUUAAUUCUUAACAUGAUAUCUUAAGAUAAUUUUUAAAAUGAUAUCUUAAUUCUUAGUUUCUUCUAUUACUAUCAACGGAAGUUGGGUUUUACAUAGGGAUAAUUAUUCUCUCCUAUAAGACUCAUGAUAAUAAAGGUGCCAAAAUAUACAUUAUUAGUCACAUGUAUCUCUAUUAUUUUUUAUUUUUCACGAAACUUAUCAAAUUGUGAUUUGAUGGUUAACAAUUUGUGUUAAGAGAGGCUCCCCGAACAAGCCACUUACUAACUAGUCUAAUUUGUUAUGCGCAUAUGCUAAUGUGCAGCACCCUGUUGUACUAUGCUCCUCACUCUCCCCGACAUGCUCCAUACCAACUAGUCUAAUUUUUCAUGCGCAUGUGGCUCAUGUGCUGCACUUCUGUGUAAUGCAGCCAAAACCAAGAAGAAAAAAUGAAAUAUGCUGGCUCUUUGCCAUGAUAAAUUUUAAAAUAAGUAAUACAACUAAUUAUAAUAUAUAUAUAUAUAUAUAAUAUACAUAUUUAAAUUUUAUAUAACCAUAAAUUACAUAUUAAUUUUUUAAAAUAAAUACAUACGUUCACUACUUUUCUUAUCAUUUUUAGCCGCUAAUCAGUGAAGUAGCAGACUCAUCUGUCACAUCAUGUUAAACAUUAAAAUUAAUGUGAGACUUGACAGUUAUAAGCUUGCUAACUCUAGGUGGAUUUCAAUGCUAUUCUAGGUGCUUUUGCGCAUGAAUGGCGGUUGCUUUCAAGUUGGGUUUCUUGUAAUAAUUUGUAUUUGUAGGGUUUUAUUCUGAUUGGUGGUAUAUUGCAAAUGCCGUCUGCAGGUUUAGACUUUAUUUGGUUCAUUAGAAAGUUGAUAUCGUUUGCUGACUUUGAUCCAAGCCCUAAUUAAACCCCUUCCACACAACUAGAAAAAUAGGCUAUCAUGACAGAAUUUAUGUGAUAAAUAUUAGAAAAUUAGUCAUUUAUCACAAAAAUAUGAUAGACACAUGAUUGAAUUUUCAUACAUCAUAAAGACACGACAGAUUUGUGAUAGAGUUUUUAUCUAUCAGAUAAACAUGAUAGCAUAUUAAUAUUUAAUGAAACCGUGAGUUUAUGAUGGAUUAAUUUGGGCAUGAAACGAGAAUUUUUAACAGAUUUAAAAAAAAAUUUAAAUAAAAAAAUUUAUUUAACAUUUAAAUGCUACCGUUUAACUAUAAUGACUAAACCACAAAAAAAAUUCUAAGUGUUGGCACCUUUGACUUUUUACUCCACUGGCAAAGGGUUGAGAAACCUAAGCAUUGAAACCCCUCAAAAUCUAGAAUUAACCUAAUUUAAUCUACAAAUUGGUUUUGAAAUCUAUUGCAUGCAAACCAAAAUCAUAGUAUAUGCUAUUGAAGGAGCCACUUCAUUAUAAGUUUUUAGGCACAAAAUCACCAUUUAUGCUCAUUGUUACGCCUUCGUGUCUACUAUUGAAGCCGCCGGUGUCACUACUUUGCAUUGUUCAAUCAGCGUUGGAGAAGCCAUCCUUGUAAUUGCUGAAUCCCUAGGUUUUUCGUCAAUUAACUUUUUUAAUUUUUAUUCUGAAUAAAUCAUUGGCCAUUAUAAAAUUAAUUGUUAGUUUUAUUGUUAUCUCCCUUAUUUGUUCAUAAUUUACGCCCUGUUUUGAGAGUUAUAUCAUGAAUGGUUUAUCUUUAUUAUUUAUUUUUUUAAUUCUUGUUUGUUUCUAUUGUUAUUUUUUUUAUUCAAGAAACUUAUACUUUGUCCUUUUAUUAAAUCUAGAAAUUGCUCAAACAUUUAAUUUAGCAUGUCCUCUUCUUUAAAAAAAAAAAAUUGUUCUGAAUCGAAGGAUUUCACUGCCCUGUUCCCUUUCAAACUCAACUUCUAACAUCAAGUUUGUUCAAUUUUUUACUUGCCUUUCCGUUCAAUGUUUAAAAAAUGUUUGUUGGCAAUGGUUUGUCUCAAUAUUGUUAUAUUCUGUAAUUUUUUAGUCAAAGCUUGCAUGUGUGUAAAGUGAUUUUGCUUGAUGAUAUAGCACUUUUCAUUGACUAGUGUCUUUUUAUUGGGAUGAAUCCGAAACUGUGGUCCAAUGCUGUUGACAUUUUUAAAAAUGAUUGUGACCUAGAUUUUGUGUAUUUUAUUGAGUUGAAAAGUGAGGCUCCCUUUUUCAGUUGUCUUUUUUAUGUUUGAAGGAAAUUGUAUCAUGUGGGGGCAAGUUUGGUCAUGGGGACCAAGUAAUCUUUAGUUGCUUAUAUAUAUAUAAUCUUGUGGUCUAUGAAAUGCUCGGUUGUUAGAUUUUUUUUUUAAAUAAAUGUUAAAUGUAUGUGGGCCAAGUUAUUUAGGAUAUUAUUGGUUGGGUAUUGUUAGUUGGUGGUUUGGUGUAAAGUUGUUAAGAUAUUAUGCUGCACACAUUUAAAUUUGUUUCCUGUUGUUUUCGAAUAAGGCUAUUAUGUUUGUCUAAGUAGCGCUAAAAAAUGCUCAAAACUUAAUUUGGCUUGAAUUUGUUUCUGUUAAGUUGGAUAUUUUUAAUGAGUUUAAUUUAUGCGACAAUAACCAUCAACAGGGCAUGAAUGCAACUGGGCUUCUUUCCUUUUGUAGUAUUUAUGAUAUUCCAAAAGAUAUAGUGUCAAAGUCCUGUUGAUUAGGAAGAACAAUUGAAUUCCAAGGUUCCCAAGAGGUUAUAUUUGGUGUUUUCUGUUGUUUUCUCUCGUCAAAGUAACCGGUUUCAAUUGAUUUGGUGCUCCUUACUAAUUUUUUGUCACUUAAGGUUAAUGAUGCAAGUAUUUAUGUUUUCAGCCUUUACUGGCUUACUUUUUUAUGGUUUUCCAAGCAUGGAAUACAUGGCAUUAAUAUGUUAUAUAAGCCGGUUUUUAUUUGAUUAUUGGUUUUUCCUUUUGCAUUAUCUGCCUGAAAUGUGUAUUUGUAUUAUUUAUUUGUUCCUCACUCAAUGGCUCAUGAUAAGUUUCAGUUCCAGAUUUUGUGUCACACGUGGCAAGAUUUUUUUCAAUCUUUCUGAGUCAUGACUUCAUGGCUUGUCGUGCCUAGUUAAGAAAUCAAUUAAUUUGUUUUUACAUCAAUGCUCUGUGGCUAUUGUAUGUGUGUACCUUUUCUCUAAUACCUUUACUGUUUGAAUAAUUGCUCAUAGAGUUAAAAUUCAGUUAACCAGAUUUUCACAAAGUAAUUUUCAGAAUUGUAAUAUCACACAAGAUUUUCUUCAUCUGGUUGUUUUCCUUGCCUCAAAAUUUUGAGGCUGAGGCGACCAUAAUAGUGUGACUGACUAUCAAUUAAAGUCAUGACCAUGAACAUCGUUGCUCAUACCAUAACUUGUCAGCUUGCACUUCAAAAUUAGGAUUUUUUUUUUUAAAUUAAUUUUUAUGUUCUAUCUUUUCUAGAAACUAAUUGGUCUGCAAUCUGCUAAUAAAAUUAAUUUUACAAUGUUACUGUCAUAUAUUUCUAAUAUCUCUGAAUGUCGGUACAUUAUGUUGAAAUUGUCUCAAUUAUAUGUCAGGUACUAGACAAAAAAUGGAUAAAUCUUGGCUCAAAUAUGAUAGAUUGUCCGAUGAGUAUGAGGCUGACUGCAGUUGAAAGUAAUCAAGAAAUUAGUGUUGUUAGGUGUCCAUGUGAUAAAUGUCAGAAUUUAGCAUUUCAUAGGCCUAAAGAAGUAAAAGAUCAUUUAAUUAUAUGGGGUUUUGAUAUGUCAUACAAAAUAUGGGUUUGGCAUGGGGAAGAUAUCGGCAACAAAUCUCCUGACAACAUAAGUUGCCAAAAUGACAGUGGAUAUAUGGAUUAUGAUGGUGGUAAUACUAUUGAAAUGGUUGAAGAUGCUUUUAAGGAUUGUAAUAGUGAUCCUAAAGCAUUCAAAAAAUUAUUAGAAGAUUCUGAGAAGCCUUUGUACCCUGGAUCAAACAAAUUUACCAAGUUAUCAGCUUUAGUUAAAUUAUGCAAUAUAAAGGACAGAUAUGGGUGGUCUGAUAGUAGCUUUUCAGAUUUAUUGAGUGCUCUUUCUUAAAUGUAACCGGAAGGAAAUGAAUUGCAUGUAUCAAUGUAUGAGGCCAAAAAGACAAUGAGUGCUUUAGGCUUAGAGUAUAUCAAAAUUCAUGCUUGUCCAAAUGAUUGUAUACUCUAUAGAAAUGAAAGCCUUUUUAAUUGUCCUACGUGCGGUGAAUAUAGGUGGAAGAAAAGAGAUGGUAGUGUUGCUGCUUAUUGUUGUGCAAAUUUUAUUGAACUCGCAAGCGCACGAAUCUAUUGUAGAAUAGAUUAAUGGUGACGAGUGUCGAUCCCACGAGGAGGUCGAUUUUAAUUAUGUGUAGAAUUAGUUUUCUAAGUGGGUGAUUGGAUUUGUGGUUGAAGUGAUCUAGAUUAUCCUAAAAUUUAAAUUAAAAUGGCGGAAAUAAAUUAAAGCAAAAUCUAUUGAAAUGAAGCACUUGGGUAUCUGGAUCUGUAUCAACAUGCAACAUGUGCUAAAUAUUCCUUAUUAAUGCCAAUUAAAUCAUGAGGGGGAUUUCCACUCCUCAAGAACCACACUCUAAUAAAUAUGGUGCUAAGGUCUUAUCAUACCAAAUAAUAAUAACCUUAUACUAGGGAGCCGAUGAAACCAGGGCGGUAUCUAGACAAGAUUAUUACUAUUUCUCGACGAAAAGUCAAAACAUCCACAAUAAUUAGAGGGGAAGAGAAAGUAAAUUUACCAAAUAAAGCCCAUGACACAUGUUGAGACUUCACCUUCAACCCAAGUUUAAAAGAAAAUUAGCUACUCAUAAUUGAAGUAAGGGUAAAAUGAAAAUUUAUUAAAAUACGUAGAAAAUACAAGAUGGAGAAGGAAUUACAGAAAAUGAAACUAAAAAAUGAAUUCAUGGAUGCCAAAUUAGGGGCGGAGAGCCCCUUUUUUAUAGAUACACUGAUUAAAAACAUUUUGGAUGCUCAGGAUUGCGCCACGUCAUCAGUCAAUAGUACGCGGUUUGACCAUGCGGUUUGAAUAGUGACACGGUUUGACCACGCGGUUUGAACAGUCAGGUGGCUUGAAUAGUGACGCAGUUUGGUUGUAAAUAAUCCUGUAUAUAUGCAUGUACCGUACUCACGGUUUUUGGUCCACUGACAUGCUGCCACGUCAUCGAUCAACAGUACAUAAGAAUUUUAGUCCAAUAAGAUCGUGACAUCUCAUCAGUCAAUGCCACAUCAUCGGUCAAUGCCACAUCAUCAUUCCAUAUAUGUGAAUAGUGUCAUGAACAGUAACAUGGACAAUACCGUACAUGUGAACAAUGUCAUUUUUCCUUUUAUGCUCCUCCUAAGGUUUUCGACUAUCCUGAGUUCAAAAGUGAUGUCCGUUUUCCUGCCAGAUCUCUCAUUCAUUGUGAAAUGACCAUGAUGCCCCUAAAAUACAUAAAAUACUUAAUUAAAAUAAAACACACAUAAUUACUUAAUUAAAAUAAAACACACAUAAUUAAAUUACAAAAGACUUAAAUGCAUAAAAGUAUGAAUGUUAAUGAAACUUGAGGUGUAAAAUGACGAUUUUCUCCUUUAUAAAUAUACACUUUCUAACACUCAACACACCCCCCAACCAGCUUAUUGCUAGUCCCUAGCAAUUAAAGUGAAAACAAAAUUCAAACCGAAAAUGAUUUUUUUUUAAAACACUCGUGUUUAUUCAAUCAGACUAAUGAUAACAAUCAAAUAAAAGUAUAAGCAUUAUCUCCAGUCUAAAGAAAUAUCACUCCUACAUCAACCAUCCACAUGAAUCAACCCAGUAGACUUUGUCACAAAUACUUUCAAGAAUGACAUGUCAAACCCCAAAAUCUCACCGGUAGUAGUGACACUCUCAAAAAGAAAUUAAACCCAAUAAAAAUAGUCACUUCAAUGAAUGGUAAAUUGAGAGAAAAAUAAUAAGGAAAUAAUAUCACACGCUCUCACCAAGAUGAAAGAAAUAUGCCCGCAGCUUAGAAAUAAUAUGAUCUUUAAGUCAAACAAAAUACUAGUCAACCCAAUUUAUUUAUUUAUUUAUUUAUUUUUUAUUUUUUUAUUUUUACUUUUCUUUUUUUUUCUCUUUUUUUUUAUGCACCACUACAUCUUUUUAGCCCAUAUAACUAGCUUCUUCUUCAGACUAUAGCUCCCUAAAAUCAGGAAGGACUUUUAUUAGGAUGUAACGUAGGCUAGGGUCAUGGCUAAUAAAAAAAAAGGGUAAUAGGAAAACAAAAAUGUAUGUUUGAAAAAUAGGGGACUUUUUGGAGAUUACAAGAUGCUUUAUUUAUUUAUUUUUUUGGAAUUUUCUUUUCUUUUCUUUCAUUUUUUUUCAUUGUAUAUAUAUAUAUAUAUCUUUUUUUUUUCAUAGCACCAUUAUUAGGAAUACAUAAUUAUCCCUAUUUUCAAACAUAAUUGGGUGGUGGAAAACGUGAAACAUAAGGUGAUACUCCACAUUGGAGUAAGAAAAUAUGAUAGGUUACCAAAGAAAUUUUUUUUUUUAAUAUAUAGGCUCAAAGGGGUUAAUUAUGGAUACUUUAUAAUAGGAUUGGCUAGAAAGGCUCAAACGGAUCAAAGAUGGCCUUUCCAUCGUCUUUUAAGACUCUAAAUAAUCUUCUAUAUCUACUAGUUAGAUAGACAUUCAGAUGUAGCAACACACAUUUUUUUCUUUUACAAUUUUUUUAAAGGGUUGACUCAAAAGAAAUCUAGAGAUCGUGUAUAAAAUAAUAAACUGAUAACCUGUAUGAAGAAUGGGCAAAAAAGGUUACUCUCCAAGAAAAAUGACAGGCUCAAAACCUCACUUGGAAUUUAUUAUGACAUGUGCAUUCCUUUAAGCAACUCAUAUUUGUCUCUGACAUCAACAUGUAGAGUAGCAAACAUGGCAUAACAUCACUUAAGACCAAAGAUAAUACAAAUAUUAAAAUUUGAAAGUCAUCAUGUCAUCCAAUGUUAAAAACAAAUAACACAAUUUUAUUUUUUUUGGUUCAAACGACAUUCUACCCCCAACCUAUUCUAAACAUGAAAAGAAAAUAUGCAUGCAGAAAGGUGAAAAUGAUGCAGAAAAAUUAAUUAGAAAAUUUACACUUAAAAUGAUAGAAAAAGAAAAUGGUUUUUUUUUUAACUAAGAAGAUGCAUUUCUAGAGUAACUACACUCUAUAUUCAGCCAUCUUCGACUCAAAAUUUUGAAAGUGUAUAUUUAUAAAGGAUAAAUUAGAAAGAAGGAGAAAAAUGAUUGUCAAAACUUAAUAAAGAAAAAGAAAAUGUCUGGAAAAAUUUUUUAAUUUUUUUUUCAAACGAAGAAGAUGCGUUUCUAGAGUCACUACACUUCAUGUUCAGCCAUCUUCAACACAAAAUGUUAGCCACGGUUAGUCUCUACAACAAAAAAUCAGUAAAAACUUAACCAAGAUUCCACAAUUGUCGAUUAGUCCCUCCCCCCAACCAGAACGAAACAUUGUCCUCAAUGUUUGAAGGGAAAAAAGUAGAGUUUAGAAGACAUCACCUGGGUGGUACAACAUAGAAGAAAAUAUUUACAAGCAGAGAGUUAAAUCUAAUUUGUACUUCUUACUGCGGCUACUGUUACCAGCAUUAUUUGGACACUCCAACACAAAGGUCCUGGGUCUGGCUCUGGUUUAUAAGCUUGUAACAGAUCAAGUAGCUCAUUGGCAGUGUGAACACAAAUAAAAAGUUUUUUUCGCUGUGGAAGGAAUGAAAUAGUUUUUUAUUGUAUGGUUAAGAAAUGCGAUAAAGCCAUCAUAAAAGUUAUUGACAUUUAACAAACCAAUGGGUUUCUGGUGAAUGUGCAGAUGGGCCUAAGAUGCUAAUGUGAUAAGUGCCUCUAGAGUUGUAAGAUCUCCUGGUAGGAAAAUAAAAGCAUCAACAUGAUUAAGCAUUUCAAUUAUUCUUUCUUGCAUACCUGAGACGACUAACUCUUCUCCAAUCGGUGAGUUAGACAAACUGCCCAAAGGUUUUAGGGCUCUUAGGAUGAUGCCUAACACUUGGCUUCCUCUGACAAAAGCAGCUUCUGAGACCAAUUUUGAUAACCCUCGGUUACCUCCUCCAUACACAAAGUGUAAUUUUCUCUCUGCUAUGCUUCGACUAAGAUCUAUGGCUGCCUCAACGAACUCUUUAUGUUUGCCAUAGUUAAAUCCAAAAAGCACACAAAUGUUCUUGAAUUGUUUAUUGAGAGUAGCUGCCAUUGGGAUACUUCUCAAAAACAAUUUGUGAGUGCUUAACAAAACAAAUCAUAUUUAAGAAUCUUGGUGACAGUGGGACAUAGCUGUGUAUGAGGUAGCAUGUCAGUGUCAAUUAACGCGUAAAGCACAUGGCUCGAGAGUAAAAAAGGAAAUAGCAAAAAGGAAAAAGUAAACAGUGAUAAAAUAAAAUUAUUAAAGACAAUAAUGCAAAUGAUAAAACAACCGUGAAUAAAAGGAUAUUUACAGGUAGUUGCGACUGUGGCUCACAUCUUCCUCUAGUUUUACGUCCAGAAACGGCUUGAACGCCCUCUAUAGGUCGAGGAUAGGCUUCCCAUCCAGUUUUCUUAUAAACUGGAAAAACAGAGUCGUUUAUAGUCAGAUUCCCGAGACUAUAUCGUGCAUGCUCUUUCUGGAAUAAUGGCCAUAACUAGAGAAUCGCACCUUGUAUAUAUCCACUGGGAUGUGUUUCAAGAGAUAAAAGGAUAUCAUCCAAUGACUCCUUAUUCAAGCCAUCCCUAAUGAGUUGAAUCUUAUCUUCCCUGUUAUCAAACAUAAUUCCUAAAUAACAUGAUUUUUUAUCGCAUCUCAUUCUGGCGCACUUAUGACAAGCAACAGAAAUUCUUCGAGCUCUUCGUUUUCUUGCAUAAUUUCAUUUACCACAACCAGACAUGUAUGCAAUAAAUUUAGGAGGCAACUCACCUGCCAAUUGCACUUUGGCCUCGAUUAACCAGCGGAUGUCAGCAGGUAUGUUAUUCCUCUUGAACAAUUGCAUCCGUUCAGACCGAGUUUUAUAGAUUAUAAGGAGGGCAUUCUGAGGAAGUGAAGGGAAUCAAUUGUGAAGCUUUGCUAAAAUCUCAUUUCUGUCCAUACCUUCGCCUCAGAAUAUCAGUUAUUAUGGGAAACUAAAGUAACUGACUUGAUUGUCACGGAGUACCAUUAUCCGCCACUUCACCAGGGUAACAAACUAAAGCACACAAACAGAAAAAAAAAAACUAAAACAAAAAAAGAAAAUUACAAUCGUCCUCUUAUUGAAUUUACCUCAAGCUCUAACUGGAUGUUAUAGACACUUCCCUCAAUGUCUUUGAGUUGGCUUUCUAAAUCCUCAACAUGGGAUACUAACUCUGGUGGUUGUAGAGCCCAAAUAUGAUGUGUUUUACAAAAUCGAAUUUACCUUUUGAGAUGAGAUUUUACACGUUGACGUUGUCUAAAAAUGUUCAGGAGGAGCUGUUUAGCUGAGGCACUCAUGAUUAACAAUGAUAAGAGAAAACUUAAUGGUUAAACAAACAUACUUAUGCAAAAAUAAUUUCAAUUAGCAAAAGAAUAGUAAAAAGAAAGAAAAAAAUCAAAUCACCGAAAAGAAAGAAAAAUCUCAAUUCAAAUCUAGUGGGUCACUCAAAUUUAUUUUGGUGUCCUCUCCAUGUGGUUGGUACUCUAGAUAUGGCUUUAAUAUUUGACCAUUAACUUUAAAAGUGACACCGUUCUUUGGGUCUUUAACUUCAAUUGCCCCGUGUCGAAAAACAGUGUGAACAAUAAAUGGGCCAGACUAUCGAGAGCGUAACUUACCAAGGAAUAGGUGCAAGUGAGAAUUGAAUAAAAGCACUUUCUGACCUGGAGUGAAAGAUUUUCUCAUAAUUUUCUUGUCAUGAAAGAUUUUCAUUCGCUGCUUGUAAAUCUUGGCAUUUUCGUAUGCAUCAUUAUGAAUUUCUUCAAGUUCUGCCAGCUGUAAUCUUCUUUCUGAGCUAGCUUGCUGUAUGUCAAAGUUGAAUUUCUUGAUGGCCCAAUACGCACGAUGCUGGAGUUUCACAGUUAGGUGGCAAGCUUUUUCAUACACUAGCCUAUAGGGUGACAUCCCAAUCGGGGUCUUGAAAGCCAUUCUAUACACCCAUAAUGUAUUAUCGAGUCUUAAUGACCAAUCUUUUCUGUCUAGCCUCACCGUCUUUUCUAAUAUGUGCUUUAUUUCUCGAUUGGAGAUAUCAACUUGGCCACUGGUUUGCGGAUGAUAUGGGGUCGCCACUUUAUGAGUGAUGGAAUACUUUGUCAAAAGUGCUUUAAAUGCUUUGUUACAAAAGUGGGCACCACCAUCACUGAUUAUUGCUCGAGGGAAUCCAAACUGUGAAAUAAUGUUGCUUUUCAAAAAUCCUAUCACCACUUUGUGAUCAUUGGUUCUACAUGGAAUUGCUUCUACCCAUUUCGAUACAUAGUCAACAACAACCAAUAUGUAUUGAUGGCCAAAAAAAGGGGGAAAGGGUCCCAUGAAGUCCAUGCCUCAUACAUCAAAUAUCUCAACCACUAAAAUUGGAUUUAGUGGCAUCAUAUUCCUUCGUGUAAUGCUCCCCAUUCGAUGACACCUAUCACAUGAAGAACAGAAAGUGUAAGCAUCUCGAAAUAUAGUUGGCCAAUAGAAACCACAUUGUAAAAUUUUAGUAGCUGUUUUCUUAGCGCUGAAAUGGCCUCUACAAGCUUGUUCAUAGCAGAAUGAAAAGAUAUUAUGAAUUUCACUUUCUGGGACACAUCGUCUAACAAUUUGAUCUGCACAAUACUUUAACAGAUAAAGGUCAUCCCAAAAGAAAUUCUUUAUUUCCGCAAAAAUAUUGGCUUUGUCUUGCUUGGUCCAAAGCUCUGGAAGUUGACAUGUUACAAUAUAAUUCACGAUAUCAGCAUACCAUGGUAAUACUUCCACACUCAUCAAUUGUUCAUCUGGAAAUGACCCAUUCAAUGUUAAUGGUUCUGUAAUUGUGUCAAAAUUGAGACGAGAGAGAUGGUCAGCCACAACAUUUUCUGUGCCUUUCUUAUCUUUGAAUUCCAAGUCGAAUUCCUGCAAAAGUAACAUCCAACGAAUUAGUCUAACUUUUGCAACUUUCUUUGUGAGAAGAUAUUUAAGAGCAGCAUUAUUUGUGAACACAAUUAUUUUACAACUAAUGAGAUAAUAUCAAAAUUUCUCUAAUGCAAACACUAUUGUUAGCAUUUCUUUUUUAGUAGUUGAAUAGUUCAAUUGUGCAUCAUUCAAUGUCAUACUAGCAUAGUAAAUAACAUGGGGAAUUCGAUCUACUCUUUGUCCUAAUACUGCUCCUACUGCAUAAUCAGAUGCAUCACACAUGAGCUCAAAUGGUAAGUUCUAGUUUGGGGGUUGAAUGAUGGGUGAUGAUGUCAACAAUUGCUUUAGUUUUUCAAAUGCCACAAGGCAUGAAUCAUCAAAGAUAAAAGGUACAUCCUUAGCAAGUAGAUUGCAUAAGGGUCUAGAAACUUUGCUAAAAUCUUUAAUAAAACGUCGAUAAAAACCAGCAUGCCUAAGGAAAGAUCUUACUUCUCUGACUGUUUUAGGUGGAGAAAGAUUGGAAAUGAGAUCCACCUUUACUUUGUCAACCUCAAUACCUUUGCUCGAAAUGAUGUGAUCGAGAACAAUACCUUAUUUUACCAUAAAAUGACACUUCGCCCAAUUAAAGACUAAGUUCUUUUCUAUACAUCUCUACAGAACUAGUGUUAGAUGAUGUAAAUAUUGAUCAAAUGAAUCACCAAAGACAGAAAAGUCAUCCAUAAAGACUUCAAGGAAUCGUUCAACAAUAUCAGAAAAAAUGCUCAACAUGCAUCGUUGAAAUGUAGCAGGUGCAUUACAUGAUCCAAAUGGCAUCUUCCUAUAUGCAAAUGUGCCAAAAGGGCAAGUGAAAGUGGUUUUCUCUUUAUCUUUUGGUGUUAUGGGAAUCUAAUUAUAUCCUGAGUAACCAUCUAGAAAACAAUAAAAUUCAUGGCCUGCUAAUCUAUCAAGCAUUUGAUCAAUAAAUGGUAAAGGAAAAUAGUCUUUACGUGUGACAGAAUUCAACUUUCUAUAAUCAAUGCAUACACGUCAUCCUGUAGUCACUCUAGUGGGUAUGAAUUCAUUAUCAGCAUUGGUAACUACUGUGACUCCUGACGUUUUCGGGACAACUUGCACAUGACUGACCCAUGAACUAUCAGAAAUGGGGUAAAUGAUACCUGCAUCUAAUAGUUUAGGGACUUUAGUUCUAACAACUUCUUUCAUGUUAGGAUUUAACCGACGUUGCAUUCCCUAGUAGGUUUAGCAUUUUCAUCAAGGUAAAUGUAAUGCAUGCAGUCUACUAGGUUUAUACCUUUUAUGUUGGCUAUGGUCCAUCUUAAUGCUCAUUUGUGCUCUUUUAAAACAUCCAACAACUUGCCUUUUUGUUCCUCAUUUAGGGAUGUUGAGAUGAUUACUGGUAGAGUACUUUCUUCUCCCAAAAAUGCAUAUUUCAAAGUGUUGGGUAAUGAUUUGAGCUCGAGUUUCGGUGGUGAUUCUGAUGAUGGGCUGAGUUUUUUCUCUGAUGGUGCUAGUUGUUCAACUCUUGACUUCCAUUUAUUAGUGUCCAUGGAUGGUGCUGAGUCAAGUAAGGUGUUGACCUCAUCGACUGAUCUGUCAAUAUCAAAAUUCAAACCAAAGUGAGUUAAACAUAUUUGUAAAGGGUCAUCACUAAGGUUUGAAAGAAAAGUAUUAUCAACUAAUGUUUCUAUUAAAUCCACAUCAAUAAUUUCAUCAUCUACAUUGUGAGGUUGUUUGGCAAUGUUGAAAAUGUUUAGCUCCAUAGUCAUACUGCCAAAGGAUAACUACAUAUUUCCAGUCCUGCAUUGAAUGUGAACAUCGGCAGUUGCCAAGAAAGGUCGACCUAGGAUAAUAGGGAUGUGCUUCCUUGAAUCAUGGAUUGGUUGAGUGUUAAUUACAAUGAAAUCAACAGGAAAAUAAAACUUGUCUACCUGGAUAAGCACGUCCUCCACAAUACUACGAGGUAUUUUUGUGAACCGAUCUGCAAGCUGUAACACUAUUAAAGUUGGGUGUAAUUCUCCCAGUCCAAGUUUCACGAAUACUGAGUAGGUAACAUAUUUACACUAGCUCCUAAAUCCAACAAAGCAUUCUCAAUUGUGUGGUUCCCUAUACUACAUGAGAUGGUGGGGGAGCCUGGGUCUUUGCAUUUUAGAGAAAUUUUGUGUUGGAGUAUAGAGCUAACGUUUUCUGUUAAAAAGGCCUUCCUUUGAACGUGAAUGUUUCUCUUUUUAGUACAAAGGUCUUUAAGAAACUUAGCAUAAGAUGACACUUAUUUUAUAGCAUCAUGCAAAUGGAUGUUAACACUUACUUGUUUGAAGAUUUCAAGAAUCUCACCUGUGCAUUUUCCCUUCUUUCCUUUAGCUACCCUCUGAGGAAAAAGAGCUUUAGGAAAAUAUUCUCGUGGGUUGGUUUCUUCUUUUUCCUCCAAUGAUCGUCGGCAUUUACAUGUACAAUUUGGUUCAUUUUCAUCAUCGGCAUCUCCACUUUGUCGUCGACUUAUUUCCCUUUUCGUAAGGUCAUGACAGCUUUGACCUCUUCAUGCUGCUGUGGUGAACUGGUACUUACGUCAUGCACUCCUUUAGGGUUAAGCACUGGUUGACUUGGAAAUUUACCUUUCUCAACAGUCAUUGCCAAUGUUUGAAUUGAAGAAGCAAGUUGUCCCACCAUCUUCUCAAGAUUUGAAACUGAUUGGGCUUGUGAGUUGAAGUCUGCUCUCAACUUAUUUCGUAGUUCAUCAAUGAUGCGGUUCUGCUGCUCAAUUGUGUAGUGAGUAACAUUCCUAAAAUUCUACAAUGCAUCCUCCCAUGGUCUGGGUUGAGAGUACUUCUGGUUCUGAUUGUAUGGUCUAAAUGGUGGUUGAGAGGCUUGAGGAACUUGAGGAAUUGGUUGCAUUGGUGGAGCUGGAGCUACUGGUCCAUUUUGUUGGAAUCCUUGAGACCAUGAAAAAUUAGGGUGGUCUCUCCAUCCAGGAUUAUAUGUAUUGGAGUAUGGGUUGUAAUUUGAUGGCUUUCUCAUUACACCUAUGGCAUUGGCUUGAUCUGGAUAUGAGUCAUGUUUAUGUGGUUAUGUUGAUUUAGCAGUCGUUAAUGAUGCUAUUUAUCGGGAAAGACCUUAAAUUAUCUCUUUAACUUCUUUAAUUCCCGAACUUGACUCGCCAAUGUAAACCUUAUUCACUCCCUUAAUUCUUUUAGUAUUCCUGAGUGAUCGACUCCGUUGUUGGGAAUUAUUCGCUUGUCGCUGGAAGAAAUCUCAAAUCUCUGAUGCACUUUUUGACAUUAGCUCUCCUCCACUUGUUGCCAUUAGCCAUUCUUGCACAUGUGGCAAUAAUCCCUUCAAAAAGUAUUAGCAUUGGUGUCAUUUCUCGUACUCAUGAUGUGGACACUUCAAAAGUAGCCUAUUGAAUCGCUCCUAUGCUUCGAAAAACUGCUUGUCUUCUCUCUGGAUAAACUCUGAGAUUUCCCUUCGAAUAACAUUGGUUUUAUGCAUUGGGAAGCAUUUAUUCAAAAAUUUUGUUACCAUUUGUUCCCAUGAUGUAAUGUUAUUAGCAGGCAAUGUAUUGAGCCAUGAACGAGCUCGAUCCUUUAAAGAAAAUGGGAAUAGUUUAAGUUUAACAUCAUUAUCUGAAAAAUUCUCAUAUUUAAAAGUUUGACAAACAGUAUGAAAAUCAUUCAAAUGAUUAUAUGGGUCCUCAUUUUCUAGGCUAUAGAAUGUUGGGAGACAAUUUAGCACACUAGGUUUUAACUCAAAACUCCUAGCAACUAUAUUUGGGUAUCUUAUGCAUGAUGUGCUCAAAUUAGCUAAGUGACUAAAGGAGUCCUUAAAUGGCCUCUCCUGUGGUGGUGGUUGUUGUUGCAAAUCCAUUUCAAUUUUAUUUUUAACGUGUUUGUGUGUGCGCAGUGUUUUUUCUAGUUCAAGGUCUAUAGGCUCAAGAUUAGGUAAUAAUGACAUUCGACCAUGCAUACAAAGAACACAAAAAUAAAUGAGAACAAAAUAAAUAAAAAUAAAGAAGAAGAAGAAAUUACGGUACUAACUUUAUAACGUUAUUACAACAUUUCUAUAAAAACGCACUAAAAAAAUAAGUGAAAUAAAUUAAGUAAAAAUAAAUUAAUAAGAUAAACAAAAAAUUACAAAGAGAAAAAUAACUUGAAAAUUAAAUUAAAAAAUUUUAAAGAAGAGAAAAAGAAAAGAAAUUAUUACCUUUAAAUGCAGAUUCACUUUUUGAAAAAAUAAGAAAAACAAUUACAAGAAAAUAACUAAAAGAAAUUAUUUACAAAAAUUAAUUCUACAAAUUAAAAUAACUUACCUCUCCGACAACGGCGCCAAAAACUUGUUGUGCAAAUUUUAUUGAACUCGCAAGCGUACGAAUCUAUUGUAGAAUAGAUUAAUGGUGACGAGUGUCGAUCCCACGAGGAGGUGGAUUUUAAUUAUGUGUAGAAUUAAUUUUCCAAGUGGGUGAUUGGAUUUUUGGUUGAAGUGAUCUAGAUUAUCCUAAAAUUUAAAUUAAAAUGGCGGAAAUAAAUUAAAGCAAAAUCUAUUGAAAUAAAGCACUUUGGUAUCUAGAUCUGCAUCAACAUGCAUCAUGGGCUAAAUAUUCUUUAUUAAUGCCAAUUAAAUCAUGAGAGGGAUUUCUACUCUUCAAGAACCACACUCUAAUCAAUAUGGUGCUAAGGGCUUAUCGUGCCAAAUAAUAAUAACUUUGUACUAGGGAGCCGAUGAAAUCAGGGCGGUAUCUAGACAAGAUUAUUACUAUUUCUCGAUGAAAAGUUAAAACAUCCACAAUAAUUAGAGGGGAAGAGAAAGUAAAUUUACCAAAUAAAGCCCAUGACACAUGUUGAGACUUCACCUUCAACCCAAACUUAAAAGAAAAUUAGCUACUCAUAAUUGAACUAGGGGUCAAAUGGAAAUUUAUUAAAAUAAGUAGAAAAUAGAAGAUGGAGAAGGAAUUACAGAAAAUGGAACUAAAAAAUAAAUUCAAGGAUGCCAAAUUAGGGGGGGAGAGCCCCAUUUUUAAAGAUACAUUGAGUAAAUCAUGACCAUCGAAUUAAAAAUAUUUUGGAUGCUUAGGAUUGCACCACAUCAUCAGUCAACAGUACGCGGUUUGACCACGCGGUUUGAACAGUCAGAGAAAAGUAGCCAUCACAUGCUUUUGAAUAUCAAAAUUUAACAACACUGUUUACUUUAUCGUCCGACAUCUAUCUGUAAAAAAUUUGAUCAGUAUAAUACUUGAACAAGAAUGGAUCAUCCUUGUAAAAGCUUUUCACCUCUAUUAAGAAUUUCUUAUUAUCUUGGAAGUUCAAAUUGGAUGACAUUUUACCUGUUGUAAAAUAAUUAACAAUGUUAGCAUACUAAGGCACAUUAUGUAUAGAAAACAAAAACUCAUUAGGAAAAGAAUCAUUGAUAGGUAUUGUGUUAAUUGAAAGCUCAUUUGUAAGUCUUAACAGAUAGCCUGCAGUAACAUUUUCGCCACCCUUUUUAUCUUUGAAUUCAUCAUUUUAAUCUUGGCAUGGCAUCUUGUUUAGACAUUAAAUAUCUAAUAGCAAUAUGAUAAAAAAAAGACCAUAAUAGAUGAACUAAUUAAAUUUGUUUGAAAUUUAUUCAGUGUAAAUAUUACAGCAAGUAGUUCUAUUUAAGUGGUAGUAUAAGUCAUUUGGGCACUAUUUAAAAUUCUGCUUGCAUAAUAGAUAACAAAGAGCUCACCUUUUUUUUUUCUUUGUCCUAAAGCAGCUCCAACAUCAUAAUCGCUAGCAAUAGCAUUACACAUUAGUUCAAAAAGUAAAGGGCAAUCAGGGGAUUGCAUUAUAGGGGAUUAUGCUAAAAGACAUAUUAUCUUUUCAAAGUCUUUUUGACAAUCUUUGGUCCACUCAAAUAGUGUAUCUUUUAUAAAGAGAUUACAAAGUAGUCUAGAUAUGAUACUAAAGUCUCUUAUUAACCUCCUAUAAAAUUCGGCAUGUCCUUAAAAGGAACGAACUUCCUUAAUUGUCUUUGGUGAAGGUAAUUUUGAGGUGAUUUUGAACGAACUUCCUUAACUGUCUUUGGUGAAGAUAAUUUUGAGGUGAUUUUAACUUUGACUUUAUCAACUUUGAUUUCAUUUAAAGGAAUUACAUGGCCUAAGACAAUUCUAAAAAUGGUCAUGAAACAACAUUUUGCCUAAUUUAAAAUAAAUCCUUUUUCUUUACACCUUUCUAAAGCUCUUUCUAAAUUAUUAAGAGAUGUAUCAAAAAAAUUUCUUAAUAUAGUUAAAUUGUCCAUAAAAACUUCUAAACAAUUUUCAACAAUCUCACCUAAAAAUGCUUAGCAUGCAUCUCUGAAAUAUUGCAGGAGAAUUAUAGAGUCCAAAAGGCAUUCUUCUAAAUGUAAAUGUUUCAAAUAGGCAUGUGAAUAUGGUAUUUUCUUGGCCUUCUAAGGCUGUAGAAAUUUGCUGAAAGUUUGAGUAGCCAUCAAGAAAGUAGUAGCAGAAGUGUUCUGCUACUCUCGAGGAUUUGAUCUAAAAGUAAAAGAGGAAAAUGCUCCUUUCUAUUGGCAUUAUUUAAUUUUCUGUAGUCAAUGCACAUAUGUUGACUAGAUGGAACCCGUGUUGAGAUUAGUUCACUUUUUUAAUUUUGUACAGUGAUCAUUGCAGAUUUCUUUAGUACUACUUAUGUUGGACUUACCUAUUUACAAUCAAAGAUAAGAUUGAUAAUUCUUACAUCUAGUAGUUUAAAGAUCUAAUUUUUUACCACUUUUUUUCAUAUGGGGGUUAAGUCUUCAUUGUGGUUAACGCGAGUUAUUUUGGCAUUUUCAUCUAAAAGUAUUAUGCAUAUACAAAAAAUUUCUUCAUUCUUAAUGAACUCAGUGAUCUCUCUUUAAACAAAAAAUUCUGCAAAAUCUUUAAAGUCAUCAAUAAUAACAUUGGUAGAUUCCAUAAUAGUUUGAGUUCCCAAAUUUUACAAUCGAAAAGCUUUAUUAUUAUUUGAAUAACAAAGAAAAAUGCCCUCAUCAUUUUUUUAGUCAUACUUACACAAGUAUUCACGAUCUUUCAAGAUGUAACAUGUAAUACCAAAGAUGUGAAAAUAAUUUAUAUUAGGUUCCUUACAUUUCCACAGUUCAUAAGAGGUUUUUUUAGUGCUUGGAUACAAAAAUAUUUAGUUCUUUUGCUGAAAGACAUUUAGUCAACUUAUUGGAGUUCAACAUCACACGUGCCAUCUCCUCUAAGGUUUUGUUCUUUCUUUAAAAAAUUCCAUUUUGUUCAAGAGUAGUAGGUACUGAAAAUUCAUGUAUUAUACCAUGUUUAUCAAAAUAUUUUGCAAAAUUAGCAUUUUCAAAUUCGUUUUGAUGAUGACUUCUAAUUUUCCCAAUAUUAUGAUCUUCUAAUACAUAAUUUUUUAAACACACCAAACAUAUCAGAUUUUUCUUUAAUAAAAUCAGCCCAUGUGCAUCUGAAGAAAUCAUCUAUGCAAAUAAAAGCAUACCAUUGUUCAGCAACACUUUUCACUUGCAUUGGACUAAUAAAAUUCAUAUGAAGGAAAUCAAGUACUUUAGAUGUGGUAAUAUGUUAAACAACUUUGUACGAUGUGCGAUGUUUUUUGUUGUUAGCCAAUUUGACAAGAAUUACAAGCUCUAGAUUGUUUCUUUUUGAGCUUAGGUAUUCCUCUUACAAUUUCUGCACUCACGAGUUAGUCAAUAAUUUAUAAUUAAAAUGACCAAGUUUUUGGGGCCUUAUUUCAAUUUGAUCAAUAGUAGUUUUAUGACAAGUAAUAAAUUGGAUCAAUUUAUAAUAAUGAUUCGAUGGUCUAAUUCCCUUAAGUAUAUACUUACCCUUGUUAUUAAACACUUGACAUUUGCUGCUAUUAAAAUUUAUCAUUACGUUUUGAUAAUAAAUUUGAUCAAUACUCAAAAGAUUAGCUCUCAAGUCUUCAACUUGUAAAGCAUUUUCAAGUCUAGGAGCACAUGACUUUUAAUACUGUCAGCAAAGGCCACAUGUUCUCAACUACAUUCUUCAUAAUUUAUUAAAGCACUAUAAUCACCAUUCAUGUGUCUAGAGCAACCACUAUCAAAACACUAUAAGUUAUUAAUACAAGAUCGCAGAGAUGUAAAUGACACAUAUGCUUUUAAUUCAUAUUUCCUAAUCCAAUUUGGUUCAAUAAAGUUACCUUGAGCAUUAAGCUUAGGUUUAAGAGUAUAUCUAGGUUUACCAAAUGAAGAAAAAUUAAACGACACAAUUUUCUUUAUGUAAUUCAUGAACCUAAAGCAUCUAGCUCUUAUGUGUCCUUUAAUAUAACAAAGUGACAAGUAAGAACAAAACUUUCAUACUAACCAUGUGAGCUCGAUGUAUAAUGUGUCACAUAUUUACCUUUCAUUUCAUCAGAGAGUUUUGCCAUUGGUAGCGAUACUUUGGUUGUUGGUGAAGAGGCUUUACCAAAAAUAGUAUUUGAGCUUAAAGUAAUUCCUUUAUGAUACCCAAGACAAUAAUGAUCUAAAGUAGCUUUUCCCAUAGUCAAAAUCUUAUCAAAUUGCUUUGUUCUAGAAUUCAUCAUUCUCAAAGAUUUUUUAGUACUUUCUAGCUUAGUCAAAACUUCCUUCAAUUUCUCUUUUUUUUCCAAAAACAGUAGUUUGAGGAUUGAUUACUUCACUUUCAAACCUUAACUUUUCAACAAUAUUUUUUUGAUAAUUCAGCAUGAAUUUUUCUUGCAUCUUUUUUUCAUUUUUACCCAUUUAGAAUAUAUGUAAUCAUCACUACUAGAAAAUAGUCUUCACUGAUACUUGUCUUGUGACACUUUAUUUGAAAGUAUUAGAUGUACAUACAUUUGGACCAUUUUUUGCAUUUAACAGAUAAGUAUCACUAAUUACUAAUACUAAAGUAUCAAUAGCUUUAGCAAUAGCGAUCAAUGAUACUAAGGUAUCAACAAUAAAAAAUUAUCAUUUGAAAUUUGUUACAAUCCGAAUUCAAACCGAAGACCUCUUAAACCUAAAGCUUCUACAUUGAAUCAAAAGACUAGUAGACUACGAAUUAUUUUUAGUUUUUUUAAAGCAGUGCUUUUUAAGCGGAUAAAAACAAAACAAAUGGACAAGUCUUAUCCAAAAUAUAACAAAAAAUUUUCAACUCCCUCUACCAAAAUAUCCGUUCCCUCCUAAGCUCCCCAGAUCUAAAAAAUCCCCAACAUCCAAAUUGUCAAAAAGUGCUCGGCCAUGAUUCUAUCGAACCGGCGGCACAUGUCCGCCAUUUGCCUUCAAUAUCCUAACUUCUUCUUUCUUUUCUUAUUUUAUGAUUUUGGGUCUCUAUUAUUUUCAUCAGAUCUUGAGUUUUUUUUUUUCAAUUUUUCUUUUAGGUUUAAAUAAGUGAUUUAGAGAAGAGCUUCUAUGUUUCUUUAGCUACUUGGAAGAAACUAGAAGGUAAAGAUUCGGCUUUCAUUGUGUUUUUUUCUUUGCUACUUUCUUUUCUUUUAUUGGCACUAGAUAGCCUUUAUUGUAUCUACUUUGGAAAAUAUUGUGUUUAGGGUGAUUGUCACUAUAAGGUUUACUUUAUUUCGCUGAUGAACGAUAUUAAACAUUUUUUACACUAAAACCCUAAAAUUUUCUAAUAUGGGAAUUCUUAAGAGCAGCAUGAUUGUGCUAAAAUUGAUGGUUUAUAUUGGUUCAUAGUGGUUCUAUGUUGAUAUAACUUAUUGCUUAUUAACCAUUUCUUCAUGUGUUAUUAGUUUUUUUUUUCAAAAGCAAUCAUUUCAUUCUAUUUUUCGGCUAUUAUUUUUGGGUUCUGUUCAAUAUAAAUAGUUUCAUUGAAUGAUUACUUUUAUAAAGGAAAAGUUUGAAGUAUGUGGCUUAGGUUGAGAAAUGAGGUGUCUUUAUCAUUUCUUUGAUGGAUAUGUUUAUAGGGCAAAACAUAAAUUUGUUUCUUCAGUUCAUUAAUAAGGCAAUAUUAGAUUGGUUUUAUUUAUUUUUAUAUUCAUAAUAAGGCAAUAUCUGCUUCAGUUGUUUUAUUUUUCUUAUUUAUAUUUAUAUGAUUCAUGGCUAAAAUCAUAAGACUUGUUUACAGGGCAAAUGGGAAUUUUUGUUUUGGUUGAAAAUUUUCUAAGAAAUUUUGGUGUAGAGAUAACCAUGAAUUUUGCAGCAAAUUAAUGUUUGAUGAAUUAUUGUAUAUGAUAGAAUUAUCCUAGUUUAAGACUUUGAAGGUUUUCAAGAAAUUAUUUUGGAUAAUAAGCAUCCGAGUAAUAGCUUGAAAAUUAAUUUAUUGCAUCUGUAUAGUGUAUUAAUUUUAAGAACUAUGGAUUAUUUAAUGAAUGUUCUAGAAAAAAAUAUUAUGUUACAUAUUGCAUGUCUUAACAUAUAAUGAUUAUAUUUUAAAGUUUGUUAUCUUUUUUCCCCCUUUCUAGGUUUAGGAAGAAUGUUGAAAGUGAAAUGAGACUACUAUUGGGUGAUGAUGUCAAUCAAGUUUAAGAAACGUUACUUGUGAGUGGAAAUAUAUAAUGAUUAUAUUAUAAUUCCAUUUUUAAUUUCUUUUAUCUUUUUUAAGUUUUAUAUUCAGGGAAAACUAAUAAUGCUUAAUUACAAUAAAGGGUGAUAUUCUUUAAAUGGUUUGUGUAAUCAUAUUUAAGUUGUAUAAUAAAUUCAUAUUUACUUUACAAAGGCUUAGCUAGGUUUGCAAAUAUUAUUUUUUAAGAAGUAAUGAUUUUGGAAUGAACUCUCAAAUUAUUGAAAUAUUUUGUCCAAACUUUACCAUAUGUUUGAAAUAAUUAAAGUUAAAUGUGUAUGUUUCAGUUUUGGAAAAUUUGGAAUGAAUUGGGUUUGUAACUGAUUUUUAAUCGAUUUUUCAAAAUGGUUGGUUGCUGUCUAAUUUUUCAUAAAUUACUCAUGUAUCAUGUUUGGUGGUGCAAAACAAUAGUCUAAAAGUGUCCGAAUGAGCUGAAAUUUGGAGAAACUAAAGUUCUAUAUGCAUACUUCAAAUCUGAAAAUUUUCAUGUUGAUUGAACUUGCAGGUUAUUUUUAAUGAUUUUUCAAACUCCGCUGCUCUGAAGCAAGUUCUUUUGACAGAAUUGUUUAUUAACUUUUGAUCUUACAAAACACUAGCAUAAUAAUGUCAGAUAGCUGGAGAUGGACAUUCAUAACAAUUAUCUAAGCUUUCCAAUUUCAACUUUUUUGUUGAUUUAAUUUUAAAAUUUAAGUUAAUUUUCAUGUACUUAUCUCAAAAUAUUAGGAUUUUUUCUUUUUAGUGUGUUAAAGUUUGAAAAUUUGAAUGACAUCCUUAAACAAAAGAGUGGUCUUUCAGGAGUGGUCGCUGUGUGCACCUAUCCUACAUGGAAGUGGAAACCACAUUACUUCAGUGUUUCCAUAGUUUUAUUUAAGAGAGAAUAGGGAGUAAUGUUGGAAUGGUAUAUGGCUUCCAAAUUAUGUUCUUUCUAAAAUGUAUGUUGAUUGAUUUAAUGGAUGUUGCGUGAGGGCAUAAAGAUCCUAUGAGCAUACCAUUUCUAAACACUUAUUUAUACUAUUGAUUUAUUUAGAUUUUAUUUAAAUUUAAAUUUGAUCAGCAAUAAAAUUAUUUUUAUGUUAAAUUUUUAUUUUUUAUGGAUUCAAUAGAAAGAAACUUUUUGAUCCGUAUCGAAUCUGCAAAACAUUGGAUUGGAUGUAGAUUAUGUCAAAACUGAAUCUAAUCCGCAGACUUAUACAUUGGAUUUGAAUUAAUUUUAUAUGGAUUGGAUGAGAUUUAAAAUCUAUAACGAUUUUUCACUUGUUGUCAAUUGUUAGAAUUUUUUCACAACGCGCUUUUGUUGGACGUUCUUUCACAACACACUUCCACCGAUCGUUGUUAAAUGGACUUUUGUUUUUUUUUUUAAAUAAUUACAAAUCAUCACAAUCUACAGAUACAUUAAAAUGUAUUAUACACUAGAUACAUGCAUUCAAUUUUUAUUAUAGCUUAGAUGUCUUCCAAGCACUAUAGCCCGGAAAUCUGCUCCCGGUAAUUUUGAGGAGACAUUUGUGCUAUACAAUCAACUUUUUGUUGAUAAUUAUUUUGAGAUUUGUUAAUUUUUUUUCGUAACAGUACUUUAUAUCUAUAACAAAUAAAUUUUUUAAUUGAAUUAGUUUGAUUAAACAAAGUUUUUAUCUUCUUCUGUAGUCUUGAUUAUUUUGAGUGUUAAAGCUCAACAUCACGAUACUGUUUUGAUUAUAGUCAUAAAAAAUUAUGAUUAGUUUUUUUAGAUUCUAUCUUAGAAAACUUUCCUGCACAUAAUAAUAAUUAUAUGUAAAUUUCAAAAAAUAUAUGCUAUGUUACACCAAAAUUUAAGAUAGAAUAAAAUAUUUUUCGAAAGUUGCUUGGAUUAAUGAUUUAUUCUUUAGAGUUGUUACCAUGUCAUUAUAUGAUAUUUAUAGAAAUUACAUUCAGAGAAAAGUAUUAAAGAGAAUGCAAAAGUUUAGACUUUUAAGAUAACUUUGCAUUUUCCCAAUCGUAUAAGAUUGAUGUAGUGCAUACUCCCUAUGUCACUUGGACUAAAGAUAACUAAGUCAAACCGAUAAUUUUUGUAACUACAUCUGUAGUAAGUUAUAACCUACUCAAAGUGGAAAAAAAAAAGUUUGGUCCUAGUAUAAUGACAAUAGAAAGAUUUCACUAUGUAUAUAACUUUGUACAUUACCACAAACCAUAGAUUAAUUUGAGAAUCUUGCCAUAAAUAAAUAAAUAUAUAUAUAUAUAUAUAUAUAUAUAUAUAUAUAUAUAUAUAUAUAUAUAUAUAUAUAUAUAUAUAUCUCAGGGAGAUUGUCAAUAUUCCCCUAUUGAAAUUAGUAUAUAUCACGUAUCUGUUUAAUAUUUUCAUAAUAGCCAAUAACUCCUGUGACAUAGAAAAUUUAAAGGAAAAGAGGGAUGAAUAGGUCAUUUGCUUGAUGGAUCUCUGAAAUAUAAGUAUAAAAAAUAGCAAAAAGUAUAAGAAAAAUAUCUUAUUAUUAAUUUUUUUAAUUUAUAAGAAAUAUUAGUAGAAUGUAUUUGAAAAUAUUAAUAACAUUGUAAAAUGAUGGUGACAUAGGAAGUAUUGGUAUUAUGAAAAUAAUAAAGAAAAAACCGAUAUCUAUUAAUUUUUGUUGGAGAAAAUCUACUUGUUAGAGAGAUUACAUGAAUCAAUUAUUAGAAAUUUUUCAACAAUAUAUUGAGCAGAACAUCACACAAUUGAACAUCUAUUAGAAGCUUGCCGAUCCUGCACAUUGAAAGUGUUUAUAACAACAUUCUUUCGGAUGUAGCCAUUUAUUAAAAUUGCUAUACAACGCACUUUCACUAACCGUUGUUAAAUGGAAUUUAUUUUUGAAAUUAUUACAAUGUGAAAAUGAGGAUUACCUUCUAUUUGUCUAGGAAAAUUAAGCAAAACCCCUCCUUAUUUUUUAAUAUAUUCAAAUCUCCUGCAAUUAUAAUGGAGUUAGUUUUAUUUAUCAUUUUACUAUUCCAUUCUCACUAUCGAUAUUAGCCAUAAAAUUUAGAUAUUUUGAGAAAUUUUUUAAGCAAAAUGAGUUACAUAUCCUCAACAAUUAAAUAAAUUUAUUAACCUAUUACAAAGCAUGAAGAAAAAUUACAAUUUACAAGUAGAGGAAAUAUCAUAUAUACCCCUAAUAAUUAUAUAAAGUAUUUGUUUAAAUGAAUGUAACAAGUUUGAUAUAUUUAAUUUGCUUCUUAAUCUGGCACACGAUCAGUUGUUUUAUUCGAGAAGCAUAGGCUAGGCCAUACCGUUGCCAUUCUUAAUCUGCCUAAUAAUUAUAUAAAAUUUUGAUGAAUGUAGUUCUUUUUUGUUGAGCACUGCAGACGUUUUCAAUGGUUUUACAGACGACAAGGGAGGCUUCAUUUGUAAUGAUUUCAAGGGAAUAAUGAGCUUGCAUGAAGCCUCGUAUUACAGCUUAGAAGGAGAAAGCAUCAUGGAGGAGGCCUGGCAAUUCACCAGUAAACAUCUAAAAGAAGUGAUGAUCAGCAAGAGCAAGCAAGGGGAUGUCUUUGUGGCAGAACAAGCAAAGCGUGCACUGGAGCUCCCUCUGCAUUGGAAAGUUCCAAUGUUAGAGGCAAGGUAGUUCAUAGACGUUUAUGAGAAAAGAGAGGACAAGAACCACCUUUUACUUGAGCUCGCUAAGUUGGAAUUCAACGUUUUGCAGGCAAUUUACCAGGAAGAACUUAAAGAUGUUUCAAGGUAUCCAUGCUUGGUUGCAUAACUCAUAUUUAUGUAUGUAUCAAAGAUUUGAGUUUAUGAAAUACAUAACUUGUACAAAUUAAUCAUAUGCAUAUUAAAUUAUUCUCAGGUGCA